UUUUUACUCUCGGGGACCGGUCCCUGAUAGGAGAGACCGGUCCCCCAGUGAACAGUGCUGCGUGGCCGGCAAGGCAACCGGUCCCUGGCAGUCGAGACCGGUCCCCGAGCGCGUCUGCGCGGGGAGAGACCGGUCCCGCGCAGGGAGAGACCGGUUCCCGAACGUUGGAUUUUCGGGGGCAGGCUGAGAGACCGGUCCCAGGUCGGGGAGACCGGUCCCUCUGGGCGAAAACUGCCCAGACCGGGCUGAUGUAAAUUUGAGUUUUUGAGGGGCCUAUGUGGAUUUUGUUACUUUAGAGGCUAUAAGCAGCCUCUCCUCCCCUCUCACUCUCAUUUUCUCUCCCUCACACUCUUCCUACACUUCUAGAGAGAGAAAGGGAAGGAGAAGAAGGAGAAGGAGAGGAGAAGAGCUUGCUUGGAGGCCUUGGAGCACCAUCUUCUUCCUCAUUUCCCACCUUUGGAGGCUUGGAGCUUGCGGUUGGAGCUUUGUGGAGGAUCAAACUUCAACCCUACUUGGUUUUGAGCUUGGAUUGGGGCUUCUCUUGAGGUUGGUAGCUUGUAAUCCCCAUUUGUUACAUGCUUUCCUAGGUUUUACUAGAUGAAACCCUAGAUUUUGGGAUUUAGGGUUUAUUUUGGGGGUUUUUGAAUUUGGGGGCUUUGGAACCAAAUUGAUGGGUUUAGAACCUUUGUUUAGGUUAGAUUGGAAGGACUCUAACUCCCAUUUGGAGAUCGUGAGAGCCUUCUUCGCAAUCGGUAAGUUUUCUCCAACCCUAGCUUGAGGAGCUUAAUGAUUGAGCUAUUUGCUCUUCGUUUCGUUUGGGUGACCCUAUUUUUGAUGUUUCUAGGGUACUAGGGAGCUUGUGGAUACCUUCGUUCGGCGAAACGAAGAAGUCGAUUUUGGUGGGUUUGACUUCAUGAAAAUAGGGCAAAAUGGCCCCUAUGCCUUCUAAACUUUUCGUAAAGUAUUUUUGAAUGCAAAUUCAUGCUAAAUAUGAUUUAUGUGAAUUUUAGAACACUUAACAUGCAUGCCUCAUAUAUCGUAAAAUUUGUACUCCAUAUAGUAGAGCUAUAUGUGUAGAUUGCAUGCAUUGUGAAUAGUGCUUGGUUUUACAAGUUGAGAACAUGUCUCCAUGCUAGAGUUGAGUGAAUUUAAGCGUCAUGAACAUAUUAAUGCCAUGCUUGGAACUCGUUGAACCAAAGUGUCAUCAAGGGGCACUUGAAACUAGUAAACUAUUAAACUGCAACCUAGGGACAUGUUGAUAGGCCACUAUAUAUCUGCUACAUUCCAUGUUAGAGACAUGAUGACAUAGAGAUAGGCCAUUGAGAUACUUGACAUAUUCCAUAUUUUUAGACAUGAGGACUUGGUACUUGAGACAGAUCAUUGCUUGCUUGCCAUUUGUGCUCAUUCGCACAUGCUUGUGAGGGUCGCUCCCUACAAGCCGGCACUCCGGAGAUAGCCAUCGCGACACAUGCUCGCCGUGCGGGAUUGGGCGCCGAAGUGGAUUGCCGUGGGGGAGGCUCAUCCCUAGAGUGGGGAUGUUGACUACCACGGGGCCAUUAGGCACGGCGCAGGCCAGACAGCCUUCGGGUGGGUCUUAUAUGAUUGGGACUUAGUGACAGAACGUGCUAUGUGAACUUUAAAACUAUUAAAGUAGACUUGGACUAGAAUAGUAAACAAUGGCAUCUUUACUAUUUUUGCAUUGAGGACAUCGGAUUGGUUGUAUUUCUAUGAUGAUGCAUGUCAUACACAUCCAUAUACAUUCAUGAUAUCGUUGCUUCAUUACUUGUACAAAUCAUGCUAAAUAGAAAGUCUAUGUUAUAGUGAGUUACAUUUUACUUACCUGUCGCUUUACUACAUUGUUAGUCACUGACCUCUUUUUGUAGCUUUGGGCCUUGUGGUGCAUUCACUGAAGUCAGUAAUUGCCCACUGGGAACUAUUUUUAAUAGUUCUCACGCCCCUGUUUCAUUGUUUACUUUUCAGAGCCUUCGGCACCGGCGGAGCGUGAGAUUGGCCUAGGUGGUUUGCUCUUUCUUUUGUAGUUGGGAGAGUGAGAGAUUUUGUAUCCAUGUGUAGAGACCACCUAUGUACCUACUUUUAGCACUUGUAUUUGGGAUUUCCUAUUGUAUUUACUUUAUGUCUUAUUUAGUGAAUUUACUGUUUUAUCCCUUGUUGUAGCAUUUAGACACUUACUAUGCUCUGAUACUUCUAGAUGUCUUCUGUUAUUGCUUUUAUUAUUGUUGUUAGUAGACGCCUUAUAUGUUUUAGACGUAUGGCGGGUCUGGGCACGUGCCGGGCGGGCUUCCGCUGGGCCCCGGGGCGUGACAAUUAUGAUUGGGUCUUAUGACAACUCUAAAAAGUUGGAGUUUAAUCGGAGUGCAUGACUUCUAGCUUCGCGGAGGGUUUCGUUAGCGGCCGACAACCUAACAUUGGGAGUUAGUUGUGGAUGACACUUCCUUAUUUUCGCAUGAUUUGGGUACUGUUAUUUGAGUGGGGAUUCGAUAGCGCGGGUUACUAAUUUGCGCUUUUAUGUUCUGUAGUGACGAUGCCGAUUACAUGCUCUCAAUCUGCGGGAGCGGACAAUGCAGUGCAGUUUGAGGAGGCUGAGACCUCCGCUACCUCCGGAUCCGGCGAGGUCCGUGAGUUGAGGGGCCAGCUGGCAGCCCUCACUGAUUUGGUGACGCGACAGGCAGACACGGCGCUUCCACAGGAGGCGCGGAUGAAGUGCCUAGAGGACCUUCUGCUGCAGCAGGCGACGGCCAGGAAAACUCAGAUCCCUACACCUCCCGCACCAGUAGAAGUGGUUGCGCCCAGGGUGUCGUCCCCUGCACUCGACGCUUCUAGGACGGCACCAGCGGCGGCACCUCGGGGAGAGGACAUCGCGGCACCACCAGCGCGAGCAUCUGUAGCGGGGGCGGUUUUCCCCGUGAUGGUUGAGGGAGCUGAGCGGGAUCGGCUCAUGGAAUGACUCAGCGAGUUUAGGAGAUGCAGUCCCCGGACCAUUGACGGGGAGAACGUGGACCAUUGGAUUGUAGAGAAAUGGCUCAUGCAUAUGGAGAAGCUAUUUCGGGACACCUUCGUCGAAGAGAGGGAUAGAGUGUGGCUCGCCACACAUCAUUUGUACGGCGAGACCUAUAGAUGGUGGUUGGACAUCCAGGAGAACCCCAGCAUGGAUCUGACGGCGAUUACUUGGAGGAGGUUCAAGGAACUCCUACUGGAGCAUUACUUUCCGGACAGUGUCAAGAGGAAGAUGGAGCAGAAUCUACGCAACCUUCGCCAGGGAGACAGGACGGUGGCCGAGUACGAGAGAGAGUUCUCCUGGCUUCUUCAUUGCGUGCCCUUCGUUGUUCGGGACGACGAGGACAAGGCCCGCAUCUUUGAGCGGGGAUUGCAGCCUUCGAUCUUCCGAUUUGUUCAGUCUUCCAACCUCCAAACCUACCGGGAGGUUGUAAACCGCGCACUCAUCGUGGAGAGUGGAGCAGCGGAUCUGCAGGAGUGGCGAGAGGCCUUGGAUAAAGGUAAAGGCAAGAGGCCUGCGGCUGAUGGCACGAGUCAGGCGCACUAAGGGAGGCCGCCGAGACAUCCGCGACACCGGAGCCAGUCGUGAAGACGUGGCCAAUCUACUCAGCGAGGAGGACCUGAUCGACGCCAGGCUCCGCGCUGCGUGAUCUGCGAUGGUCCCUAUUUUUCACGGCAGUGUUCACGCAGUCGGGGCAGGUGCUACCUUUGUGGCCAGGAGGGCCACUUCCAGUCAGACUGCCCGAGAGGUCCAGCCCCAGCGCCAUCUUCGGCAUCUGCACCAGCUUUACCGGGUCCCAGCCAGGGGACACCUUCUGUGCAUCACCAGACUGGACGGCCGCCAGUGCAGCGGCAGGCAGAGGGGUCACGACAGGCCCCAAGUGGGCGCAUGUACGCGGCCCAGACUGAGGAGGCGGCGGCAGCCGAGAAUGUGAUCGCAGGUAUCAUUUUACUUUAUGGUAUUCGAGUUCGAGCAUUGUUCAAUACCAGUGCAUCGCAUUCAUUCAUAGACCGGCUGUUUGCCGAGUUGCAUGGCAUUCCUUUGACAUCUUUGUUGCAUCCGGGACGAGUCGUGGUACCCGAUCACUCUUUAGAUGUUCGAGAGUUUUGCCCCAAUUGCCCUGUUCGAAUUGGAGAUUGGGUUAUACCCAUAGACCUUUUAGCUUUGCAUAAACUCGGAGAGUUUGAUGUUGUUUUGGGCAUGGAUUGGUUGACCAAGUACUACGCCACUAUUGAUUGCAAGAAUCGAACUGUGACGUUUAGAAAGCCGAGGCAGGCGGAGGUUGUGUACCGAGGAUGCGCCAGAGUUCGCUGUUUGCGAUGACGAUUAGCUCCUCUCGAGCUAGGCAGCUGAUUAGCAGAGGCUGUGUAGCCUAUUUGGCUACUAUUGUGUUGAGGGGUGAUGCUGACGCCCCUAGGAUUGAGGACAUCCCCGUCGUACGGGAGUUUGGAGAUGUGUUUCCAAUAGAGUUACCAGGCAUGCCACCUGACAGGAAAAUUGAGUUUGUGGUAGAUCUCGUUCCCGGGACUACUCCAAUCUCAAAAGCGCCCUAUAGGAUGGCACCGGCGGAGUUGAAGGAGUUGAAGGAGCUGAAGGCACAGCUGCAGGACCUCCUGGACAAGGGUUUUGUGCGACCGAGUGUGUCACCUUGGGGAGCACCGGUCCUAUUUGUCAAGAAGAAGGAUGGAUCGCUUCGCUUGUGCGUGGAUUACCGUGAGCUCAACAAGGUCACGAUCAAGAACAAGUAUCCAUUGCCGAGGAUCGACGAUCUAUUUGAUAAGUUGCAGGGAUCCAGUGUGUAUUCCAAGAUCGACCUGCAGUCGGGAUAUCACCAGUUGAAGAUCAAACCUGAGGAUGUGUCAAAGACGGCUUUUAGAACACGGUAUGGACAUUAUGAGUUUACUGUGAUGCCGUUUGGGCUUACUAAUGCCCCGGCAGUUUUUAUGGAUUUAAUGAACCGUGUUUUCAAGCCUUAUUUAGACAGGUUCGUCGUAGUAUUCAUCGACGACAUUUUGAUCUAUUCCCGAAUUGAUGCGGAUCAUGAGGAACACUUGAGACUUGUACUUCAAGUGCUUCGGGAAAAGAAGCUCUACGCCAAAUUGAAGAAGUGUGAGUUUUGGCUUAGAGAGGUGGCGUUUUUGGGCCACAUGAUUUCGGGAUCAGGUAUAGCCGUGGACCCGAGAAAAAUUGAAGCUAUCAAGGAUUGGCCGAGGCCGACGAGCGUGACCGAGAUACGGAGCUUCAUUGGUUUGGCCGGCUACUACCGACGGUUUGUUGAGGGAUUUGCGAAGUUAUCUACCCCUCUCACGAGGCUCACGCAUAAGGGCACCAAAUUUGUUUGGAAUGAUGCGUGCGAAAGGAGCUUUCAAGAGUUGAAACAGAGAUUGACGACCGCCCCAAUCCUAACCUUGCCAACUGCUGGAGCAGAGUAUGUGAUUUACAAUGAUGCUUCCUUUAAUGGAUUGGGUUGUGUCUUGAUGCAGGAUGGGAAAGUGAUCGCGUAUGUAUCUCGCCAGUUGAAAGAUUAUGAAAGAAACUAUCCUACUCAUGAUUUGGAGUUGGCGGUCGUGGUCUUUGCAUUGAAGCUAUGGCGCCUUUAUUUGUACGGCGAGCGAUGCGAAGUAUAUACUGAAAGUUUUGAGGAACCCAAGGAUCUAUCUAGNAAAAACGAUCAAAAACAGAGAUCUAUGUAUGAACUUGAAAUUUUUCGAAAAAUAAACAUGAACGCGAUGAAACGAUUAAAUCCAAGCUAAAUACUCACAAAUUUCAGAGGGAAAUCGUGUAGAUCUGCAAGAGGAAGGCACCAGGGAUUUUUAGAGAGAGAAAGAACGAAUUUUGGUUUUGAUUUGAGAGAGAAAUAAACCCUAUAUCCGGUUAUAUAAGUCGCAGCUACAGUGCGCGUACCCGUACGGGAUCGUGUACCGGUACACGAUCUCAGAUUUCGAAAAUUUGAUUUGAAAAUCCAUCACAUUUAAAUUAAUUUCAUAUAAAUUAAGGCUUUUACUCCAAAAAUCAUUACAAUGAAAAUAAUAUAUUAUACAAUUUCAAAACACAUCGAAACAUCAAAAUUUCAAUAUCAAAAAUAAUUUAAUGAUUCAAAAUCAUCAAGAUGUAAGUUGAUGAAAAAUGAUUUUUAGAAAUUCAACAAAAUUGACACCAAUUUAUCGCAAUAUGUUCAAAAUAGAGAUUUAACUAAUAUGGCACCGGGGGUGGCUCUUUGAGCAUCUUUUCAACUUACCAUCUUAUAACUCCGAAAAGUCUAAAAUAUUCAAUUUUUUUUCAACCUCUUUCGGUUAAUCAAUUCAUUCUUCAUGUGGUAGCUUCACACACUUGCCGGACGACCGGGGUGGUAGCUCUUUCCUACAUGUGGUGGUAGUUUUCACACUCCUUUAGGAUGUAACUCUUUCUACAUCUUUUAAACAUAGAAGUUUCUUUUUCUCCAUUUUUUUUUAAAAAAUAAUUUCGAACUCCCCCUAAAUUAGACAAUCUCACAAUUGAAAAUAAUUUUGACGAAUUUUAGUCAAUUAGAGAAUAUCCAUUCAUCAUAUCCAACACUCACAACCAAGAUGAAUUAAUCACCAAAAAAUCAAAUUUGAUUUCAAAAUUUUGAUGAAUAUAUGCAUUAAGAAAUCAUAUAUUAAAUUAUCAUCAAAAUAAUAAACAGUGGAGUAAAAACGAUAAUUAAUAUGAAUUUAACUUAAUAUGAUUGUGAAGUUAAAUACCAUUUAAACAAAUUUAAAAAAAACUUCUCCUCAAAAUAAUGAUUCUCGAUCAUUUCCUUUCUCAAAGAGUUUGAAAUUUCCAAAUACCUUUCCUCAAACCGAUUUAUACACCAAUAAAUUCAAGCACCAAAAAUCAUGUAAACAUGUAAUGCAAUGAAUAAAAUUAAACAACAAGCACCAAUCAAAGCAUACUAAAGAUCAAAAAUGACUAAGACGAGGAGCUAGGAAAGAUAUCACCUUUCCGGAUCCAAACUUGUCGAAUCGUUGGUUUUCUCAACUUGUCGACGUUAGGUGCCGUUUGUUUAGACUUUUGAUCAACCGUUGGUGUUUUCUUCGGUUGAGGCUUAGGUUGAAUUUGUCGUUGAGGUUUAUGCACCCGGUUUGCAUGAACUUGACGUUGUGCAUUAGAAAUCCGAUUCUUUUGAGGUACUCGACUAACUUGAUUUUGCUUUUGAUUCCGUGGGGAAUGUCGAAUAGUAGAUGAAGCCGAUGGAUGUUUUGAAGUUGCUGAUUGUGACUUGCCAUUUUUGUUCGGGCAAUUCCUUUUAAUGUGUCCUUUGAUGCCACAUCGAUAACAUACUUUCUCUUUCAAAGUUGUUGAGACUUUAGAAGUUGAUUUUGAAUCCUUCUCAACGUAUGUUCGUUCAUAUCCAAGGCCCAAUUUGCUCGUUUGACCCAAUCCUAGCAUUUUAUCCAACUUCUUUGAUCCCGAAGAAAAUUGUUGAAGAUCGGAUUGGAGUUGACGAACUUGGUUGGUCAAGACUUGAUUGGACUUGUGCGAUUCAUGAAAUUGAUGCUCCAAAAAUCUAAUCUUAUCGUUAGAAGAUUUGAUCGUUGAUUCCGCUUCAUUAAGCUUCUCUUGGAGGUCCGAAUUAAUCUUCAAGUUUGAAUCCCUUUCCUCCUCAAGAACCUUAUUCAAAUUCUUUACGUUGUUGUUUUCCUCCUCAAGUUCCAACAAACGACGUCUCAACUUCUUGUUGAGUUUAGCCAUCUUCUUUGAUUCAAUGAGAAGUUGAUUGUACGCUUUCGCUAUGUCGUCGUCGUUUGAUUCCUCCUCACUUUCGCCAUUGUUGCUCGAAGAAUCAUGUGAAGAAAGAGAAAUGUUGGAAUUAGUAGCAAAAGAGGAUAAACACACAACAUUCGACGAAGGUAGAGAAGUGGUAGUAAAUAAGGCAAUUUGAUCAUUCUUUCCUUCGUCACUUGACGAUGAUUCACUUGAUGUUGAAUCAUCCCACGUCUUUGCUUGCAUAGCCUUUUGUCUAUACGUCUUCUUUGAAGGACAAUCCGUUGCAAUGUGGCCGUAGCCUUUACAUUUGUAGCAUUGGAUCUCUCCUUCAAAUUCAUCCUUUUCCUUUGAAGACUUUGCACGGUUUGUAUCCUUAGACUUUGACGAUGAAGAUGAUUUAGACAAAGAUUGUCGCUUAGACGAUGAAGCCUUUUUCGACGAAACUUCUUCGUAAGAAGCGCCAAUUGUUGUUCAAAGUCCGCAAUUGAUAAAUCAUCAUCGGAACUCGAGUCUUCGUCCUUCUCCUUUGUAGAUUUCAAUGCAACACCUGUGCUUUUAGAAGAAGACUUGACAAAAGAUUGAUUAGUAGGAAAAGUCAUCUCAUAAGUUUGCAAAGCACCUACUAAUUCUUCGACUUUCAUCUCGUCCGGAUGCUUAACCGUUUCGAUCGCGGCAACCUUUGCCCGAAAGCGUUCCGGAAGAGUUCGAAGAAUCUUUCUAAUAACCUUAGAAUCCGGGAUUUUCUCUCCCAAGUUAGCACAUGUAUUCACAACGUCUUGUAGACGUGUAUAGUACUCGGUAAAUGUCUUAUUUUCAUCCAUAGAAAUAGAAUCAAACUUGCUUGUUAGCAUUUGCAAUUUUUGGACCUUUACUAAGCUCGUUCUUUCAUGCGUAACUUGUAAAGUAUCCUAAAUUUCCUUUGCCGUUUCGCAAGCCGAAACACGAGUAAACUCCGUUUGAGACAAUGUAUUAAAUAAAGCGUUUAUGCCCUUGCCGUUAAACGAAGAUGUCUCGUUUUCUUCUUUCGUCCAUUUGUUCCGUGGUUUUGGCUUUUCAACAUUAUCGACCUUUUCUAUCGGAUGUUUCCACCCAAAUUCAAUUGAUUGCCAAACCCGCUCAUCGAUAGCAAUUAGAAAAGCUCUCAUGCGAACUUUUCAAUAAGCAUAAUUCGUGCCGUCGGAGAGCGGAGGUCGAUUAAUGUUACCACCUUCGGCCAUUAGAUAACAAUUUAUCUAGAUCCCUCUUUGAUACCAAUUGAAAGUUUUGAGGAGCCCAAGGAUCUAUCCAGAUUGUAUCUAUCACCUAGAGGGGGAUGAAUAGGUGAACGACCAAAAACCACAAAUCUCGAUGCAAUAAAAAUAAAUGCGGAAAAUAAAAAGCACACCGAGAUUUACGUGGGAAAACUCCAACUUGGAGAAAAACCCACGGGACCAACACGCGAAAAAACAAUUCACUAAGAGAAAAGAUUGCAAGGUGAUUACCGACUCCACGGACUCAACCUCUCUUAACCUCCUAUGAAUCUUCGCGCUACCCUCCAGGUUGUCCACGCCCUCACGUUCGAGUCCACGAACGCCUCCACUUCGAAUCCACGAAGCUUCAAUCACGCCGAAUCCACGACGCCACUCGAAUCCACAAGCCAACGAUCCGAAUCCACGAACCACCUUUGUUCACGCCGAAUCCACAACGCCGUUCAUGAAGAGCAUCAUGAUUAUGGUGAUCCUUCGCUUAAGAGUAUCGUAGAAAACCAGGGAAUAGAACUCCAAGCGAAGCGGAGAUCAAAUCGACAUAUAGAGAAUGCGAAGAACAAUAUCUCGAUUUGAUCUAAAGAGGCUAAUUUGUAGAAAAUAGGUUUAGAAUGAAAUCCGAGCCUCUAGGGUUUCUCAAACAUGUAUUCUUAUGAUGCUUGAUAUGUUAGAGAACCCCAAUAGCUUAUUUAUAGACUUUAGAAUCAAUUGGAGUCGGAUUAGAAAGUUUUCACGAUUUUACACUGUGUACUGGUACACGAAAGGCUGUCACCGGUACAUAAUGACGGAACGAAAAUUCAUUGCCAAUGUUGAUGGCUGUACCGGUACGUGGCGCUUGCUGUACCGGUACACAAUGCAUUUUUUCAGAUUUUGCAUUGUUUCGGGUUUUCAACGUUCCGAGGCACUUUCUAAUCCAUUAAACUUUGAGUUUAUGAUUCUAAUGCCUAUAACUAAGUAUGAAUCACUAUAACAUGAAUUAAAACUCAACCUUUACGUCGUGAUUCAUAUUGUGAGCAAAUUUCCAAAAUCUUUGAAAUCUUGAAUUCUUCAAUCUUCAUCAAUCCGCUUCGAUCCUUCAAGACUCCGAUUUACUUCACGAAACUUGCCAAUACAAAGUCCUUAACAUAUACGGAUCACAAAAGCUUAAAGUAUUUAUUCACGCAGAAAGAGUUGAACUUGAGGCAGCGCCGAUGAUUGGAGCUACUCGAGAAUUAUGAUUUGACUAUACUUUACCACCCUUGCAAGGAUAACGUGGUGGCGGAUGCGCUAAGUAGGAAAUCAACGGAAAACUUAGCGAUGCUUGUGGUUACUCAACCGCCGUUGAUCGAGCAGAUGAAGUGGUUGGGGUUGGAAGUGGUGGCUCUUGAUACACCUUUGAGACUGAUGUCUUUGGUGGUGCAACCUAUACUUGUGGAAAGAAUUAAAGAAAAGCAAGUCUCCGAUGUGAAGUUGCAAAGGUUCGAGCUAAGAUGAUUGAUGGUUACACCGGUGACUUUUCAGAGGACGGUGUUGGAUUGAUGCGUUUCCGUGGACGGAUCUGUGUACCGGCGGAAUCAGCACUUAGAGAAGAGAUUCUUCAAGAGGCACACCGAGCACCGUAUGCAAUACAUCCGGGAGGCACCAAGAUGUACAAGGACUUAAAGUUGCUUUAUUGGUGGCCGAGGAUGAAAAAGGACGUUGGUGAGUUUGUUGCUAGAUGUUUAACUUGCAAACAGGUUAAAGUUGAGCACCGAGUUCCUGCGGGGAAGUUGCAGACCCUACCGGUACCAGUUUGGAAAUGGGAGAAGAUCACCAUGGACUUUGUGAUGGGUUUGCCCCGCUCGUAGGCUGGGCAUGAUGCUAUCUGGGUGAUCGUGGAUAGGUUGACGAAAUCGGCACAUUCAUACCUAUUCACACUACAUGGACUGGUGAGAGACUCGCACAGGUAUACUUAGAUGAGAUUCUGCGAUUGUACGGGGUACCUACAUUUAUUGUAUCAGGCCGAGACCCCUGAUUUGUAUCUCACUUUUGGCGGAGCUUACAGGAUGCCUUGGGUACGCGCUUAGACUUCAGUACAGCUUUCCACCCCCAGAGUUACGGGCAGUCAGAGCGUACGAUACAGACUCUCGAGGACAUGCUUCGAGCCUGUGUGAUUGACUUCCAGGGAGGAUGGUCGCAGCAUCUACCGAUGGCAGAAUUUGCUUAUAACAACAGUUAUCAAGUAAGCAUCAAGAUGGCACCUUUCGAGGCACUAUGGACGGAAGUGUAGAUCGCCACUUCAUUGGAGGGAAGUUCGCGAGAGAUUGGCUUUAGGCCCAGAUAUGCUCCAGGAAGCAGAGAACAAGGUUCGCAUUGCUAGGGAGCGGUUGUUGAUAGCCCAGAGUAGGCAAAGGAGUUAUGCUGACAGGUGUCGACGAGACUUGGAGUUCCAGAUUGGUGACCAUGUCUUCUUGAAAGUCUCGCCGACCAGAGGAAUAAGAAGAUUUGAAAUUUGGGGUAAGCUGAGCCCCCGAUACAUCGAACCGUAUGAAGUUUUAGAGCGUGUAGGCCCGGUAGCGUAUCGACUUGCGUUACCUCCGAACCUAUCGGGUGUAUACAAUGUUUUUCAUGUAUCGGUCCUUCGGAAGUACAUCCAUGAUCCGGCUCACGUGUUGGACGCCACACCUUUGGAGCUGAGUGAUGAUUUGAGCUUUGAAGAGCAACCUUUGAGGAUUUUGGCUCGCGAAGUAAAGAGGCUGCGGAACCGUGAGAUUCUCUACGUGAAGGUGCUUUGGAGCAAUCACGACGAGUGCGAGGCCACUUGGGAGUUGGAGAGCGCCCUACGGGAGCGCUAUCCCCAUCUUUUUUAGAUGGAGGCUUGAGGUACUUUACUUUUGAGUUUCGCGGACGAAACUCCUUUUAGAAGGGGUGAAUGUAACACAUUGGACCUGUGCAAAUUGCGAGGUUCGAGUGAUUGGAUGUGUUUCGAGCUUUUCCACACUUGGUGGAGGGUCGUGGAAUGUUUUUUGAUCCAAAAAGUCCGAAAACUUGAGUUUUGGAUGAGUCCUGAGAGUUUUUACUCUCGGGGACCGGUCCCUGAUAGGAGAGACCGGUCCCCCAGUGAGCAGUGUUGCGCUGUCGGCGAGGCAACCGGUCCCUGGCGGGCGAGACCGAUCCCCGAGCGCGUCUUCACAGUGAGAGACCGAUCCCGCGCGGGGAGAGACCGGUUCCCAAAGGAUGGUUUCUCGGGUUCGACACGAGAGACCGGUCCCUUGCAGGGAGAGACCGGUCCCUCUGGGCGAAAUCUGCCCAGACCGGGCUGAUACGAUUUUGGCUUUUUGAGGGACCUCCUGGGAUUUUGUUACUUUGGAGGGCCUAAAUAGCCAUUCCACCCUCUCUUUUCAUCAUUUCCUCAUUCUCACCCUCUCCCUACACCUUCUAGAGAGAGAAGAAGAAGAAGAAGGAGAAGAAGAAGAAGAGCUUGCUUGAGGGAGCUUGGAGCUCCUCGAGGGAUCUUGGAGCUCAACCCCCUUGCUCUCCUUUCCACCCUUGCAAGGCUUGGAGCUUGCUUGUAGGGCUUGGUAGUGGACCAAUCCUCAACCCUAGAAGAUUUGGAGCUUGUUUGGAGGCGUCUUGAGAGGUUAGUACUUCGAUUCUACCCUUUGAUCCUUGUUUUGGUAGAUUUUACCAUAUGGAACCCUAGAAUGGNUUUCAUAAUGCAACUAUUUCGUUACUAUUGCCUUGUUGACUUACCUUUUCUUUGGGGGCCUAGUGGUGCAUUGAGCUGAGGUCAGUAAUUGCCCACUGGGAACUAUAAAUUAUAGUUCUCACGCCCUCUGUUUUAUGUCUUCUUUCAGAGCCUUCCACGCCGGGAGAGGCUAGGGACCAUGAGAAGGGCGUUGCUUCGAGCUAGCUCUUCUCCGAGGGACGAGUGGAUAGGUGGUCUACCUCUCGAUGUUUUUAUUUUGGAGAGGUUGAGAGCUGUACCAGUGUACUAGAGACCACCCCUUUGUGUACUAUUUUGGGAGAUGUUAUUGUACUACUUUAUGUUCUACUCUUAUUGUUUUUGUAUACCUCUUUUACCUUGUUAUAGACUAUAGAUCUAUCUAUGCUCUGAUAUCUCUAGAUGUAGGUUACUUUUGGUUUAUUUUUCCACUGUUGUUGUAGACGCCUUAUAUGUGUGGACAUAUGGCGGGUCUGGGCACGCCACCGGGAGGGCCUCUGCCGGUCCCGGGGCGUGACACUGGACCUAGAUAGGUCAAUACUAUAGGGUUUGAGACCAACACUUGAGUCGUGAAAUGGAUUCCGGAAUCCCUAGUGAAGUGGCCGCAAAGGAAGCNGCAGGGAGAGACCGGUCCCUCUGGGCGAAAUCUGCCCAGACCGGGCUGAUACGAUUUUGGCUUUUUGAGGGACCUCCUGGGAUUUUGUUACUUUGGAGGGCCUAAAUAGCCAUUCCACCCUCUCUUUUCAUCAUUUCCUCAUUCUCACCCUCUCCCUACACCUUCUAGAGAGAGAAGAAGAAGAAGAAGGAGAAGAAGAAGAAGAGCUUGCUUGAGGGAGCUUGGAGCUCCUCGAGGGAUCUUGGAGCUCAACCCCCUUGCUCUCCUUUCCACCCUUGCAAGGCUUGGAGCUUGCUUGUAGGGCUUGGUAGUGGACCAAUCCUCAACCCUAGAAGAUUUGGAGCUUGUUUGGAGGCGUCUUGAGAGGUUAGUACUUCGAUUCUACCCUUUGAUCCUUGUUUUGGUAGAUUUUACCAUAUGGAACCCUAGAAUGGAAUUUUAGGGUUGAUUUUGGGCCUUUUUGAUUUAGGGCUUUUGAGGCUAGAUUUCUUGGAUUAGAACCCUCCUUUGGGUUAGAUUGGAAGAUCUUAGCCUUCUUUUGGAACUUGAGAGAGAAUUUCUACUCCCUAGGUGAGUUUUUGCCCUUUUCUUAUGGUUGUUAAUUUAUGAGCCUAGAGUUGCUCGUAACGCUCGUGUAUCUCUUCACUCAUUACUUUUAGGGUAUUUUGAGACUCGUAGACAACUUCUUUCGGCGAAACGAAGGACACUGCGACGGUUCGAUGGGUUUGACCUAGCCUGGCAUAUGAGAAAUUCUCAUAUCCCAUGUUUUAUGCUUGUAGAGUAAAAAAUUCAUGAAUUUCUAUGUUAAAUGUAUUUAUUGUGAAUUUUAGGAUGCUUAACAUGCCUAUAUUAUGUGUAAGAAAUUUCGGGCCCCUAUAUAGUAGAGGGCUACCAUGUGGGACUUGUACAUGAUUGACAUCCUAUUGAGACUUGGAAUCAUAUUUACUGGUGUGAAAAUGAGCAUUACCUUCAUGCAUUUUAAGCUAUUCCUACUUGAGACUUAAAGGAUCUUAGUAAGCCAUAAAGAGGCAUAUGACAAUAUUGAUAUGUGAGAUCGUGAGCUAAUGUCAUAAAGCGGCAUUGAGCUCGGGUUGUGUGGGAACCUAGUGGAUAGGGCCAUUGAGAGAAUUGGAACAUGUUUGUACAUUGAAAUGUCUAAGUGUCAUAAAGGGGCACUAGACUUAGUGAAUGAUAGGAGCUUCACAUUGUGACCUAGAGUUAGACCAUUGAGAUGCUAGUGACUAUUACCAUGUUAGAGACAUGAUGAUUGGGUACUUGAGACGAUGAUUACGCUUGCUUGCCAUAUGUGCUCAUUCGCACAUGCUUGUGAGAGUCGCUCCCUACAAGUCGGCACUCCGGAGUUGGCCUACGCGACUUAUGUUCGCUCGUGCGGUAUCGAGAAACCUACGGGGUCGGGAGCGAUAGACUCAUUCCUAGAGUGGGAAUGCUGGAGCUAUCACCGAUACUUAGGUGGCACAAGCUGGACUACAAUAUGUGAGUCCUAGAACAUGUUGGAAAUAAUGACAUUUGAUCGAGAGAUGAUAAUCACUACUAGAUAGGUUUAGUAGUUGGAUUACUAUGAUAUGCUUAUAGCAUAGUGUUGAGACACGUAGAUAUACUCGAUGUUUAUUUAUUGCAGAUAGUACACUUGCUACCAUGAUAGAGCAUAUUCAUCAUACAUUGACAUUGUGGAUCAUGUUACUACCUGUUCGUUGUGUUUGGACAUAUUAGUAUGUUUGAUUACUUCAUUGGAGAUAAGUAGAUGUAGACACUUUCGCAUAUGUUUACUUGUGAUAUAGUAGCUUAGCAAUUAUUUAUGCUUUAUAAUGCAACUAUUUCGUUACUAUUGCCUUGUUGAUUACCUUUCUUUUGGGCUAGGUGGUGCAUUGAGUCGAGUCAGUAAUUGCCCGUGGGAACUAUAAAUUAUAGUUCUCCGCGCUCUGUUUUAUGUUUCUUUCAAGCCUUCCACGCGGGAGAGGUUAGGGACCGUGAGAAGAGCGUUGCUUCGAAGCUAGUUCUCGAGGGACGCGUGGAUAGGUUACCUUCGUGAUUUUUAUUUUGGAGAGGUGAGAGCUUGUACAGUGUACUAGAGACCACCCUUUGAUGUACUAUUUUGGGAGAUGUUAUUGUACUACUUUAUGUUCACUCUUAUUGUUUUUGUAUACUCUUUUACUUUGUUAUAAGACUAUAGAUCUAUCUAUGCUUUGAUAUCUCUAGAUGUAGGUUACUUUGGUUUAUUUUUCACUGUUGUUGGUAGACGCCUUAUAUGUGUGGACAAUUGGGGUCUGGGCACGCCACCGUGAGGCCUCUGCCGUCCGGGGCAUGAACUGGACCUAGAUAGGUCAAUAUAUUAGGGUUUGAGACAAACUUGAGUCGUGAAAUGGAUUCGGAAUCCUAGUGAAGUGGCGCAAAGGAAGCGGUGGCACUUGUCGGUAAAAGAGAUGGCAAGCGAAUCAUAACUGCAAGGUAGUGUUGGUUCUCCCAAGGCUCUGCAGUGAUUCAACGGUAGUGUGUGGUUUCUUCGCCCGGGAUGCCAUGAGAAUAAGAUGAAAUUUGGUAUGUGUGGUUUCCGCGCCAUUAGUUAUCAGAGAUGCGCUAGAUUGACUUAACCAUGUGGUGUGAGGCGAGUGGCCACUGCCAGAUGACUAAGCCAAGAUUUGAGCAUUGUUGGGCGUGUGAUGCCGAUGGAGUGUCGCCGCCAGGUGGCUAAGUCAUGACUUGAGUCAUUGUUGGGUCGAUGCGAUGAAUUCGCUGCCAGAUGGUUAAGUCAUAGGUGCGGUAGGCUGUGACGGCAGCCAGGCUGAGAUGCAGCCAGUGCGCGGACUAUCUGCGGAUGAUUGACUCGAGGCCGAGUCGGGUGGUUAGCUUGAUUAGGUUAAUAGAAACCUUAUAAGCUAGUGAUAAAGGUAAGAGCUAAAGUUAGCAAAGUAAAUGUAGAAUUAACAUAUCUACUAGUUGUUUAUACAGUUGCAUAGUUGCAUAAUAUUCCUGUUGCAUAUUGUGAGGCAAAGCAUGAUAUAUGUUAGUUGCAUUUAAAUUAUGAUUUCAUAUCUAUCUUUUGAACUAACGUGUUGUUGCCUCCUUUGGACCUAUUGGUCGAGCUUUUCCCUUGGGUGGCCGUACCCACUGGGAACGAUGGAGUUGGUUCUCACCCCACAUUAUUUUGGGGUGUUACAAGUUCACACGUGAGCGCGCGGCGGCGCGAGGCAAGGGCGUAGCAUCAUAGUUAGCGCCCUACCACCGAGACCAGAGAUAGCGGUACCUCGAGUCGGUUACUUAGGGAUGUAAAGAAUGAAAAGAAUCAAGUUGCAAUAAUCAUGUUAAAUCAGAUUGUAUUUGGAAGUUAAGUGAAAGCUAAUGUAAGAAUCUAAUGAGAUUUGUGAUGUAAACAUGUAUGAAUGUGAAUGCAUGUAAUAACAUAGGAUGUAUUAUAUUGUUUGAUACCUUCCAUUAUGCAAUCUUGAUUGAAAUGUGUUCCUGGUUGGAACUUCGCACAUUGUAUUGAUUGCUAUGGCUUGAACGUACAGGGGAGACUCUGUCCGCAGUACAGGGGAAACCCUGUCCGUUCGACAGUCUGUUGCGGCGCUGCGACCAGGCCAAAUAGGCAGGCGGUCGCAGGGCAUGACAUUAUUUAGCAUGUAAGAUGAUCACUUUACUAAACCAAUAAGUCGAGAUCCCCUAAGGGCCAUAUCAUCAUUCAUACUCUAACAUGCUUUCUAAGAUUGCAUAAAAGAGAAUUCACCAAAUAGGGCUAAUUCAUGCACAAGUUCACAUAAGAGCUUCUACUACAUAGAGCAUCAAAUUGUCCUUACAUAGCAUAUAUGUAAUGUUUCUCAUAAAUUCUUGCAUGUCAUUUUGAGUAUGAAAAAGCAUUUAAUUGGAUCUUAAAACUAAAAGGAGGUUUAAGGGGGAGUUUACCCAUUUCGGUGAGAUCAAACCUACCGGAAACACUUCGAACUCUUUCGUAACGCCGAACGAAGUUGUCCCCCAAGAUUCUAGCACCCUAAGAAAAAAUCUAAAGGGGUUAAAAGCUACAAAACAACUUCUUCGAAAAUUACACAUACAAGGUGUAAAAUGUACCUGUAACACACUGGACCUUUGCAAAUUGUAAGGUUUGAGUGUUUGCUCUGUGUUCCGAGCUUUUUCAAAUAUUCUGAAGGGUCGUUGACAGUGUUCCGACCUAUGGCUCAUAUCUCGAGAAUUGUAGUAUUUGAAGUAGCGCUAAGGCCACCAGAGAGGAGGAUUUAGGCUGCUCUCGGGUUGCAUUCUGUAGGGCUGUGUACCGGUACACCUUGAUGGUUGUACCGGUAUAGGAUUUAUACCGGUACACCUUGAUGGUUGUACCGGUAUAGGAUUUAUACCGGUACACCUUGAUGGUUGUACCGGUACACUUGUGGUGAACAGCCAACCCGAGGCUCGGGUUUGCUGUCUCGCAGGAUUUGUACCGGUACACUUUUACGUGUACCGGUAUACAGUACAGUGCGAGCAGUUUUUGUAGAGGGGUAUUUUUGCAAUUAUUGCAAAUCCUAUUUAUACUACCCCAGCCCCUUAGAGAGCUCUUUUGAGCCCUAACCAGUGGAAAAUACAGGUAAGACCCUCUCCCCUUGGUUUUUCUCCAUUUUGCUUGGUUUUUAGCUAGUUUUGAUCUCCUCCUCUUUACUUUUUCUUGCUUCUUGUUGGUUUCUAUCAUGAGAGAAGCUUAGAGUUCGGGAUUGGAGCUUUGUGGAGGGAGGAUCUUCAACCCUAGCUGAUUUUGGUCCUUAGUUGAGGCUUCUAAAAAGGUUAGUAACAUGUAUUCCUCAUUUAAUACAUGUUUUGAUGGAUUUUGCAUGUUGGAACCCUAGAUUUGGAAAUUAGGGUUAGAAAUGGAGAUUUUUGAUUAGAGAGUUUUGGAACCAAAUUGAUGGGUUUAGAACCUUUGUUUAGGUUGGAGUGGAAGGACUCUAACUUCCUUUUGGAGAUCCACUACAACAAAACUAGGUUAUAGGGACACUUUCUUGGGACACUUUAGUAUAAGUGUUCCAAAUAUAUUCAAAAAUUUUUAAAAUUUUAAAAAAAAUUUGCAAGGCCCAAAUAAAGACCUCAAUUACAAAAAAAAAAAAAAAGAAAAAGAAAAAGAAAAAGAAAAAAGGAUCGGUCCUCACCAAACCCGUUACCCUGGGUCGUAUUACCCUAAGUCGUAUUCCUCUUUCUCCCCUCACGUAUUACCCUGAGUCGUAUCCCUCUUUCUCCCCUCACCACCUCUUCUCCCCUCACCAAACCCGUCGAAACCCUAGAAAUCGGCCCUCGCGCUCCUCCUCCUCCGCCGUAGCACCCGAAGAGAUAAGGUACGAGACGCCACGGUCGCCGGGAGAGUUGGCACCAAACGUCGAGGCGGCGGCGGCGUUGGGGGAGGAGUCCGGCGAUCACUUCCUGGCUAUGCUCGCGGCGCGUUGAAGGUGCGGAACGAGGAGAAGGAGAAGGUAAGCUCGAUCGAUACUAAGGUUUCUUAUCAUGAGGAUUUAGGGUGUAAUCUCUUGUGAGAAUCUCUUCGUUCGUGAAUUGCUUGCUUGUUUGUGCAUGAAUCGAAUCUGAUCUUCGAUCGAUACUAGGGUUUCUUAUCAUGAGGAUUCAUACGCUUUUAGAAAGCUUCCAAAAUUGCUCAUGUAGAUCAUUUCAUGAAGAUCAAAAUAUUUCGAGUAGAUUUGCUCAUGUAAAGAAUUCGGUUUCUAUCAAAUAGGGCAUGUUGAGCGUAAUCUACUGGAGAAGUGCGAUAAUUUAGUAGUUUGAAGUUCUUGUACUUUGUCGAGUUGGGGAUGUAAAUAGUAAAUAAUAGUAGGUUGUGGAAUUCAUGGUGGACAUGACAAGGAUCUCAUGCUGGAAAUAUCUUAUGUGAAUGUUCCCAAGAGAGUUGGCAAAGUACUUAUUAUAGAUUCUGCUAUAGUUGAUGCCUAGUUGUACUUCACAUCCUUAUUCAAACUAAUAGUAGUGUUUUGAUAUAACAUUUGCCAUCACUAAAGCAAUGUUUCCUUAGUAAACUGGGCAAUCAUGGUUCAGAGUAGAAUGUGAGACAAUUGGAGCAACUCUUUAAGUUACCUACGAAUUGCAAGAAGAUAAGGAGCUAGGAGACUGACUGAACCAUUUAAUUCUUUUACCAUUUGGCUCUAUGCAUUUGAUAAAAUCUUUGUGAUCCUUUUGGCUUAGCUUUUCGUCUGUUUUUUUCUCAUAGUAACUAGGGAACAUGAGACUCUUGGGAAUUCUCAGAAACUCCAUUCAUUGAGGCAGGCCAUCACCAUGCAAGGAAGAUAAACAUGGGAACUUUUUUAAUGAUUAAGAAAUUGCUCUCAAAACAAAAAAAUAAAAAAAUAAAAACAAAAUAAAAGAAAAGAAAGAAAAGGGAUUAAGAUAUUGCUCAAAUGAUUCACAACUGAGAUCUCAUGUGAUUUGCGUAGAGUUAGUUAUGCAAUUACUGUCUUGAAAUUUGUUUUGGUCGUCCUUGAGCUUCUGUUAUCUGGUAUUGGUAAUCUUCUAUGUAAGCUUUUGAGUCAUCACAAGUUCUCUGUAGUUUGUUACCUGCAUUUCUUAUGGUCCAUUGGAUUCUUUUUAGUUAAAUAAUUCUCUACUUCAACUUUGGAGAACCUCAAGAGCUCGGAUUGAGCGCAUGAUCAGCUUCUAAUCCCAAUCUAGGGUUUUUGUUCUUAAGAUCUUACAGUGGAAGAGCACUUAAUUUGAUAUGUGAUUAUAUUUUUUAGAUUAAUUCCUUCUGAUUCUGAUCCAUAGUUUCUACCAACUGUAGUAUUUUGUUAUCAAAUUUAGUUGUACUCUACAGGCUAUCAUUAAUAAUUAGUAUAAUUCUGAACCAUUAAUCAGUUGAUUUCCUAACAAUGCAAAACAAAAGCAAAUGAGAUAUCUAGUUUCCUACAAUGGUAGCUUAGAGGGAGUUGGAUUAUUAGAAUGUAUAGAUUUGAUGUAGGAAAUUCACACUGUAAGGCAAUGUGGCUUGUUCAUGAAACAAUUUAGGAAUUUGCAUUUCAUUUUCCAGCUACCUGCUAGAUAAGCCUCGUAUCAAACCCAUAACUAAAGAUCUAGAGUUUGAGAAAAAUCGCCUCGCUGUAUUAUUUGAAAGGAUCCAAGACCCUGAUAAGUAACAUAUUAAUGUCUUUGGAUUGAAUUUCUCGAUACUAGUUAUUUCUAUCAUAAAGGGGAAAAGCCCUAAAGAAAUGAAUUUGGGGAUUUUUUCUUUAAAGUUUAGAUUAGGCUUUUUAGAACUUGAUUUGAAUUUGUUUAGAGUCCGUUUAAGUGCUACAUAUUAACUACUUUCACAGCUGGGCCAUAAUUUUUAGAGGAUUUGACACUAUAUGGUGAAAGCUCAAUUUUGUCGUUGAUGUGGGAUUCAAUUAUGGGUCCUUGGAUUGACACUUGAGGAGUCAAUUAGGUUCGUCGGGAGAGACCAAGGCCACAGGGCAUUGUGUGUUGGCAAGCAAACAACUUAAGGACAUUUGGUCAUCAUCUAUAGAUUAUUUUAUACGUGAUUAUCAUUCUAUACGUGAUUAAAUUUUCUUAGUCUUGACAUGUAUAAUUUUGGUAUUAACAGGUACCCAAACAUAAGUCUUGAUGCAAUUCAGGGGCUCUGCAGAAUAAGCGAUCAUUUCUUUUCAAUUGAGGUAACCUACUACCACAGCCUUAAUAUACUUUUCAAUUGAUUCUGCUAUUUUUGAGAAUUGCUUAUGUUAUACUUGGAUAUGUCAAUAACCCCUUAAUUAUUUAUUAUGUUCUGUUGGUUUAAUUUCAUUUACAUGUAAGCAUGUAGAUGAUCCAUCAGAAUCUGCACUCUUCGGUGGAUAUAGAUGUAACACACUGGACCUUUGCAAAUUGCGAGGUUCGAGUGUUUGGAUGUAUUUCGAGCUUUUCCACACUUGGUGGAGGGUUGUAGAAUGUUUUCCGACCUAAAAGUUCGAAAAUCAGGAAUUCUGGAUAAGUCCUGAGAGUUUUUACUCUCNUAAACUUGCGGUAUAGAUAUAUUUGGCACUCUCAUCUCUGUUAAGUUUUGCGGUGUAACAACAAUGUUUGGAUCAGACCACCCAUUUUCUGAUUUAUGGCGUAAUAGAUUGUUGUCUAUUCUCUGUCAUUUUUUCCAAUGCAUAAUAGACCAUCCGUUCUCUAUUAGUUUUUAUCAAGAUCGACACAGGUAAAGCAUUAGAUAAUUAUAAUCUGCUGCCACAAAUGAUAUUGAUGAAGACUAAGAUAAAGAGUGCAGCAAUUUUCGUGAUUCUAUCUACUUCCCUGGUAGUGUUACCUUUCUUAUGGUUUUAAUUUUGUCAUAAUUUUGUUGCUCAACUUUGUACUUUGAUUUAAAUACUAAUAUGCACAACUUUUGAUGUUUGUUGAUUGCGGAAAAGAAAGGUUUGGUUAGAUCAUUCCUUCACUUUUAGUAGUUCAAACAUGAAACAUAGGAUCUUUCUACUCUUUGAUCAGAAUAAAUGCAUGUGGUCCUCAUUAAUGGAGCUUCGAGUGAAGGGUAAGGAGCUAUAUGCUUGAAUAUUAUAGCUUCGAACAGAUGAUCUCAAAAUUUUUUGUACUUUGAUUUAUCUUAUUGCUUAUCUUAUAGCUAUAAGAUAAGCUAUAAGAUAAGCUCACUAUUUUUUGUAUUUUUGAUGAGCUAUAAGAUGUUUUGCUGAGCGAGUGAAAUUACCUAGUACCUGGUCUUUUAUUGAACUGUGUGAUCAAUUUAAAUUGUAAAAAUUUGUUAGAGUGUACUUUAAUAAUUUGGUUUAUUUUAUUCAUCUCAGUAAGGCUGCGUUCUCUGUGGGAAUAGAUGGAAACUAAGAUGAUAUGAGUAGGUCAUGCAUUUUCGUGGGUCGGUUAGAAAAAUUACUAGGGUAGCUCAUCAAAAAUAGGAAGUGCAAAAUGUGUUGGAAGUGUAUUUUAUCUUUCGAUGUUAAUUUAUUAGGCUAGAGCAAUAGGGGAGACUCCCUCAGUUUCUCUCUCCUGUUAUUAUUAUUAUUAUUAAUUAUGAGUUUGGUUGGCCUCUCUAAUCGUAAGACCCCUCUAGAAGGGGUAAAGAUAGGACCCUAUGAGCCAUUCUCUAUUUUUCUAAGAAAUGCAUGAACCAUCUUUAGAGCUGCAAUUUUUCUCUAGUUAAUGGUGAAUGCAUGACUAAUGAGUAGCUUUUUGCAUUUCUUGCGGAAUCUUCUAAAUUCAGGAGGAAAAGUAGUACUCUCUCUCUCAUAAGUUUAUUUUUUUGGGAUAAUAUCUAGGUAUAAUAUUUAAGCAUAUCCUUCACUAUUGUACUUUGAUUUAAAUACUAAUAUGCACAACUUUUGAUGUUUGUUGAUUGCAUAAAAGAAAGGUUUGGUCAGAUCAUUCCUUCACUUUUGUUUCUGAACGAAGUUCACAGUGGCAUACAUGAUUUAUAUUGUUCGUAAUUCCUGUGAGUAAUUUCUGCUUUUUUCUUUGUCGCGCCUUACAUGAUUUAUAUUGUUGUAUUAUUAGUCAUCAAUUGAUUCUACUAAGAUUGUUUUGUUAUUGUCUAUGGCAGGGUCUGGUAGUUAGCAAAUUUAUGUAAAGGCUUAAUUGCAUUCUAUUACACUGUACUUUGCUCUUCUUUUUUUUUUAUUUCAUUUGUUGUACUGCACUAUUUGCUCUUUGAAAGACACUACUAAAAGCUGCCAUUUUCUUAUGAAUUUCUAUACUGUUGUUUUGCAUGCUUUUGGCCUCACCCCUACAUUAGCUUUUCUACUCUAAGAAGCUGAAACCAAGAAGCUAAAAGAAAUUCGGAGCUUCUGGCUGGAGCAGGAAGCUAAACUGGGCUUUCGAACCCCAAAGCAAAAGCUAUAUGGUGGAGCUUAUGUUUCUGGUUUUGAAGCUGCUCCUGGAUGGAGCUUUUAGCAGACUUGUUUGAAGAUGCCAUCUCAGUUCUUUUCAUAAAUACCCUUUUCCAAUUUAAUCUAUUGUUUUGGAUGAAAGCUAAUUUUCGUUUCCUACUUUAGCGAGAAGCUCUAGGUUUUUUUAUUUGUGCUAGUGAAAAUAUUGCGAAAAUUGGUUGAAACGGGGAUUUUUUGCAGAAUCUUCUGCUUCACAGCAGAAAUAAGUUGCUUCUAUCAGACAUAAUAAGAAAUGUUUCUUGCAGCUUUACCCAAACACCCAUGAGAAAUGUGCUUUUUCUGGGAGUCGGUUGUCUUGUAUUCCUAAUGCAAAUUUAAAUUAUGUUAUCUAUCAGGUUCAUUCAACAAAAAUUAGGCGGUCCGUCAAUAUCUGAAUAUGAAAAACUACAAGCUGAGAAAUUGGACCUGCAGUUAAGGUACGAUGAACUCUUCGCAGCUCACCAAGAAACAUGCAGACAAGUAACUAACUCUUAGUUUGGUAUGUUAUUUAAAACUUACUUUCAGUUUCUUUUAAAACUAUGCUGAUUUAUGCUGAUAUUAUUAGUAUCAAUUAGUGGAUGCUUUUCUGAAUGAAAUCAAGCAACAUAUUUCUAGUGUUAGUUCGAUUGUACAAACUCAAAAAGUUACGCCCUUUGAUGUAGGAGCUCCGACUAUAACGAAUAAGCUUAAUUAUAUUCUUCUUUCAUGUAAAUGCAUGCUCAGGGAUGAUGACAACGUUUCUGAACUAUAAUUGGAUUAUUAAUGUCUCGAUACUAAUUUUGACGGAAAAUGAUUUGUUUUAAUUUCUUGCGGAAUUCUGCUGCAUUUUAUUGUUAUAAAACAUAGGCAAUACACUUCUUUUUUAAUGUUUGGCAAAUCAAGGAUGUUGCACAAAUUUGAACUAAUUCAAAUGUUAUUCAAUGUGCAGGUUCAAGUAUAUAGUCGUGGAGCCGAUCAGAAUUCGUUUAUGCAUUUUUUUAUUUUUGUUAUCAAACAAUUUUUGAUUUUUUGUAUUUUUUUUUCAGUUAAAGAGUUUAAUUUGUUAUAAUUACUACAACAUAUGAGUGGAUAUUAUUGUUGUGACGUAUGAUUUUAGUUUUAUCAUUUUAACGAGAAUUUAAGAAACUUUGUUAAUUGCUUUUUUUUUUAGUUUCAUCGAUUUAAUGUACAUGAGAUUAGCUUAACUAAAGUUUAAUACUACACUAGUUAUUUAAAUAAAAUAUUAUACUUUGAAUGACAAUGGGACAUUUAUAAAAUGUCACUAUAUAAAAAAAAUAUUACUUUUUUAAAAAAAAUUAGGGACACUUAUGGGUGUCACUAAAACCCAACAAAUAGUGUCACUAAACUGCAGCACUUAUUUUGGGAUAUACUGACACUUUAUUAUGUAUCGCUAUAUACCCUAGGGACUGCACAUAUAGCGACACUAUUUUUAGUGUCGGUAUUUUUGCCAGCAACACUUUUUUUAGGUUUUAAGGACACUUAAAAGUGUCGCUAUAGCUUAGUUUUGUUGUAGUGAUCGAGAGAGUUUCCUUCGCAUUCGGUGAGUUUUCUUCACCUUUACUUGAGUUGCUUAAUGUUUGAACUAUGGGUUGUUCGUAAUGUUCGUGUAUCUCUCUUUUCUAUAUCUUUAGGGUGCUAGGAGAGUAGUGGGCACCUUCGUUCGGCGAAACGAAGAGUUACGAGAGUCACGGUGGGUUUGAAUUCAUGAAUCAUGAGAGAAAUGUCUCCUAUGUGUUCUAUAUUUGUCGUAUCAUCGAAAUGUAUGUAUAUUCAUGCUAGAUAGAAUUUUUAUGAAUUUUAGAAUACUUAAAAUGUAGGGGUUAUGUAUCAUGAAAAUUCAACUCUAUAUAGUAAAGCACUAAGUGUAUUCCGUAUGCAUGUGAAAAGUAUUUUUUCUAGCAAUUUGGGAACAUGUCUUCUAUGAUGAAAAUGACUCGAAUCUAGUACUCUUGAACACUAUACUCAUGUUUGGACUUAGUGGAUGAAAGUGCCAUAAAGGGGCACUCGACUUAGUAAACUGUGAAAUUGCAACAUAGAGACAUAGUGAUAGGCCAUUGGACAUCGACUAUAUUCUAUAUUUUAGACAUAAUGAUAUAGUGAUAGGCCAUUGAGACAUAUGCUAUAUUCCAUAUAUUAGACAUGAUGACUUGGGACUUGAGACGGAUAUUACGCUUGCUUGCCAUUGUGCCAUUCGCACAUGCUUGUUAGGAUCACUCCCCAUAAGCGGGUACUCCGGAGAUAGCGAUCACAACACAUGCUCGCCCGUGUGGGAUUGGGCGCCGAAAUGGGAUGCCGUGGGGGGAGGCUCAUUCCUAGAGUGGGGAUGUUGACUACCACGGGGCCAUUAGGCACGGCACAGGCCGAACUACCCACGGGUAGGUCCUACAGGAUUGGAACAUUGGUGACUUAGUAUACCAAGUGGACAUUGACUAGAAUAGUAAACAUUGACAUUUUACUAUAUAGCUUGUGGACAUUAUGUUAGUUAUACUCUUGUACAUUCAUGUUAGAGUAGCUUUCAUACUUAUGCAAAUUUCAAACUAAGUAGAGAUAUCCUGUUGUAGUAAGCUUUUAUUUUGUUGCUUAAUGUUUCGUUUUGCCUCUACAUGCACUUACCCCUUUUAGCUUUGGGCCUAGUGGCGCAUUUCACUGAAGUCAGUAAUUGCUCACUGGAAACUAUUAUUUAAUAAUUCUCACGCCCUCUGUUUUGUGCUUUCUUUACAGAGCCCUCUACACCGGUGGAGGCACGGGAUCGUGGCAAGGGAGUUACCUAGCUAGAUAGGGAGGAGGUUACUUGUCACGCCCCGCCCCGAAACCAAUACCAAUUUGGCACGAUUCGGCUGCGGCGACGGACCGCCGAACGGACAGCACCUCCCUUGUCCGCCCAAGGCUCAACGACAGGAAUGUGUACAAGAAUUUACCCAGGACUUUAAAUUCUAAACAUACACAUUCAACGAGGGCACAAACAGUGCCAACAACAAGAAGAGCAAGUAAUCCACAAGAUAUACGAGUGAAAUAAAGAGAGUACUUUACUAACUAUUACAAUAGUUGCAUUCUUUACAUUUACAUCAUUUUCCCAAAAUGAAUACACUUGAUCCUCGAAAUACAUAGCUUUUCAACCUCACCUACAUGAAUCUCUCUCUAUACAUAGGUGUGCUAAUGCAAAAGGAAAGCUACUAUACUAUCACGGCCUCACUGAUCAGGCGCGACGCCCUUGCCGCGGUCCUCUCUCUGCAGCCCUGAACCUACCACUGGAAAUAGAGUGGGGUGAGAACUAUCUUCCAUAGUUCCCAGUGGGCUCGGCCGCCGACUCUGCCGAUCUCCCCACUAGGUCCAAGUGGGCACAAGUAACAACAGAUAGAUAGAUAGAUAGAUAUGUAUCUGAAAGCUGUAAAUGCAGUAGUAGGAAAACUAUGCUACUAUGCCCAUAAUCAUGAAUAUGAAUGCAUGCAUCAUAUAAUAAAGGUUUGCUACCAUGCUAACAAAUUCGAUCCAUGUUCGAAUAGCAAUGUUCAAUGACAUUAAUAAACCUUUAACCUUUUCAUUUACCCAAUCUGUGGCGAGGCCCUAGGGCUCGCCCAUGACUCACCUUCAAAUCCCAAAGUGGGGAGGGAGCUCCAAGUGCACCCAAGCCCGAGACCGUCUGCGGACGUCCAUGUGGUCCGGACCUCCAAGUGGUCCUAGUCGCGCGACACUCCGGAGUACUCGACGACAAUCCCCUCCAUGUGGGGAUUGGAUGGCUAUACCAUCCUAAACGCAGACUGUGAGCUAGAUCUAUCCUCUCCAAGUGAGGAUACACUGUAACUAGGGUCUACACCCAAUCCAAUCCUCUCCAAGUGAGGAGGCUCUACAACUAGAGUCAAUAACCCAAUCGAAUCCUCUCCAAGUGAGGACGCCCUACACUAGGGUCAACGACUAUCGCGGAAUCAUCGGUUCCCGACAUUCAUGUAAUGCUAUUUAGUUUUCUAAAUUCAUUGUUCACAAGGCAUUUUCUAAGGGAUCCACUUAUCCCUAGGUCCAUCGACCUCUAGUGUUAUUUACACUACAUUAAUGCCACUCGUUAUCAUUCAAUGUUUGGAUGCCACUCGUUUGUUCUUUAACAAUAACACUACUUUCUAUGUCAUCAACACUCCUAUCGGGUUCAUCUCUAUCUUUAGCAUCAUAGGAUCCACCUUCCGACCCAAUCCUCACCUAUCUAGUUACCAAGCGUUCCAAGUACACUAAGUCAUCAAUUAGAAAGCAUAAGGAAUGGAGCUACUAAGCAAUCCUACAAUGCAACAUGAAGAGAUGAGAUUAAAUGCAAUCUAAGACAUAGAAAGGAGUUCGAAAGUUUCGGAUGACACCCCCCACCUUUAAUCGAUGUAGAGGCUUGGAAAAUCCUUCUCGGCGAGCUCUACGAAAAGGCUUUAGCCUUCCUCGCCCGAAUCAACACUAGCCCGGCCCGAUUUUGCCGAGAACUUCACGUCGGUUCGCCGAAUGCCGAAAUCGACUUCGCCCCCGCGUUUUGUGACCUAUCAAUAGGGUUUCCAAGGCUUCAAAUGAGACCAAUCUCAUACUUAUACAAAAACCCCAUUUUGGAGCCCUAGGUUUGCACCUAUAGCAAACCACCCAAUAAAUCCCUAGAUUCUUGGGAUUGAUCUAUUUAGAAGCUAGCUUAGGGUCCAUUUGACCCAAUCCAAGGCAUAAAAUCCAAAAACUCUAAGUUUACAAAGCUAGGGUUUAGUAGCUUACCUCAAGAGCUACACCAAUGGGAAGAGGAGAGGGAGAUGGAGGUGCUCAAAGCCUUCCUCUUGAUCUCCUUCUUCUUCUCCUUCCUUAUCUUCCUUUUUUUUUCCUUCCUCUCCUUCUUAUUCUUCUUCUCCUUCUUUCCUUUCUAGAGAGAGAGAGAGGGAGCAAGAGAGAAAUGAGAGUGAGGGAGAGUGGAAUGAGAGAGUGUGAGGGAGAGAGAGGGCUCAGCCCACUCAAAUAAAAGCCAUUUUGCAUAAAAGCCCCUCAACUUUCCCUCCUGUGCACUGCCCUCACUAGGCAGUUUUCGCGCGGAGGGACCGGUCUCCCCGACUUGGGACCGGUCCCCGAGAGCUUCCCUCGGGCGCACGCGUUCGGGAACCGGUCUCUCCCCGGGAGACCGGUCCUCGGGAGACCGGUCCUCACCUGAGAGACCGGUCCCCAAGAGCUUGAUUUUCAGGACUUAGCCAAUUUUUGGCAUCUCUCGCUGGGACCACGUUCGGGAACCGGUCCCCCCCUACCAGGGACCGGUUGCGUCAUGCAACCCCGCUACAACAAGCCAGGGGAACCGGUCUCUUACUUGCAGAGACCGGUCCCCGAGAGCAACAUCAGCCCAAUGAUGCAAUUUGCCUCAUUUGCUCUCGCGGACUCAACUCCAAGGCACUUUUUGUGCUUUGGACAUUCCCAACUCCCACAAAGGGUAUACUUUUGACAAUUAGUCGAUCCUGGAUGAAGUACAAUCCUCAUAUUUCGAGAAUUCACUUCCUUACAUUACUUUUGUUUAGGUAGUUUUCUCUCUUUUGUGUUUUGUUGAGAGAGAGAGAGAUUUUGUAUCCAUGUAUAAAGACCACCUCUGUAUUACCUUCAGUUUAUGUACUCGGGUUUUGUUAUUGUACUACCUUAUGGUUUUAUUUAGUGGAUCUAGCUCUUUACUUAUUUUCUUUUCCUUGUCAUAGAUACUAGAUGUUGUAUACUCUGAUAUCUCUAGAUCUCUUCGUGUUGUUGCUUUAUUUAUUACCUUAUUGUAGACGCCUUAUAUAUUUUAGACGUAUGGCGGGUCUGGACACGCGCCGGGCGGGCUUCCGCUGUGUCCCGGGGCGUGACAGAUCAUGUCUAUGAUGUUCAUAAUGCUACAAUAAGUGACGAUACAUCUCAUUACUAUUCUAACCAUACAUUAUGCCAAUCAAUAUAAGUGUAACAUACUACCACUAGGGUGUCAAUGCUAACAAUGACUAACAUAAGGUCCACAUAUGCACUAUCAUGCAUAUCCACUAGUCCAACUGAUAUAAAUCAUCUAGUAGUAGUUUUCACAUUACACUUUAGGUUUCGUAGUUCAAUCCUCAUCAUGGAUCUACACAUGUGUAGUCCGGCUUGUGCCGUGCCAAAAAUGGCCCCGUAGUAGUCAACAUUCCCACUCUAGGAAUGAGCCUCCCCCACGGCAUCCCAUUUCAGCGCCCAAUCCCGCACGGGCGAGCUUGUGUCACAUAGGCUAUCUCCGGAGUGCCACCUUGUGGGGAGCGACCCUCACAAGAAUGUGUGAAUGAGCACAAAGGCAAGCAAGCGUGAUCAAUAGUAUCCAACUCUCGGUCAUCAUGUCUAAAAUAUGGAAUAAGUGGCAAUGACCCUAAAGGUCCCAUAUAGUAUUACGAUGUCAAGGUUUAUCAUUUAUUAACCCAAAUGUCACUACAUGACGUUCAUGAUUACUAUGUCAAGUAACAGUCACUAGUUCAAAUGCACACAACCAUUGCCAUUAUCCUAUCUAGGGUAGUUCACUUUUGUCCAAGUCUCAAUGAGAGUUCACACUUAGUCUAUUCCACUAAAGCUAAGGAAGUCACUUUCUUAUGGUGUAUGCAUAGUUACCACUAAUUAUUUAUAAUGCUCAUGAUGCAAGCCAUGCACAUAUAUCUUCCUACCCAUACCUCCACCUUAUGGAGUAAUAACAAUUAUGCGAGUGCUUUCAUUCAAUAAUGCCAUAUGCAAAUAUUCAACUAGAAUGAAUGUUCCAACUUGGUUUCUUAUAGAUCUUACAUGUACUACGUUACCAUGCCCCAACUACUUGCCUACAACAAGUGUGAUAUUGUCAUGCAAAUAUAUGCUAAGUCUCAUUCAUGCACAUGUCUAAGUCAUGUAGUUAUGCUAUCAAUCUCAAGGUCAACACCGUGUUAGUUACUAGGUCACAAUACCCUAUUUUCUUGUCUACACAAGUAUAUUAUUUAAUAUGUAAGAUGAUCACUUUACUAAACCGAUAAGUCGAGAUCCCCUAAGGGUCAUACCAUCAUUCAUGCUCUAACAUGCUUUCUAAGGUUGCAUAAAAGAGAAUUCACCAAAUAGGGCUAAUUCAUGCACAAGCUCACAUAAGAGAUUCUACUACAUAGAGCAUCAAAUUGUCUUUACAUAGCAUAUAUGUAAUGUUUCUCAUAAAUUAUCGCAUGUCAUUUUGAGUAUAAAAAACCAUUUAAUUGGAUCUUAAAACUAAAAGGAGGUUUAGGGGGGAGUUCACCUAUUUUGGUGAGAUCAAACCCAUCGGAAAUACUUCGAACUCUUUCGUAACGCCGAACGAAGUUGUCCCCUAAGAUUCUAGCACCCUAAGAAAAAUUCCAAAGGGGUUAAAAGUUACAAAACAACUACUUCAAAAAUUACACAUACAAGGUGUAAAAUAUACCUUGAGUCAAGAAGAACUUGAUCAAAGCCGAAAUCGAAGCUUGAAAAUUUCAAAUCCAAACUAUAAGAGUGUUCUACACUCAUCAAUUCCAACCCUAAAGCCUCAAAUCAAGAAACCCAAAAUAAAAUUCUAGAUUUCUCAUUUCUAGGUUUUAUCUCAAAAAUUCCACUAAAUCAAGAAUCAAAAUAGGGAAACAUGUUUCUAACCUAUCUAAAAGCUUCAAACAAGACUUGGAAUGAGCUAGGGUUGAAGAUCUCUCCUCCAACAAGCUUUUUACCAAGCUCCAAGCCUUCUCCAAAGGUGCAAAGUCCCCAAAAUGCAAAAUAGAGCAAAGAGGGGAGAUCAAAACCUAAAAUCCCAAGCAAAAAGGGAAGAAAAACUAAGGGAAAAAUAGAGUGGAGCUCACCUCUCCCUUUUCUAGUCGCAGCCCAAAAGCCCUUGUCCAAGGGGUGAGGGUGUAUAUAAGUUAUUGCGACAAAAGCGAAAAGAUCCUUCAAAAACUGCCAGACUGCAGUUUACACUGUGUACCGGUUCACGAAAAAGUGUAUCGUUACAAACUACUGUGCGCGCAAACCCGAGCCUCGGGUUGGCGGAAAACAACCCAUCUAUACCGGUACAAUCAUUAAGGUGUAUCGGUACAAAACCCGUUCCGGUACAACCAUUAAGGUGUACCGGUACACUUUCCUGCAGAGACAAACCCGAGAGCAACCCAAUAAUCUUCACUUUGGAGAUAUUAGUGCUAAGUUUAAACCUCGAUUCUCGAAAUACGAGCCAUAGGUCGGAACACUGUCGACGACCCUCCAGAAAGUCUGGAAAAAACUCAGAUCACAAAUCAAACACUCGAACCUCGCAAUUUGCAAAAGUUUAGUGUGUUACAAUUUGGCUAAAGUCCGGAUUACUUUACCGAAGUUUCGGUAUGUUACAUUCUCCACCCCUUAAAAUUAGUUUCGUCCGCGAAACUAACUUAAUUAACAUCUAGAUUUAUACCUUAAUCCAGAUUCUCGAAGAGAUGGGAAUAAUGCUCUCUUAUUGCACUCUCGAGCUCCCAAGUAGCUUCCCGAUCAUCGUGGUUCUUCCAACAAACUUUAACAUAUGAAAUCUCACGGAUUCCUAGUUUUCUUACUUCUCGAUCGAUGAUGUACGUCGGGAACUCUUCAUAAGUCAUAUCCUCUUGAAUCUCGGACGGUUCAAAUGAGAGAAUAUGCUUGGGAUCGUGAAUAUACUUGCGGAGAUUCGAUACAUGAAACACAUCGUGCACUCCCGCAAGCCUCGGUGGUACUGCUAACUUGUAUGCCACCGUGUCAACACGCUCCAAUAUCUCGAACGGUCCAACGUACCGGGGACUUAGUUUUCCACGGACUCCAAACCGUUUAACUCCCCACAUUGGGAUAUUUUUAGGAGUACGCUGUCUCCAACUGCAAACUCUAUAUCCUUUUUUCGCUUGUUGGCAUAGCUCUUUUGCAAGAAUGCGCCGUAGCAAGCCGUUGGCGGGCAAGGCGAACUUUCUUCUCCGCCUCCCGCACCAUAUCUGGGCCAAGAGUAACUCUCUCGCCCACAUCGCUCCAAUGAAUUUGAGAGCGACACUUCUUUCCAUAAAGGGCCUCGAAUGGCGCCAUCGCGAUAUUUCCUUGAUAACUAUUAUUGUACGCGAACUCCGCCAUCGGUAAAUGAUCAUGCCAUCCGCCCUUGUAGUCAAGUACACACGCUCGAAAUAUGUCCUCAAGUAUUUGUAUCAUCCUCUCCGAUCGACCAUCACUUUGAGGAUGAAAUGCCGUACUAAAAUCGAGCCGUGUGCCCAACGCAUCCUGUAGGCUCCUCCAGAAGUGAGAUAUGACCCUCGGGUCUCGAUCCGAUAUAAUAGACACGGGAACCCCAUGAAGUCUCACUACCUCGUCGAGAUAGACUUGAGCCAUCUUAUCUCCCGACCAUGUAGUAUGAAUCUAUAAAAAGUGCGCCGACUUCGUCAAUCGGUCUACUAUCACCCAAAUUGCAUCGUGUCCGCCUUGAGAUCGAGGCAAUCCGGUCACGAAAUCCAUUGUGAUAUUUUUUCAUUUCCAAACGGGUAUAGGUAGGCUUUGCAACUUUCCUACCGGAAACCGGCGCUCCGCCUUGACUUGUUGGCACGUAAGACAUUCUGCUACAAAUUCCCCAAAGUCUUUCUUCAUGCCCGGCCACUAAUAGUAUACUUUCAAAUCUUGAUACAUCUUGGUGCCGCCGGGGUGAAUACUAUAAGGAGAUUGGUGCGCUUCUUGUAUAAUCGCCUUGCGAAUGUCCUCAUUUUUAGGCACACACCAACGAUUUCUAAACCGGAGUGCGCCGUCGGUCCCAAUGCCAAAAUCAUCUACACUACCGCUCUCAACAUCACCCUGCAUCUUUUGGACAUAAGGAUCAGUAGCUUGUAGAUCUUUAAUCUUCUCCAACAAGGUGGGUUGAACCACCAAUGCCGCAAGUGUUGCUGGCAUUCCUGAAGCUACUACCUCAAGACCAAGUCGUUACAUCUCUUUUUGCAAUAAUGGUUGAGGUGUAAUUGCUGAAGCCAAGUUUUCUCACGAUUUUCUACUAAGUGCAUCGACCACGACAUUUGCCUUCCCGGUUGGUAUAAAAUAGUAACGUUGUAAUCCUUUAAUAGCUCUAACCACCGCCGUUGUCGCAUAUUUAACUCCUUUUGGGUGAACAAGUAUUUAAGGCUCUUGUGAUCCGUAUAGAUCUCACAAUGUUCACCGUACAAGUAAUGCCUCCAUAACUUUAGCGCGAAAAUAACCGCCGCUAGCUCAAGGUCAUGAAUCAGGUAGUUCUUUUCAUAAUUCUUCAAUUGGUGCGAAGCAUAAGCUAUAACUCGCCUAUUUUGCAUCAAGACACACCUGAGACCAACAUAGGAAGCAUCACUGUAUACCACAAUACUCUCCCCCGGCGUCGGUAAGGCAAGCACCUGGGUCGAUGUCAAUCUCUUCUUUAAUUCCUCGAAGCUCCGAUCGUAAUCAUCGCUCCAAACAUACUUAACUCCCUUGUGCGUGAGGCGCGUUAGUGGAGUGGUUAUUUUGGCAAACCCCCCCAUGAACCACCGAUAGUAACCCGCAAGUCCAAGAAAGCUACGGACCUCCGCAACACUUGUCGGGCGAGGCCAAUCUUUAAUUGCCUCUACUUUUUUCGGAUCCACCAAAAUGCCAUCACCCGAAAUCACGUGGCCUAGGAAAGUGACUUAUGAAAGCGAAAACUUGCACUUCUUUAAUUUUGCAUAUAGCUUCUAUUUUCGGAGUAUUUCCAACAUGGUCCUCAAAUGCUCCUCGUGUUCUUCCUCACUCCGUGAAUAAACUAACACGUCGUCAAUAAACACCACGACGCACCGGUCUAGCAACGGUCGAAUGACCCGAUUCAUCAAGUCUAUAAAUGCUGCCGGGGCAUUAGUAAGCCCAAACGGCAUAACCAUGAACUCAUAGUGGCCAUACCGCGUACGGUACGCCGUUUUGUGCACGUCCUGGGGCCGUAUCUUCAACUUAUGAUACCCCGACUGUAAGUCGAUCUUUGAGUACACCCUCGACCCUUGCAAUUGAUCGAACAAAUCAUCAAUCCUCGACAACGGGUACUUAUUUUUAAUUGUCACUUUAUUCAACUCGCUGUAAUCCACGCAGAGUCGUCACUUUAUUCAACUCGCGGUAAUCCACGCAGAGUCGAAAUGUGCAAUCCUUCUUCUUUCCAAAUAGCACCAAAGCUCCCCACGGUGACACGCUCGGCCUCACAAAGCUUUUAUCGAGCAAGUCUUGCAAUUGUGCCUUUAGCUCUCUUAGCUCUGUCGGAGCCAUUCUAUACGGAGCCUUCGAAAUUGGCGCCGCCCCGGGAAUCAAAUCAAUAACGAAUUUGAUCUCCCGGUCCGGUGGCAAUCCCGAUAACUCCGCCGAAAAUACAUCCGAAAACUCGCACGACAACUGAAUAUCACUAAGUUCCGGGUGCUCCUUUUGGGCUUCUACCAUUGUCACCAAAUAGGCUUCACAUCCACCCUUAAUCAUUUUUCUCGCCCUCGUCACCGAUACGGUCACCGCGAAGCGUGAGCUUUUACAUGCCUAAUAUACCAACUCUUCCUGAUUAGGCUCACGAAAUGUGAUCACCUUGCUUUUACAAUCUAUCACGGCAUAAUACUUGGAGAGCCAGUUGAUCCCUAAGAUUACAUCGAAUCCCUACAUUCGCUCUAGCACUAGUAGAUCUAUCAGCAUAAUCCAAUCACCGAUCUGUACUGGACAAGCCAAGCACUCAUCAUGAAUAUGAAACGAAUGCUCUGGAGCAUUUACCCACCAAUAAUCCUGAUUAUACGUGAUCUCCAUGCCAUGAGUUUUUGCAAAUGAUGCACCUAUGAACGAAUGUAAUGCACCUGUGUCGAAUAAAGCUCUAGCUCUAGUGCCUUUAAUCAAAAUUAUACCUGCCACGACAUCAUCUGGUGCUACAGGUUGCUCCUCCAUCUGAGUGGCAAAACCCGCCCACUCGGUGCUCUAGAUGUCUCCGGUUGACGCGAUGCAGAUGAGCGUCCAGCCGACAUCGCUGGGGGCAACCCCGCAAGCUAUCUCAGGGUGGAAGGAACUAAUGCCGCUGUCGGUGCAAACGAUCCCCAACUAGGGCACUCCUAGGCCAUAUGCCCCGGUUGAUCGCACUUGUAACACUUUCCUUCACGCUGCGGGCAGGUCGGCGGUCGAUGCUCACCGCCGCAAAUGAGUAGCGUGUGAGGUGGGUUAAUCAUCGGUUUGACUCCUAUGGGUUAUAUAGUCGACAUGUAUUCGGCACGUGUUUUUGCCUAUCGUAAUUGCUCUAUUCAUUGUUCAGCAUGAUUGAAAUAUGAAUUGGAGCUUAGUAUAUUGACUGUAGAUUCAUACAUAUUGGACUUGGAUAUAACAUAGGAGAAAACCAGUGAUUUGGACCUGUCACCUGCUUAACUACCGGAUUUAGCUUUAGGAGCCAUUGUUAUUUUGUAUCGCCGUAGUAUCAGCGUGGUAGAUACCCCAGAUAGUUUAGAUUACUAUUAUGCUCGUGAUGGGAUGCCAAGCCUAUUUUUACAGUAGUGUUUAGACUAUUCCGGAUUGUUGGAUGCUGUCGAGAUUGACGGUGGACCCAGAUUGCCAUUUUAGUAUCAGAUUAUGCUGAAGGCACGUGACUUGUUAGUUGGUAGACUAGUUGGACCCUGUGUACUUGACUAUAGCCUGCGAGAGCCUGAUUGAGCUCGACAGAGAUACGCUUGCAUACUCGGUUGGGUAGCGCCCAUGAGUGCCACUCCGGAGUCGGGCUUAGUGCUUCUGCGUUGAUGUCGAGGUGUCCUGUUUGGACUUGCUAUCCACUGACUGCUUAGUGUGGAGGUAGCUUUAGCUUCGACAGGAGAGACGGGCGUGUUCACAGUCCCUGGGACGGGUAUGAUUACAGUCCCGAGUGAGAUUGGGUCAGGUAUGACAUCUUCUACAGACUGUUAGUGUUAGAGCAUGAUAGUAUAGUGAUUUUUAGUUGUAGAGUUGUUCCAGCAUUAUUUAGUAUCCCACCUACCUUCUGUAGACUUAGUGGGUGGACCGAUGAUGUUGAGGGUGGCACCCACUAAGGACUACAUGUCUUUACAAUAGUUCUCACGCCCAGUUGCUAUUUGCUUUUGCAGAGCCUUCGGUUCCGGCUGCUGCAUCGUCCGAGAUAGAGCGUGGUAAGGGCGUUGCGAGUUAGAGCCCUACCAAACGAGCCGCCGAGUAGCACCAGCUACAGGUAGUUGUAGUUUUUGACUUCCUAUACAUACUGUUGUUGUAUCUCGCUUGGCGAGCUUUUGUUUACCGGAUGUUGUAUGUAUAGUGAACUUUAUUUUUCUAUCUGGUUAUACUUUGGCUAGCAGCUCUGUAGUGUUCCUGAGCUUUGGAUAGGAUUGGCUUCAAUAUUAGUGACUGGUCGACAUCUCUGGAGAGUGUCGAACUAAGUCGGAGUCAAUUCCGCACGAAUUGGAUGCAGAAUUGGACUCGACGCACUCAAUUAAGCAAAACUGGAGUUUUGCCAGUUUCGGGCGCCCAGAACAUUUUUAGGGUCGCCCAGAAACGAGUGUUGAAUUUAACUGAAACUGGAGGCCAAUUCGGAUCCCAUGUUCCGGGUGCCCAGAUGUGGGUCCGGAAAUUCGACAUCGUGAAUAUCGCUUGCUUCGAUGCGUGGCAGGCGGCAGGUGAGUUCCGCCGGAGCCAUUUACGGGCGCAGCACACCGUGAGCAGAGAGUCCGAGGAGCCCGUUUUGUGCAAGCUGGAUGUUCUGGUCGCCCAAAACAUGGUUCCGGGCGCCCAGAAACGCCCGUUUCUGCAGGGACACUGGAUAGCAGCUUCAGUUCCUGAGGCUUUUUGGAUCAUUCUAACUCACUAUAAAUACUUGGUAAACACCCCUUUGCUGCUCUUUUCCCCCCUUCUUCACAGAGAAGUCUCUUUUAGCAUCUCUACCCUCGGAUUUGCCUCAAAUUGCAUUAAACUUCCAUUGAUCCAGCUUGAUGGAGUGCUGAUUCUGUAGUUCUUCAGCGACGACCUCCAGUGUUUUGGCUCGUGCGCGAUGUAGGAAGGUCGGAUUUCGACGAAACUUGGUUUGCUGGAUUCUAGACUUCCAGAGGAAUCUACGAAGCCCUGAAUGGUAGAUUUUGGUUGAGGUUAGCUUGGUCGAACUGAGGUUUUUCUAGACUACUGUUGGCUUUGAGCUGAAAAUAGAAUUUUUGAGCUUUUCUUGAUGCUAUCUUUGUUGGCAGUGGAAUUUUGGACCUGAGUUUGAUCACCCCUCAGUAUUUGCUGAUUUUGGAACUGUUCUCACCUGAUUUGGAGAUCAUUAGGUGAGUUUUGACAUUGGAAUUGAGAAAUCCUAAGCUUAAGGCUAAAAUUGAUGAAUUUUAUUGGAUUUUGGAUGAAUUGUUAUAUCCAGAUCUUGAUGGGCUUUGUUGCUGGUUUGGAGGAGUUUCCAGCAGUGUUGCUUGUGAUCCGAGACCCUCUUGCUGCCAGGAGUUUCACUAGAGGUGGGUUAUCAUCGGUUUCGCUCCUAAGUGCAUGUUUAGUCGACGUGUAUAGUUCGAUUUUUGUAUAUCAUGCUUUAAUUCAUCGAUUAGCAUCUUGAAUGUAAUAUGAAUGUAGAAGCAUGCUGAAAUGAAUAUUUAUAUUAUACAUGUUGGACUUGAAAUUUGACUUAGGAGAAAACCUGCGUUUUGACCCGUCAUAUGUUUAAACUACCAGAUUUAGCUCUAGGAGCCGAGAUUCGAUUGUAUCGUUGCAGUAUUAGUGCGAUGGAUAUCUGGGGUAGUUUAGAAGGCAUUUACGCUCGUGCUGGGAUGCCGAGCUUAUUUUUCAGCAGAGUUUAGGCUGUUUCGGGUCGUUGGGUGCCGUUCGGGUUAGCGGUGGACCCAGAUUCUUGUUUUGGUCACAGAUUGUGCCGAGGGCACGUGGGUUUGGUUUGUAGGCCUGUUUUUACCCUGUUCACUUGACUUUGGCUAAUUGGAGCCUGUUUGAGCUCGACAUAGAUACGCUGCAUACUCGGUUGGGUAGCGCCCACGAGUGCCACUCCGGAGUUAGGCUUUGUGCUUUCGCGUUGGUGUCGCUCAUGCCGGUUGGACUUACUCUCCACGGACCAGUUAGUGUGGAUAGAGCUGGAUAGUCGCAACUCGGCAGGGACGGGUGUGUUCACAGUCCCAGGGACGGGUAUGUCUACAGUCCCGAUUGGAUUGGGUCAGAUUGGACAUUUCCUACAGUUGGUUAGUGUAGAGCAUGAUAGUGUAGUGUUUGAUAGCGGUAGAUUUUAUUCCUGCAUUUACUACUAUUCUUGCUCCCUUCUAUAGACUUAGUGAGUGGACCGAUGUUGUUUUGGGCGGUACCCACUGAGGACUACUUGUUUUUACAGUAGUUCUCACGCCCUGUUGUUACUUCAUUUUUGCAGAGCCAUCGUCUUCGGCUGCUGCUAUUGCUGAUAAGGAUCGAGGCAAGGGCGUCGCGAGUUAGAGCCCUACCCGACGAGCCGAGCUAGGGGUGCCCUACUACAGGUAGUAGUUUUGUUGGAGUUCAUGUACUUACCUACCUUUAACUCGCCAGUGCGAGUAGUUUUUGUGUAUCUUGGAUUUUGGGGUAUGUAUAUGGAACUCAGUUGGUUUUCUCCGUUUCUCCUAACCAGCUCUAUACUACUGUUUGUAGUAUUGUUUGAUUUACAGAUACAGCUAUCGCUUCGUAUACAGGAAAAAUUCCUUUGUAUACGGCGGAUUUGUCGGCGCGCCCGGGGAACGUGUAAUCCGGGGCGUGACAAGCUCUAUACUACUGGUUGUAGGAUUGUAUAUUUUACAGGUACAACUAUCGCUUUGUAUACAGGAGAAAUUUCUUUGUAUACGGCGGAUUUGUCGGCGUGCCCGGAAAAUGAGUAAUCCGGGGCGUGACAAUAUAUAUAUAUAGUAAAGGUACUAUGCUAUCGGAAGUAUAAAUUAGUUGGUACUUUCGAUUUUUUAGCCCUUGGAUCAAAAAUUAUACGGUUGGGAUGAUAGCAGUCCCCUUAGAGUUGAGUGGUCCCCCUAGGGUUGAGCGGUCCUCAUUGGUCAAUAAUAUUAAUCCAAUGGUUAGAAUAAUCAAUGGAGUUGAUCUAAGGGCUAAAAAAUCAGAAGCACCAACUAGUUUAUAUUUUCGAUAGCUUAGUAGCUCUUCUAUAUAUAAAUAUAUAUAUAUAUAGAGAGAGAGAGAGAGAGAGAGAGAGAGUUGAGCUAGAUCUCUAAAGCACAUGAAGGUAGGUGCUUUUGAAAGAGAUAUUUAGUUCAAUAAUAUAUAUAUUUAUUAUAUACUUAUACUUUAUAUAUAUAUAUAUAUAUAUAUACUAUAGUCGUCUCCGAUACUUUCGAACAAGUACGGGAGGCCCGGUGCUUGUAAGUUGUUUUCGAUGACUAGGACCGUUCCGAUUCGCACGAUCGCUCGUUAGGCUCAUGAUCUUCCUAUUGAGAACUAUCUAGAAUCAAUUUAGAUUUUUUUGACAGUAUUUACUAGCCGAUCAAAGAGUCUAAAAUGAUUUUACGGCGUGUGGAAUUUUUAAUGUGUCAACGGCUUGUUAGAGAGUAUCCAAUAUUACAUGAAUUUAAUAAAAAUUUACUUAAUCAAAGUAGCCGAUAUCAUUUCGAUGUAAAUUUGAAUCUUUUAUCACUUUUUUAUGAGAUUUGUUCAUUUUCUAGCGUUCAUUUUUGGUAACUGUUCCUAGACGCACAAACCGAAAUCAAAAAUAUAUGAAUUUGGUUUUCUAGUAGUUCGCUCCAUGGAUGUAAGUUUUAACAACUGAUCGCUGAAUCGAGAACUGUCCACAUUCAACAAGAUUAACAGAACGGGCCACAGCCCAUCCGCGUUACUUUCGACGCAUAGGAGCCUAGCUCUGUUAUUCUCUAUCUUUCUCUCUCUUAUAUUAUAUAUAUAUAUAUACUAGUUAUAGUCAUGUGCAAUGCCCGUCACAUUUAAUUAAAUUAAAGUUAUAUUUAUAUUUUAAAUUUAAAUAAUUAUUGAUAGUAUUAGUCUAUUUAUCAAUUAAUUUUUUUCUAACUUAAAUUUUUUUAAUUUGUAUCCAAAUUUAAAAAUUUGAAGUAAUUCUAAAUUUUAAAUUAAUGAAUUCAUAUUUAAAUUUAUGAACAAAACUCAAAAUUUGAAGUUAAUUUUGAGUCCAUAUUUGAAUAUAAAUGGUUAUAGAGACAUUGAUUUAUUUAACAUCCCAUCUAUUUUUCAAAUUUGAUAUAUUUUUAAGUUAAUUAAUUAUUUUCAAUUUGAAAUACUAUUUACACACCCAAAUAUUGAAAUUUGAAUUAAUUUCAAAUUUUGAAUAAUUUAAAAUUUAAAGUUGAUUUGAUAAACUUAUUUAAAUCAUUCUAUUUUUCAAACUUAAUUUUCUUUUAGUUAGUUAAUUGAGAGAUAGUGAAUACUAAAUAUUUUCAAUGUGAGUUGCGUAGAAUUUUUUUUUGAUGAGUAUGGAAUAUUUUUUUAUGGGGCACUUGUGAAAAAUAUUCAACAGUAGAUAUUUUUAGAUUGACAUAAAGUUGGAUAAGUAUGAAUUUUUUUUAUAUUCUCGUAAAUGAAAUGCAAUAUUUUUUCCUAUUAAAAAAAGGUCUGUCAACAGCUAUUUUAUUAAUAAUCCCAAAUCAAUAUAAAUUUGUGAAUCACAUUUAUUUACAAAUUUAAAAUUUUAAAUUAUAAAUUCUUAUAUUAUAUUUUAUUAAAAAAUAUCUCAUAUUUUAAAUAUUAGUAGAUAAAAUUUAGAUAAUUUUUAUAUAUUCACCUUUAAAAAAAUAUAAUUAAAUAUUAUAUAUGCGGAAGGUAUUAUGUGAUAGGAUAUUAUGUAGGCCGUAUUACGUGUGAGAAAGAAAAUAUUUAAAAAAUUCUUAAAUUGCAAAUAUUAUUUAUGAUAAAAAAUAGAUAUUACGUGGGCUACGGUUAUUAGAAGAUAAGGUGCGCAUAUAAAAUGUAAAAUUCAAUAUGCACUUUUUGAGGGCAAUUCAGAUAAAAAAAGUGACAGAUACUUAAAUCGUCAACUAUUGGAUUAAAUUCGAAGACUAAGAAUUAAUAUAUUUUAUGAUAAUUUAAAAAUAAAAUAUAAAUUGUACGGUUAUGAUUUAUUCUAUUAAACUUGAAUGAAUGAUAUUGCUAGUAUGCGAUUGGAAUUAUAUUAAUAGGGAGCGAUAUUUUGGGAAAGAAAAAAAUUUUAAAACUUGCUCUUUUAUAAGUAGUAUAUAUAUAUAUAAUAUUUACUAAGGAUCUAGGAUACUUUUACAAGCUAUCCAUCCCCAUCUUAUUGCUAUUCAACUUUUUAGCCAUUGGAGUCUACUUUUGUUUACAAAUAGCCCUUGGAUCAAACACUAUUCCACCUACCACCACCCUACCACCUACCUACCACCCAUCUAUCCAACCUUUCACAUCUUCUCCAUCCAAGGCUAAAAACACACAAGUACCACUGGCUGAUACUUGUAACAAGUAUUCUACCCUACUCAUAACUAUAUAUAUAUAUAUACUGCUCUAUAUAUAAUAUGACUACAUACUACGGUAUACUAUGAUAUAUAUAUAUAUAUCAUAUAUAUAUAUAUAUAUAUUAAUUACUAUAUUAUAGAUCACAGUGGGUUUAACGGAGCCCGAUCCGACGAUUUCGAAGUCGCAAGAUCGAAACGAGCCUGGAGCACGGAAGGCUCCAGUGCUUCCGAUCAUAUAUGGUCUCCGUGCUUCCGAUAAUAAUACUAGAUGUAGGUCUACUAUACCUUAUCGUAAGCACGGAGCCUUUCCGUGCGUUCCAGCUCGUUUCGCAUCUUGCGACUUUCCAAUCCGUCCGAUCGGCCUCCCUUACACACUUUGAUCUAGACGUAUUGAAGUACCCUACGAAAUAAAUUUACUGACUUUCUACGAUAUAUUUGCUUACGUGAACGCAAGGGCGCUCAAAAUCAACGGCUACAAAUAAAAAUCCUUACAUAAAAUGUAAUAUGAUGACACUUAAACAUUUUAACAAAGAGGGUCAUUGAUCUUCGUUCUAUACCUACUGUCAAAAAAUUUUUCUAUCAAAAUUUCACGCCGACUUCUGGAUAUCUUUUAACACCCGUUAAAACUUGCAAACGGCUCACCGCGCCAUGCUACAAUUUGUUGAUUUGAGUCCCAUUCGCAUCACUACGGCAAAUGAUCAAUCCGAAAGAAUAAUAAAUUUAUUUUCUAGUACUCCCAAACUACUCUAAAUCAAGCUUUAACGAGCCGAUCCCGACGAAUUCGAAAGUCGCAAGAUCGACAACCGAGCCGCGAAGCACGUAAGGCUCCGUCGCUUCCGAUUAGCAAUAGUAGCCUCACUCUAUACUAUAUACUAUUAUAUAUAUAUAUAUAUAUAUAGUAUUCUAGCCUAUCAAUCUCAACCCAUACCCGCUAGUGCUCGCGGAUUACACGCAAAUUUGCGGGUAUAGACACCAAUUUUUUCAACCUAAAAAAUUACAGAUAAAAAAUUAUGAAACUAUAUUCGUUUAGUGUCAAAUGAAUCCUCUACCAUUUUAGUAGCAAUAGGAAAUUAAUUUGAAAUACACACAAAUAUCCUCGAAGCCCCUAUGGUGGGCAAAACCCAAGCUUUGCUCGACGCGGUACUCAACCACCACCCACCCUCCUUCCCUCUCCUUUUUCCCCGAGUCCAACAAACGUUUUAAAUGUCCCAAUCAAUUCAUCUCUCUCUCUCUCUCCCUCCAUUACCCCGUCCCACCUCUCAUUUCUCCGCUCCAAAAGUUAAUCAUACUCCACACACCUCCAAAAUAAGAACCAUCCACCUCCUACCCCCUUAAUUCCCCUAUAUUUUUAAAGUUCGUCAAGAACCAUCCACCUCCUACCCCCUUAAUUCCCCUAUAUUUUUAAAGUUCGUCUCUCUCUCUCUCUCUCUCUCUCUCUCUCUCUCUCUCUCACUCUAAUUACUUCUUGCGUUAUAAUACGUUAUGCUUGAGUGAGACUAACUCUUUCUUGGCUCCCAUCUUGCUCUCUCCUUUCUCUUUGUGGACUCUUGUACGUAGUGGUUGUGAGCUCCCCCACCAAACAAGCCAAAUAAUCCCGAUCGAGAAGGCACCCAACUCACUACGUACCUCCUCUUCACUUGGGAAGAAGAAAGAGGGGGAGGGGGAGGGGGAGGGAGAGGAGACGGAUCAAGGUGGAAAUGGGCGGCGAGAGGAAGAAUUCGCUUCUUACUCUCGCCGGGCGGGUGCUGAAUUGUGCGGUGAGCUUUGUCGUGUUCUCCGUACUCGACGUUCUCGAUAUAAUCCUCUGCAUUGUCUACAAGCUCAUCGAUUAUGCCGUUGAGGCCGAGUGGAAGCCGUGCUACUGCUCGGCCUCCAAGGACAUGGUUGCCGGCAGCGGCAGCGGCAGCGGAGGCGGGCCAAAGGUGGUGCGGCUCUGCUCGUCGAAGCUCCAGCUGGAGGACGUCUCCGACACGCUGUACGCGCGUCCUUCAGUCGUCAUGGACGCUGCGAGGAAGGCGGGAACCACCGGCAGCGGCGCAUCAGUUGUCGUGAGCCCGGCACCGGCUGCGCCGACGUUCCGGGUCAGCACUGGUGUUGCGGAGAUGAUCCGAGGGAAGAUCGACCGGCAGCGGCCUACGCGGCCGGUGCCCUGCUGGUCCGACUGCUGCUGUAAGAUCUGCAAUUCGUGGAGCACCGCCGCGACCCCUUCCCAGCUUUACGUUCACGUGGAGGGCCCAAGAGGUAAAUGCUGCAUGCCCGAUCGAGUUAGGAUCCGGCCGGUAAAACGCAAACGGUAGUGUAAAUUUUAAAAACCUUACUUUUACCAACUAUAUAUAUAGUCGAUCGGUUUAGAAAUGAAAAAAAAUGCAUAUUGGUACGUAGUUAAUGAUCAAUGAAUUUGUGAUAUAUAUAUAUAUAUAUAUAUAUAUAUAUAUAUUGAAUCGAGAAAUGUGCACGCACAGUAUUGUCAUGCAUCUUUUUAAGUUUUUAAACACGUACUACUAGUCUGUAUAAUUUAAUAUAUUUAUCAAAAAAGAUUAUUGUUCUCAUUUUUAUCGGGCGAAAUAGCUAGUAGAUAAUAAUUUUUAAAAACAUUUUUAAAAGUGAAAAAUUUUAAUUAUUUUUUAAUUUCAUUUCUUAUUGCGAGAUGUAGUAUUUUGGAUGAAAAAAUCAAGCGUCUUAUCUAAAAGUUUACCAGGAGGUCGAACACGGGCAGCGUGCGUAAUGCAUGUGCUUAAUCCAACUAAACUAAAUGACGUCAAUGUUAUACGUACGUACAUUUUAAUUUGAAGAUUAUGUCGUCAUUAAAAUAUUUAUUUGGUGUUCCGGAGGGAAUAUAUAUAUAUAUAUAUAUAUAUAUAUAUGCUACAGAAAUUUUGCUCAUUAAUUAAUUUGCACAGAUGGUACGCAAUCUCGUAAUAUUAUUAUUUUGCGACUAUUAAUUAAAAUUGCCGAUCGACUGAUGAGUGGGCGUGCAUUAACGAAAUUGAGCAGACGGGGCGGCGGUGCCGGCGACGGAGGACGUGGUGUUCAUCCACGGAUUCAUCUCGUCGUCGACGUUCUGGACGGAGACGGUGUUUCCGGCAUUCAGCGAGCUGACAAAGUCGAGGUACCGCCUCUUCGCGAUCGACCUGCUGGGGUUCGGGCGCAGCCCGAAGCCGACGGACUCGCUGUACACUCUGCGGGAGCACCUGGAGAUGAUCGAGAAGUCGGUGCUGAAGCGGUUCGAGAUCGGGAGAUUCCACCUGGUGGCGCACUCGCUGGGGUCGAUCCUGGCCCUGGCGCUGGCGGUGAAGCACCCGGAGGCGGUGCGGUCGCUGACGCUGGUGGCGCCGCCCUACUUCCCGGUGCCCAAGGGGGAGGAGAGGGCGGCCGGGCAGUAUGUGAUGCGGCAGGUGGCGCCGCGGAGGGUGUGGCCGGCCAUCGCGUUCGGGGCGUCGAUGGCGUGCUGGUACGAGCACGUCAGCAGGACCAUCUGCCUGACCAUCUGCAAGCACCACCGCCUGUGGGAUCUGCUCUUCCGACUGCUCACCCGCAACAGGUAUGUAUGUGUGCUCUCAGCCAAUUACACACACCUAGCUAGCACUUAAUUAGCACUUGCCUUGCCUAAUUCCCUUUCCCUUUCCCUUUCCGUUUCCGUUUCCCUUCCUCUAGCUGUGCGUUGUGUUUGCUCUUUCUUCCGUCUCCAACCGUUUCGGUGGCUCCGCUUUUAUUAUUCUCGCCUCGUAUUUAUUCCUUCCCACGUUAUUGGCUUCUCACCCUCUAUUUUGCGCUCCACGUGCCCGGUCCCACAUAAAUAACAACCUGUUUAAUUCGUCCAACACUAGUGCUGCAGGUACACACAAUAUCGACGGAAGAAAAAUGCUACUAGCUAGCUAGCUAUAUAAGGUUAGAAUCAAAUCAAAUCAAAUCAAAUCAAAUCAAAUCAAAUUCGCAUGGUUGGAUUAAUGUGAUCCCUCUUAUUAAUUAAUAUUUAUUUAUUUUAUUUAUUUAUUUAUCACCUCUUUAAAUAUAAAAAUAUAAUAUAAUUAAAUUCAGCAAUACAACAAUUAACGACGUUUUAAUUAAGAGAGAUAUUGCGGAAAAAUCCAAAGCAUUUUUUCCUUUGUCUCGACGAAUAUUAAUUUAUAUAGAAGAUUCCAAAAUAUUAUUUUUCUAAACUGUUGAUGGGCAAGUUGAGAUGCAUGGUAUAUAAGAUUUUGUUUAAUGUAUACAUGCAAUUUUAAUAUAUAUGCUGUAUAUAUAUAUAUAUAUAUAUAUAUAUAUAUAUAUGAUGUUAGCAGAUAUAUAGCAAUGCGGCAAUAUAUAUAUAUGGUUCCCUUUUCCUGAUUCAAAAGUUAAACGGUGAUAUAUCGAUUGCAUGUCGCUAAUUAAAAACUAGCUAGCUAGCUAGUAUAAUAUAGUUAGUUUAAAUCACCGGCCGAUCGAAUUAGUAAAAUUUUGAAUCAUGUACAUUUUAAGCACCUGUCGACUUUGGCUUUAACAAUCAUCGUAUGAUAUGAUUUUUUGUAGUUAUUGCCAAAUCGAUCAUACUUGUGAGCCGCCCGCUCCGUUUGAAUUAAAUGGUAGACAGCACCAAAUAAUUAAGAAGUUAUUGGAAUUCAUUUGAUAUUUUAUUCUCUCACCCACACAGUAGCAAAUUCGGUUUUCCCCGUGGGGCCACUGAGUAUAUAUAAGGUCUGCUUUAUCUGUUUUGCCUCUGGUUUCAAUGGCAACAAUAAUUACCGUGCUUGAUAAAAAAUAAUUAAAAAUUCUGCUGUAGACAGAAAAUUUUGAGCCUCCAAACAAGAAAUUCCGACUGAUACUUUCGAUUAUAUAUACGCGACACUAACUGAAUGUAAUAGUUAUAUGUAUAUAUUAUUAUAUAUAUAUAUAUAUAUAUAUAUAUAUAUAUAUAUAUAUAUAUAUAUGAAAUAUAAUAGGAAUAAAUCUUUUAAUCAGGUUAUAGCAUUUUAGGUGAUUGUUACGCCCAAAUGGUUAAGAAAAAUUAAACGUGCUAGGGUUAGAAUAAUCAUAGAAUGUGUGACGCCCUAGAAAAUGGGGUAUUACAGUGGGUAUUAGAGCCAAUUACCAGCCGAAAAUAUUAGAUAAAUGUCGGCUGAGCCAAAAUUAUAUAGCGAGCUCAUCGGCAGAUCAUAGUUGUGGGUGGAGCACGACUCCCCACAAGGUCAAACGAGACCCCACAAGGUCAAAUGAGAUGAGUCUCAAAUCGCCUAUUGCUUGUGAAUAUGUUUAAGCCUAUCGAGAACGUCGAUAUAAUAGCACUGAAAUAGUUUUAUAUAUGAGAUAUAAUAAAAUAAGAUCAUUUUACCCGAAUAUAGCAUUUUAGGAGUGGCUAGCUAGGUUAAUUUAAGAGAUUAGGAGAUUUAAGCAUGCUAGGACUAAAUGGGCGACUCAUUGGAAAGUGGGGCAUAAUAGUUGAGGAUUGUGGAUCUAAAGUUUCAAUUUUGUUUGUGUCCAAAAGUUAUAAUUUUUUUCCUUAGAAUUUAUUUUAUUUUAUUUUUUGAGUUUUAAUAUUAAAGAAUAUUUUGGAUGAAGUUAAAAUUAAUAUGUGAUAACAGAUCAAGAACUUUGUAGCAAGAAACAGUUGGAAAGUUCCCUAUUAAAAUUUUAUUAAUUAGUUUUUUAGUUUCCCCCGCCCUUAUUUUGAACGGCAGCUUACGAGCUGUCAGAGCCGCGAAGAAAUCGAUGGCCUGACAUAUAUGGUAGGAGUACGUUACGUUUACUUUGCGUAACGACCUCUGAGGUCCUGCCGUGGGAGUGCGGGACGUCGGGUACGAAAUGCGGGAAACAGCUUCGGGUUUCGUACCACCGCGAUCGAGUAGGAAAACCAAGUCAAAUUUUCCACAUAUAUAUCAGGUAGGUUAAUUUCUAAUUGGGAGACGUUAGAUCGAGGAAAAAUUCUAGAAUGCAACGGGUAUAUUAGUGACGUGGCGUAACAAACCAAUCAAAUUAAUUCUUUUAAAAAUAUAUGUCCCAUCAUGAUUGUAAAAAAGUAUUUUUAUUGUAUUUUUGUUUGAAAAGAAGGAAUGUGAUUGGCUUGUUAUUGAUGACGUGGUGCAAGUGUGACAGUGUAGAAUUCCUCUAGAUCGAGACACGUAAAAAUAAGUAAUAACCGAAAGUAAUGUCAGUGGAAACAUAUAUAUAUAUAUAUAUAUGUAUAUAUAUAUAUAUACACAUAUAUAUAUAUAUACAUAUAUAUAUAUAUAUAUAUAUAUAUAUGAUAUAUAUAUAUAAUAUAGAGUGGGCAUAUAUAUUAUAUAUAGAGUGAAGUGAGGCUACUAUGCUAUCAGAAGUCGGAGCCUUCCGUGCUUCCAGCUAGUUUUUGAUCGUUGCACUUCGAAUUGUCGAUCGGUCUCCGUUAAACUUGAAUUCUAUGAGUAUUUGGGAGUACCUACAAUAAUGCGAUAUGGUGCGUUUGCUUCGUUUAACGGAUAGAAGAGCUUCAAAUCAACUAAAAUUUUUUGUUUAAAAAAUCUUUUUAAACUUUUAAAAUAAAAACGAUCUAGACUCUAGAUCCAAAUAUAAAAAAUUGUAUUAUCACUUUUUUCAAGGAUAGUUAUUUCCAGCCAUUUAUUUUUCUGUUUCACUUGAUGGACAGAGAACAAUAUCUGAAAAUGUGUGUUGAAAUUUGGAUUUCCAGGAUAGUUUAAGUAGUUUUAUGAUCUGUGUUGUAACAGUGCCGAUCAUCAAUUUGGAAGCCCUAUAUCAAAACAAAUCGGUAGCUAACGGCUCGUUUUACUACGAUAGUUAUUCUAGCAAAACCCUAUAUUAUAUAGUAUAUAUAUAUAUAUAGAUGAGAGGAGAGAGAGAGAGAGAUGAGGAGAGGAGACGAUGAGAGAGAGAGAGAGAGAACGAGAGAGAGAGAGAGAGGGAUGGAGGAGGGGAGGGGAAGUUGAGCUGGGAAUACUAUCGGUAGCAAACGCGGCUCCGUGCACCAUUUGUUUUCGAUGAUGGGAGCCUCCAAAUCGACGAUUAGUGCCGUUAAAAAUGCAUCAGUAUUACACUUGAUAUGGUAUUCUGAGAAUCAAAUUUCAUGCUUUUCCGAAUAUUUUCUCUUGUUCACUCAAGUGGGCGGUAUAAUGAGAUGGCUAAAAAUGAAUAUCAUCUACAAAAGUGAUGAUAGGAAUUGUUCUAAUCAAGGAUCGAGGUAGUGAGAUCUUGUUCUAAAUAGUUUAAAGAAUUUUAAAAUAACGAAAAUAUUCAAUUGAUUGGAUAGGUUACACGUAAACGAGAAAACCCUAUAUUUGACCAUUAAAAUUUACAAAUUUUUGAAACCCUUUGAAUCUAUUAGGUCAGAUGGAUGCGUCGGAGAAAGAUUUUGAAAUUAAUUUCGAGAUACUUCAAAGUGGUAUAGAUCAUGAUUCAACCGCCAGGGCUUACCGAUUAUCGAUUUGGAGGAUCUAAUCAGCUGAAAUUUAAAUGGAUGGCACAGGGGAGCCGUUGCUAUCGAUAGAUUCUACCUCAAACUUCUAUAUAUAUAUAUAAAUAUUAUAUAUUAGUCCGGCUAGGGGGGAUACUAUCGGGGAUAGCGCACAAGGAUUUGGUCAUCAAGUUGUUCUGCCGUUUCUUACAUUUACCUUUUUAUCAUUUUAUCCAUUGAUUAUACUAUUCAACGCAACACCCAUCAACAUAGAAGGACCCCAUCCAUCCUAACUAUACAUUUUUUAAUCCAAAAGGACAGCCAAAACUUAAUGUACCAGAUAUGGUACUAUUAAUAGUAUUCCAGCUAGUUAUUAUAUAUAUAUAUAUAUAUAUAUAUAUAUAUAUUAAUAUUAUAUAUAUAUAUAUAUAUAUAUAUAUAUAUAUAUAUAGGCUUGACGCUAGGAAUACUCUCAGAUAGUAAAAUGAUUGCAUAUUUACUAUCGAGUUGUUUUCGAUCAUAGAGCUUCCAAAUUGACGAUCGGCUCCGUUGAACAUGAUCUAUACCACUUGAAGUGUUUAGAAAUCAAAUUUCAAAUCUUUUCGACAUCAUUUGCCUAAUGAUCAAAGCGUUUCAAAAUUUGUAAUUUUAAUGGUGGAUAAGAAACGUUUUCUCGUUUAAUGGUGUAAAGAUAUCCAAAUCAAUUGAAUUUUUGUUAGAAAAUUCUUUAAACUAUUUAAAACAAGAUCUAUACUCUUGAUCUUGAUUACAAGACUCCUAUCAUCAUUUUUUAAAGAAUAUUCAUUUUCAACCAUUCAUUUUCUGUUCACUAGAUGGAUAAAAGAACAAUGUCGAAAGUGCGUGAAAUUUAAUUUCUCGAUAGUUUAAAUGGUUUAGAUCAUAUUUAACGGAGCCGAUCGUCAAUUUGGAAGCUCUAUCAUCGAAAACAACUCGAUAGUAAAACGCUCCGUUUACUAUCGAGAGUAUUCUAGCUCAACUCUAUAUAUAUAUAUAUAUAUAUAUAUAUAUAUAGAUAUAUAUAUAUGCUCACUCAUGAUUAAAUAUUAAAAUAAUCUUUUGAAUAUUUAGACAGUACUGGUUUAUGCCGCUUCGUUAAUUAGGUGCUAGGUGAUCUUUUCUUUUCUUUUCUUAUCUUUUUUUUGAGAAAAAUCUCUUUAUGAAUUACCAAGAUAUAUAAUUGUGCCAAAAUAUUAGUCGAUUUUGUAUUGCACUAAAGUGACGUACAAGGGUUCAAUUACACCAAUCUCCUAAGGCUCUAUUCGAAAGUGGGUUAUUCGGUAUAAAUAUUUUCUUAUGUGAUUGUAAGAAAGAAAUUUAAUUUCUGCUCCUUGAAAGAUUUUAAUAUCUAUGAUUUGGUAGGAUAACGUAUUUCACUUAUGAGAUAUUUAUCUUAUCCGAAAAAAUAAUUUAAAGGCUGAAUAUAAUAUUUAAUUUUAGACAUUUGAUCAUGCUCCUUAUCUACCAAACAUACAAACUUUUUAAAUAAAUUAUGAAGAUAUACUAAAUAAGAUAUUCGUACAUCCAAAUAAUGCCUAACUGUAUGAAUCUCGCCAAUAGUCCUAUUUACUUCUAAGUAAUAUUAGUAGGCAUAGUAGUACUAUGGGCAUGUUUUAUUUCGGGAUAAAGAGCGAGCAAUUAACUAAAGUUAUCCCCUACUAUUCCAUCACACCUUUUAAAGGAAAAAGAAAAAAAACUGAAUAGUUAUUCUGAUUAAACCAUGGUAUUCUAAAUAAUCCAAAAAUAAUCUCAAAAUAAAUUCUCCACAUUUCCAAUGGUAUAGGGCUAUUCUUAAUUAUGAUCGUCUUAGAUUAUUUCGGACAAUUCAAGUAAGAAAAAUGUAUGCCUAUAUCGUAUAUUACAUAUAUAUUUAAGUAUAUUAAUUAUAGAGAUAAUUUAAUGAAUGUUCCGUUACUAUAAUAUCGUUAUACUCUCCUAAAUUUAAUAUUAUUAUAGUGUCCGGCUACUAUGCUAUCGGUAGCACGGAGCGCUUCGUACUAUCAAGUUGUUUUUGAUGAUACGGCUUCCAAAUCGACGGUCGGCUCCGUUAGACUGAUCUACACUAUUGAAAGUAUUUGAAAACUAAAUUUUCGAUUUUUUCGACAUUAUUUGACUAGUGAUCAAAAGAUCUCAAAAUUGACAAUUUUAAUGGUCGAUGUGGUAUGUUUGUGAGUUUAACGGUGUAAAACAAUCCAAAUGCUAUGAAAAUUUUAUAGAAAAUUCUUUCCACUAUUUAGAGUAAGAUCAGUAUAUCUGAUCUUGAAUUUAAAUCUUUUAUCAUCGUUUUUCAUGAGAUUUUUAUUUUUAGCCGUUCAAUUGUAGACUACUUGAUUGAUAGGUAAAUGAUAUCGAAAAAUUAUGAAAUUUAGUUUCUAAAUACUUUCAAUAGUGUAGAUCAAGUCUAACUGAGCCGAUUGUCGAUUUGGAAGCCGCAUCAUCGAAAACAACUUGGUAGCACGGAGCGCCGUGCUACCGAUAGUAUAGCAGCCUAGUUCUAUUAUUAUAUAUUCCUAUUAAAUGGUCAUGAAUAUCAUGAAUAUUUUCCUAAUAGUUAGUCUCUAUCCAAAAAUACCCUUCAUAAUUUUAAAAUGCCAAGUUUACUCUUUAUCCAUUAUUUAUUUAUGCUCCUUAAAUUUUCUAUCUGUUGAUAUUCAAAACGUUUCAAAAUUACUCUCAAAAUUUUUUGCCGAUAAUUUUCACCAUCAUGUAUAAAUCACACCGAUAAUUUAAAUUUGAAUAUAAAAUUUAAAUUUAAAAUUCAAGAUCUAAGUUUAAAUUUUGAAUUUGAAUUUAAAAUUUCAAGUCUAUUGUGAAUAUAAAUUCUAAUUUGAAAUUCAAAUUCAAAAUAUGUUCAUAUUUUGAAUCUGAAUUUCAAACGGAAAGUUUGAAAUUAAAUCUAAAACUAAUUCAAAAUCUAGAUUUGGAAGUAAAAUUAAGGACACAAUCUCUAUUUGAAUUCAAAAUUGAAAUUGAAUUUAAAUUCAAAUCUAGAAUUAUAAUUUAAAUUUAAAAUUUGAAAAAAUUAGGUUUAAAAUUGAAAUUCAAUUCAAAUCUAGAUUUUCACUUUAGAGAAUCUAAGAUUAAAAUUUAAACUAAAGUUUGAAUUAAAAAACUAACUAUAACUUUUGAGACUAUUUAAGGAUAAAAUUUAUAUUUUAAAACUUAAUUAGCAUUAAUUAAAUUAGUCUCAAACUAAGGUUAGGGUAACACUCCAUAGUGUGAGAUAAUGAGGGACGAUUAUAUUGGAAGGUUAUAUGUGAUAUUGUAACACCGUGUGAUGUAAUGUAUACUAUAACAAAUUGUAUUAUAAUAAAAAGAACAAUAAUCUAAUUAUCAUUAUCAUUACUACUGCUACCACACACCACCACCAUUGUAUUAUUAUUACAUGAUUCUACAAAAAAAAAAUAGCAUUUAUGUUGUAAGAUAUAAUGAUAUGUUACAAUUUAUCUUCAACUGUUUACUAACUACAUAUAUAUUUUUCUAUUAGCCCCCACUAUCCUGGAGGUAAAUACUAAAUACAAUUUAAUUAUACGUAGGAAUAAAUAAAAUUGAAAUACACAUAAUUUUACACGUAUUUCUAUCUAUUAUCGUAGAAUAAUUAAGUUUCUCAAAUAACAAUAUUUCUUAGGAAAUUGUCUUAAAACCAAACAUAGUCUAUAGGAAUAAUGUGAACUGUGAAUAAGAAUCUUAAGGAUCUAUAUAUGGAACCAUUCUUACACAUAUAUUCCUCAAAAUUUAAUAUUAAUUUUAUUGCUAAACUGCUAUUUUUGUAAGUUAAUUACUACUAGAUCUACAAUCCAAACUGGAUUGCAAUAGUACAGUACCCUUAUUUAAAGAUCAAAUUAAUUUUCUCUACUAACCCUAGCCCCUGUGUGGAUCAUUGUUCUCUUCAUUGGGAUUUUAGACAGUGAAAAUGAAUUUCCUUUCUUUCGCAAUUCGCAUCGCAUAGAAAUUAAGCAGUAGGAAACUCAUUUUACACUGAUUAAUUAGCCUCGCGGCCCGUGAAAUUUCUCUAUAUAUGGGUUUACGUAGUGGAGUUUUUUUUUUUUUUUUUUUUUUUUUUUGAGAGAUAGGUACGUAGCACGCUACCCGCUUCGUUUAUUUCAUUUAGAAAUAAACUUAGCUAGAAAUGUGAAUCAACUAGAAUUCGAAGUUGGGUCUCGGAUACCAACCACUAAACUCUUUGCCACUUGCUCUAUAUAUGGGUUUACGUAGUGGAGUUAAUUUGAUGAACUAUUUAUUAAUGUGCUGUACAUGGUACAAAAUUAGUUGCAAUCAAUUCUGGUACCAUAUACAACAAAUUAAAAGUUACCUACCUCUUUUAACGAUUGUUGACAAGUUACUUAAUUAGCGUCUUCGAGUCCAGUGAGGAACUUAAAACUAAUUAUAAGAAUGAGUAAACUUUAAGGAAACUAAUUUUUCAUCGUUUACUUGUUUGUAUAACCUAUAUAUAUACAUAGAAUUGCCCAAACUAUAGAAUAACUAAUUAAUUGCUUAGAAGCUAGCUAGCUAUAUGUUGACGAUCUCUUCACCUAACCGAAUAGUAGUGUAGACCCAAAAUAUGUGAUUAAUUUUACGUACAUAAGCAAACUGAAGAGUGUGGGCAUGAAAGAAGACCGGAAGAAACUAAAUAUUACUACGCAAGGUGAUCGAUCGGGGAGAGCUAUAGCUAGCUAGGUGUGAAACUGCAGGGUGGGUUUAUCAUGAAUUUGCAAUUAAUUAAAUCUUGAGCAAUGCUCAUAUAUAUUCUAAGCACACGUACAAGAAAAAAAAAAAGAAAAGGAGAAGAAAUAAAAAAAAAAAAGAGCAAACGUACGGUAGGAGUAAAAUCUUAAAUCUUACUUAUUUAAGGGCCGGGUCAAUAUUUUUUCACUAGUUUUAUUAUCAUUUUUUAAAUAUUAUAAAUUUAAAAUGCGUGUCCUAGUUAAUUUUUAUGUGGACGAGCGCAUAAACUUAAUGGUGCUCUCCUUCCUUUGGGAUGUACGUAUAAUAUUUCUCUUAAAUUUUAGACCUCUAGCUUUGUAGCUAGCAGGCUGUUGAAAAAAAAAAAAAGAAAAAAAAAAAGAGGUUAGAGAAAAACCCCACCCACAGCUAGCCCACAUAGGUAGAUAAAUUAAAACAGAAACAAUGGUAAUUAAUGAGGGAGGUGAAAAGCAAGGGACUUGCUAAAAAAUUGGCCCAACAUAUGGUAAUGAGUAGUAUUAUUAAUUAGUACAUCCACUUCUACGGAGCCCGUUAAAUUGAGCAAGUACGGCUGAAUUCUGACGCUCAAGGUGAAAAUGGUUGUACAUUUAUCUAUUAAUAUUAACGCAUCUCUCACCGUCAAAACCUUUUCUGUCAAUAAUACAAUAGAUAUAGUUAGUUCCUGUUUUAUACAUAUAUAUAUAUAUAUGGAUCAGUACCUAAUCUAUAGGCUUAUACUAAUUUUAGGGUAUGUUCCGUUCGCCCUUCUUUCAUUCUGGAAUCGGAACGAACAAAUUCGUUUGUCCGUGUUUAGUAUGCGAAAUUUUCAUUCCGAUUUUGAUUUUCGGAUGAAUGAAAAUCUCCCAAAUUACCCUUUUUUUAAUCCGGUCUAGAAGGCCGGAUUGAAAAUUGAAUCGUGGCGGAAUGAAUUUGUUAGGAUUAAAUUUACCCUUUUUAAACUUAUUUUUUUAAUUAAAACAUACAUAAUUUUAAGUUUAAAAUUUAUAUUUACAAAUUUUAAUUUUAACUUAAAUUAAAAAUUAAAAUUCAAUCAACCAUUUCGAAUUUAAUUUAUAAAAUUUAAUUUGAAUCCUAAAGUUUUAUUCAAUUUUUAUUCAAAAUUUAAAUUAAAUUCAUGGAUUCAAAUUGAAAUUUAAAUUAUAAUGUUAAGUUUGAAUUUGAAUAUUUCAAAAUUUAGUUUUAUAUUUUGAAUUCUCCGUUCAGUUUUCAAUUUUAAUUUUUUAAAAAAAAUAUAUUUAAAAUUUUGACAUCAUUUUAAAAUUUUUACAUAAAAUUUUAAUACUUAAUUUUCAGUUUGAAUUUACACUGAUAUAUUAUAAAAAUAAAAUUGAUAUAUUAAUUUAAUUAUGUUUCUGAUAUCUAUCCGAAUCAAGCACCAGCAAUGAUUUAUUCCGAUUCCGAUUCAGACGGCGAUCCAAACAGAAUGAGAUAGUGACUCAUUCCGAUUCCGUCUCCAGCUUAUUUUCCCUCCGACUUCGAUACCGAUUCCGACUUCGAACCAAAUACACCCUUAGAGAAAGAAGUCUAUGUACCGGAGUCAAAUUCACAACUACUGCAGUGGAAAGAUUAGAUUGCCGGCACUAUAGUAAUAUUAAAUAAAAAUAGUAGAUUAAUGGUAUUUUUGUAAUAGUAAAUAAAAAUAGCAGAUAAUAGCUAGGAGUAAACAAAAAAUAUUGUUGUUGUUAAUAAGGGAGGCAAAAGACAACCCAAGUUAAUUAGUUGGCCCAUGCACCAAUCCGAAAGAUAAUCAGAUCUAGACAAACAUGCAUUUUGUCUGAAAAAUUGGGUUCUCAUAAUUCACUUUGUACUGAUUAAAAUUCUCUGUUUGGAUUCGGAUAUAAAAAUUCAGACAAACUGGGCCAAUGGUCCGAGUUUGGACUAACAGCUUAAAUAAUAAACUACCUUGAAUUAUAUUAAACUACUGCUUAGUUAUUUCAAGAGAUAUAUGAAUUAAGUAUCUCUAAGAUUAUAAUAUUAAUUAAAUCUAGCUACUACAAUCCUUAAUUUGUAUUUUUUUUUUCUUUUGCAUGUGAAAUGAUUUUAAUCAAAUAAAAAUCGUUAAAAAAAUUAAAUUAAAUUUUUUCCUAAUUCAAUUUGAGAAUUAUCUAAUAAAAGAUAUAAAUAUCGAUCGAGUUGCUGAUCUUUAUGGCGUUGUUUGACUUUAUUUAGAUUUGAAACUAUUUGACUUCAUUGUGGUAUAAGUAAAUAUGAGAAUUUGUGGUUUAUUAAUUUCUAAUUUUAAAAAAAAAAUUGUCAAAAUGGGCGCAAAAUUAGAAAAAAAAAAAUUACAAUAUAAUUUUAUUUGAUUUUUUUUUCAAAAAAUCAAUUUAUAAUAAUUUCAAUUCUAAUGAAAUAAAAUAAAUAUAUAAACUUUAAAUCAAAAUUAUAAAAGCAUUUAAAGUACGUACAAAAGUAUUUUUAAAAUGCAAAAUAUCGGGUUAUUAUUGAAAAAAAAAAAGAAGUGACAGAACUAUAAAAUAAUUCACUCUUCUAUAUACAGUAUAGAUAUUAUUAUUAUUAUUAUUAUUAUUAUAGAUACUAAUAAUAAUAGGUAUCGAUGGAUGGAUGGAUGGAUAGAUGGAUGGAUAUACGUACGUGGCAUGCAUAUAUACAAGUGGGUCCAGAUCCGGUUUUAAACUGGGUCUGAUCAUUAAUUUGAAUAUAUAUAUAUAUAUAUAUAUAGUGUAUAUAGUGUAUGCGCUAGCUAGCUGUGUGAAAAUUUUUUAUUAUCCCUAGCUAGCUAGUAAUUAUCGGACCCCGGCCGGCUUGAUGGGUACGUGGGUCGGUAGGUGAAUUUUUAUUCUUGCACACAAAUUAAUUUUAAGUGUUGAGGUGCCGCGCGGCCAUUAAUUAGCGACGAAUCAUUAAUCCACGAGUGUCGUAAUCAAUGAACAGCAUGCAUGUAGCUAGCUAGGCACGAGCAUAAUUAAUUUGGAGGGUGGAGAUAGUUAUGUAUGCUGCCUACCUGGAUGUGAUGAAUUUGAUUUAUGACAGCUAAGUUCGUUAGGACGGUGGUGGAUCCGCUCGCGAGUAAUUGCACGCGAAUUAACACCUCCCACGACCCAUUUUUUCACCGAAUCGGCCGUUUCGAUCGCGUGCGUCCAUCGAAAACCUAAUUUCUUUCUGAUUCUAUUAAUUGUUCAUAUAUAAGAGACAUCUAUCUUUAUACAAGGGAGAGAUCGGAUAAUUAAUUCGGUACAUGGUAUAUAUAUACAUGGAGACAUCUCUAUAUAGUAUACAAUUAUUAUACGACGAAAUUUCUUUUCUCCGAUCGAUAAUAGUGAAGAUGUAAAUGAAAAUAUUUAUUUAUAUAUGUUGACGCUCCCGCAAACUCAAGACGGGUCAAGCACCACAAGAGUUUGGGCAAAAAGUACUAAUUUCUUUGAAUAGUGUAAGAUUUGGACAAAUGUACUGAGAUUUGGUGAAAAAAUCGGUAAGCUGUUGAACGGACGAAGCAAAUGGUAAUGCUAUCGUGCCAUUAGUAUAAUAACGGCGAAUGAAAUUGCGACUCAUUUUGAUAUGGUUGGUGGGUUCGUGAAAGACAUGUUAUCCGCAAUUUUAAUCGCACUUUGAUUAUCACAAUAUGGUUGUGUUGGAGCAGAGUAGAGGGCACCGAGGUCAUCAAAGAACUAUCCAAGCCAUAUAAUUUCAGAGGUUGCAGAGGGUGCCAGGUGCAAGGAGAACUAAUGACCAGAUACUAGCACGAUGAAGGGCAACAAGUUCCGUAGUCAUCGCAUCCCGCCAUUCAAUAAUGGAAGCGGUAUACGAUACAUUUGUGGUUCCCAGAUAUCAGAAAUAGCUGCAAGAAAUUAAUGUAUGAUAAUACAAAAAAAUGCAGGUAGAGUCAAUAGAACCGACAAAUUAUUUUGGACGACGAGUUCUCGAUACACAAUGGUGGUCGGAUCAUCCGAUGAGGCGAUACUUGUUGGGUCCUCAUGUGGUCCUCAUGUGGUGGUGCUUGUACAACAAGAAAAUCUAUAGAGAAUAGAGCCGGUAAAGGUGAGAAGAAGUAGCAGUUGAGGAAUCAGUUGGUUAGGAUUCUUCGGGAGAAGAAAUAGUGGCUGAUGAAAUGUUGAAGCGAAAAAAGAUCAACUAUAAGCAUUGAAAUGGAAAUGACGUCAGCACUCAAACUAGAUUGAACAUAAUUGGGUAAAUGUUCGAGAAAAGAAUGAUAUCUUGAGAAAUAUGCAUGUGACGAGCAAUAGGAUCAUAACAUCGUUGUGUUCAAGAUAUAGCCUAAGAAAACACGAAUAUAUAAUUUCAGGGAGAGUUUGGUCAUUCAUGUCAGGGUGGGAGAACAAAACAAGUGUACACACACACACGCGUGCGCACACACACACACACCCCGGGGGAUAUGGCAGAUAAGAGACUACAAGGCAUGAUAUAAACUAGACACAUAUGUAGAGAAAGCAUCAACCCAAAAAUGUUAAGGCGUAGACCCAUCUAUAAGAUGAGAGUAAGCAGUUUUAAAGAUGUCUCAUAUCAGUGCUUACGCUCAGCAAUGUCAUUUUGUUGAUGCACAUACAUGAAAGUUGUGGCAAAGUAUCAUGUUUAGCAAGGAGUAGAGGAAACUCAUUCGAAAAUACUCAUGCAUGCUGAUCUCUCCAUUUUUUUUUUGGUUAACGUCGAACCAAGUGGGCCCAAAGAUAACAAUAACAACAUCGAAUGCUCCACUUGUCUUGUCUAGCACUAUAACUUCUAAAAGAAUUGGAAGGUAUAGAUGAGAAGAAGUAGACACUAAUGCAGGUAGAGAAGUUGUAGGAUCACGAGCAGCGAGGACAAUAAGCAUCGCAGAAAUAGAGGAACUUAGAACUUGAAGGCAUGUCUCUGCAGCAAUUAGUUUCGCCAGAGCUGCAUCAAUGGUGAGGAAUGGAGUUCGAUGGAGAAGUUGACCACGCAAGGCUUCAAACUUAGGUAGCAAGUGCAUAAGGAACUAGAAUAAACAUUGUUGAUUGUGCACUUGCUUUUGCUUGAAAGCACACUGACAAGCUGAGCAAGUGCGGCAUAAGGGUAUCCAUAGUUGCUAUUUGAUGCCAAAGUGCCUGCAUAAAGUCAUAGAAAAUCGAAAUUAUGCGCUCCUCUUGAUGAGCUGUGGAGAUUGUGUCAUGCCUUGAGUCCGACCAAUUGGACCCGCUUGGACAUGUACAAUAGAUCCACUGGACAAGACAAGUUUUCCCCUACCCAUACGAAGCAGAAACAUACAGCAACCUGUACAAUGCCAUAUAUGAAAUAGUUAUAAUAGAGCAUUAGCGUAAUAUUUCUAAAUUAAAACCACUGCAAACGUACUCAUUUAAAGUUUACCAAACUUAAUACAUUCCAAAAUAUUACAAUUUUAUUGUUCAUAUAAAAAGGUACAAUCUAAACCACGUACUCACAUGGUCUAACUACUCCACAACGCCCUUACUAUGGUCCCGCACCUCAAAGAUAAUAAUAGGAUCUGAAAAUAGGUAAACAACAAUGGAAUAAGAACUUGGAAUGAGUUCUGAAUAGGUGCAACCACUGAAAGUGGUAUUCUAUACUCACCAAGUUCCAAACGGGCGUUAGUAAUAAGUAAUAAUAAACAACAUCUAUUACCACAAUAGAAAAGUAAAUAAGUAAGAUAUAUCUAUAAUGCCUCUCUAUAUAUAUAAUAUGCAAAAAUGGUUUGCUAUGUUAUUUACUACACAUUCACCUCAUUUUAUUUUCUUAAUUUUAACAAACUUGUUCAUUUGGUUUACUUUUCAAUCUCAGUACACACCUUAUGGAGAGUCAAGGAUGAUCGAACUUCUCUCCAAUCGGUAGGCACUUGGGAUUGAAGGAGAUCAGAUUUUCUCUAGUAUGGCAUCGGGAGUUGAGAGGAUUAGACUUCUCCCUUUAUGACACUUCCGAAAAUCGCAACAUGUUUCAUUGUUACACCUUAAGUUCGUGACUUCUAGGGUUGUCAUAAGGUUUAUUUCCAUAUUGUUUUAUUUUCUAGUUCUAGUUUUGCCUAGAGAUACCACUAUAUUCACAUCUUAGGUUUCAAAAUAGGUUAAACGCCACACUUGUUUUCAACAUUUUAUGGUUCACAUAAUACUCACAUGUACAUCUCAAGUAUUUUCUUGUAGUAUAAUAAAGGGAUAAAAUCCUAUUUUCCUAGGCCAAAUGGCAAUAUACAAUUUUGACUCUCUAGAUCCCCUAGCAUGCAACUAAAAUAUAUUUCAGCUUAUAUAAAACUCAUAAAAUAUGCAUGCAACAAAAAAAUAAUUUAGACAAAGAGGAAACUAAAUCUAUUUUGAUUAUAUUCUUUACCUUUUCUUAGAUCUUCUCUAAGAGAUGCUCUUGAUCUUUUUAGAAUACCAAGAAAAUCUUAAAAAUUAAUUCUAACCAAGUUAGAAUCUAAAAAUUCUAUGUUUAGGAAAAUUCCCAAAAUAAACCAGAAGAUUCCAACUUACCUCUUCUCUUCCUGGUAUAAGAAAUGCGGGUGAAAUGGACUUCUUCUCCCUCCAAGAGCGUUCUCUUGAUGAAUUUGACCUUCUCCAAGCUUUCAAGGAAAUAGAUCUUUAAGUUUCAACAAUAGAGAUUUUAGGGCUCUUUUACUGUAAAGAAAGAGAGAAGAGGAUAGUGAGAGAGGAAGAAAUAUAAGAGAAAUUAGGGCUAACUAAUUAAAAGGAUACUCAUAGACGUGCUAUAAUAGCACAUAAACCCGCCGACAAUCCAAAUUUAUAAAGCCAUAAACCUCGACCUUUUAACUAGGAUUCGGGCACCCACUUGUCCGGACUUUCAGGUGCCGGUCCAAACUUUUAGGAGCCCAAAAGCCUCGUAGCUCCCUUUGGUCAAUUGUCUAGAUGCCCGGCCAAUCCGCCCUAUCCAUAAUACGGGUGCCCAAAAUGGACAUCAGGUGUCCAAUUAUUUAAUCCAUCACACAUGCGCUCUCAGGUUGAACAUCCAAAAGACAUUCGGAUGCCCGCGAGGGACUGCUUGAAAGAUUUUUCGAGCGCCAGAUUUUGGUCAACCGAAUAUUCAAUCCUUCACCUCCCAAGUUCUCGGGUUGGGAGUCCGAAAGAGGGUCUGGAUCCUCUUAAGUAGGAUUUGAAAGGUUAAUUUGCAGGCACCUAUGGGGCCAUUCGGGCACUCUAAAGUCAUCCUUCAAGUGAGUCCCACUGUCCGAAAUGGUUUCGGGUGCUUGGGAUCCUGUUUCGAGCGCUUGGGAUCCUAUUUCGGGCAUCCGAGAAGUUUGAUACUUCAGUUUUCACUUCUUUGAAAAUCAAUUUCAAUAUAAAUUAGUUUAUAUUCGGUCCAAAUUCAAACUACACUCCUUCAAACCCAUUUUAAUUGUGUCUAGCAUGACUUAAUCCGUACUUUGUUAAUUUAGCCAAAAUUCAGUAUGUUACAGAUUUUCUAUACUUAGAAAAUAACCAUAACUAUACUAUCUAUAUAUUUGUCUCUAUAUAUCGAUCAAAGAUAGACCACAUCUGGUAAAUGGUGGAUAGGCUGAUUAAUUGCAUACAAAUGUCGAUAUCCACUUGUAUAAAUAAGCCCAUGUGCCCGUCAAUCAGCAGCAAAUCAGGCUUUAGUUUUGUUUCAUCAACUGUUAGAUUGGUACCAUCAAUAUGACUGGUAAGAUCAAGAGUAUUCAAAUAAUAAUUGAAUACACAUCGACCAUUCAUAAUAGUUGGGCACGAUGAGCUUAAUAUCAAUUUGCACAAUAGUAGGUUAGAGGUGAGAGAACUAUUUUUCUUUACAGGUCUAAGCUAUUAGAGAAUGAUCCUUUAACUAUUAUGUGCUCAAAACAUUUUGGCAUCUAAUGGCAGAUUUUGGCUAAAAGCCAAAUAUGCAAAUUGCUAAAACUAAAUUAAAGAUUAGUAUCAAAAGAUUUUGGCAGAAAAUUAGUCUCAAAAGAUUCGGAGUCAAGACCUUAUGCUUUGAUAUCAUUUAGGACAUUGUUUUCACUUCCAUAUAUACUCAAUAGGGAUUAUCUUAAAUUCUGUUGAAUUCGCAGGUCCAUUCCAAUUUAUGAUGUGAUCCAAAAUUUUAGCAGUAAAAUUAAAAAUUUCACUACUAGAAAAUUAGUCAUUAGUGACAUUUAUUUACGCUGCUAAAAGAUCAACGAAUGCCACUAAAAAUUUUAGCAGCAUAUGACACUAACUGUUGCAUAUGCCAAUGUUGCUAAAAGUAUUAGCAGUAUUUAUAAUGAAUGCUGCCAAUGUAAAUCAAUUAGUGUUAUUAGGAACAUGCCUCUAAUAUAAAUCAAUUAGUGUCAUUCGGAACAUGCCGCUAAAAGGGAUUAAAUGCUAAUUUUAACUUAUUUAUUAGUGGGACAUAAAUUAAUAUAACGCCACAAAUACAAAUAUCUGAUUUUAGGGACUCAAGUUUUAAAAUUUUAAUUUUACCCGCUUCAGCUGGAAAUGUGAAUCAACUAGGAUUCAAACUUGAGACCUCAGUUACCAACCAUCAAGCACUUUGUCACUUACGCUAGGAACUCUCAGUUAUAUAUAUUUAAUUUUUUUUAAAUUUUAAGCCUUCAAUUUUAAAAUUUUAAAAUUUUAAAUUCUAAAUUCUAAAUUUAGAUACUAAAUUUAAAUUUUUAAUUUUCAAAUAUUAAAUUUUAAGUUUCAAAAUUUACAAUUUUAAAUGUGAAAUUUUAAAUUUAAAAAAAAUGUAUAAAUUUAAAAAUUAAAAAUUAAAAAUUUAAAUUUUAGAAUUUAAAAUAGAAAAUAUAAAAUCUUAAAAUUCAAAUGUUAAAUUAUAAGUUUAAUUUUAAAAAUUAUAAGUUUCAAAUAUUUAAACUUUAAUUUCAAAACUUUUAAUUCUAAGUAAAAAUAGGAUAUAUUAAUAAUUAUAUAUUGAUUAGUAACGAUAUUUAGUAAUAAGUACUGCUACUUUAUUACAUUUAGUGGCGUUCAUUAAUUUACGCUGCUAAUUUAUCCUAUUUUGUAACAUUAAUAAUAAAUUACUGCUAAAUUAUUAAAUCUAGCGGCAAUUAUUAAAUAAUGCUGUUAAAUAUAUUAAUUAGCUUAAUUUAAAUAAAUAUUGUGAAGUAAGUGUUGCAGCAUUUAGCAAUAAGUGCUGCUAUUUUGUUACAUUUAGUGUUAUUUUUUAUAAAAUGUUGGAAACUUCAGCGGCAUUCACUAAUUUAUCAAGUACGAAUAAUUGUAAAUUGCUACUAAUUGUAACUUCAGCGGCAUUCAAUAAGUGCUGGUAAUUUAUCCUAUUUGUAACAUUAAUUGUAAAUUGCUGCUAAAUUAUUAAAUCUAGCGGCAAUUAUCAAGUAAUACUGUUAAAUAUAUUAAUUAGCAUGAUUUAAAUAAAUGUUGUGGAGUAAAUGUCACUAAAUCAUGAAUUUGUUAUAGAAUUUUAUGAAACUCCAUGGUAGUAGCACUAGAAGCCCACUACUUGCUUUGUGAGUGCAAGGGCAGCGCUCCUGCAAAUUGGAAUAGUUAAGUCGGGGCCAAAGUUUUUCUAACCCCUAAACUUUUGAUCUACCAAUUUAGUUAAACUUAGACUAGUAUCGUUAAUUCUUUAGAGAUUUAACCGCUUACAUAUGUUGAUAGACCUUACUCCGUGGAUUUGUGGUAUCAUAGAGAGCAUGACAUCUAUUUUGCAGGUUAGGAUAUUUUGAGAGACGUAUGUUUUGUACUCAGCUUUCGAUUAUAAAAAGUUUUGCUUCAUCUUUGUUCAUGGAUUCAGGUCAGUGGUCAAACAAGAUUAUUUUCUUGUGAUUUUUUUUUCUUCUCUAUUUUUUGAUUCUCCGUUUUCUUUUAUCUGAUUUUUAGUCUUUGUUGUUACGAGAUACUUACCUCCCAAAUGUCUCACCUUGAAGCUGUGAAUGCCACUAUAUAGUUAGUACAUAUAGACGAAUAUAUAAGCAACGAGUUGAUUUAGGUAAAUAAUUAUUUAGCCACCACUCCAUCCUUCUUCUUUUCACUUAAUUGGAAUUGCCUUUUAUACUCAAAUUUUGGCAUGUUACAUACUAAAUGUUGAAAACUGAUGUGGAUAAAAUUAAAUUGUCUUAGAACUUCGAAGUAGAAAUUUUUCUUCACAGUGUGGGCCAUUAUUUCAUAAAUUGGAAGAUAAAUUAUGUUUGGCAGUAUGUUUAGGAUAUGAAAUCAAGUCUGCAGGAAAACUUAAUUUAUGUAUGCUUCUAACGGAUGAUUCCAAACUUAAUUUAUGUAUGCUUCUAACGGAUGAUUCCUUACGUGAUGCAGGAUGAGGACUUUCCUAAUUGAGGGUUUCAUGUGCCACACUCAUAAUGCUGCAUGGCACACUCUACACAACAUUAUUUGUGGGAGUGCUAACAAGAUGGAGAAUUAUCUAGACAUUGUCAAGAAUCAGCUAAAGUGCAAUGUAACUAUAUUUCACGGCCGAAAAGAUGAGCUCCUCCCUGUUGAUUGUAGCUAUGCUGUCGGGUCGAAGAUCCCUAGGGCUCGUGUUAAGAUCUAUGAUGAGAAGGACCAUAUCACGGUUGUCGUUGGCCAAGAAAGGGUUUUCGCAAGAGAGCUUGAAGAGAUAUGGAAAAAUGCUAUGCAUUAAAUAAGGAGGAGGAAGAAAGAAUUUAAACCUAAAUGAAAUAACUUCCCUCUCAAUGCACAGCUCAAAGAAAUGUGAUGCAAACAAGUGAUGCAUGUUUGAGCAAAUAUAUAUAUAUCUUUUGUUUCUCUCUUUCGUUCUUUUUUAAAAAAAUUUCUUUCUAAAGUACUUAUGUUUUACCACUAUAUGUGGUUCUAUAUGGUACCCCUUAUUCAAGUGUGAAAUAUGUAAGAUAGAAAUAUUAUGGGGAAAGAUAUAGAUUUCUCUACUUUUCAUAUAUUCUUCUUAUGAACUAUGUAGUAUUGUUAGUUAAUAACUUCAUUAUUAAAUCAUCAAUCUUACUACAUCGAGAGGGCAACAAAUUAUAUAUCACUCCCCGAGGCUGUUUUGUAAAAUAUUUUCUUUGAAAACGAGUGAAAAACAUGCUUUUUCUGAACUAAAAAACUGCCCUGAACAAGCACUGAUUCGCCAUACGAACAAAAUCUUCCCUAUCCAAAUGGAUAGAGUUUUUUCUGUACGCAUGACAUAUAUAGAGACAUAAAGUACAACAUCCAACCAUCAAACACAAUAGUAGCAACAACAACGACAAUAGAGAGAUAACAACAUACUAAUAAAUGAUCGACUAUUAUGAUGAAUAAAUGACUACUGCAGCCUCCAAUCUUCACAUACAACAAGUCACCUCCUACAACCAAAAUCAAAUAACAAUAUAUACAGGCCAGAAGCAAGAAUUAAUAAUACUGAAAAGUGAAGAAAUACAGAUACUAAAACCGACUACAAGGAAGCCACCCAAACUACUAAGAAGAACAAAUCUACAAAUGCUAAAUAUACAAUAACUAAAUAAUUAGGAGUUUGAAACAAAAGGUAUAAUUACAACUCAAAGUUACUGCCAGAGGGACUCAUCUAUCUAAUAGUACCUCAUGCACAGGCGGAUAUGUCACCUCUAGUGUCACCUGUGGAAACUAGGGAAUGAAAAACAUGUACACAUAUUUUUCAGUGCGUACUGCAAGCCGUCGAAGGCAAGCUGUACUCACUAGUAAAUAAGAGAGAGAGAGCGAUAAGGUAAAUACGAUAGGUAUAAACAGGUAUAAUUGAUAUAGUAAAAGUAAAACAAGAAAGAAAUCAUGCGACUAAAUAUUUGAAAUAAUAGCACUAUUGUAAAAAGAUAAGCAGAUGUAUAUAUGCAUCAAGCAAAUGAAUACUUCAAUACUCAGUCCCAAUCCAAACAAAUAUUGUCAUGUUGGUCUAAAGACCUUAGGCAAUGCCACACCUAUGCUUAGUCACUAGGCAUAUAAUCCUUCACGCCCUAGGGUUCGGCUCAUGUCACGCCCCGGGGUCCCUUUUCAGUUUAAAACAAAGCGGAAAAGCGUCUGAAAUUUUUUUUUUUUUUGAAAACCUGACCCCAGAGUAUGCCAGAUCCGCCACAAAUACAGGGAAUCCACUGUUCACACGGACAGAGUCUCCCCUGUAUUUGCACGGCGUCGCACAAGUACAAGAAGUCACCCAAGCACAACCACAACAAAUGAACAUACAAAUAACCAACCGUUAUAUAUAUUCAUACGCCAUUCACCACAGAUUCACAUGUAUGCAUAAAUCCACACCUAUCAGUUAAAAUAUUUCCAACCACAGAAACAGGUUUUGAAAUACUAAGAUGCAAAAUCCACAGAAAGCUUUUUGAAAACUGUUUCCUACACGGAAACCUUUAUUCUUUAAAAAUGCUACCACGAGGGGUAGAAAAUAUUUUACUUUACAAAAUCCAGAAAUCCGUUUAUUACAUUCACGAAAAUCCAUAUUUUCAAAUGUAAUAAAAAAUACUGAACCAUAUAACUAUCUAAGCUAUAACAACUGAAAUAAUAAGGGUAAUAACUAUACCGAAAUAACCUGGGUCGGAAGCUCUAUCGACCGCUACACACGUACCUCACGUCUCGUCCCACUACUCAUCGCCCGCGAUACCUGAAAAAUGGUGGGGGAGGUGAGAACAUGUAAACAUGUCUCCCCUCCCAGUGGGUACCGCAAGCCGAAGAAGGCGAGGAGUACUCACCGGAUCAGGAAGAACUAUACAACAACAUGGGUCAGUGGAAAUAAACAAGGUAAUGAGCAGAUAUACAAUAGCGAUAAACUGAAAGGAAGUAAGAACUAUACUGAAUAAACGGCUACCGCUACUGUAACUGGAACAGAAAGCAUACAUGAAUAUCUACUAUAGUAGCAAGACAACUAUAAAGUAAGAUCUGUAAGUAUGCAUGCAACGACUGCUACUAUAAACAUAUGCGUCAAUGGGACAAUCAGUCCAAAAGUACCCAAUCUGAAACCAAUGCUCUCUUGGUCAGCACCGCAGACCUCAAGCCAAUGCCCUGGAGGUCCGCACCGCAACACCUCCCGACAGUACCACUGCCGCUCUAACAUGCAUAUAACCCCUCUAGGGCUCACGGGUUGUCACCAUUCAACCACUUUUCCGGAAAAGAACACUCCUUGCGGUGGAUCAGACCGCCAGUGUUCGUGAAAUGCGACGAGUAUCGGGCGAUCAAUGCAAUAUGGUCAAUGAUCAACCGUCGGCAACCAGCCGACAAUCCUGCCCCCCAGGGCCUAUCGACCGCAUAGGUCAUCAACUGUAAAGAAGCACAAGAACCGACCACUCAGGUCAACUAGGAUGGGACAACAUCGACAUCCUCUCAAACAUAUGCAAAUACUGACUAAUCAAGUCAACUGGGAUGGAACAACUCAACAUCCUACCCACAGUAUGUAGAUACUGAUCAAUGAGUCAACUACUGUAUAUAUGCAAGAAUCGGUCAACAAGUCAUCUGAGUAUAUGAUCUAGAACUACCGUCGGCCACUAGUCGACAAUCCUACCCCUCAGGGUACACCGACCUCAAAGGUCAUCAAACAACAAGAGUCAAGGAACAAACCGACUAUAUACAGAUAUAAGAUACAAGAACGAAUCAACUAGGUCACCGAUUUCACAUAAAAUCACGAAACCGCUCUACUCUAAACAUGAUACAGGAUAUGCAGAAUAGCUAAGUAGAGCAACAAAGAAAUAUGGUAUAACUACUCUACUCCUACUCAUGAUAUAAAGAGAACAACCGAGUAGAGUGUAACUGAACAACAUGGUGCUAGGCUCAACACUAUAUAUCAAGAUAUAUAUAUGCUAGAUAAUAACGAAAGAGCAAAGGUAAGAAACCAUCACCGAGCGUGCACCACUGUACCGACGUCGGAUCGAAGUACCCACCUGUACAACUGUCGCGCCUGUCUCCUGACUGCAAAAGAACGUCAACAGGACCUAUGGAGGGUCCACUGGGUUAGUGUCUAACCCACAACUAAGAAAUACUACAUCGUAAUCCCGCUAACAAACCCACGGAGAUCAGUUUCCCAAAACCGACUACCGUAACUCGCCGGAAGUCCCAAAAAUCGCACCGGGACUCCGUCGGGACCCACGAACUGUCCCGAAAUGUUCCAACUCAGGAUACGAGUCACCCGCUGACACAAAACACACCAAUUUGGAUGUCUUGGCAGAAAACACAAGUUAACACAACUACACAAUUAUCGCCGGAUAAUUGUACGAACUCGGGUUCCCGAAAGUGUCAAAUUCGACACCGGAACCCACCGUCGCUCACUCGUCAUUUCUGAACUCUCGAAAUGACGCAAGUGGCCAGAAAACAAGGCUCGGCGACUACACAAUAGCUCACGAAGCACCGUCGGAAUAAUUCCGAACCGAACCCGCGUUCUAUCGGCGGAUUUCGCCGAAAAACGCAUCGAAAAUCACUUUUCGAUUUUCGCAAGGGCUUGGGGCCUUGGACGAUCAGUCCAGAGGUUAUCCUUAGCCCAAACGUGCUGCCAACAGCAUCUACAUCGAAGCAAAAGUCCUAAAAGCCCAUACCGAUACAUGAAAUCGCAUCAUUUCAUGUGAUUUCUAGGCUUUUCUGGACCGUGCACGCAAACCAGAGGUCGAUUAAUCCGACCGUCGCACUCGCUGACAGGUUUCAUCAUGUCGGAGGCCGUGCUCACCUUUCGGAGCACUGCCGACCACUGCGGUGCGCGCACGAGCGACACGAAAUCUGUGAAACAGUGCGCACAGCGCGAAGGUCGCGACUAACUUGCUAACCAGGGCAUCUUUGCCGCUGUCGGAGGUGAGCACGAUGUUCAGCACGAACCCUAGAUCAUCGUGCUCACUUCUCGAGGUGUCGGGGAGUCAUCGGAUCACCAGAAAGGUGGCCGGAAAGCUUAAAUUGCAAUGCUGGAACUCAAAAACAGCAUACCGGAGCAGUGGGAGCUAGGGUUGGUCGCCGGCGGCCGGGAGGCGGGCACUCUGGCCGGGGAUGGGAGCAGCCGGUCCGAGAGGUCCGGGGAGGGUGCUGGCCGGCGGCGGGCGGCAACCGGUGGCGCGGCGGAGGAGAUCGACUCCGCCCAUUCCCUCUCGGGUUCGUGCUUCCCGGCGGCGCGGCGGCGGCCGGAGGAGGUCGGGGCGGCUACGGUGCGGCGCCGGAGGCCGAGGGGAAAGUGGUGUACCCCCCGGUGGGCGGCGGCGGCACUUGGAUGUCGAGCGGGCCCGACCUCGGCCCGCACAGGUCUGGGUAGCUGCAGGAGAUCUCAGCGGCGGCCGGCGGCGCGCGGGGACGGCGGGGGACGCGCGCGCCGGGUUGUCGGAGGUCGCCGGGGCCGACUGGAGGGCGGCACGGCCGAAGUAAGGCGAGGACGCAGAGUUCGAGCUGGCUCGGUCUGGGUUGACCCGAGUUGGCCGCAGGGAGCGGGGGUGGAUCCGGUGGCGCUCGGGGGUGGUCGGGGCCGACGAGGGAGGACGACGGAGAUGGACCUCGGCCAGAGGAUGAUGCUCCAAGGGUGAAAGAAGCUUCCUUCGCAGCUUCGGCGAAGUCGGAGGAGAGGGUGGCCGAGAGAGCAAGAGAAGAGGUCGGGGUGGCUUUUCCGGCGGCCGGGGCAGCUCGCCGGCGGCUGGGGCGUGCGCGCGGGUUGGGCAGGGAGAAGGUGGGGCGGCUAGGGCUCGGUUCGGCUGAGGAGAAAGCCAAAAGCUAGGGUUUCCUCACGAAACCCUAGUGCAACUACUAUUUACAUAUGUACAAUUGCAAGAUAGUCCUCCCAGGGAUAAUAUUCUCAGUCAAGUCCCUCACAGCAUGUGUAUUUUACACAUACGCACCUCCAUGUCCGAUCUCAAGCAAUUCGGCACAUAAAAUAUUAGAUCUUUUCGCGAUUUAACCGUUUUGCCAAUUUGACCUCUUAGCGAUAACUUUGCAAUUACCGGAGAUCCGUCCGUCGGAUUUUCGAUCCGACUGUGCCAUCGCGUUCAGUACAACGGGGGCAUCGAAACUACGAUUUCGUUUCAUCCAAUUUGGUCACGGAUUCGCGACGGAACCCAUCUGCUCUCUAAUUAAUCCAUAUAUCGUACGUAUACCAAUGUGUAAACCCAUUAAACCAACUUUCGUAUUAGAAAUUGACUUCCCUACCACUAGUAGGGACCCGAAACAUUCUUCACCCUACUCCAGGUCACAAGCACGGGGCACGAGAAGCUUUAGAAUGCACAGAAAAGCAAAGAGCGGAAACCCUCUUUUCGGUAAAACUCCUUUUUCUCGAAAAUCGUGCAUCAGAUCUGAAAUCCGUCAGUGCCAUUGGUUCCAGAACAGCUGAACCGAUCGAAACGAGCUAUUGGAUCGCUAUGAACGGAGUCCGAUAAGCGCCGAAAGCCAACUCUACUCCGUGGCUUCACCGAAAAACUGGAGUUACUAUUCACUUAAGUGAAAACUAAUAAUCACGUAACUUCUCCGUUCUAGCUCAUUUUCUCCUGAAACUUGACGAGUGCUUAUGUAAUUAAAUUACACACAUAAAUAUCGUCAACAGAGAGUUUAGUUGCACUGUAAAAAUCUCAAUCCUUACAGCUCAACGUGGGUUUGCCAAUAGAUCUGCCGCAUACACAAGAAGCCUUGUGUAUACGAAGCGAUAGUAGUACUUGUAAAGUAUAAAAGAACAACUAUAAGCAAGUAAUAGGAUUGUAAAAAACUGCUAAAACUAAAACAUGAUCCACUGUACAUACAUAAGAUCUAGGGAGUACAAUAAAGAAAUCCAAAAGUACAAACAUCAUCUCUCGCAAUUGUAAAAUAAUAUAUAUAUAUAUAUAUACGUAUAAUAUAUAUAUAGAACGUUCGGCUACUAUGCUUAUCGUAGCACGAGCGCUCCGUGCUACCAAGUUGUUUUCGAUGAUGCGGCUUUCUGAUCGACGAUCGGCUCCGUUAGACUUGAUCGAACACUAUUGAAAGUAUUUGAAACUAAAUUUCAAAUUUUUUCGACAUCAUUUGACUAGUGAUCAAAAGAUCUCAAAAUUGACAAUUUUAAUGGCCGAUGUGGGUGUGUUUGUGAGUUAACGGUGUAAAAAUAAUCCAAAUGCGAUGAAAAAUUUAUAUAAAAAUUCUUUUCACUAUUUAGAGUAAGAUCAGUAUAUCUUUUUUGAAUUAAUCUUUUUAUAUCAUUUUUCUAUGAGAUUUUUAUUUUCAGCCGUUCAAUUUUAGACCUACUUGUUUGAUAGGUAAAUAAUAUUCCGAAAACACACUUAUGAACACUUAUUUCUAAAUACUUUCCCACAUAGUAUAGAUUCAAGCUCAACCGGAGCCGAUCGGUCGACUUCUGGAAGUAGCAUCAUCGAAAACAACUUGGCAGCACGGAGCGCUCCGUACUAUCGAUAGUAUAGUAGCCUAGCUCAUAUAUAUAUAUAUAUAUGUAUGUAUGUAUAUAUGUAUAGCAUAGUACUAAUAUAAUAAUAUAGAUAUAUCUAUAUAUAUAUAUGUAUACAUAUAUACAUACAUAUAAUAUAGAUAUAUGUAUAUAUAUUAUAUAUGUAUUAUAUAUAUAUAUACAUAUAUAUAUUACUAUAUAGAUAUAUUAUAUAUGUAUAUAGAUAUAUUACAUAUAUGUAUAUAGAUAUAUCACAUAGAUAUAUAUAGAUAUAUAUAUAUAUAUACUAUAUAUAUAUAUAUACUGUAUAUAUAUAUAUAGUAUGUUAUAUGAUUAUAUCUAUAUCUAGAUUGUAGGAUAUACAUAUAUAUAUAUAUAUAUAUAGUAUAUACACAAUAUAACAUAUAUAUAUAUAUAUUACAUAUAACAUAUAUAUGUAUAUCUACAUACAUAUAUACUAUAUGUAUAUCUACAUAUAUAUAUAAUAGUAUAUAUAUUAUUGUAUAUCUAACAAUAUAGAUAUAUAUGUAUAUAUAUAUAUAUAUUAUAUAUAUAUAUACUGUAUGUAUAUAGUAUAUACUAUAGAAAUUUAAAUAUUCUGUAUAUUAUAUAUAUAUACAGGAUAUACAUAUAUAUAUAUAUAUGUAUGUAAUAUAUAGUAAUAUAUAGUAUAUCUAUAUAUAUAUAGGGUAGUUAUACCAGAUAUAUAUAACCUACCUAUAAUCAUGUAUAUAUAUAGGUAAUACAUAGGUAGGUUAAUACAUAUAUAAUAUAGUAGAAGGUGGUAUACAAUAUAUUAGGGGGGGGGUAGGUUAUAUAACCUACCUAUAUAUAUAUAUAUAUAUAUUAGUUUAGUAUUAAUAUUUAUAUAUAUAUAAUAUAUAUAUACUAUAUAUAUUUAUAUAAUUAUAUAUUAUAACCUACAAUCUAUGAUAUAUAUAUAACCUCCUAUAUAUGGUUAUAUAUAUAUAUAAUAUGUAUAUAAUAAUAUACCUAAUCUAUAUAUAUAUAUAACCGAGUUGGGCUGGGGUGCUUUCGGAAAGAAGCACGGAGCGCUUCCGUGCUUCCACUUUGUUUUCCGAUGUUCGGACUUUCGAAUCGACGAUCGGCUCCGUUAGAGUUGAUCUACGAGCUAUUUAAAGUACCAAGAAUUAAAUUUUGCGAAUUUUUCGAUAUCAUUUGCCUUAAGUGAUCCGAAGGGGCUUCAAAAUCAAUAAUUUUAACGGCCGUGGUGAGCCAGUUUGCAAGUUUAACGGUAUAGAAAUAUCCCAAAUCCACGGAAAAUUUUGAUAGAAUUCUUUAUUACCAUAUAAAACAAGAUCAAUACUUUUGUGAUCUAAAUUUUAAUGGUCGAUAUCAUCAUAUUUUGGUGAGAUUUUUAUUUUCAGCCGUUAUUUGAGCCACUUCGAUCACUAGGGCAAAUGAUAUCGAAAAAUCGCAAAAUUUAUUUUCUAGAUACUUCAAAUACCUAGAUCAAGUCAUAAACGGAGCCGAUCGUCGAUUUGAAAGUCCCAACAUCGGAAAACAAAGUGGAAGCACGAGCGCUCCGUGGCUUCUGAAAGCACCCCCAGACGCUACUCAUAUUAACUUACCUAUAUAUGUAUAUAGUAUAUAGGUAGGUUAUAUUAUAAUAUAUAUACAUAUAUAGGUAGGUUAGUAUAGUAUAUACUAUAUAGGAGUUAUAUAUUAUAUAUAUAGUAGGUAGGUUAUACAUAUAUAUAUAGUUAGGUAGGUUAUAUUAUAUAUAAUAUAAGAUAUAUAUAUAGGUAGUUAGGUAGAUGUAUAUAUAGUAUAUAUAUGAACUAUAUAUAUAUAACUAUAUUAUAUAUAUAUAGGUUAAGUUAUGUAUAUAUAUAUUAUAUAUAUAUUAUAUAUAUAUAUAUAUAUAUAUAGUAUAUAUAUAGUUAGUAGUAUAUAUGUAUAUAUAUAUAGGGUAGGUAGAUGUAUGUAUAUAGGUAGGUUAUAUAUAUAGUAUAUAUAUAUAUAUAUAUAUAUAUAUAUAUAUAUAUAUAUAUAUAGAUAUAUAUAUAUAUACAUAUAUUAUAAUAUAUAUAUGUAUAUACAUAGUAUAUAUAUAUCUAGUAUAUAUAUAUAAUAUAUAUAUAUAUAUAUAUAUAUAUAUAGUAUAUACUAUAAUAUAUAUAUACAUAUAAUAUAAUAUAUCUAUAUUAUAUAUAGUAUAUAUAAUAGUAGGUAGGUUAUAUACCUGAUAUAUUUAUAACCAACAUAUAUAUUAUAGGUUGUUAUACAUAUAUAUAUAUAGUCAUAACCUACUAUAUAUAGUAGUUUAUAUACUAUAUAGGUAGAUUAUACAUAUAUAUAUAUAGGGGUAGUUAUAUAUAUAUAUAGAGAGUAGUUAUACAGAGUAUAUAGGUAGGUUAUAACCUACCUAUAUAUGUAUAUAUUAUUAUAACCGUACAUCGUAUGUAUAUUAUAACCCACCUAUAUAUGUUAUAUAUAUAUAUGUAUAUUGUAGGUAACUACGUAUAUAUAUAUAUAGCUAUAUAUAUAUAUAUAGUAUAUAUAUAUUAAGUAUACAUAUAGUAUAUAUAUAUAUAACUACAGUCGUAUAAUUAUAUAACCUACCGUAUAGUAUGUAUAGUAUAUAUAGGUAAUACAGAUAAGUAUAUAUAUAUAUAUAUAUAUAUAUAGUAUAUUAGUAUAUAUAUAUAUAUAGGAUUAUAUAGUAGUAUAUAUAUAUAUAAUACGUAUAUAUAGUUAUAUAUAUCUGUAUAACCUACCUAUAUAUAUAUAUGAUAUAUAUAUAUAUAAAUAUAGAUAUACUAUAUAUGUAUAUAGAUAUAUCUAUAUAUAGCAUAUAUAGAUAUAUCUUAUAUAUAUAUACAUAUAUACAUAUGAUAUAUAAUAUAUAUAUACAGUAUAUAUAUAUAUAGUAUAUAUAUAUAUAUAUAAUCUUAUAUGUAUAUAUGUAUAUAUAUAUAGAUAUAGUCUAUAUAUGUACUAUAGUAUAUAUAUGGAGUCGGUACUAUACUAUCGGUAGCACGGAGCGCUCCGUGCUACCAAGUUGUUUUGAUGAUGCGGCUUCCAAAUCAACGAUCGGCUCCGUUAGACGUUGAUCUACACUAUUGAAAGUAUUUGGAAACUAAAUUUCAAGGUUUUUUUUACAUCAUUGACUAGUGAUCAAAAGAUCUCAAAAUUUGACAAUUUUAAUGGGCCUAUGUGGUGUUUGUGAGUUUAACGGCUGUAAAACAAUCCAAAUGCGGAUGAAAAUUUUAUAGAAUUCUUUUCACUAUAUUAGAGAAAGAUCAGCAUAUCUGAUCUUGGAAUUUAAAUCUUUAUCAUCCAUUUUUUAUGGAGCAUUUUUAUUUCAUGCCGUUCAAUUUGUGAGGGCUACUUGUGUUGGUAGGUUAAAUGGUAUUGAAAAAUUAUAAAAUUUAGUUUUCUAAAUACUUUUUUAAAUGAGUGUAGAUCAAGUCUAACGGAGCCCGGAUCGUCGAUUUGGAACCGCAUCAUCGAAAACAACUGGUAGCACGAGCCGCUCCGUUGCUACCGAUAGUAUAGUCAGCCUAGCUUAUAUAUAGUAUAUAUAGGUAUAUAUAUAGUAUAAGUAUAGUAAGUAUAUAUAUAUAUACAUAUAUAUGUAUAUAUAAUAUACAUAUUUAUGUUAUAUAAUAUACAUAUAGUAUGUUAUAUAAUCUAUAUAUGAUACUAUAUGUAGUAUAUUUUGUAUACAUAUAUAUAUGUUAUAUAUGUAUAUACAUAUAAUAUAAUAUAUAUAUGUAUAUUAUAUGUAUAUAUAAUAGUAUAUAUGUAUAUGUAUAUGUAUAUAUAUAUAUAUAUUAUGUAUAGUAUAUAUAUGUAGUAUGUAUAUGUAUAUGGUAUAGCUUAUAUAUAUUAUAUAUAUAGUAUUAUAGUAUAUAUGUAUAUAGAUGGGGUAUACAUUAUAUAUAAUGUAUAUAUAUCAUGAUAUGGUAUGGUACUCCGUGCUGUAUAGUAUAUAUAUAUAUGUAUGGUAUAUAGUAGUAAAUAUAUGUAUGUAUAAUAUAUAUGUAUGUAUAUAUAUAUAUAUGUAUAUAAUAUAUUAUGUAUACAUAACAUAUAUAUAUAGUGGUUAGUACGAGUGUUUGAUUAUUAAGAGUAGAUAGUGUAGAGGUACAUAUGAUUGAUAAUUGUAUAAGAGGGGAUACAGGAUAUAUAUAGUAUGUAUAGUGAUAUAAUAUUNNNNNNNNNNNNNNNNNNNNNNNNNNNNNNNNNNNNNNNNNNNNNNNNNNNNNNNNNNNNNNNNNNNNNNNNNNNNNNNNNNNNNNNNNNNNNNNNNNNNUUAUUUAUAGACUUUAGAAUCAAUCGGAGUCGAAUUAGAAAGUUUUCACGGUUUUACACUGUGUACUGGUACACUUUAAGCUGUUACCGGUUACACGAUGACGGAACGAAAAACCUGACGAAACAGUGAAACCGGUUACAUCCUUGAUGGUCGUACUGGUACACAUUUUGUACCGGUACACUUCUGAUGCUGUACCGGUACACUUUGCAAAUUUCCGCCGUUUCGGGUUUUGCAAAGUCCCAAUGCACUUUCUAAUUCGUUAGACAUUGAUAACAUGAUUCUAAUGUCUACAACUAAGUAUGAAUCACCAUAACAUGAAUUUAUACUUUACCUGAGCAUCGUGAUUCAUAUCGUGAGUUAUUUUCCAACUUUUUCAAAAUCCUGAUUUCUUCGAUCUUCGACGAUAUGCACUGGUUCUUCAAGACUCCGACUCACUUCACGAAACUUGCCAAUACACAAGACUUAACAACCUUAGGCCGGUUGGACUAUAGGAAAUAGGCUCGUGAGAGACGAGGUCUAUUUGACUUGUGAGCGAAAGUAUCAUGAUUGGGUAUCUUGAUAACUCUAUAAAGUUGGAGUUGAUCGAAGUGUAUGACUUCUAACUUCGCGGAGGGUUACGUUGGCGGCCGACAACGUAACAUCGGGAGUUAGUGGUGAAGAACACUUCCUUACUUUCGCAUGAUUUGGGUAUUAUCUUUUGAGCGGGGGUUCGAUAGCGUGGGUUUACUAACUUGCGCUUUUAUGAUGUUGUAGUGACGAUGCCGAUUACACGCUCUCAAUCUACCAGAGCGGAUAAUGCGGCAAACUUGGAGGAGGUCGAGACCUCCGCUACCUCCGGAUCCGGUGAGGUCCGUGAGUUGAGGGGCCAGCUUGCGGCCCUCACUGAUAUGGUGGCACAGCAGACAGAGGCAGCGCGCCGGCAGGAGGCGCGGAUGAAGCGCCUGGAGGACCUUCUUCUGCAACAGGCGGCAGCUUCCAGGGAAACUCAGGCCCCUACACCGCCAGCACCAGUCGUGGACGUCACGCCGAGAGCGCCAUCCCCCGCGCCCAGUUCUUCGUGAGCAGCGCCCAUGGCCGCGCCUCAGGAGGAGGCUAUCGCGGCACCACCUGUGCAGAGGCCCCCAGUUGGAGCAGCUUUCCCUACCUUGGUCGAGGGAGUGGAGCGGGACCGACUCAUGGAGCGCCUCAACGAGUUCAGGAGGUGCAGUCCCCGAAUCUUCGACGGCGAGAAGGUCGACCACUGGAUCGUAGAGAAGUGGUUGAUGCAUAUGGAGAAGCUCUUUCGCGACACCUUCGUGGAGGAGAGGGAUCGGGUUUGGCUCGCCACACACCACCUGGACGGCGAGGCCUAUCGCUGGUGGUUGGAUCUCCAGGAGCACCCCAGCACUGAUUUGGCAGCUAUUACUUGGAAGAGGUUCAAGGAGCUUCUUUUGGCGCAUUACUUCCCGACUAGCGUCAAGAGGAAGAUGGAGCAGGAUUUGCGCAACUUGCGCCAGGGAGACAGGACAGUAGCCGAGUACGAGCGGGAGUUUUCUCGGCUUUUACAUUGCGUGCCUUUCGUCGUGCGGGACGACGAGGACAAGGCCCGCAUCUUCGAGCGAGGGUUGCGACCGUCGAUCUUCCGGUUUGUGCAAUCCUCUAACCUCCAAACCUACCAGGAGGUGGUGGAUCGCGCGCUCAUCGUGGAGAGCGGCACGGCAGAUGUCCAAGAGCGGCGAGAGGCUAUGGACAAGGGUAAGGCCAAGAGGCCUGCGGCUGAGGGUGCGAGCCAGACGCACUCUAGGAGGCCGCCGAAGCAUCCUAGGAGCCAGCAGCGUGGGCGUGGCUCGGCGACUCACCAUGGAGGUUCUGACCGACGCCGACCUCCCCAGUGCGUGAUCUGUGGUGGCCCCCACAUUCCACCGCAGUGCCCGCAGCGAGGAGGGAGGUGUUUCCAGUGUGGCCAGGAGGGCCACUUUCGGACCGAGUGCCCGAGGGGUUCGUCACCGGCACCGUCAUCUGCAUCGGCACCGGCUCUACCAGCCGCCAGCCACGGGACUCCAUCAGCGCAGUACCAGCUCGGGCGGCCACCCGCCCAGCGCCAGAGCGAGGGUUCUCGACAGGCCCCGAGUGGGCGUAUGUAUGCCGCUCAGACCGAGGAGGCGGCAGCAGCCGAGGAUGUGGUCGCAGGUAUCAUUUUUACUUGAUGCAUUAGAGUUCGUGCAUUAUUUGAUACCGGUGCAUCGCAUUCAUUCAUAGAUCGGCUGUUUGCCGAGUUGCAUGGCAUCCCUAUGUUUUCUUUGUUGCAUCCGGGACGUGUAGUUGUCCCUGACCACUCUUUGGAUAUUAGAGAGUAUUGCCCCAGUUGCCCUAUUCGGGUAGGAGAUUGGAUUAUGUCCGUGGACUUGCUAGCCUUGCGCAAGCUGGGGGAGUUUGAUGUGGUCUUAGGCAUGGAUUGGUUGACCAAGUUUUAUGCCACGAUAGAUUGCAAGAAUCGCACGGUUACUUUUAGAGAACCGGGGCAAGUUGAGGUGAUAUUUAGAGGAUGCCAGAGUUCGCUUUUUGCGAUGACGAUCAGCUCGUCUCGAGCUAGGCAACUGAUCAGCAGAGGUUGUGUAGCCUACUUGGCUAGUGUUGUGUUGAGGGGCGAGGGUGAUACCCCGAGGAUUGAGGAUAUUCCGGUGGUACGGGAGUUUUGUGACGUGUUUCCAGCUGAGCUACGGGGCAUGCCACCCGAUAGGGAGAUUGAGUUUGUGGUAGAUCUCAUCCCUGGGACUACUCCAAUCUCGAAAGCGCCCUAUAGGAUGUCACCGGCGGAGCUGAAGGAGCUGAGGGCACAGCUGCAGGAUCUUCUGGAUAAAAGCUUCAUUCGACCGAGCGUCUCGCCUUGGGAAGCACCAGUUUUGUUCGUCAAGAAAAAAGACGGAUCACUUCGCCUAUGCGUGGACUAUCGCGAACUUAAUAAAGUCACGAUUAAGAAUAAGUAUCCGUUGCCGAGGAUCGACGACUUGUUUGAUCAGCUUCAGGGAUCGUGUGUGUAUUCCAAGAUCGAUUUGCAGUCGGGAUACCACCAGUUAAAGAUCAAACCCGAGGAUGUAUCGAAGACGGCUUUUAGAACCCGGUAUGGACAUUAUGAGUUCACUGUUAUGCCGUUCGGGCUUACUAAUGCCCCCGCAGCUUUUAUGGAUCUAAUGAAUCGUGUUUUUAAGCCUUAUCUAGACAGGUUCGUCGUGGUGUUCAUAGACGAUAUUUUGGUUUAUUCCCGAAGUGAUACAGAUCACGAGGAGCAUUUGAGGCUUGUACUUCAAGUACUUCGGGAAAAGGAGCUCUAUGCCAAGCUAAAAAAGUGUGAAUUUUGGCUUCGAGAGGUAGCUUUUCUUGGACAUUUGAUUUCAGGAUAGCUGUGGAUCCUAAGAAGAUUGAAGCAAUCAAGGAUUGGCCGAGACCGACGAGCGUCACGGAGAUACAGAGCUUCCUUGGAUUGGCCGGGUACUACCGGAGAUUUGUUGAGGGGUUCGCCAAGCUGUCUACUCCCCUCACGAGGCUCUUAGGAGAGACCGGUCUCCCAGGGACCGGUCCCUCAGGUGAGGACCGGUUCCCGAACGCGAAAAGUCCCCAGACUGCAGGGAGAGCUCUCGGGGACCGGUCCCUUGUCGGGGAGACCGGUCCCUCUGGGCGAAAACAGCCCAGUGAUAGCAGGUUGAGAGAUGAAAAGUUGAGGGGCUAAAGUAGAUUUUGUUACAAUAGAGGGGCAUAUUAGCCCACUCCCCCUCUCAGCCUCUCAUUUCUCUCUCUCCCUCACUCUCAUUUCUCUCUCGCUCUUUCUCUCUCUAAAAAGGAAAGGAGAAAAAGAAGAACAAGAAGGAGAGGAAGGAAAAGAAGAAGAAGAUAAGGAAGGAGAAGAAGAAGGAGAUCAAGAGGAAGGCUUUGAGCACCUCCAUCUCCCUCUCCUCUUCUCUUUGGUGUAGCUCGUGAGGUAAGCUACUAAACCCUAGCUUCUAGAACUUAGGGUUUUGGGUUUUUAUGCUUUGGAGUGGGUCAAAUGGACCCUAGGCAAGCUUCUAAGUAGAUCAAUCCCUUGAUUCUAGGGUUUUAUCGGUGGGUUGCUAUAUGUGCAACCUAGGGCUCCAAAUGGGGCAUUUUGUAAAGUAUGAGAUUGAUCUCAUUUGAGGCCUUGUAAACCCCAUCGAUAGGUGCCCAAACGCGGGGGCGAAGUCGAUUUCGCGAUUCGUCAAGCGGGCUUAGAGCAAUCGGCGGAUUACGGUCGUUUCGGCGCUAUCUUGGAUUAGGGAAGGCUAAAGCCUUUUCGUAAAGCUCGCCGAGGAGCGUUCUUGAGGCCUCUACGUUGAUAAAAGGUGGGGGGUGUCAUCCCGAAGCUUUCGAACUCCUUUCUAUGUCUUAGAUUGCAUUUAAUCUCAUCUCUUCAUGUUGCAUUGUAGGAUUGCAUAGUAGCUCCAUUCCUUAUGCUUUCUAAAUGAUAACCUAGUGUACUUGGAACGCUUGGUAACUUAGAUAGGUGAGGAUUGGGUCGGAACGUGGAUCCUAUGAUGUAAAAGAAAAGAGGUGAACCCGAUGGGGGUAUUGAUGACAUAGAAGGUAGUGUUAGUGUUAAAGAACACAUGAGUGGCAUCCAAAUGUUAAAUGAUGACGAGUGGCAUUAAUGUAGUGUAUAUGACACUAGAGGUUUGAGAACCUAGGGAUAGGUGGAUCCCUUAGAAAAUGCCUUGUGAACAAUGAAUUUAGAAAACUAAAUAGCAUUGCAUGAAUGUCGGGAACCGAUGAUUCCGCGAUAGUCGUUGACCCUAGUGUAGGGCGUCCUCACUUGGAGAGGAUUCGAUUGGGUUAUUGACUCUAGUUGUAGAGCCUCCUCACUUGGAGAGGAUUGGAUUGGGUGUUGACCCUAGUUACAGUGUAUCCUCACUUGGAGAGGAUAGAUCUAGCUCACAGUCUGCGUUUAGGAUGGUAUAGCCAUCCAAUCCCCACAUGGAGGGGAUUGUCGUCGAGUACUCCGGAGUGUCGCGCGACUAGGACCACUUGGAGGUCCGGACCACAUGGAGGUCCGCAGACGGUCCCGGGCUUGGGUGCACUUGGAGCUCCCUCCCCACUUUGGGAUUGGAAGAUGAGUUAUGGGUGAGCCCUAGGGCCUCGCCACAGAUUGGGUAAAUGAAAGGUUAAAGGUUUAAUAAAUGUCAUUGAACAUAGCUAUUCGAACAUGGAUCGAAUUUGGUAGCAUGGUAGCAAACCUUUAUUAUAUGAUGCAUGCAUUCAUAUUCAUGAUUAUGGGCAUAGUAGCAUAGUUUUCCUACUACUGCAUUUACAGCUUUCAGAUACAUAUCUAUCUAUCUAUCUAUCUGUUGUUACUUGUGCCCACUUGGACCUAGUGGGGAGAUCGGCAGAGUCGGCGGCCGAGCCCACUGGGAACUAUGGAAGAUAGUUCUCACCCCACUCUAUUUUCAGUAGUAGGUACAGGGUUAUCGAGAGAGGACCACGGCAAGGGCAUCGCGCCCGAUCAGUGAGACCGUGGUAGUAUAGUAGCUUUCCUUUUGCAGUAGCACACCUAUGUAUUGCGAGAGAUUCAUGUAGGUGAGGCUGGAGAGUUAUGUAUUUUGAGGAUCAAAUGUAUUCAUUUUGGAAAAUGAUGUAAAUGUAAAGAAUGCAACUAUUGUAAUAGUUAGUAAAGUACUCUCUUUAUUUCACUCGUAUAUCUUGUGGAUUACUUGCUCUUCUUGUUGUUGGCACUGUUUGUGCCCUCGUUGAAUAUGUAUGUUUAGAAUUUAAAGCCCUGGGUAAAUUCUUGUGCACAUUCAUGUUAUUGAGCCUUGGGCGGACAGGAGAGGUGCUGUCCGUUCGGCGGACCGUCGCCACGGCCGAAUCGUGCCAAAUUGGUAGUGGUUUCGGGGCGGGGCGUGACAGCCAGCCUCUCGCCAACUUCACUCCAAUGAAGUGGCGAUCUACACUUCCGUCCAUAAAGUGCCUCGAAGGGUGCCAUCUUGAUGCUUGCUUGAUAACUAUUGUUAUAAGCAAACUCCGCCAUCGGUAGAUGCUGCGACCAUCCUCCCUGGAAGUCAAUCACACAUGCUCGGAGCAUAUCCUCUAAAGUACGAAUGGUGCGCUCCGACUGUACGUCACUCUGAGGGUGGAAAACAGUGCUGAAAUCCAAUCGGGUGCCCAAGGCGUCCUGUAGACUCCUCCAAAAGUGAGACACAAACCGAGUGUCUCGGUCCGAUACUAUCGAUAUAGGCACUCCAUGAAGUCGCACAAUCUCAUCAAGGUACACUUGUGCGAGCUUCUCUCCGGUCCAAGUAGUAUGAAUAGGUAUGAAGUGUGCCGACUUCGUCAACCUAUCCACGAUCACCCAUAUAGCCUCAUGCCCGGCCUGAGAGCGGGGCAAUCCAGUCACGAAAUCCAUGGUGAUCUUCUCCCACUUCCACACGGGAAUAGGCAAACUCUGAAGUUUUUCCGCGGGUAAUCGAUGCUCAGCCUUUACUUGUUGGCAAGUUAGACAACGAGCUACAAACUCGCCAACAUCCUUUUUCAUCCCGGGCCACCAAUAGAAUAACUUUAAGUCCUUGUACAUCUUGGUGCCAUCCGGAUGUACAGCAUACGGUGCUCGGUGUGCUUCAUGAAGAAUGUCCUCUUUGAUUUCCGCAUCCGCCGGUACACAUAACCAUCCGCGAAAACACAUCAAUCCUUGGUCAUCCACAAGGAAAUCGCCGGUGCAACCAUUAACCAUUUUAUCUCUAAUCUUUUGCAACUCCGUAUCGGAAGCUUGCUUCUCUUUAAUCCUAUCCACAAGUGUAGGUUGCACCACCAAAGUCAUCAACCUUAAAGACGUGUCUGGAGUCACUACCUCCAACUCCAACCGCUUCAUAUGCUCGAUCAACUGCGGUUGAGCCACAACAUGCAUCGCUAAGUUUUCUGUCGAUUUCCUACUUAGCGCAUCCGCCACCACGUUAGCCUUGCCCGGGUGGUAUAAAAUUGUCAGGUCGUAAUCCUUGAGCAGUUCCAACUAUCUGUGCUGUCUCAAGCUCAACUCCUUCUGAGUGAACAAGUACUUCAAGCUCUUGUGAUCCGUGUACACUUCACACCGCUCGCCAUAAAGAUAGUGGCGCUAUAACUUCAAUGCGAAGACUACGGCCGCCAACUCCAAAUCAUGCGUCGGGUAGUUCUUUUCAUAUUCCUUUAGUUGGCGCGAAGCAUACGCGAUCACUUUGCCAUCCUGCAUCAACACACAACCCAAUCCAUUAAGUGAAGCAUCACUAUAAACCACAUACCCUGCUCCAGCCAUCGGCAGGGUUAGGAUCGGGGCGGUCGUCAAUCUUUGCUUCGAUUCUUGGAAGCUUCUCUCGCAUGCAUCAUUCCAAAUGAACUUGACUCCUUUAUGCGUGAGACCGGUUCCCGAAAGGGGAACCUUCAGGACUUAGCCAAAUUUAGGCUUCCUCUCGCGGGUGUCGCGCACGGGGACCGGUCCCCUCAGCCAGGGACCGGUCGCAUCGGCCUUGCCCCGCGACCCUCAGCUACGGGGACCGGUCCUUCCCUCUAGGGACCGGUCCCCGAGAGCAAAAAUCUGCUGAGUCCAGAUUUUAUCUAUUUGCUCUCGCGGACUCAACUCCAAAGCACUUUUUGUGUUUUGGGCAUUCUUAACUCCCACAAAGGGUAUUCUCUCGACAGUGAGUCGAUCCUGGACAAAGUACAAUCCUCGUAUUUCGAGAAUUCACUUCCUUACACUGGCAUUAGGCUCUGACGUGCUCCAGGAAGCUGAGGACAAGAUUCGUAUUGCUCGGGAGCGACUUUUGACGGCACAGAGUAGACAUAGGAGCUACGCCGACCGACGACGGUGAGACUUGGAGAUCCAAGUUGGAGACCAUGUUUUCUUAAAGGUCUCGCCGACUAGAGGGAUCAGGAGAUUCAGGAUUCGGGGAAAGUUGAGCUCCCGUUUCAUUGGACCGUAUGAGAUUUUGGAACGUGUAGGUCCGGUAGCGUAUCGACUUGCUCUACCACCGAACCUAUCGGGCGUACACAACGUCUUCCAUGUAUCGGUCCUUCGGAAGUACAUCUUCGACCCGACUCAUGUGUUGGAUGCUACACCUGUGGAGUUGCGGGACGACUUGAGCUUCGAGGAGCAACCAGUGAAGAUCUUGGCUCGCGAGGUUAAGAAACUACGGAAUCGGGACAUUCCGUAUGUAAUGGUCCUUUGGAGCAACCACGAGGAUCGGGAGGCCACGUGGGAGCUAGAGAGCGCGCUGCAGGAGCGCUAUCCCCAUCUCUUACAGAUGGAGUCUUGAGGUAUGUAGUUUGAUUUCGAGUUUCGCGGACGAAACCCCUUUUUAGGAGGGGUGAAUGUAACACACUGGACCUUUGCAAAUUGCGAGGUUCAAGUGUUUGAUCUGUGUUCCGAGCUUUGCCAGAUAUUCUGGAAGGUCGUUGACAGUGUUUUGACCUAUGGCUCGCAUCCCAAGAAUUGAGGUUUAAAGCUUGUACCAAAAUCCAAAAAGAUGGAUUGUUGGUCCUGCUCUCGGGUCAGCCUCAGCCAGGCUGUGUACCGGUACAGCCUUGAUGGUUGUACUGGUACAGGAUUUGUACCGAUACACCUUGAUGAUUGUACCGGUACACUUCGGGUUUUCUACCAACCCGAGGCUCGGGUUGGGCUGUUUCAUAGGAAGUGUACCGGUACACUUUCCCGUGUACCGGUACACUUUCCCGUGUACCGGUACACAAUGCAGACUGGGCUGUUUUCGAGGAGGGGUGUAUUUGCAAUUAUUGCAACCUCUUUAAAUACCACCCCAGCCCCUUUAGCUGCUCUUUUGAGCCCUAGACCUGUGGAGAAAAGGUGAGAACUCUUCCCCUUUGGAUUCUUCUCCAUUUUUGGUGGAUUUUAGUUGGUUUUGAUCUCUCCUUUCUUCUCCUCCUUGUUUUUUGUUGGGUUUCCUCCAUUGUUGAGACUUGGAGCUUGAAGAAGAGCUUGUUUGAGAAGAGAUCUCCAACCCUACUUGGUUUGGAGCUUGGUUUGGGGCAUCUUGUGAGGUUUGUAGCAUGUAUUUCUCUUUUCAUACAUGUUUUAGUGGAUUUGGAUCUUGUAACCCUAGAUUUUGAGAUUUAGGGUUAGAACUAGGAACUUUUGAUUUGAGGCUUCUAGAACCAAAUUGAUUGGUUUAGAAUCAUGGUUUAGGUUGGCUUUGAAGGAUUCUUACUCCCUUUUGGAAAUCAAGAGAGAUUUUCACCAUUUUCGGUGAGUUUUUAGCCCUUUCUUUGAGUUGCUUAAUGUUUGAACUCAUGAAUUGUCGUUUCGAUGUUACUCCCCUAGCCUAUCUCUUAGGGUGCUAGGAGUGAUUAUCGAAGCUUCGUUAGCGUUUCGGACGCCCGCGCGGAGCUUUUGGUGGGUUCGGCUUCAUGUGAAUAGGGGAAAAUUCCUCCUAAGGGGUUAAUAUGUGUUGUAUUAUCAUUUUGCAUGCAUUUUCAUACUAGAUAGGAUUUAUGUGAAUUUUGAAUACUUAAAAUGCAUGUGUUGCGUAUCAUGAAAAUCCUUCUCUACAUAGUAGAGCAUUAUGUGUAGUGUACAUGAAUGUUUAAAGUAUUCUCUUUUUCAAGUUGGAAAAUAUGUUGCAUGUGAGGAAGAUGGUUGAAAUAUGUAUUCAUGAAUAUUAAACUCAUGUUUGAAUAUAGUGAACUAGAAUGCCAUAAAGGGGCACUUGACUUAGCAAAUUGUGAAAUUGCAACAUAGAGACAUAGUGAUAGGCCAUCGAGACAUAUGCUAUAUUUCAUGUUUUAGACAUGACGACAUAGUGAUAGGCCAUUGAGAUAUUUUCCACAUUCCAUGUUUUAGACAUGAUGACUUGGUAUUUGAGACGGACUUUUACGCUUGCUUGCCAUUGUGCUCAUUCACACAUGCUUGUAAGGGUCGCUCCCUACAAGCCGGCACUCCGGAGAUAGCCAUCGCGACAUAUGCUCGCUCGUGCGGGAUUGGGCGCCGAAAUGGAAUGCCGUGGGGGAAGCUCAUUCCUAGAGUGGGGAUGUUGACUACCACGGGGCCAUUAGGCACGGCGCAGGCCAGACAGCCUACGGAUGGGUCUUACAUGAUUGGAACUUAGUGACAGAACAUGCCAUUUGGACUUUGACCAGAAUAGUAAACAAUGACAUUUACUAUUUAGCUUGUGGACAUUAUGUUAGUGAUGCUCGUUUAUAUUCUGUUACAGUAGCUUUAUUACUUAUGCAAUUCAUGCUAAGUAGAGAUAUCAUGUUGUAGUAAGUUACAUGUUUACUUACAUAUCGAUUCUAUUGCUUUUAUUGUUACUUACCUGUUUAGCUCUUUUGGGCCUAGUGGUGCUUUCACUGAAGUCAGUAAUUGCCACUGGGAACUAUUAUUUAAUAGUUCUCACGCCCCCGUUUCUAUGGUUUUAUUUCAGAGCCCUCUACACCGGUGGAGGCACGGGACCGCGGCAAGGGGAUCGCUUAGCUAGCUAGCGAGGAGCGUUUCUUUUGCAUUUUGGUAGUUCGCUCUCCUUUUGUUGUAGUUGAGAGAGAGAGAGUUAUGUUAGUACCUUGUAUAGAGAGACCACCUAUGUAUCUGGUUUAGCAUUUGUACUUUGGAUGUUUAUUGUACUACUUUCUAUUUUUUCUUAGUGGAUUUAGCUCUAUAUUCAUUUCGGUUAUUGUAGCAUCUAGACAUACUUGCUCUGAUACUGCUAGAUGUUUUCUUUAUCUUGCUUUAUUUAUCGUUUUAUUUUAGACGCCUUAUAUGUUUUAGACGUAUGCCGGGUCUGGGCACGUGCCGGGCGGGCUUUCGCUGGGUCCCGGGGCGUGACAACGGAACUCAUAGCAAGUAUGAUCCAUUCUUAACUCUAAGGAUAUAUAGUUCAAUCAUUGUCUUUACACUAACUCUAGUGUUCUUUACAUCACUUUAUUUUGCUAACUCUAGCAAUCAUCGUUCUUUAACUUUACUCGUUCUUUAUGCCAAACUUUGCAUUAACUUUAACCAUUAUCAUUGUUCUUUUCAUCACAUUGAUUCUUUGAUGCCACACACUAACUUUAGUGUCGACUAUAUACUUUCGAAUGCCACUCGAUCUAUGCUCAUUGUGUCUCGUUGUUCUUUUGCCUCACUUGGGUGCUCACAUUUUAUCUCAUGCAUACAUAUAGGGUUAAACAUUCAUAGGGGUUCUCAACCAUCUCAUUAGGCAAAUUGUACUCACAACAUGCAACAUUACAUUAUUCUCAUUACAUAUACCCUACUAUGCUUGCAACAAUGUAUAUAACAUAUACUCAAUUGAAUGACACACUAGGCAUAGAAGGAAGUUCAACGAGUUUGGAUAGCACCACCCACCUCGUAGGUUCUCAAAGGUGCUCCGACGAUUUUCUUGGGAUUUUUAGACACCCGGUUCGCUACCUGCGAGUUAACGAAGCCAAAUUAGGCUUAUUUGGCCGUAACUUUACAUCGGGUUUUCGUAACGUUAAUCCGAGCACACCAACGCGUCGGAAAUACCCCCAAUUAGGUUUCUAGAGGGUCAAUUGCACUUUAGAACCCUCGCAAGCAAAAGCCCCAAUUUUGGUGCCCUAGCUCAUAACAUACAUCAAACCUAGGGUUUGAUCUCAUUGGGAAGCAAAAGAAGCUUCAUUCUACGCUAAAGACUCCACAAAAACCAUCUUUAGUUCAAUCCAAACCCUAGUUUGGAUUCUACCAUGAGAGGGGUUGAAGCUCUCCUUCAAGCUUCACCUUCCACACCAUUCCAUGGUUUUGAUCUCAAAAUGAAGCAAAAGAUAGCUUCAAACACUCUAUAGGUUCUAUUAAAACCAUUUCUAGGUCCAUCCAAACCCUACUUUGAGCUUUACCACUAUUGGGGUUCAAAGCUUACCUUGUAAGCUUUCCUUUUCCAAGCUAGGGAAGGAGAGGAGGGGUCUUCUUCUCUUCCUUGCCUUCUUCUUCACCUUCUUCCUCUUCUUUUCCUUUCUUCUUCUUGUCUUCUUCUUCUCCUUCUUGUCUUCUAGAGAGAGAAAGAGAGAUGAGAGGGGGAGUGUGAGGGAGAGAAUGAGAUGAAAAGCCCUCAAAGCCCCCCACUUAACCAUUGGGUUGCACAAAUGCAAAUAGGCCCCUCAACUUUCACUUUAUUGAACUGCUUGAACUGGGCAGUUUUCGGGUUCGGGGACCGGUCUCCCAACUUGGGACCGGUCCCAGAGAGCUCUCCCGCAGCUCAGUGAGGGCCUUCGCACGAGGCAACCGGUCUCUCCCACAGAGACCGGUCUCUCGGGGACCGGUCUCUCCCCGCAGGGACCGGUUCCCGAGAGCUGGUUUUCUGGGACUUAGCCGAUUUGCAGCCUUUCUCAUUUCUCACGCGUUCGGGGACCGAUCUCUACCACCAGGGACCGGUCCCCGAGAGCUCAAAAACUGUAGUUUGCAGAUUUUUGAUUCUUUAGCUCUCGAAAACCUCCCACAACGCAUUUUUGAUCAUUUUAACACCUUCGGACUUUCCGAAGUGUACCACCCUCGCACUUUGGUCAAUUUGACUAAAGUUCGAUAUUUAUUUUUCAAAUUUUCGGUAUAUUACAUUCUCCACCCUUAAAAUAAUUUCGUCCGCGAAAUUACGCAUACCUUAACUCGUCGAUUCAAAUAGAUGUGGAUACUCUCUCCGCAUGAUCUCCUCGAGCUCCUAAGUGGCUUCUCGCGCCGCAUGGUUGCUCCAUUGGACCUUCACAUAUGGAAUUCUGCGACUCCGCAGCUUCCUUUCUUCUCGAUCGAGGAUGCACACCGGGUACUCCUCGUAAGACAUAUCUUCACGUAGCUCCACGGGCUCGUACUCCAAUAUAUGUGUCGAGUUUCGAAUAUACUUUCGGAGAUUUGACACAUGAAAAAUAUUGUGAACUCCUGCGAGUCUCGAUGGUAGUGCGAGCUUGUAUGCUACCGCACCCACACGCUCCAAUAUCUCAAACGGUCCGACAUAACAGGGACUUAGCUUCUCGUGGACCCCAAACCGCUUUACUCCUCGCAUCGGCGAUACUCUCAAAAAUACGCGGUCUCCAACCGCGAACUCUAAAUCUUUUCUUCUCUUGUCGGCAUAACUCUUUUGCCGAGAUUGUGCCGCCGCUAACCGUUGACGGGCAAGGCGAACUGUAAUGCAUUGGAAAAUUGACCUUGAGCUAAUUGUAAUCAAGUUGAUCACAAUGAUGUCAAAAUAGAAAUUAAGUGUUAAUGAACUUAAUUAGUAGAUUGAGAACAACAAUUGACUUAUUUUGGAACUGUGUAAGUGGGCUCGAAGUGAAUCGGAAGUGCCAAGUGUCACGCCCCGCCCCGAAACCACUACCAAUUUGGCACGGUUCGGUCGCGGCGACAGACCGCCGAACGGACAGCACCUCCCCUGUCCACCCAAGGCUCAACAACAGGAAUGUGUACAAGGAUUUACCCAGGACUUUAAAUUCUAAACAUACACAUUCAACGAGGGCACAAACAGUGCCAACAACGAGAAGAGCAAGUAAUCCACAAGAUAUAGUAUGUGAAAUAAAGAGAGUACUUUACUAACUAUUACAAUAGUUACAUUCUUUACAUUUACAUCAUUCUCCAAAAUGAAUACAUUUGAUCCUCAAAAUACAUAGCUCUCCAACCUCACCAUCAUGAAUCUCUCUCAAUACAUAGGUGUGCUAAUGCAAAAAGGGAAGCUACUAUACUACCACGGUCUCACUGAUCGGGCGCGAUGCCCUUGCCGCGGUCCUCUCUCGGCAACCCUGUACCUACCACUGGAAAUGGGAUGGGGUGAGAACUAUAUUCCAUAGAUUCCCAGUGGUCGGCCGCCGACUCUGCUGAUUCUCCCACUAGUGUCAAGUUGGGCAUCAGAGCAACAAACAGGUAGAUAGAUAGAUAGAUAUCUGAAAGUUUGUAAUAUGCAAGUUAGUAGCGAAAACUAUGCUUACAUAUGCCCAUAAUCAUGUAAUGUGGAUGCACUGCAUCUAAUAAAUAAGUUUUUACCAGGGCUAACAGAUGUCAUAUCCAUGUUCGAAUAGCUUAGUGUUCAAUGACAUUUAUUAACAACCUUAACUCUUUAUUUACCCAAUCUGUGGCGAGGCCUUAGGGCUGGCCAAUUACUCAGUCUUCAAAUCCCAAAGUGUGGGAAGUGGAGCUCCAAGUGACACCAGCCCGGGACCGUCUGGGGACUCAUUGGUCCGGACCUCCAAGUGGUCCUAGUUCGCGGUGACACUCGCGGACACUCGACGACAAUCCCUCCUAUGUGGGGAAUUGGAUGGCUAUACACCCUAACGCGACUGUGAGCCUAAUCUAUCCUCGAGUGAGGGAUACACUUGACAACUAGGUCAACACCAAGUCGCAGAUCUCUCAAGUAAUGGAGGCUCUACAACAGCUAGCGCUCACAUAAUCCAACUCGAAUCCUCUCCAAGUGAGGAAGCACUCUAUAACUAGAGUCAACAUCUCUCGCGGGAUCAUUUGUUCCCGACAUCCAUGCAAUGCUAUUUAGUUUUCUAAAUUCAUUGUUCACAAGGCAUUUUCUAAGGGAUCCACCUAUCCCUAGGUCCAUCGACCUCUAGUGUCAUUUACACUACAUUAAUGCCACUCGUCAUCAUUUAACAUUUGGAUGCCACUCGUGUGUUCUUUAACACUAAACACUACUUUCUAUGUCAUCAAUACCCCCAUCGGGUUCACCUCUUUUCUUUUACAUCAUAGGAUCCACGUUCCGACCCAAUCCUCACCUAUCUAAGUUACCAAGCGUUCCAAGUACACUAGGUUAUCAUUUAGAAAGCAUAAGGAAUGGAGCUACUAUGCAAUCCUACAAUGCAACAUGAAGAGAUGAGAUCAAAUGCAAUCUAAGACAUAGAAAGGAGUUCGAAAGCUUCGGGAUGACACCCCCCACCUUUUACCAACGUAGAGGUUUUAGAAGCGCUCCUCGACGAGCUUUACGAAAAGGCUUUUGCCUUCCCUAAUCCAAGAUAGCGCCGAAACGACCGUAAUUCGCCGAUUGUUCUAAGUCCGCUCGACGAAUCGCGAAAUCGACUUCGCCCCCGCGUUUGGGCACCUAUCGAUGAGGUUUACAAGGCCUCAAAUGAGAUCAAUCUCAUACUUUACAAAAUGCCCCCAUUUGGAGCCCUAGGUUUGCACAUAUAGCAAACCACCAAUAAAAUCCUAGAUUCUUGGGAUUGAUCUACUUAGAAGCAUGCUUGGGGUCCAUUUGACCCAUUCCAAAGCAUAAAAACCCAAAGCCCUAAGUUUACAAAGUAGGGUUUAGUAGCUUACCUCAAGAGCUACACCAAUGGGAAGAGGAGAGGGAGAUGGAGGUGCUCCAAGCCUUCCUCUUGAUCUCCUUCUUUUUCUCCUUCCUUAUCUUCUUCCUCUUUUCCUUCCUCUCCUUCUUGUUCUCCUUCUCCUUCUUUCCUUUCUAGAGAGAGAGGGAGAGAAAUAGAGAGAUGAGAGUGAGAGAGAGGAAUGAGAGAGUGUGAGGGAGAGAGAGGGCCCAGCCCACUCUAAUAAAGGCCAUUUUGCAUUUAGACCCCUCAACUUUUAACCCCUUGCGCAGCCCUCGCUGGGCAGUUUUCGUGCAGAGGGACCGGUCUCCCCGACUUGGGACCGGUCCCCGAGAGCUUCCCUCGGGCGCACGCGUUCGGGUACCGGUCUCUCCCCGGGAGACCGGUCCUCGGGAGACAGGUCCUCGCCUGAGAGACCGGUCCCCGAGAGCUCAAUUUUCAGGACUUAGCCAAAUCUCGGCAUUUCUCGCUGGAACCACGUUCGGGAACCGGUCCCUCACUGCCAGGGACCGGUUGCACCAUGCAACCCCGCACGCCCAGCCGAUGGGACCGGUCUCUCACCUCCAGAGACCGGUCCCCGAGAGCAACUUCAGCCCAAUAAUGCUGUUUGCAUCGUUAGCUCUCGUGGACUCAACUCCAAAGCACUUUUUGUGUUUUGGACAUUUUUAACUUCCCCAGAGGGUAUUCUCUCAACAAAUAGUCGAUCCUGGACGAAGUAUAACUCUCGAAUUUCGAGAAUUCACUUCCUUACAUUCUCCCCUCCUUAAAAGGAGUUUCGUCCUCGAAACGAACAAAUUCUUUAACUUUUAAUUUAAACUUAUACCUCACUCCUCAAACAGAUGAGGAUGGUGCUUUCUCAUCAGAUCCUCGAGUUCCCAGGUGGCCUCGCGAUCAUCAUGAUUGCUCCACCUGACCUUUACAUAGGGAAUUUCUCGAUUCCUCAACUUUCGCACCUCUCGGGCGAUAAUUCCUACCGGAAACUCUUCAUAGCUCAAGUCUCCUUGAAGUUCCGGCGGUUCAUAUAGCAUCGCAUGCUCCGGGUCGUGAAUAUACUUGCGGAGAUUGGAGACAUGGAACACAUUGUGCACAUCCGCAAGUUUCGGCGGUAAAGCAAGCCGAUACGCCACCGUACCAACUCGCUCCAAUAUCUCAUAUGGCCCAAUGUACCGGGGACUCAGUUUUCCCCGUACUCCAAACCGCUUCACACCACGCAUUGGUGAAACCUUCAGAAAUACGCGGUAACCCACCGCGAACUCUAUAUCUCGUCGGCGCCUAUCUGCAUAGCUUUGCUACCUCGACUGCGCCGUGAGCAAUCUCUUGCGAGCAAGGCGGACUUUCUCCUCCGCUUCUCGCAACACAUCAGGGCCGAACUCUGCCCGUUCACCUACAUCGCUCCAAUGUAUAGGAGACCGACACGUCCGCCCAUAAAGAGCUUCGAACGGUGCCAUCUCUAUACUCGCAUGAUAACUGUUAUUGUAGGCGAACUCGGCCAUAGGUAGGUGAUCACACCAACUUCCCUUAUAGUCGAUGACACACGCUCGCAACAUAUCCUCCAGAGUUUGAAUGGUUCUCUCUGUUUGCCCAUCGGUUUGAGGAUGAAAUGCGGUACUAAAAUCGAGCCGUGUGCCAAGGGCUUCUUGCAGGCUUUUCCAAAAGUGUGAAGUGAACCGGGGGUCACGAUCCGACACGAUCGAUUUCGGCACCCCAUGCAGUCUCACUAUCUCGUCAAGAUAUACCCGCGCUAACUUGUCACCCGACCACGUGGUGUGGAUCGGCAAGAAGUGAGCCGACUUCGUCAAUCGGUCCACAAUUACCCAAAUUGCAUCGUGGCCGCCCGUUGAGCGAGGCAAGCUGACCACGAAGUCCAUCGAUAUAUCUUCCCAUUUCCAAACGGGGAUUGGUAGGCUUUGAAGCUUUCCCGCUGGAAAUCUACGCUCUGCCUUCACUUGCUGGCAUGUUAAGCACUUCGCCACAAAGCGUCCAACAUCACCCUUCAUUCCCGGCCACCAAUAGUGCAUUUUUAGUCCUUGAUACAUCUUGGUGCCGCCCGGGUGAUCAGCAUACGGAGAUCUGUGUGCUUCUUGUAGAAUCAACUCGCGAAGCUCUCCAUCCUUCGGCACACACCAUCGGUUUCUAAACCGAAGCGCACCAUCGGCGUUUAUACUAAAAUCGCCGCCUCGACCAUCCUCGAUGUUUCGCCGCACCUUCUGGAGUUCUGGGUCCGCAGGUUGCAGAUCUUUAAUCCUCUCCAACAAGGUCGGUUGGACAACGAGUGCCAUCAACUGGGCUGGAAUCUCGGGAGGAACCACUUCAAGGUCCAAUCGCUUCAUAUCCAGCCACAGGGGUGUUUGCUGGGUAACAUCAAAAGCGAGAUUCUUCGCCGACUUUCUACUCAGCGCAUCCGCAACCACAUUUGCCUUCCCGGGGUGGUAGAGGAUAUCGACAUCAUAAUCCUUUAACAACUCCAACCACCGCCGCUGACGCAUAUUGAGCUCCUUCUGAGUAAACAAGUACCUUAAGCUCUUGUGGUCGGUAUAAAUCUCACAAUGGGCACCAUAUAAGUAGUGCCUCCACAGCUUCAGGGCGAAAAUUACCGCCGCCAGCUCCAAGUCGUGGAUGGGGUAAUUCUUCUCAUAGCUCUUCAGCUGACGGGAUGCAUAAGCAAUCACCUUCCUGUUUUGCAUCAAUACACACCCCAACCCAAGAUAGGAAGCAUCACUGUAGACUACGAAGUCUUCGCCUUCCACCGGUAGAGCGAGCACCGGAGUUGAAGUCAAUCUUUGCUUCAACUCUUUGAAACUUCGGUCGCACUCCUCGCUCCAAACAAACUUGGUGCCUUUCUGGGUCAGGCGGGUAAGUGGAAUUACUAUCUUGGAGAAGCCUUCCACAAACCGCCUAUAAUAGCCCGCCAAGCCCACGAAGCUUCGAACCUCCGUGACGUUCGUCGGGCGCGGCCAAUCCUUGAUUGCCUCAACUUUCCUCGGGUCUACUGAAACUCCACCCGCGGAAAUCACAUGCCCUAAGAAGGCGACUUCGCGAAGCCAGAAGUCACACUUCUUUAGCUUAGCAUAUAGCUUCUCCUCCCGAAGGACUUGAAGCAGUUUCCUCAAAUGUUCGGCAUGUUCCUCGUCACUUCGAGAAUAGACCAAUAUGUCGUCUAUAAAGACCACGACAAAUUGGUCCAGAUACUCUCUGAAGACACGGUUCAUCAAAUCCAUAAACGCCGCUGGAGCAUUCGUGAGUCCAAAUGGCAUAACCGUGAACUCGUAGUGUCCAUACCGCGUACGAAACGCGGUCCUUUGCACAUCCUCCGGUUUGAUCUUCAAUUGAUGGUAGCCGGAUUACAAGUCUAUUUUCGAGUACACACACGACCCUUGCAACUGAUCGAACAGGUCAUCGAUUCAGGGUAGUGGGUACUUGUUCUUGAUCGUGACUCUAUUCAAUUCUCGAUAAUCCACGCAGAGCCUAAACGAUCCAUCCUUCUUCCUCACGAAUAACACCGGGGCUCCCCACGGUGAUACACUCGGCCGGAUAAAUUGCUUGUCAAGGAGGUCUUGUAGUUGACUCCUCAACUCCCUUAGUUCCGCCGGCGCCAUUCGGUACGGAGCCUUCGAGAUCGGCGCGGUACCGGGAACCAAGUCUAUGACGAACUCGAUCUCCCGAUCCGGUGGUAUCCCCAGCAACUCUGCGGGAAACACAUCCGGGAACUCCCGCACUACCGAGAUCUCCUCCAACAUUGGAGUGACUCGUUCCACCUCUACAACGGUCGCCAAGAACGCUGCACAACCGUUGCUCACCAACUUUCUUGCUCUCGUCGCCGACACCGUCGCGACGAAACACGUGCUCUGGCAAGCUCGAUAGGUGAAUUCUUUCUGUCCUGGCCCACGAAACGUGAUCACCCUGCUCUUGCAGUCAAUCGUGGCGUGGUAUUUCGAGAGCCAGUCCAUACCCAGAAUAACAUCAUAAGCCUCAAGCUUCUGGAGUCCUAGUGUCCGAAUAGGCAUUAUCCAUUCGCCUAUUUGUACCGGACACGAGGCGCACUCUGUGUAGGUAUUGAAUGUCGAUCCAGGGCCCUCCACUCGCCACUUGUCACUCGCUUCUAUAUGUAUGCCAUGCAUGCGUGCGAAUGAUCUACUUAUGAAUGAAUGCGUGGCUCCUGUAUCAAAUAGAGCCCUGGAGCGAACUCCGUUAAUCAAAACCAUACCUGCCACAAGGCGAUGCUCCUCCGCCUCCGCAGGUUCCUCGGCCUGAACCUGAGCUGCAAAUACCCGUCCGCUCGGGGCCGAUCGCGCCAUCUCAGGUUGACGCGGUGUCAUCGCGCGUCCUGUCGACGCGGCCGUCGGUGGAGCUCCUCCAUAAUAUGCCGGAAUCGCCGGCGCCGAUGCAAUCGAUGGGGCAGGUGAGGCUCCUCCUCCCGGGCAGUCCCGAAUGAAGUGCCCCGGUUGCCCACACUUGUAGCACUUGCCCCGGCCUUGUUCACAGCGCGAAACUGGGUGGUCUCCGCAGCAUACAAUGCAUCGCCGCGCUCCACCGUUUUUCUGUUGAGCGCGCGGGUACUUCGGGGGUCUCUUAUAACGUGCUUGACCACCCGAACUACCGCCGCCUUGGCGUUUCUUGCCCUUAUCCUUGGACUCCGCCAAAAGCUCACGCUUCUCCCGCACGUGGGCAUCUCCGUGCUCCGCCCAUAGGGCUCGAUCAAAGACCUCAGCAAAGGUCGUGAGCUUGAGUAUUUGCACGGCCUUGUAGAUUCCCGGCCGAAGUCCUCGCAAGAACCACUCGGCCCGGUCCCGGUCAUCCUUUACAACAUCCGGGACACAAUCUAUGAUGUGGGAGAAUUCCUGUUCAUACUCCGCCACUGGGCGGUCCCCUUGCUCUAGCUUGCCGAACUUCUCCUUGAGCUUCCGCUUCAAUGUAUCGGGGAAGUAGUUGGCGAACAUCUCCCGCUUGAAUUCCUCCCACAGCAUCGGCGGAAGGCCGGGAAGCCGAUCCCACUUGACGCGCUUCCACCAAACCUUUGCCGCCCUUUCCAAGCAAUGGGUGGCGAGAUACACCUUGUCCCUCUCCAAGGUACGCAAGUCGUCGAAGAGGGUUUCCAUCGAGUCGAUCCAAGACUCGACCAUUGCCGGUUCCACCUUCUCACCCUCAAAGGUCGGCGGAUGGAACUUGUUGAACUUGAUAAGAGCCGCUAGCGCACGCUCUCCUUCCACGUCUUCGGCCGUCACGUCGGGUGUAGUCGAUCCCGACGCCGCCGGUGGCACGAUCGCCGGCGGGGGACGCGCCGCCACCGGGACCGCCGCUAUGCCCUCACCCUCAGCUGGCUCAGGUACACGAGCCGAGGGCGCGGGCACAUCGCGUCCGUCCGUCGCCGUUGCGGCCGCUGCCGCUGCCUGCCGCUCCAAGAGCUCCUGGAGCCGCUCGAAUCGGUUCUCCUGGCGCUGCACCACAUCGGUCAGCGCGGACACUUGCGCUUGCAACCGAUCCAUCACGCUCGGUUCUCCCUGCUCGGGCACCUCAGGAGUCGGUGCCGGAGUAGAUCUACGUGUGUAGCGUCUUGGAGACAUUAGUCCCUGAAACGCAAAUACUCGGUUAAUCAUCUUAACCCGUUAACCUCGUCGCAAUUACGACACAUGACAACUUAAUGGCAAAAUCGGGCGGAAGCAUACAAGUGUACUCGUUCUAGGCUCUUGGCAUCAUGUCGUCGGCCGCCGACACAACCACCUCAAGAUAAGAACUUAUACCACUUGAAUUCGUCUCUAAUCACAACUAGAGACCUAUACCCACUUCGACCCAAUCGAAUUGACUUCCGCCAUCGUUAUAGGUUCACGUUCCGCUCACGCACCUAUAACCUUAGGGCUCACCAACCUAGGGUCUCCUAGGUCAUCCUAGACUUUCUCUCUUUACUUGCUCUCAUUGCUCUGAUACCACAAAAGACUGUCACGCCCCGCCCCGAAGCCACUACCAAUUUGUCACGGUUCGGUCGCGGCGACAGACCGCCGAACGGACAGCACCUCCCCUAUCCGCCCAAGGCUCAACAACAGGAAUGUGUACAAGAAUUUACCCAGGACUUUAAAUUCUAAACAUACACAUUCAACGAGGGCACAAACAGUGCCAACAACGAGAAGAGCAAGUAAUCCACAAGAUAUACGAGUGAAAUAAAGAGAGUACUUNNNNNNNNNNNNNNNNNNNNNNNNNCGAAGGCUUAAGGAGCGGAUUUGCCGCAAUGUGCAAUUAGGCGCUCCAAAAGUGGAUUUUGAUACAUAAGAGGGUUUUCUUCUCAGAUUGACCCUUCUCUAACCUAAUUGUGGUCUAUGCAACGCUACGGUGCGCUCGUUCGUCGAUCCGACGGUGUUACGCCGAAUAUUUGAGGAUCGAAGCGUUAAGCGGUACGAUGCCGCAGCUCGCCAGGCGAAAGCUUGCCAAAUCUGGAAAUGGAAUCGUAGCUGUGGUGUUUUGGGGAAUAAAUCCCAGAAUAGACGUAUGCGCGGAUGAGUAUUUUGGCAGUCGCGCGUGGUUGGGUGCGAGGCCGUGCGCGGCAUGCGCCGCCAGGCGCCGAUGCCGAGUGACGCACGAGCAAGUCGAACGCUAUAGAAAGGUGGUGAGUGUCCAUCCCGAAGCCAUCGGCUCCCUUUUGUCUUAAGUUUAUAUGAUUCAGCUAUGCAUUAAUUGACAUCUUGGCAUUGUGGGUAUAAAUGAGGUGUGGUUCUAUACCUUGCAUGUUCCUUGGUAAAUAAUAUUUGGCUAGUAUUUAUAUCUAGCAUGCUUAGGUUUAUAUCAUGUGAUGUGAACCCUAUAAUCGAGAGAUAAGUGUGAUGGGAAUUUAGUAAUGUAUUGACUAUUGCCAUUGGAAAUUGUAAAGAACGAGUGAAUCUAGUUUGAUAGUCAAACAAAGAACGAGUGACAUAUGUGGCAGUCAAGUGUAUAUAAACCUAGGACUAUAUGAUGAUUAAUAACCUAGAGGAAUCAGGGUAUUCUCGAGAUGAGGAUUGGAUCAUGCUCGCGGUCUGUUAAAUCUUGAUGAUGGAACCCACACAAGUAUGCCGCUCCGGCAUGUUGGUCCGCAGGAUGCCAAUGGCAGCGCCAGAAACGGUACCUGGUCCCCGAUAGUGUGAAGUGUAAUUCUCUACCUAUUCGAGAAUGGCUAGUGAGCUGUGGCGAGCCUUCGGUAAGCCAUUGAGAUUAAUAACAAGUAAGUAUGAGUUAAUGAAACGAGGUGAAUAGGUUCACUUGGACAUGAUAACAGGUUAGUGCUUACCUAUUUCAUUGUACAUGCAGUUGGCAUAUAUUAUGAGUGGGCAUAGGUAAGAGUAGUGUUUACUCGCUGUCAUUAUCGCCGUCCUUAUCUAUCUACUAUCGAUUAUCUAACUUCCGAUUGGACCUAGUGGGGAGAACGCGGAGUCGCCGGCGACGAAACCCACUGGAAACUAAGGAAGUUAGUUUCUCACCGCCCAUUUUACUACAGGGCCGAGCGCGAGUUCACACGGCGAGAUCGGGCGUAAGCCCGCCUUAGUGCCCUAGUUUGCAUUAGGCUACUUCCCUAUUUCUGCAUUAGAGUCACCUUUAUGCUUUGGAGAGUAGACGAUGUAUGGAUGUGAGAUAUUCUGCGAGAAGUAAGCAAUGUUCUAUAUUUGGAAGAUGAAGCUUUUAUUAUGUUUUGGAGGUUCAAUUGUAAUCAUUGUAUUAUAAGAAGCGUUGAAUGAAUGUAAUAGAUUAGAUGCGUCUCUCUUUAUCAAUUACUUGUGAGUGUUCUAUACUUGUAUCUUGCUCUUGGUGCGUGUGCACUGAUUGUGCUCUCGUUCUACAUUAUGAUGUGUAUGUAUUCAAGGUGUUUUUCCUGGUGGGACUUGUUGUAUCACUAUCUUGUUGUUAGCCUUGGGCGGACCAGGGAGUGCUGUCCGUCCGGCGUCUUUGAGCGCCGCCGCCCGAACCACAUUGGGUCAGCUGCGACGCGGGCGUGAACACCUAGUUUCAGUGUAUCCUCACUCGUCGGAGAGAUAGAUCUAGCUCACAGUCUGCGUUUAGGGUGUAUAGCCAUCCAUCCCACAAUAAAGGGGAUUUGCUCGUCGAGUUACUCCGGAGGUCUGCGGCGACUGGACCACUUGGAGGUCACGGACCACAAUGGAGUCGGCAGACGGUCCGCCGGCUUGGAGUUGCACUUGGAGCUCCUCCCAACUUUGGAUUGAAAGCUGUCAGCCCCGCAGACGCUACCAUUGGUCCGUCCGUGCGCGUCGAACAGACGCCGGACGGACACAGCACCUCCCUGUCCGCCCAAGGCUAAACACAGGAUCAUGUAAAACUAGUUCCCUAGGAAAUCAAACUUGCAAUACAUACAAUGAUCAAACAUAGCGAGGGCACAACCAGUGCCGAACUUCAAGAGCCAAAGAUCACAAGUAUAUAACAAGUGAAUAAAAGAAAGAGAUAUUAACUAUCUAUACAUUCACAUUUGACAUUCAACAUUUCAUCCAUUCAACCUUUAAUACAACUUUGAUUAUAUUUAAGCCCUCCAAAACUGAAUACAUAGAUGCAUCUACAUGGAAUAAUGCUACGCUAUCCAAAAUUAAUAUGUCAUUAUAACCAUGCACAACGAGGGUGACUCUUUACAUAGGAAAGCUCUACUAGCUAGCUAGGGCGGCUACAUGCCCUACCUCGAUACCUGCCUCGGUCGCUCACGUGUGUACUUACCUUCCAAAAACACACGGGGUUGAAAUAAUAGUAAAUAUAGUUCCCAGUGGCUUCGCCGCGCACUCCGCCGAUUUCCACUAGGGGGUCAAGUUGUGCACAGAUAGAGUAGACUAGAGAUACAUUGGAAAUUAAAACUGCUACCUAUAUCUUACUAUGCCAAUUCAAAUGCAAGGAAUGCAUGCGAAUAUCAUUUAUCAUGCUACGUAUGCUUUAAUAAUGUAAUGAAACAAAUACGACACAUAUGCAUUCCACUAACAUUACUAUGUCGUAAUCGUGGUAUAAGUCAAAUCUGCUUAUCAAUUCAUGUCAUUUACCCAAUCCACUAAGGUACCCCGCCUUUCUCAAAUCACAUAAGGUCGAAGGAUACCCCGCCCUUGUUUUCACCGUCAACAACUCUAAACACAUAGGUAAGGAGCACUACCCCGCCUCGUACCCGACUCCAAGAUCUCAAGUCCUAUAGAUGAAGAGCUACCCGGGGUCCGCCCAACCAUGACUCAAAUGCCUAAGGCGCAAGAGCUACCCGCUCUUCGCCGACUCUAACUCAAACUACAUAGUCAAGAGCUCCGCUCGUAGAUAAAGAGCUACCCGCUCGUAGUAAAGAGCUACCCCGCUCAUAGGUAAGGAGCACCCCGUCAUCAGGUAAAGAGUUACCGCACGUCAAAGUAAACGAGCUACCCCGCCUCAAAUCUAACAGGUGAAGAGCUACCCGCCCUUCCACCUGCACUCAUUCUCAGUCCAUAUGGGUAUGGGCAGCGACCUCCGCUCGUAAUCCCCACCCGAUGAGCUACCCCGCUCAUGAGCUAACCCCCUCGGUGACAAUCUUCAAGUUCCACAACACUAGGUUGUAAUGCUCAACCUAUGUUUAACAACAUUAUAUAAUGCCACUCGAUCUAUCCUAUGCUGUUCGCGACACUAGGUUUACGAUGCCACAUUGCCUCAUAAUUAACAAUAGGUUAACAUUCAAUUUCAUCUAGCAUAUAUGUUCUAUAGAAAGCCAACAUGCAUCAUAAUUGCUAAUAUGCCAUUUAUCACAGCAUGCAAUCCUUUCAUAAUGCACUACUGCAAUACAAUCUCCCAUCACACUAUGUCACAUGUCACGAGUUCAUUAACAAGCCAAGUUUCUUUAUUCCUUAUCUACAUAGAUUCAUGUCUCAACUUAAUCAUCAUGCAUUCUACGAGUUUUAAGUGUCAAGUCUAUAAUACUACACAACUAGACAUGCGAAUGCAAGAAAAUUAGAAAUUAUAACUAUCUAUAUCUAUAACUCAUAAGAACCACUAUUAUAUAAAUCAUGAUCAACUAUUUUACUCGGACAUAGAAGGAAGCGCCAUUGCUGUCGGAUAGACACCCCCACCUUUUAACAACAUUCCGAUUGCCGCUCUCACUCGCAAUCGCGUCCACGCGGCGGCACGCCGCUCGCCUCGACCGCUAUCCGCUGCGCGCCACCAAACGACCUCCGAUCACGCGAUGCCGAAAUUAUAGGUCUUCGCUUUCUCGCUAACGGUGCUCAAAUCCCGUUCCACGAUUUUAUGGAAGCGCCUCGACUCCCCAAGGUCAUAUGAACUCGACGCAACACUUGAUCAGCCGGACGUCGCAUCCGCUCGACAAUCGACGAACGCCUCGCUUCCUACGCGUUCGAGACGAAACAAUUAGGUAGUUCUGUGACCACUCAAAAUAGAUCAAACUCCAACUACUUACAAAAACCCACAUUUUUAACCCAUACGGUUUGCGGCAAUUAGUAAAAAUCCACCAUUAGUGGCUUUGAAUUUUAAGCUUUGAAUCAUCUAUUAAGCAUCAAAAGGUCCACUAAAUCCAUUUAUUACAGGAUUAAAACCUAGCUCUAGCUAACUCUACCAUUAAAGCCCUCAUUUUGGACCAUAUAUCUGCAACUACAUGGAAAAAUCCCCAUUAAGCUUUGGAUUCAAGUAUUAAUCAUGAGACUACCUGCUAGCAUUCCAUCUAAAUCAUUCUUAGAGAUGAAACCAACCUAAGAAAAUCACCAUUAGAGCUUAAGCCUACCUUCUGCAAAGCUUACUCCCAAACCCAAGAACAAGAUGAAGAAUGGUGAAGUCCACCUCUUGACCUUCUCUCCUUCUUCUUUCUCCCUUCUUAUCUCUUCUCCCUUCUGUUCUAUUUCGUUUAGAGAGAUUUGAGAGAGGGAGAGAGUAAUGUGAGGGAGUGAGGGAAAUGAGAAAAGAAGAGAGAAUAGACAUGCUCUCUUAAUCCCCUCUUGCAUAUUGUACAUUUCAAUAAGCCCCUCUAAUCUUCUCCAACCUGCAACAGCCCAAACUGGGUGUUUUCUGCUCGGGCACUGGACCCCCUGGUGAUGAGACCCGUCCCCGACGACCAGAAUUCAGGCAUUUUCAGACUUAGCAAAUUUUUCAGCCUUUUUCGUUUCGGGUGCCGUCUUUCGCUCGUUUUUUGCUCGUUUGACCUCCGAUUCUUUUCAAUCGAAACCGGAGACUCUCCAAACAUGUUUUCGAGCAUGUUUCCAUUCAUACUCGUUCAUCUCCGCUAAUGCCGGAUUUAGUUCAUGGUUCACGACAUUAGCCUUUCGGAUCCCGUUCCGCGCUACGCCGCCAGCGCGAAUCGCCCGAUUCACUCCGAACUUCACCAACUUCACGGAAACCCUUCAAAUGGCUCUCCAACCAAAUUUAACACGCAAUAUUCAUAAUUUUAGAAGUCCGGACCUUACAGAAAGAUGGGUUCAUGGGCGAGCCCUAAGGCCUCGCCACAGAUUGGGUGAUGAAAGUUAAAGGUUAAUGAAUGUCAUUGAACAUAGCCUAUUCUCGAACAUGUGAUCGAAUUAGUUAGCGAUGGUACAAACCUUAUUAUAUAUGCAUGCUAUCACUAUUCGAAUGAUUAUGGAUGGUAGCUAUAGUUUUCCUACUACCGCAUUAACAGCUUUUCAUGAAUAUUAUCUAUCUAUCUCCUGUUGUUGCUGUGCCCAUUGGACCUAUGUGGGAGCUCGCAGAGUCGGGCCGAGCCACUGGGAACUGAUGGAAGAUAUUCUCACCCACUUUAUUCCGUGGUAGGUACCGGUUGCCGAGAGAAGGACCGCGCAAGGGCAUCGCGCCCCGAUCAGUUGACCGUGCGUAAUAAAAUAGAUAGCUUUCCUUUUUGCAUUAGCACACUCUCAUGUUUGAGAGAGAUUUCAGGUAGGUGAGAUUGGAGCUAAUGUAUUUUGAGGAUCAAUGUAUUUCAUUUUGGAAAAUGAUGUAAAUGUAAAGAAUGUAAACUAUUAUAAUAGUUAGUUUAGAAAGCAUAAGGAAUGGAGCUACUAUGCAAUCCUACAAUGCAACAUGAAGAGAUGAGAUCAAAUGCAAUCUAAGACAUAGAAAGGAGUUCGAAAGCUUCGGGAUGACACCCCCCACCUUUUACCAACGUAGAGGUUUUAGAAGCGCUCCUCGACGAGCUUUACGAAAAGGCUUUUGCCUUCCCUAAUCCAAGAUAGCGCCGAAACGACCGUAAUUCGCCGAUUGUUCUAAGUCCGCUCGACGAAUCGCGAAAUCGACUUCGCCCCCGCGUUUGGGCACCUAUCGAUGAGGUUUACAAGGCCUCAAAUGAGAUCAAUCUCAUACUUUACAAAAUGCCCCCAUUUGGAGCCCUAGGUUUGCACAUAUAGCAAACCACCAAUAAAAUCCUAGAUUCUUGGGAUUGAUCUACUUAGAAGCAUGCUUGGGGUCCAUUUGACCCAUUCCAAAGCAUAAAACCCAAAAACCCUAAGUUUACAAAGCUAGGGUUUAGUAGCUUACCUCAAGAGCUACACCAAUGGGAAGAGGAGAGGGAGAUGGAGGUGCUCAAAGCCUUCCUCUUGAUCUCCUUCUUCUUCUCCUUCCUUGUCUUCCUCUUCUUUUCCUUCCUCUCCUUCUUGUUCUCCUUCUCCUUCUUUCCUUUCUAGAGAGAGAGGGAGAGAAAUAGAGAGAUGAGAGUGAGAGAGAGGAAUGAGAGAGUGUGAGGGAGAGAGAGGGCCCAGCCCACUCUAAUAAAGGCCAUUUUGCAUUUAGACCCCUCAACUUUUAACCCCUUGCGCAGCCCUCGCUGGGCAGUUUUCGUGCGGAGGGACCGGUCUCCCCGACUUGGGACCGGUCCCCGAGAGCGUCCCUCGGGCGCACGCGUUCGAGUACCGGUCUCUCCCCGGGAGACCGGUCCUCGGGAGACAGGUCCUCGCCUGAGAGACCGGUCCCCGAGAGCUCAAUUUUCAGGACUUAGCCAAAUCUCGGCAUUUCUCGCUGGAACCACGUUCGGGAACCGGUCCCUCACUGCCAGGGACCGGUUGCACCAUGCAACCCCGCACGCCCAGCCGAUGGGACCGGUCUCUCACCUCCAGAGACCGGUCCCCGAGAGCAACUUCAGCCCAAUAAUGCUGUUUGCAUCGUUAGCUCUCGUGGACUCAACUCCAAAGCACUUUUUGUGUUUUGGACAUUUUUAACUUCCCCAGAGGGUAUUCUCUCGACAAAUAGUCGAUCCUGGACGAAUGAUAACUCUCGAAUUUCGAGAAUUCACUUCCUUACACUUGUUCACCCAAAAGGAGUUGAAUAUGCGGCAACGGCGGUGGUUAGAGUUACUAAAAGACUACGAUGUCACUAUACUAUACCACCCCGGUAAAGCCAAUGUCGUAGCCGAUGCGUUGAGUAGAAAAUCGGCGGAUAACCUAGCGACGGCAAUUACGCCUCAACCGCUAUUGCACAAGGAAAUGCAACGUCUUGGGUUGGAAGUGGUAGCGCCGGGAGUGCCGGCUACACUUGCCGCAUUAGUUGUGCAACCGACCCUACUCGAGAGAAUCAAAGAGUCACAAGCUUCGGAUCCGUAUCUCCAAAAGGUUCGAGGUGAAGUUGAGAAAGGUAGUGCCGAAGAUUUUGGCAUUGGAGCUGAUGGCGCACUUCGAUUCCGAAAUUGAUGGUGUGUACCAAAAGAGGAUGAGUUACGAAGGGCAAUCAUGCAAGAAGCACACCAAUCCCCUUAUAGUAUACACCCCGGCGGCACCUAAAUGUACAAGGACUUAAAAGAGCAUUAUUGGUGGCCGGGCAUGAAAAGAGAUAUUGGGGAAUUCGUGGCGCAAUGUCUAACGUGCCAACAAGUGAAAGCCGAGCGCCGAUUCCCGGCAGGAAAGCUACAAAGUUUAUCUAUACCCGUUUGGAAAUGGGAAGACAUAGCGAUGGACUUUGUUACUGGUUUGCCUCGAUCACAAGGCGGACAUGAUGCGAUAUGGGUGAUAGUGGACCGAUUGACAAAGUCGGCACAUUUCUUGCCGAUACAUACUACGUGGUCGGGAGACAAGUUAGCUCAAGUCUAUCUCGAUGAGGUUGUGAGGCUUCAUGGGGUGCCGGUAUCAAUUGUAUCGGAUCGAGACCCCAGAUUCACAUCCCAUUUUUGGAAGCGUUUGCAAGACGCGCUAGGCACACGGCUCAACUUUAGCACGGCGUUUCAUCCUCAAAGUGAUGGACAGUCGGAGCGAACGAUACAAAUCCUUGAGGACUUGCUUCGAGCGUGUGUGCUAGAUUAUAGAGGAGGAUGGCAUGAUUUCUUGCCUAUGGCGGAGUUCGCCUAUAAUAACAGCUAUCAAGAAAGUAUCGCUAUGGCGCCGUUUGAGGCACUAUAUGGACGUAAGUGUCGUUCUCCUAUCCAUUGGAGCGACGUGGGCGAGAGAGCGGCUCUUAGCCCAGAUGUAGUGCGGGAGGCGGAAGAGAAAGUUCGUCUUGCCCGUCAACGGUUGGCGACGGCGCAAUCUCGGCAAAAGAGUUAUGCCGACAAGCGAAGAAAGGAUUUAGAGUUCGCGGUUGGAGACCGUGUAUUUUUGAGAGUGUCGCCAAUGCGAGGAGUCAAACGAUUUGGGGUCCGCGGGAAGCUAAGUCCCCGGUAUGUCGGACCGUUUGAGGUAUUGGAGCGUGUAGGUGCGGUAGCGUACAAGUUCGCCCUACCACCGAAACUCGCGGGAGUUCACAACAUGUUUCAUGUGUCCAAUCUCCGAAAGUAUAUUCGCAACUCGACACAUGUAUUAGAGUACGAGCCCGUAGAGUUACGCGAAGAUAUGUCUUAUGAGGAGUACCCGGUGUGCAUCCUCGAUCGAGAAGAAAGAAAGCUGCGGAGUCGCAGAAUUCCAUAUGUGAAAGUCCAGUGGAGCAACCAUGCGGCGAGAGAAGCCACUUGGGAGCUCGAGGAGACCAUGCGGCGAGAGUAUCCGCAUCUAUUUGAGUCGACGAGUUAAGGUAUGCGUAAUUUCGCGGAGGAAAUUAUUUUAAGGGGUGGAGAAUGUAAUAUACCGAAAAUUCGAAAAUAAAAUAUCGAACUUUAGUCAAAUUGACCAAAGUGCGAGGAUGGUACACUUCGGAAAGUCCGAAGGUGUUAAAAUAAUUAAAAGUGAGUUAUGGGAGGUUUUCGAGAGCUUGGGAAUCAAAUUCUGCAAAACUGCAGAUUUUGAGCUCUCGGGGACCGGUCCCUGGUGGGAGAGACCGGUCCCCGAACGCGUAUGAAGUGAGACAGCCGAAAAAUCGGCAAAGUCCUGAGAAAGUAGCUCUCGGGAACCGGUCCCUGCCUGAGAGACCGGUCCCCGAGAGACCGGUCCCCCAAGGAGAGACCGGAUGCAUCGCGCGCAGCAGCCCUGCGCUGCGCUGGGACAACCUUCGAGAACCGGUCCCUGAAGGAGAGACCGGUCCCUGCCUGCGCGAACUGCCCAGUUCGGGCAGUGUAUUAAAGUGAAAGUUGAGGGGUUUAGUUGCAAUUUGGCAACCCAAUAGCUAUGUUAUGGGGCCUAAUGAGAUAUUUCUCUCAUUUCCUCACCCUCUCACACUCUUUUCUCUCCCUCUCUCUCUCUAGAAGACAAAGGAGAGGAAGAAGACAAGGAAAAAGAAGAAGAAGAAAGUGAAGAAACUCCCUCUCCCUCAUCUCUAGCUUGGAAAAGGAGAGCUUACAAGGUAAGCUUUGAACCCUAAUCAUGGUAGAACCUAAUCUAGGGUUUGGAUUAAGCUUAAAAUGGGUUUUAUGGAAUCAUUUGAGUCUUUUGAAGCUUUCUUUUGCUUCUUUAGAGAUCAAGACUAUGGCAUGAGUGUGUUGGGUGAAGCUUGAGGUGAGCUUGACCCCUCUCAUGGUGAAAUCCAAACUAGGGUUUGGAGUGAGCUAAGAAUGGUUUAGAUGGACUAUUUAGAGUAUAAUGAAGCUAAUUUUGCUUCUCAAUGAGAUCAAACCCUAGGUUUGAUAUAUGUAUUGGAGCUAGGGCACCAAAUUGGGGCUUUUGCUCAUAGAGAUUUAUAAGUGCAAUUGACCCUCUAGAAACCUAAUUGGGGGUAUUUCCGAUGCGUUGGUGCGCUCGGAAAAGCAUUUCGAAAAGUGUACGUAAAGUUAUGAGCAAAAUGGCCUAAGAUGGCUUCGUUUUGCUGCAGGUAAAGAACGGGGAAUCUAAAAAUCUCAAGAAAAUUGUCGGAGCACCUAAGUAAACCUAUGAGGUGGGUGGUGCUUUCCAAACUUAUUGAAAUUCUCUCUAUGCCUAAUGUGUCAUUCAUUUGAGCAUAUGUUAUAUAAUUGUUGCAUGCAUUUAGGGUUAAGUAAUGAAAAGAAUGUGAUGUUUGCAUGAUUGUGAGUACAACUUGCAUAAUGAGAUGGUUGAGAACCUUAUGAAUGUUAAGAACCCUAUAUGUAUGCAUGAGAUGAAAAGUGAGUACCAAAGUGAGGCAAAAGAACCGAGUGGCACAUGACAUAGAUCGAGUGGCAUUUGAAAAUGUAAAGUAAAGUGACACUAGAGUUAGUGUGAGGCAAAGAACUAACGUGAGGUAAAGAAUGAUGACAAUGAUCAAAGCUAAAGUAAAGUGAAGCAAAGAACGUGAAAUGAGUAAAGAACAUGAAAGCUAAAGAUAGCCAAAAGCAAAGAAAUGUAAAGAACUUGAUUGCUAGAGUUAGCAACAUAAAGUGAUGUAAAGAACACUAGAGUUAGUGUAAUGACAAGAUUGAACUUACAAUCCUUUGAGUUAAGGAUUCGAUCAUACUUGCUAUGAGUUCCGUGCUCGAGGGCGGUCGCUCCCCCUCGGGCGAUGCGCUCCGGAGUUAUGCAUCACGGGUUGGAGUAAACCCGAAGGACGGUCCUAGCGGGUGAGUUCCUGCGAUGAUGGACUUAAUGUGAAGCAAGCUUAAAGUGGCGAAACCCCCGGGUUAGCCUUGAGAUUAAAGAACAGAGAGCAAAGAGUAAAGGAUAAAGAAUAAAGAACAAAGAGUAAAGACAAAGAAUGAAAGAACUUGCAUAAUUUGCAUAUAUUCAAUGUUGAGCAUAUUUCCUGCUUUUGUUCAGGCAUAUUAGCAUCAUAUUAUAGUUGGUUACUAUUCUACCUAUCCUUUCUAUUAUGCCUGAGUUAGUCCUAGUGGGAAAGUCGGUGAUGUUGAGGCCGAACCCACUGGGAACUUUGUUGUAGUUCUCACCCCACUAUUUCCACAGAGCCGGGACCGAGCGAGCCGGCGAGCGACCGAGGUAAAGGUAUCGCGCCUUAGACAGAGGCCACCAGAGUUGGGUUUACCUUUUGUUAGUAGCUACCCUAUGUUCAUCUUUUCUAUUUGAUGACUAGUGAUGUAAAAAAAAGAAUGUAAAGCUUAAUUGAGAUAAAUGUGAUGUAAGAAUGAAAUGAUGAAAUGAUGUAAUGAAUAGCAAGGAAUCAAGAAUGUAAGAGAAGAAUACAUGUAUGUGAUCUAAAGUGAAUCAUACUACUUGUGUAGAUGUUUAGUUUCCUAUCUUUCACUAAUGGCUAUUGCUUACCCUCGUGUAAGCCAUUUUUGUAUGUUUCCGCUAGUGCAUUUCUUGUUUGAAUUUGUACAUGUGAUGAGCCUUGAACGGAUAGGGGAAACUCUGUCCGUUCGGCGUCGAUUUGACGUGCUCGGGCCGGCCCAAAUUGGUAUCGGUCCCGGGGCGUGACAGUUACGCCCUAACAGUAUAACUUUACAAACAGUACUUUUUCUCAUUCAAUCGAACGAAGAGUAAAACCAAAUUAUAUUAUUCUAUUAUGUCCCAAGAAUGCAAAUUUGCAAUGUAUCGAUGUCAACGUUCACAAGAAUCAAAACCGGAAGAACAUUAGAAUACUCAGUUGCGCCCUAACAGCAUAACUUUGCAAUGAGUACUUUUUCUCCUUCAACCGAACAAAGAAUAAAACCUAAUUAUAUUAUUCUAUUAAGCCCCGAGAGUGUAAAUUUGCAACGUAUCGAUGUCAACGUUCAUAAGAACCAAAACCGAAAAAAUAUUACACUACUCAGUUGCUCCCUAAUAGUAUAAUUUUGCAAUGAGUACUUUUUCUCAUUUAAUCGAACAAAGAGUAAAACCUAAUUAUAUUCUUCUAUUAUGCCCUAAGAGUGUAAAUUUACAAUGUAUCGAUGUCAACAUUCACAUGAACCAAAACCGAUACAACAUUAGACAACUCAGUUACGCCCUAACAAUAUAACUUUGCAAAUAGUACUUUUUCUCAUUCAAUCGAACAAAGCGUAAAACCAACUUAUAUUAUUCGAUUAUGCCCCGAGAAUGUAAAUUUGCAACGUAUCGAUGUCAACAUUCACAAGAACAAAAACCGGAAGAACAUUUGACUUCUCAGUUGCGCCCUAACAACAUAACUUUGCAAAUAGUGCUUUUUCUCAUUCAAUCGAACAGAGAGUAAAACCUAAUUAUAUUGUUCUAUUCUGCCCCGAGAAUGUAAAUUUCCAACGUAUCGAUGUCAACGUUCAUAAGAAACGAAACCGAAAAAAUUUUAAACUACUCAGCUGCUCCCUAACUGUAUAACUUUGCAAUGAGUACUUUUUCUUAUUCAAUCGAACAAAGAGUAAAACCUAAUUAUAUAGUUCUAUUAUGGCCUGAGAGUAAAAGUUUGCAAUGUAUCGAUGUCAACGUUCACAAGAACAAAAACAGGAAAAACAUUAGACUACUCAAUUGCUCCCUAAUAGUAUAACUUUACAAUGAGUACUUUUUCUCAUUCAACCGAACAAAGAGUAAAACCUAAUUAUAUUGUUCUAUUAUUCCCCGAGAGUGCAAAUUUGCAACGUAUUGAUGUCAACGUUCACAAAAACCAAAAUCGGUCCAACAUUAGACUACUUAGAUGCGCCCUAACAGUAUAACUUUACAACGAGUACUUUUUCUUCUUCACUAAAAAAAGAGUAAACCCUAAUUAUAUUGUUCUAUUAUGCCUCGAGAGUGUAAAUUUGUAACGUAUCGAUGUCAACGUUCACAAGAAACAAAACCGAAAAAAUUUUAGACUACUCAGUUGCUCCCUAAUAGUAUAAAUUUGCAAUGAGUACUUUUUAUCAUGCAAUCGAACAAAGAGUAAAACCUAAUUAUAUUGUUCUAUAAUGCACCGAGAGUGUAAAUUUGCAACGUCUCGAUGUCAACGUUCACAUGAACCAAAACCGGAACAACAUUAGACAACUCAGUUGCGCCCUUACAAUAUAACUUUGCAACGAGUACUUUUUCUAAUUCAACUGAACAAAGAGUAAAACAUAAUUAUAGAGUUCAAUUAUGCCCUGAGAGUAUAAAUUGGCAGUGUAUCAAUGUCAACGUACACACGAACCAAAACCGGACCAACAUUAGACUACUCAGUUGCGCCCUAAUAGUACAACUUUGCAACGAGUGCUAUUUCUCAUUCAACCGAACAAAGAGUAAAACCUAAUUAUAUUGUACUAUUAUGUCCCGAGAGUAUAAAUUUGCAACGUAUCAAUGUCAACGUUCACAAGAAUACUCAGCUACGCCCUUACAAUAUAACUUUGCAACGAAUACUUUUUCUCCUUCAACCGAACAAAGCGUAAAACCUAAAUAUAUUGUACUAUCAUGCCCCGAGAGUGUAAAUUUGCAACGUAUCUAUGUAAUGUUCACAAGAACCAAAACCUGAAGAACAUUACACUACUCAGUUGCGCCCUAACAGCAUAACUUUGCAAACAGUGCUUUUUCUCAUUCAAUCGAACAAAGAGUAAAACCUAAUUAUAUUGUUCUAUUAUGCCCUGAGAGUAUAAUUUGCAACGUAUCGAUGUCAACGUUCACAAAAACCAAAACCGGACAAACAUUAGACUACACAGUUGCGCCCUAACAGUAUAACUUUACAACGAGUACUUUUUCUCCUUCAACCGAACAAAGAGUAAAACCUAAAUAUAUUAUACUAUUAUGCCCCGAGAGAGUAAAUUUGCAACGUAUCUAUGUAAUGUUCACAAGAACCAAAACCAGAAGAACAUUAGAUUACUCAGUUGCGCCCUAACAGCAUAACUUUGCAAACAGUGCUUUUUCUCAUUCAAUCGAACAAAAAGUAAAACCUAAUUAUAUUGUUCUAUUAUACGCCGAGAGUGUAAAUUUGUAACUUAUCGAUGUCAUCGUUCGCAAGAACCAAAACCGGACCAACAUUUGACUACACAGUUGCGCCCUAACAGUGUAACUUUACAACAAGUACUUUUUAUCCUUCAACCGAACAAAAGAGUAAAACCUAAAUAUAUUGUAUUAUUAUGCCCCGAGAGUGUAAAUUUGCAACGUAUCUAUGUAACGUUCACAAGAACCAAAACCGGAACAACAUUAGACUACUCGGUUGCGCCCUAACAACAUAACUUUGCAAACUGUUCUUUUUCUCAUUCAAUCGAACAAAGAGUAAAAUCCAAUUAUGUUGUUCUAUUAUAUGCCGAGAGUAUAAAUUUGCAACUUAUCGAUGUCAUCGUUCAUAAGAACCAAACCGGACGAACAUUAGACUACUCAGUUGCGCCCUAACAGCAUAACUUUGCAAUGAGUACUUUUUCUCCUUCAAUCGAACAAAGAGCAAAACCAAAUUAUAUUGUUCUAUUUUGCCCCGAGAGAGUAAAUUUGUAACGUAUCGAUAUCAACGUUCACAAAAACCAAAAUCGGAGCAACAUUAGACUACUCAGCUGCGCCCUUUCAAUAUAACUUUGCAACGAAUACUUUUUCUCAUUCAACUGAACAAAGAGUAAAACCUAAUUAUGUUGUUCUAUUAUGCCCCGAGAGUAUAAAUUUGCAGCGUAUCGAUAUCAACGUUCACACGAACCAAAACCGGACCAACAUUAGACUACUCAGUUGCGCCCUAAUAGUAUAACUUUGCAACGAGUAAUUUUUCUCAUUCAACCGAACAAAGAGUAAAACUAAAUUAUAUUAUUCUAUUAUGCCCCGAGAGUAUAAAUUUGGAACGUAUCGAUGUCAACGUUCACAAGAACUAAAACCGGAAUAACAUUAGACUACUCAGUUACGCCCUAACAGUAUAACUUUGCAAACAGUACUUUUUCUCAUUCAAUCGAACAAAGAGUAAAACCAACUUAUAUUAUUCUAUUAUGCCCCGAGACUGUAAAUUUGCAACGUAUUGAUGUCAUCGUUCACAAGAACCAAAACCGGAAGAAAAUUAGACUACUCAGUUGCGCCCUAACAACAUAACUUUGCAAACAGUGCUUUUUCUCAUUCAAUCGAACAAAAAGUAAAAUCUAAUUAUAUUGUUCUAUUACGGCCUGAGAGUGUAAGUUUGCAACGCAUCGAUGUCAACGUUCACAAGAACCAAAACGAGAAAAACAUUAGACUACUCAGUUGCUCCCUAAUAGUAUAACUUUACAACGAGUAUUUUUUCUCAUUCAACCGAACAAAGAGUAAAACUAAUUAUAUUGUUCUAGUAUGCCCCGAGAGUGUAAAUUUGCAACGUAUUGAUGUCAACGUUCAAAAAAACCAAAACCGAACCAACAUUAGACUACUCAGUUGCGCCCUAACAGUAUAACUUUACAACGAGUACUUUUUCUUCUUCAACCGAACAAAGAGUUAAACCUAAUUAUAUUUUUCUAUUAUGCCCCGAGAGUGUAAAUUUGCAACGUAUCGAUGUCAACAUUCACAAGAAACGAAACCGAAAAAAUUUUAAACUACUCAGUUGCUCCCUAACAGUAUAACUUUGCAAUGAGUACUUUUUCUUAUUCAAUCGAACAAAGAGUAAAACCUAAUUAUAUUGUUCUAUUAUGCCCCGAGAGUGUUAAUUUGCAACGUAUCGAUGUCACGUUUACAAGAACCAAAACCGGAACAACUUAUGACUACUCAGUUACGCCCUAACAGUAUAACUUUGCAAACAGUACUUUUUCUCAUUCAAUCGAACAAAGAGUAAAACCAAAUUAUAUUAUUCUAUUAUGCCCCGAGAUUGUAAAUUUGCAACGUAUAGAUGUCAGCGUUCACAGGAACCAAAACCGGAAGAACAUUAGACUACUCAGUUGCGCACUAACAGCAUAACUUUUCAAUGAGUACUUUUUCUCCUUCAACCGAACAAAGAAUAAAACCUUAUUAUAUUGUUCUAUUAUGCCCCGAGAGUGUAAAUGUGCUUUGGAGCAACCACGACGAGCGCGAGGCCACUUGGGAGUUGGAGAGCGCACUGCGGGAGCGCUAUCCCCAUCUUUUUCAGAUGGAUGCUUGAGGUACUGGUCUUUUCGAGUUUUGCGGACGAAACUCCUUUUUAGGAGGGGUGAAUGUAACCCACUGGACCUUUGCAAAUUGCGAGGUUCGAGUGAUUGGAUGUGUACCGAGCUGUUCCACACUUGGUGGAGGGUCGUAGAAUGUUUUCCGACCUAAAAAGUUCGAACCUGAAUUUUGGAUGAGUCCUGAGAGUUUUUACUCUGGGGGACCGGACCCUGAGAGGAGAGACCGGUCCCCCAGUGAGCAGUGUGCGGCAGCUGGCGAGGCAACCGGUCCCUGGCAGGCGAGACCAGUCCCUGAGCGCGUCUACGCGGGGAGAGACCGGUCCGGUGCGGGGAGAGACCGGUUCCCGAACGUGGUUUUUCUGGGGGCAGGCCGAGAGACCGGUCCCAUGUCGGGGAGACCGGUCCCUCUGGGCGAAAACUGCCCAGUCCGAGCUUUGCACAGGGAGCAAAGUUGAGGGACUUAGUUGGAUUUUGUUACACUAGAUGGCCUAUAUGGCCACUCCACUCUCCCUUCUCCUCAUUUCUCCCCUCACACCCUCUCCACACCUUUGUUAGAGAGAGAAGAAGGAGGAGAAGAAGAAGGAGAAGAAGAGGAGGAGGAUCUAGCUUGGACUUGGAGCUUUUCUUUUUCCUCUCCUUCUCUUCCCACCUUGUUGUUGCUUGAAGGCUUAGACUUGGAGCUUGCAAGAGAGGAGACCUUCACCCUCGGAGCUUGGAUUGAAGCUUCUAAGGAGGUUAGUUGCUCUUUUCCUUCCUCUAGACCUUGAUUUGUUGGUUUUUAGGAGAUGGAACCCUAGAAUGGGAUCUUAGGGUUUAAUUUGGGCGUUUUGAUUCUAGGGCUUUUGAGGCUAGAUUGUUUGGAUUAGAACCUUCCUUGGGCUUGGAUUGGAAGGGUUCUAGCUCUCUUUUGGAGCUUUGGAAGAGAUUUCAUCUCUUGAGGUGAGUUUUGGCCCUUUUGGCUUCUAGGUUAAUGUUUGAUCUUAAAGUUGAUCAUAAUGCCCGUGUAUCUCUUCGCUCAAUACUUUUAGGGUAUUUUGAGACUCGUGGACAACUUCGUUCGGCGAAACGAGGCACUACGCGACGGUUUGGUGGGUUUGACCUAGCCUUUAUAUGAGAAAUUCUCAUAUAUGGUGAUNACCGAGAACUAACCUUUCCUCGACACCAACCCAAUCACCCCACAUGGGUGACAUCGUCACCAAACGUCAUAUCCAACCGCGAAUUCACGACUUCGCCGGCGCCUAACAGCACAAUUUAGCUAUCGCAAUUGUGCACGGUGAACCUUCUUCUCCGCCCAAUCCUAGAGCGACUCUUUCGCUCACCAUAUUCUAACGGAUAGGGACCGACCUACCCUUCCAGUGAGAGUCUCAACUACCAUCGCCAUAUGAUUACUGGCACACUCUCCCAACCUCACAGCUAAGCACCUAGGCUUCAACUCAUCUUGUCCUCCUCGACCAAUCGUCAUCCCGAGGACGAAAUGCAGUACAUAAACAGCACACCGUCUACCUUUCAAAUUUCCACCAGUUCCAUUAAUAGUGCGAAUCGAUAUCCAACGAUUCACCAUAUUCCGAUACCAAUCCCAGUCGAUCACACGAGGGACAUAUUUUGCCUCGAUCGCCACACUAGCUCAACUCCUUUCGGUUGGCACAUUUCAACAUGGGCGCUCUUAAUUGCCUCUUACCAUUCAACCAAUCAUUGCCUGCACACUCUACCCGUCGGGCCGGAGUCGUCAUCAAUCACCCUCACUUAACGACGUCAAUCAAUUCCGCCAAACACCACUCUCCUUCGAGAGCAAUACCACCUAUCGAUUUGAGUGGUUAACCAUCACUUCUCAUACAUAGAGGUAGACCUCCUCGAUCCACACGAGAGUCCACCAAUUGGUACUCUACCAUUAUCGCCACUCGAGAGUCUAUCUCACCAGGUAUGACUCUUUGUUACAUCCACGCUCCCCGAUGAACCUCACUCAGGUUCUUCAACCUGCAUCACUUCACGCGAUAUUUACCGUGCAUCGCCCAACCGCGAAUGCUUCAACCACAUAUGGACUUCGACUCUACAGUGAGAUGGCUCAUUUCGGCACAUCUACCAACUUCGGUUCCCUAGGAGCCUAGUCUUUCCAAACCUCACGUGGCUUAAACCACCCCAACGUCUAUUGGAGAACACCUCCAUUUCUCUAUCACGUCCCAACAUCGCAUCACUUUCGCGAUGAGUUCCCGCGAACACUUUGUUCGUGUAUCUAAUCGCAACUUACCAACAGCGCCAGACUUGGCAAUUCCAACACGCGAGCAGUACGACCGAGCCUCCGCUCCAAUGGUCACUACGCUUAAACCACCAAUUCACUAUUGGUCAACUAGAUUGUUCACCUCAGUUACCACAGGUGGUCCACAGACCAACCAUCCAACGUAGGCUUACCGCCAACCCGUCUCGAUACUACGCAGCGUCUCUCAUUCGUAACGCAGACCCAAUCAUCACUUAGUGAAAGUCCUCAUUUGAGACUUCGCACACACUCCAACCAGGAGACCUCAACCACUCCAUAUCCUUGGGUCAUAAUCACGCUUACGACUCAUUAUAACGAGCCAUGUUCACCUUUAUCGGCUCUUAAACAUCUAAGCCCUCUCAAUUUCUAUAUCUAUAAACAGCCCUUACUGGGCAAUUCCCGCAGUCGGGGACCGGUCUCUCCCCGCAGGGACCGGCCUCUCUCUACAAUGCAACCGGUCUCUCACCGAAGGACCGGUCUCACGGGGACCGGUCUCUCCUUCAGGAACCGGUUCCCGAGAGCUCAAUUUCCAGGACUUAGCCGAUUUUUCUCCUCUGUUCGGCUGCUGCGCGCACGGGACCGGUCUCUCCCUGCAGGGACCGGUCCCCGAGAGCCCAAAUUCUGGAACUUCACCAGAAUUGCAGUUUCGCUCUCUCGGGUCCCCCUACACCAUAAGUAUAGGCUCCAAAGCACUCUUAGCCUACACCAACUCAUUCCAUUCCGCGUUCCGCUCGUUUCGACAGAACUCGGCACGACAUACAGGAAUGUGAUACGCUACAUUUGCACCUUAUACUUGUGCUCGAUCUUAUGCUUACGAUACACAAGCAUGAAUUUUCCUCAGCAUUGUUGAGGUACCACUCGGCCACUCGCCAAAACUCGGCGAUUGCUCGACUAGCUCCACCACAACGGGGACGUUACAACCACCACUCGAGCCCUGGGAACAUCACCCGAACUCUUGAACCACAGGGUCAUCCUCAAGCAUCCCGACUUAACUCUCACAAUUUCGCUACUCAUAUUGCCUAGAGAGUUAGUCCAUCAACUCCACCUCUAUCUCGAGCUUAACUCUCGGCUCGCAACCGGCCACUUGCCGGUCUAAUCCAAUCACGCCUAUCCACUUAGUAGGUGAUAUCACUGUUACACAUGCAUACCAGGGGAUUAAUUUUAUCCACAUCUCGGUCUCAACUAUACUUAUGCAUGCAACGUUUCGAAUCCGCCUUAGAUCGGACCAUACAAUCUCUUCCAACGCACCACUCCUGCUACAACACCCUCAGUAGCAAUGGAUUCCACAACUAGGGUCGCUUUCUCAUAGCCACUUGACGCUCAUCGCGGACCCUCCGAUCGCAACAUCGACCAUACUUGCUCUCUAGACCAUGCCGCAGGCGACACACUCAUCGACGGUCUCAAAAGAUGGAAAUCGUCGCCCGCGCUAAGGUCCGGCUAUCUACCAACAGCACUCAACCCUUAUUCGGGUCGGUUGCCAACACCAACCAUAUCAUCUACCUCACAACGCACACCCCUGCGUCCGGUAGGAACCACCACAACCAACACCUCCCUACAAGGUCAACAAAAGACCUUGAAGUCGCAACCACGACUUUCUCGGGGUUGCCGAAAAUUUGAUCGACCACCCGACCGACUCAUCUAUCGGGUCACUCCCUAUCUCGCAACCAACCGGCACGAAUCCUCCAAAGAGAACUUCCACGGAGUCAUUCCAUACAUGUCCGUCCCACGGAUAUUACUCCAUCACAAUAAGCGGAUCAACUUCCUUAGGAAACCAUCCACAACUCUCAUGAGCCUCCAAUCCCUCUAUUCCCUGUGCAUUGCAGCCUCCUGCUGACAUUGCACCACGUCGGCUCGUCACUUUGCCACUACGACUAGUACAGUCAAUAGGCCUCAGAGCCCCAAGUCUCCACUAUGCUCGGCUAACUCUUGCACAUCACUAGUCCCGGUCCAUAUCGAUCUCCUUAAAGAUCGGCCACGCGUAACUACCGAACGUACAACAACUCAACCCUCAAAGUCAAGCGCGCGACACCUACACGCAACGCUAUCCACGACUCAAAUCCAGGCAAAAGUCAUGCAAGGGAGCCUAUUUUCAUCACUCGGUUUCAUGUUGUGUGCACCCAACACGAACACUCCAUAAUGAAAAUACACUACACCUUGGAUUCACCUCUAACAUCCGUUAUAGAGGCAUACCAAACACGACCCAAUUAGUUAACCUUUCGCCACAAUUUCAAAUCCUCGUUACAUUUCAAGAACCUAAAGCCUUACGGUUUCCCACCUAUAGUCCCUAAGUCCAUCCUAGACUUUUGCUUUCACUUACUCUGAUACCACUAUAUCUGUCACGCCCCGGGACCGCCAAUUUGGUCGGUUCGGGCACGUCAACAGACGCCGAACGGACAGCACCUCCCCUGUCCGCCCAAGGCUCCACCAAUACAUGUAUAACGAUAGCAAUUCAAACAUAAUGAAUGCAAGUAUACACGGCUUGCACGAGGGCAAGCAACAACCAAAUAUAAGUGAGAGCAGUCUAACUAUUACAUUUAUGCAUUGUAUCUUGAUCACUUUCAAUCAAAUACAAAGCUCAUGCAUUUCUUUACAUUCAUUCAUCUCAAUAUACAAUUGCAUCUCUCAAAUGAACUUAAUACAUUUCCACCUCUCACAUGAUUUUAUUACAUUUACAUUUUACAUUUUUACAUCAUCGACAUAAUAGAUGAAAUAUACAAGAGUGCCUCUAUACAUAAAGGUAGAACACUACCUAGAGCACGAUAACCACGCCACGAGCCCCGAUCGCCCCGCUCGCGCUAGAACCUGCAUGGUUAGUGGGAUGAGAACUAGAAGAAGUUCCCAGUGGGUUCGGCCACUGACUGCGCCGAUUCGCCCACUAGGUCUAUUUCAGGCAUAUGUAAUUCAAUAAAGAAGGAUAACAAACCAACUAAUGCACUUCUAAUACAAUGCCUGCAAGAAAGCAAAUCACAGAUAGAUAUUCAUAUUCAAAUACAUGAUGAUUAUGCAUGCAUGUCCUUUUCACUUUCCUUUAGUCUUUACACAAUCAACCUGGGGUGCUCCUGGUUUACCCCAACUCACAGUCCACACACUUUCCGUUGGCUUUUACCCAAUCAACCUGGGGUGCUCCUGGUUUACCCCAACUCACAGUCCACAUAUCCCGUCUAACGGGGGAGGCACAAGGCACAACCACCCGAAGGAUCUUCGCCGGGCACGUCCACCCGUGGUGUUUGUUCACUCCGGAGUACACCGCUUGUGGAGGAGCGACCUCCACAAGCCGGAACCAAUACAUGUGAGUAUGAUCCCCUCCUCAAUUUGAGGAGGUAUAGCCAAACCUGUCUCAAUGCCACAAUGCCGAUGAAAGGUCUUUUACUUAUUCAUGCAUAUACUUCCAUUUCCCAAUAUCACAAUGGUCCUGAUGCCACAAUAAGCUAAAUCUUGUUUAGUCAUUUCCUUUAACCAUGAUGCCACAAUACCGAUGAUAGGUCCUUACCUAUUCAUGUAUGUCACUUUACUAAGCCACAAUGGUCACAAUGCAUAGAAUGGUCUUUACUUUAUCUAGCAUAUCAUGCUCUUAGCCACUUUUGCCAUUAUUCUCAUAUUGCUCAUAAGGGCUUACCCUACUUAGCACAUCAAUUCAUAUUGUCACAAGGUCACAAUAUCUAGGGCCACACUUGCCACGAUGUCCACUAAUGGGAUAGUCAAUAUUUCACAAUGCUUUUAAGGUUUUACCUUAUCUAGCACAAUAUGUCCUCGGUGCCAAUCAUGUCACUAGAGUCAAUGUCACCUUUAUUUACUAUGGAUCAAGUCUUUUCUCACUUUCACAUACAUAUAGGGUUGUUCAUUUUCUCGUUCUCAUGGUUCUACAAUAUAUUUGCAAUGUUCAUAAGCAGAUAAUUGAUACAAUCAACAUUUAUCUCAUUACCCUACAUGCAUGAGUGCAACAUUAUCAAUAUGCUCAAAGAAGUGACAUAGACAUAGAAAGAGAUCCGGUGUUUCCGGACAGCACCCCCCACCUUGUAGGAAUGCCGAGAAGUUCCGAUUCAAUUUUCACGAUUUUUAGACACCUACGCCGCGAGCUGCGGCCAUCUGUACCAAUUUAGCUUGUUUCUUCAAUAUCUUCGUACCGGCUCGACGAAUCGACGAACCGAGCGCACCAACGCGUUCGUUGACCUACCAAUUAGGUUAACAAGAGAUCAAACUCAAGUUAGAUCUCAACUUUACAAAAUUCCCAAAUCUAACCCCUAGGGUUUAUCAUCUUUCCCAAAUAGGUCCCUAGACCAUAGAAAUCCAUGAAUAACCUCACCAUGACAUCUCCUAGAAGCUAGAUCUAGAAGGAAAAUACCAAACCCUAACAUCACAACCAUAAAACCUUCAAAUCUUAGGUUACUUAUCUCAAAUGGAAGCUCUCCUCCAAGCUAGGUUGCCAUGAGAGGGUUCCAUCUCCACCAAGCCAUCUUUUCUCCAUCAAAACUCCACCAUUGGAGCACCUCAAGGAGGGAGAGGGAGAGAUCUAGAGAGAGAGAGAGCUCUCAAGUUGGUGUUGGAGAGGAGAGAAAUGAGGGCUAAACCUCAUCUCUCCAACAUAUAAACUCAUAUAUACACAUUUGCACUUAACCCCCCACACCCCUCUAUGUUUAACACAAUGAUCCAGCUCAUACUGGGCAUUUUCGGGUCUCUGGGACCGGUCCUAGGGUUGAGAGACCGGUCCCCCGAAGGUCCAAAAAUUCUGCACCUUCCAGACAGCCAAAUUUUCAGCAUUUUCAGCUUCGGGGUCCGUUUUCGCUCGUUUUCGCUCGUUUGACCUCCGAUUCGUUUCAAAUCGAACCGAGACUCAUAAGACAUGUUUUCGAGCGUAUUUAAACCAUCUUUCCAUCCAUGCCCUUGCUAGAUUUAGUCCAUGGUCCAUCUUAGCCUUUCAGGCUCCGUUUUCGCCCCCUACGCGCAUUGAAGCAACCGAAUGCUUCCGAACUUCACCGUAACCAUUCUAACGGCUUUCCAAGCUAACAUACACCAUAACUUCAUAAUUAUAGAAGUUCGGUAUGUUACACGGGGUGUGACGCCUCGACUUCCCAGGGAUCACCCAUCCUAGGACUACUCCCGUCCUAGCACGCUUAACUCUCUUAACCUCUUGGGUCUUUGCCACCACCCAAAAUGCUUAAGCCGGGUUAAGAGUUUAGCCCUAUUAUAUCUUAUAUAUAGGACUAUCUGGGGUCUCACACGGGGCGUGACAGAGGCAGAGAAAGAGCGGGCUUUGACGGCCCUAAUGACCUUCAAGAAGUUUGAUCCGCCUGUCUUCAAUGGAGAGAAUGUUGAUCCAUGGAUCAUGGAGAUGUGGAUUGGCUCUAUGGAAACGCUCUUUGAGGAGCUGUACACCUUAGAGCGGGACAAGGUGCCCUUAACUGUGCAUUGCUUGAAGUAGUCGGCAAAGGUGUGGUGGAAAGGCAUUCGACGGAAUCGAUCGCCUAGUCUCCCUCCUAUGGCAUGGGAUGAGUUUCGGGGAUUGGUGUUUUCGACUUACUUCCCCGACACUGAAAAGAGAAAGCUCCAGGACAGGUUCAGGAAGCUGCGGCAAGGAAACCGCUCUGUGAGAGAAUAUGAACGGGAGUUCUCUCGUAUCGUGAAUUGUGUCCCGGAUGUGGUACGGGAUGACGAGGAUAUGGCCGAUUGGUUCCUGCGUCGACUUCGACCAGAGAUUUACGAGAGGGUGCAAAUCUUCAAGCUCACAAUCUUCGCGGAGGUGUUGGAUCAAGCGCUGUUGGCAGAGCACGGCGAGGCUUUUGUGCGUGAGGAGCACGACUCUUCUGAAUGUGAGCGGGGAGGGGUGAGGCCAUUGUCGAGCGGUUCGGGUGGACAAUCAAGUUCUAGGCGCCACUCGAAGUCGUCCUCUACCCGGUCCUCCCCCGGAUGCGUGAUUGGCGGUGGUUCCCACUGGGCUCGGCGAUGCGUGCUGCACGAUGGUAGGUGCCUUCGUUGUGGGCAGCCAGGCCAUAUGCGGGACGAGUGUCCGCAAGGGUAUGACCAGACCCUUCUUUGCAAACAGUGCUUUUUCUCAUUCAAUCGAACAAAGAGUAAAACCUAAUUAUAUUGUUCUAUUAUGGCACGAGAGUGUAUGUUUGCAACGUAUCGAUGUCAACGUUCACAAGAACCAAAACCGAAAAAAUAUUAUACUACUCAGUUGCUCCCUAAUAUACAGAGUUACUCGCACUGGCGAGUUAAGUACUAUGUACAUAAGCUCGAAAUAAAACAACUACCUGCAGUAGGGUGCCUCUAGCUCUGCUCGGCGGGUAGGGCUCUAACUCGCGACGCCCUUGCCUCGAUCCUAAUCCGCGGAAGGCGCAACAGCCGAAACCUGUGGCUCUGCAAAACAGGGGUAACAACUGGGUGUGAGAACUACUGUAAAAACAAGUAGUCCUCAGUGGGUACCGCCCAAAACAACAUCGGUCCACCCACUAAGUCUACAGAAGGGAGCAAGAAUAGUCGGAAAAGCAGGAAGUAAACUCUACCGCUAUCAAUCACUACACUAUCAUGCUCUACACUAACCAACUGUAGGAAAUGUCAAAUCUGACCCAAUCCAUCAGGCUGACUGUAGGCAUACCCGUCCCUGGGACUGUGUGAACACACCUGUCCCUGCCAGUUGUGACUAUCAGCUACCUCCACACUCUAGUCCGUGGAAAGCAAGUGCAACGGCAUGAGCGACACCAACGCGAAAGCAUAAACCGUCUCCAGAGUGGGCACUCGUGGGCGUACCCACCCGAGUAUGCAGCGUAUCUCUAUCGAGCUCAAUCAGGCUCUGUCAAGCCAAAGUCCAAGUAAACCUACUCUAACUGGUCUAACAACAACAAGUAACGUGCCUCGGCACAAUCUGACGCAAAACGGCGAACUGGCCCACCGUCAACCCCAACGCGCCAAAAUUCUGAAACAGCCCAAACGACCCUGUAAAAAUCCAUCGGCGUACCAGCACGAGCAUAAAUAUAUUCUAAACUACCUGGAGUACUCGUCUCGAGGAUACUGCGACAGUACAAUUUUAUAACGGCUCCUAGAGCUAAAUUUAGGCAGUUUAAACAAGUGACAGGUCCAAAUCGCAGGUUUUCUCCUAAUUUCAAAUUCAACUCAAACAUGUAUAACCUACUCAAUUAUUACCACAUGCUCCAAAUUCAGAUUUGCAAUCUACCAUAAUAAUCCAUUAAUUCGAGCUAGAAUAGAUUAUCCAAAAUUGAAAUCUAUACAUGUCGACGAUUAUGAACUUAGGAGUAAAACCGAUGUAAACCCACCUCAAAGCUAAUCCAUGGCAGCACGGAACUCCCUCGGCUGCGGCACAACCUGCUGGAUCAACUGAAAAUGUCCGAGUCUCGAAAUCAAGCUAUCUCCAAGCUAUCAACAUCAAAAAUCCACAAUUCAGUCCAAAUACACAGCAGCAGAGAAGAGAAGGGUUUCGACCAAGCUAACCUUCACCAAAAUCCAAAAGUAAUGGCUUCGUGGAUUCCUCUCGCAGUCCCGAAUCCAACGAACCAAGUCUCGUCGCAAUCCGAUGCUCCUACGUCGAGUACGAGCUGAAAUACUAACAGUCAACGAUGAAUUUCAGCAAACAACAUCACUUGAGUUCGAAGUAGUAAGAACUUGCCCAAAAACAAUGGAAAUGCUGAAUUACCCACCUCGACAACACCAAGCACCGAUGCGACAGCAAAAACGGCGAAAACCUACGCUCGCCCGGCCUCCUCGCGCUACCCCGGCAUCAAACAUGUGCUCGAAUGGCUCCGCGGCGCGACGUCGGCAACGAAAUCUCCAACCGAGCUCUCUUGCCUUCAACCGGUUAGAGAGAGUGAGAGGGGAAGAAAGAGCACAAGGAAACCCUCUCUCUCUCAGCUCACAGCAACCUUUGUAGAGAGGGAGUUGGAGGGAGAUACAAACGAGGUGGAGAUUUACACAAUUACCCACUCACCUACCCUGGUGUACCGGUACACGGGCCCGCGUACCGGUACAGUAGCCAACCCGAGAGCAACCCGCGAGCGGCCUUGUCACGCCCCCGACCGCACAACCCAAAAACGGUACCGAUUUGGUCCGGUCCGAGGGCGGCAGGCGUAAGGCAGAACGGACAGAGUCUCCCCUGUUCGCCCAAGGCUCCAACAACGAGACUGUGUACACAAGUUCCCAGGAAAAUAACUUGAAUACAUACACAAUCAAUCAAUAACAACGAAAGCACAAACAGUGCUAUACAAUACGAGAGCAAGCAUCACGAGUAAUAUAACCAUACAAGUGAAUAAAAGAGAGAUGCACUUAACUUACUAAAUUCGUUUAACUUUAUACAAUCAUUCAUCUUUUUACAAUUCUUCCAAAAGUAUAUAACAUAUACGAUCCUCUCAAAACCUCACCCUAUACAUCAAUCUACUCUCGAAAUAUAAAGCAUAGGGUGGAGCUAAUGCAAGGUAAAGUAAAGCUAUCUACUAGUACCACACCGCUAGGGCGCUAUGCCCUUGCCGCGAUCCUCACCGGGGGCGCUCGAGCUCGGACCUGCAACGUGGUGGAGUGAGAACUACGAAUAUUUCCCAGUGGGUUCGGCCGCCGACUCCGCCGAUCUCCCCACUAGGUCUUAAGGAGGCACGGAUAGAUAUGCAGAUAAAUAAAUAUAUGGAAACGAAAACAUAUUCAAUAAUGAGCAUCUAUGAACUAGAAUCUAUCAAUGCCUCAAUCCUGUGUAAUGCAUGCAUGGAACUCAUAGUAAGAUGGCCAACUAUCAACUACUAUGUUCAACAACAGAGUCAUUCAUCUAAUUACCCAAUCUCUCGGCGAACACAAAGGCUCGCUCACAGUCUCACGUGUAUCAAUCUCAUAGGGAAGGUGGCUAGGUAUCACCUACCCCGAGACCGCCUGCGGACUCUACACUAGUCCAAGGGCACUGCACUGGCCCCCUCGCGUGCCAAACUCCGGAGUGCACUACCUGUGAGGCGCUACCACCACAAGUGCAGACAGGCUAAGUAAGCUCGAUCCAAUCUCAUGAACUGGGAACACCCUAACCAACUAGGAUUGGUGUCACUGAAGAAUCAGGUGUUCAUCUACUCAAUCUCAUAGUGUCUCAACUACACUAUAGUUCUCAAGUUCGAUGUCAACAAGAUGCCACUCGUUCCGGGUUCCUUGUUAACUAGAUGCCACUCGUUCUUAUUACACUAGUUUACAAUAUACUAGGUUCUUAUUCACAUAGACAUAUUCAUCGCAUAUAGGGUUAACUACCUCAUAGUGUUCAACUCAUGCAUACUAGGUUCUCAUCCAUUGUAUUCACAACCCAAACUAUCACUAGCAUGCAAGGAUAUGCACAAUUACAUUUAACACCCUAUAAUGCUAUGUUACAGUAUGAAUUUAAUCGACAUAAUAACCCAGACAUAGAAAGCAGCUCGACUGCUUCGGGAUGGCACUCCCCCACCUUUUGGUCGUGCCGCGCGACUAGACAACUCGACGCCGCGGUCUUCGUGCGUCGCUUCAGCACCUCGGGGCAAAACGAACCCCCGAGUAUCAGUUUCGGCGAUAUCUUCGCACCCGCUCGUUGGAUCGACGAACCGUCUUCGCCUACGCGUUCAGCGACCAAGCAAUUAGGUUUAUGACCACUUGAAAUAGAUCAAAACCCUAGCUUUGCUAAAAACCCCAAAACGUGCCCUAGAUCUCGACAACGGAGAAAUCUGCGGUGCGAGCUUCGAUUUCGAGCUCGAACCAUCUCUUUAACUUCAAUAGGUUCCAUUCGAACCAUCUCCAAGCGAUAAAAACCCCAAACCCUAAAUACACCAUUAAUGGGUUUAGAGCUUACCUCAACACCAAGCUAAAGAGGGAGAGAAGAAGAUGCCUCCUUCUUCUUCUUAGUCUCCUCUUUCUCUUUCUCUUCCUUCUUCUUCUUCCUCUCCUUCUUCUUCUCCUUCUUCUUCUUUCCUUUCUAAAGAGAGAGAGAGGGAAAGAGUGUGAGAGAGGGAGAGGGAGCAACUGAGAGGGAGAGAGAGAGGUCCCCCCACCUCUAAUAAAGGCCAUUUUGCAGAUAGCCCCCUCAACUUUUCAUCUAAUACACAGCCCUCACUGGGUUGUUCUCGUAGCGAGGGACCGGUCCCAGGUCGGGGAGACCGGUCCCCGAAGACCACCCAUUCUGGCAGAGAGGAUUUCGCGUUCGGAAACCGGUCCUUACCUAAGAGACCGGUCCCCGGGAGACCGGUCCUUGUCGGAGAGACCGGUUCCCGAGAGCUAGGUUCUCAGGACUUAGCCAAAUUUCGGCAAAUCACGCGGGGCCAACGUUCGGGAACCGGUCCUUGCCUCCAGAGACCGGUUGCACCGAGGACCCCCGCCAGCCCAGCCUGAUGGGACCGGUCCCUCCCUGCCAGGGACCGGUCCCCGAGAGCAAAAUCUGCUCCAGUGCAGAUUUUUGCACUGCAGCUCUCGCGGACUCUUCCUCAAUGCAUUCUAGGCACUCCAAUCACCUUCGGGCUUUUCGAAGCCCACACCCUCUACAAACAGUCGAUUCUUAAUGAAGUCCAAUCCUCGGCCUUCGAGAAUUUACUUCCUCACAGGCCUGCUGAAGUGUACCGGCACACCUUGAUGGCUGUAACGGUACAGCUAGCAAAACAUCUGCUAAUUUGCAGGUUUCUUAGCCGAAAGCUGCCCUCGCGUCGCACGGAGUCCGUUUUGCGUCUAUUUGACGCCAACGCGAUUCAGACUUGUCCCGACACUCCACAGAGCUGCCGACAAGCCUCCCCAGCUGAACACUAAGGAUCUCACAAUAUCGAUGCAAACGUUCACAAAAACCAAAACCGGAACAACAUUAAACAACUCAGUUGCGCCCUAACAGAAGAACUUUGUAAACAGUGGUUUUUUUUCAAUCGAACAAAGAGCAAAAUCCAAUUAUAUUGUUCUAUUAUACCCCAAGAGUCUAAAUUUGUAACUUAUCGAUGUCAACGUUCACAAGAACCAAAACCGGACCAACAUUAGACUACUCAGUUGCGCCCUAACAGCAUAACUUUGCAAUGAGUACUUUUUCUCCUCCAAUCGAAUAAAGAGCAAAACCAAAUUAUAUUGUUCAAUUUUGGCCCGAGAGAGUAAAUUUGCAACGUAUCGAUGUCAACUUUCACAUAAACCAAAACCAGACCAACUGUAGCCCACUCAGUUGCGCCCUAACAGUAUAACUUUGCAAUGAGUACUUUUUCUCAUUNCGUACCGAUGACAACGUUCACAAGAACCAAAACGGGAAGAACAUUAGACUACUCAGUUGUGCCCUAAUAGCAUAACUUUGUAAUGAGUACUUUUUCUCCUUCAACCGAACAAGGAAUAAAACCUAAUUAUAUUAUUCUAUUAUGGCCUGAGAGUGUAAAUUUGCAACGUAUCGAUGUCAACGUUCACAAGAACCAAAACCGAAAAAUUAUUAGACUACUCAGUUGCUCUAUAAUAGUAUAACUUUGCAAAGAGUACUUUUUCUAAUUUAAUCGAACAAAGAGUAAAAACCGAAUUAUAUUGUUCUAUUAUGGCACGAGAGUGUAAGUUUGCAACGUAUCGAUGUCAACGUUCACAAGAACCAAAACCGGAAAAAUAUUAGACUACUCAGUUGUUCCCUAAUAGUAUAACUUUACAAUGAGUACUUUUUCUCAUUCAACCGAACAAAGAGUAAAACCUAAUUAUAUUGUUCUAUUAUGCCCCGAGAGUGUAAAUUUGCAACGUAUCGAUGCCAACGUCCACAAAAAUCAAAGCUGAAAGAACAUUAGACUACUCAGUUGCGCUCUAAUAGCAUAACUUUGUAAUGAGUACUUUUUCUCCUUCAACCGAACAAAGAAUAAAACCUAAUUAUACUGUUCUAUUAUGCCCCGAGAGUGUAAAUUUACAAUGUAUCGAUGCAAACAUUCACAAAAAAUAAAACCGGAACAACAUUAGACUACUCAGUUGUGCCCUAACAGUAGAACUUUGCAAACAGUGCUUUUUCUCAUUCAAUCGAACAAAGAGUAAAAUCCAACUAUAUUAUUCUAUUAUACCGCGAGAGUUUAAAUUUGUAACUUAUCGAUGUCAACGUUCACAAGAACCAAAACCGAACCUACAUUAGAAUACUCAGUUGCGCCAUAACAGUAUAACUUUGCAACGAGUACUUUUUCUCAUUCAAACAGUUGCGUCCUAACAGUAUAACUUUGCAAACAGUGCUUUUUCUCAUUCAAUCGAACAAAGAGUAAAAUCCAAUUAUAUUGUUCUAUUAUACCCCGAGAGUGUAAAUUUUUAACUUAUCGAGGUCAACGUUCACAAGAACCAAAGCCCAACCAACAUUAGACUACUCAGUUGCGCCCUAACAGCAUAACUUUGCAAUAAGUACUUUUUCUCCUCCAACCGAAUAAAGAGAAAAACCUAAUUAUAUUGUUCUAUUUUACCCUGAGAGAGUAAAUUUGCAACGUAUCAAUGUCAACGUUCACAAAAAUCAAAACCGGACCAACAUUAGACUACUCAGUUGCGCCCUUACAAUAUAACUUAAUUAUAUUGUUCUAUUAGACUUUUUCUCAUUCAAUUGAACAAAGAGUAAAACCUAAUUAUAUUGUUCUAUUAUGCCCCGAGAGUAUAAAUUUGCAGUGUAUCGAUGUCAACGUUCACACGAACCAAAAUGGUACAAACAUUAGACUACUAGUUGUGCCCUAACAGUAUAACUUUGCAACGAGUACUUUUUCUCAUUCAACCGAACAAACAGUAAAACCUCUAAAAUGAGAAACAAGCUUUUUUACUCUUUUUCAUGACCAACAUUUAAAUGUAACAAUCCCACGUUCACUCAUCGGAUUACAACAAGGCUAAAAUAUGACAAUCCUGCGUUGACAAACUUACUCUUUUUCAUGAGCAACGUUUCAAUAUGACAAUACCGCGUUGACUCAUAAGAUUACAUCCAAGCCAAAACCAAGAACACUUGCAACUGUAGCUAUUCAAUGUUUAAAUUUGAGAGCGCCAUAUUAUCUUAUUAUAUCAACCUAAAAUGAGAAACAAGCUAACUUACUCUUUUUCGUGACAAACGUUUCAAGAUGACAAUCCCGUGUUGACUCAUCAGAUUACAACAAGGCCAAAAUAAAAAACACUUACAAACGUAGCUAUGUAACAUUUAAAUGUGAGAGCCCCGUAUUAUCUUGUCAUAUUAAUCCAAAAUAAGAAACAAGCCAACUUCCUCUUUUUCAUGAGUAAUGUUUCAAUACGAUAAUCUCGCGUUGACUCAUCAGAUUACAAGAAAGUCGAAACUAAAAACACCUGCAACCGUAGCUAUGCAACGUUUAAAUGUGAGAGCCCCGUAUUAUCUUGUUAUAUUAAUCCAAAAUGAGAAACAAGCCAACUUACUCUUUUUCAUGAGUAACAUUUCAAUAUGAUAAUCCCUUGUUGACUCAUCAGAUUAUAAAAAGGCCAAAACCAAGAACACUUGCAACUGUAGCUAUGCAACGUUUGAAUGUGAGAGCACGGUAUUAUCUUGUUAUAUUAAGCCAAAAAUGAGAAACAAGCUAAUUUAAUCUUUUUCAUGAGAAACGUUUCAAUAUGAUAAUAUCUCGUUGACUCAUCAGAUUAUUAAAAAGCCAAAACCAAGAACACUUGCAACUGUAGCUAUGCAACGUUUAAAUGUGAGAGUCCGGUAUUAUCUUAUUAUAUUAAUCCAAAAUAAGGAACAAGCCAACUUCCUCUUUUUCAUGAGUAAUGUUUCAAUACGAUAAUCCCGCGUUGACUCAUCAGAUUACAACAAGACCAAAACCAAGAACACUUGCAACUGUAGCUAUGUAACGUAUAAUUGUGAUAGCCCCGUAUUAUCUUGUUAUAUUAAUCCAAAAUGAGAAAAAAACUAACUUACGCUUUUUCAUGAGCAACGUUUCAAUAUUACAAUCCCUCGUUGACUCAUCAGAUUUUAAAAAAGCCAAAGCAAAGAACACUUACAACUGUAGCUAUGCAACGUUUAAAUGUGAAAGCCCAGUAUUAUCUUAUUAUAUUAAUCUAAAAUGAGAAACAAGCCAACUUCUUCUUUUUCAUGAGCAACAUUUCAAUAUGACAAUCCCUCGUUGACUCAUCAGAUUAAAAACAGGCCAAAACCAAAAAAACUUGCAACUGUAGCUAUGGAACAUUUAAAUGUGAGAGCCCGGUAUUAUCUUGUUAUAUUAAUCCAAAAUGAGAAACAAGCCAACUUACUCUUUUUCAUGAGAAACAUUUCAAUAUCAUAAUCCCUCGUUGACUCAACAGAUUAUAAAAAGGCCAAAACUAAGAAUACUUGCAACUGUAGCUAUGCAACGUUUGAAUGUGAGAGCCCGCUAUUAUCUUGUUAUAUUAAUCCAACAUGAGAAACAAGCUAACUUACUCUUUUUCGUGAGCAACGUUUCAAUAUGACAAUCCCGCGUUGACUCAUCAGAUUAUAAGCAGGCUAAAAGCAAGCACACUUGCAACUGUAGCUAUUCAACGUUUAAAUGUACGAGAGCCCCGUAUUAUCUUGUUAUAUUCAGCCAAAAUGAGAAACAAGCUAACUUACUCUUUUUCAUGAGCAACGUUUCAAUAUGACAAUGCCGCGUUGAGUCAUCAGAUUACAACUAGAUCUAAAACCAAGAACACUUGCAACUGUAGCUAUGCAACGUUUAAGUGUGAGAGCCCCGUAUUAUCUUGUUAUAUUAGNAGUGUUAAUAUGCAAUGUAUCGAUGUCAACGUUCACAAGAACCAAAACCAGAACAACAUUAGACUUCUCUAUUACGCCCUAACAGCUUAACUUUGCAAACAGUACUUUUUCUCAUUCAAUCGAACAAAGAGUAAAACCAAAUUAUAUUAUUCUAUUAUGCCCCUAGAAUGUAAAUUUGCAACGUAUCGAUGUCAACGUUCACAGAAACCAAAACGGGAAGAACAUUAGACUACACAAUUGCGCCCUAACAGCAUAAUUUUGCAAUGAGUACUUUUUCUCCUUCAACCGAACAAAGAAUAAAAGCUAAUUAUAUUGUUCUAUUAUGCCCCGAGAGUGUAAAUUUACAAUGUAUCGAUGCAAACGUUCACAAAAACCAAAACCGGAACAACAUUAGACUACUCAGUUGCACCCUAACAAUAGAACUUUGCAAACAGAGCUUUUUCUCAUUCAAUCGAACAAAGAGUAAAAUCCAAUUAUAUUAUUCUAUUAUACCCCGGGAGUGUAAAUUUGCAACUUAUCGAUGUCAACGUUCAGAAGAACCAAAACCGGACCUACAUUAUAAUACUCAGUUGCUCCCUAACAGUAUAACUUUGCAACGAGUACUUUUUCUCAUUCAACAGAAUAAAGAGUAAAACCUAAUUAUAUUGUUCUAUUAUGCCCCGAGAGUGUGAAUUUGCAACGUAUCGAUGUCAACGUUCACAAGAACCAAAUCUAGAUCAACAGUAGACUACUGAGUAGCGCCGUAACAGUAUAACUUUGCAACGAGUACUUUUUCUCAUUCAACCGAACAAAGAGUAAAACCGAAUUAUAUUGUUCUAUUAUGCCCCGAGAGCAUAUAUUUGCAACGUAUCGAUGUCAACGUUCACACGAACCAAAAUCGGACCAAUAUUAGACUACUCAGUUGCGCCCUAACAGUAUAACUUUGCAACGAGUACUUUUUCUCAUUCAACCGAACAAAGAGUAAAACCUAAUUAUAUUGUUCUAUUAUGCCCGAGAGUGUAAAUUUGCAACGUGUAAAUUUGUAACUUUGCAAACAUUGCUUUUUCUCAUUCAAUCGAACAAGGAGUAAAAUCCAAUUAUAUUGUUCUAUUAUACCCCGAGAGUGUAAAUUUGCAACUUAUCGAUGUCAACGUUCAUACGAACCAAAACCGGACCAAGAUUAGAUCACUCAGUUGCGCCCUUACUAACUUUGCAACGAGUAUUUUUUCUCAUUCAACCGAACAAAGAGUAAAUCUAAUUAUAUUGUUCUAUUAUGCCCCGCGAGUAUAAAUUUGCAGCGUAUCGAUGUCAACAUUCACAUAAAGCAAAAUCGGAACAACAUUAAACUACUCAGUUGCGCCCUAACAGUAUUACUUUGCAAACAAUAUUUUUUCUCAUUCAAUCGAACAAAGAGUAAAACCUAAUUAUAUUGUUCUACGUUGUCCGAGAGUGUAAAUUUGCAACGUAUCGACGUCAACGUUCACAAGAACCAAAACCGGAACAACAUUAGACUACACAGUUGUGUCCUAGCAGUUUAACUUUACAAACAGUGCUUUUUCUCAUUCAAUCGAACAAAGAGUAAAAUCCAAUUAUAUUGUUCUAUUAUACGCCGAGAGUGUAAAUUUGUAACUUAUCGAUGUCAACGUUCAUACGAACCAAAACCGGACCAACAUUAGAUCACUCAGUUGCGCCCUUACUAACUUUGCAACGAGUAUUUUUUCUCAUUCAACCGAACAAAGAGUAAAUCUAAUUAUAUUGUUCUAUUAUGCCCCGCGAGUAUAAAUUUGCAGCGUAUCGAUGUCAACGUUCACAUGAACCAAAAUCGGAACAACAUUAGACUACUCAGUUGCGCCCUUACAAUAUAACUUUGCAACGAGUAAUUUUUCUCAAUCAACCGAACAAAGAGUAAAACCUAAUUAUAUUGUUCUAUUAUGCCCCGAGAGUAUAAAUUUGCAGCAUAUCGAUGUCAACGUUCACACGAACCAAAACCGGAUCAACAUUAGACUACUAAGUUGCACCCUAACAGUAUAACUUUGCAACGAGUACUUUUUCUCAUUCAAUAGAACAAAGAGUAAAACUUAAUUAUAUUGUUCUAUUAUGCCCCGAGAGUAUAAAUUUGCAACGUAUCGAUGUCAACGUUCAAAAGAACUAAAACCGGAACAACAUUAGACUACUCAGUUACGCCCUAACAGUAUAACUUUACAAACAGUAAUUUUUUUCAUUCAAUGGAACAAAAAGUAAAACCUAAUUAUAUUGUUCUAUUAUGCUCCAAGAGUAUAAAUUUCCAACGUAUCGAUGUCAACGUUCACAAGAACCAAAACCGGAACAACAUUAGACUACUCAGUUGUGCCAAAACAAUAUAACUUUACAAACAGUGCUUUUUCUCAUCCAAUCGAACAAAGAGUAAAACCUAAUUAUAUUGUUCUAUUAUGCUCCGAGAGUGUAAAUUUGCAACGUAUCGAUGUCAACGUUCAUAAGAACCAAAACCGAAAAAACAUUAGACUACUCAGUUGUUCCAAAAUAUUAUAACUUUGCAAUGAUUACUUUUUCUCAUUCAACCGAACAAAGAGUAAACCUAAUUAUACUGUUCUAUUAUGCCCCGAGAGUAUAAAUUUGCAACGUGUCGAUGUCAACGUUCACAAAAAUCAAAACCGUACCAAUAUUAGACUACUACGUUGAGCCCUAACAGUAUCACUUUGCAACGAGUACUUUUUCUCAUUCAACCGAAAUAAAGAGUAAAUCCGAAUUAUAUUGUCCUAUUAUGCCCCGAGAGUGUAAAUUUGCAACGUAUCGAUGUCAACGUUCACAAGAACGUACUUUUCUCAUUUAAUCGAACAAUAGUAAACCUAAUUAUAUUGUUCUAUUAUGCACCGAGAGUUAAAUUUGCAACGUAUCGAUGUCAACGUUCACAAGAACCAAAACCGAAAAAAUAUUAGACUAAGUAUACGCCCUAACGUAUAAAUUUGCAAUGAGUAGUUUUCUCAAUUCAAUCGGACAAAAAAUAAAACCUAAUUAUAGUUUGUUGCAUUAUGCCCUGAGAGUGUAAUUGCAACGUUUCGGAUGUCAACGUUCACAAAAACCAAAACCGGACAAACAUUAGACUACUUAGUUCGCCCUAACAGUAUAACUUUACAACGAGUACUUUUUUUUCUUCAACCGAACAAAGAGUAAAACUAAUUAUAUUAUUUUUAUUAUGCCCCGAAGUGUAAUUUGUAACGUAUCUAUGAAACGUUCAACAAAGAACAAACCGAACAACAUUAGACUUCUCAGUUGCGCCCUAACAAUAUAACUUGGCAACUGUGUUUUUCUCAUCCAUCGAAUAAAGAGUAACCCAAUUAUAUUAUUCUAUUAUACGCCGAGAGUGUAAAUUGGCAACUUAUCGAUGUCAACGUUCACAAGAACCAAAACCGGACAAACAUUAGACUACUCAGUUGCGCACCUAACAGCAUAACUUUGCCAAUAAAUAGUUUUUCUCCUUCAUCGAACAAAGAGUAAAACCUAAUUAUACUGUUCUAUUUUGUCCCAAGAGUGUAAUUUACAACGUAUCGAUGUCAAGAUUCACAAAAACCAAAACCGAACCAACAUUAGACUACUCAGUUGCCGCCCUAACAGUUAAACUUUACAACGAGUAUUUUUCUCCUUUAACGAACAAGAGUAAACAAUUAUAUUUGUUCUAUUAUGUCCCGAAGUGUGUAAUUUGCAACGUAUCGAUGUAAACGUUCACAGACCAAAUGGAACAACACAAUGAAUACUCGUUGCGCCCUAACAGUAUAACUUUGGAAACUGUACUUAUUCUCAUUCGAAUCGAACAAAGAGUAAACCCAAUAUAUUGUUCUACUAUCCCGAGAGUGUAAAUUUGCAAUUAUCGAUGUCAACGUUCACAAGAAACAAAACUGGACAAACAUUUAGACUACUUAGUUGCGCCCUAACAGUAUAACUUUUGCAACGAGUAUUUUUCUCAUUCAACCGAACAAAGAGUAAAACAAUAUUUGUUCUAUUAUGACCGAGUGUGUAAAUUUCUAUCUGAUCGAUGCAAUGUUCACAAGCAACCACCGGAACUAGACUACUCGUUACGUACCAACAGUAUACUUUACAAACAGUACUUUUUCUCAUUCAAUCGAACAAAGAGUAACAACCAUAUACUCCUACUUUAUGCCCCGAAAAUGUAAAUUUGCAACGUAUCGAUGUCAACGUUCACAGAAAACCAAAGCCGAACAACAUUAGACUACUCAGUUGCACCCUAACAGUAUAAUAACUUUGCAAACAGUACAUUUUCUCAUUCCAUCGAACAAGAUAAAACCAAUUAUAUUAUUCUAUAAUGCCCGAGAAUUUAAAUUUGCAACGUAUCGAUGUCAACGUUCACAAAACCAAAACUAGACCAACAUUACCGGACCAACAUUAGAACUAGUUGCGCCCUAAACAGUAUAAACUUUUGUAAACGAUACUUUUUUUGAUUUCAACCCAACAAAGAGUAACAACCUUAAUUAUACGUUGACUCUAUUUCAUGCCUGAGAUGUAUAAAUUUGCGAGUAUCGGAUGUCAACGUUCACAAAAAUCCAAACGUGGAACAACAUUAGCACUACUCGAUGCGCCUAAACAGUAUAGUAAAACCAUUUUUAGAGCAUAAGGAUCAAUCCUUAGAGUUCUACCAUUAAAGGGUUUUGAAGCUUACCUCUCAAGCAAGCUCCAAUGGAGAGGAAGAAGAUGGAGAAGAUGGAAAUCCACCUUAGAGCUUCGAUCUCCACCAAAAUCAUCUAUUUUUGGGAGAGAUUUAGAGAGAGAAAGGGAUUUCUCUCCUUUCCCUUCCAUGCGUGUAUUGUGUGCGUGUGUGUGUGUGGUUGUGGUGUGCACGGUUGAGGGAGGAGAAGAAGAGCAAUGCUCUUUUCCACAAGCAGCCCCCUCAACUAUUCCACUUUUCAGUUUAGUCCCUCAAAUCUGAUAAGUUUCGUUGGAGCCCUUCCGGAUGUCCGAUUGAGCUCAAAUUUGACAGGCAUGCUCAGUUUAACGUACUGAGUAAGAAUAUGUCUUAAGUUUUCAGUUUCGACUCCGUUUGGUCACUGAAAACUGUACCGAACUGCAAUCUUUAUCAGAUAGCUUUCGGAUUUUAUUUCUCACUCUACGGGUAUCAAAAAAAUAUGAAACCUUAAAUCUAGCUUCACAAAAAUAUUUCUGACAUCUCUGCCAAUUUUCAUAAUUUUCUGAGACUGUGCGUUUUCUGCUAAUUUAUCUGCCCCGUUUCCAACAGAAAAUUCUAAAUCUUCUGUUUUAAUUCCGAUUUCAGCACAGGUCAUUCCCAACUUAUAUUUCACUUCUCUAAAUUCAAUAAAAAUAGUAUCUCAUACUAUUUUUAUUUAUUUCUAUUUUUUUAUAUUUAAAUCCGGUAUAUUACAUUACACCGCAACCUUACCGGAACCAUUCAAAUGGCUCUCCAACCAAAUGGACACCGUAGCUUCAUAAUUUUAGAAGUCCGGUACCUUACACUCACACUAUUUUUAUUUAUUUUCACUUUUACAUUUAAAAUUCGGUAUGUUACAUUCCACCGCAACCUUACCGGAACCUUUUAAAUGUACACCGUAACUUCAUAGUUUUAGAAGUCUGGUACCUUACACUAGGCCCUUACCGCGACCCUCGCCGGGGGUACUCGAACUCGAACCUGCAACAAUGUAGGGUGAGAACUACGAAUAGUUCCCUGUGGUUUCGACCGCUGACUCCUCCGAUCUCCCCACUAGGUCUAAGCAGGCAUAAGCAGAUAGAUAGAUAGAUAUUUAACCGAAAUGAAAGCAUAGUAAAGAACUACAGUAUACUACUAUGCCUGACAAGUAUGCAAUGAACAAUCGAAGCAAGUAUCACUAACAUGUCACUAGGAUCAUGCUACAAGCAAGUAUGUAACCUACUAGGCUCAAUAUGUUCAAUGUCCAGCAUGUCUGUUACCCAAUCCUUGGCCAACCAAGAGUUAACCCUCGACUCACAUCUCAAUCCCACCUUGGUGAGGACCCUGCUGUCAACCCACCCGGUACAGUCUGCGGACAACUACGUCUGUCCUGAACAUGACCACCUCCGUAGCGCACUAACGGGAGGAGCGACCACCCCAAGCACAAGACUAUGUGAGUAUGAUCCAUCCUCGCCAUCGAGGAAGCCCUAUCCUCUAGGGUUAUCAAUCUCUCGGGAAUACACUGGUUUGUACCUAUGUCCAAAGCCUCAAUGCUAGCAACUGUGUCAAUGACGCACAAGUUCUCAUGCAAGAUGUCCACUGGAAAACUCAUCUAGUCCCUACAUCAUCAUAUCAUAGUGUUCUUUACACUAAGCUCUAACGCCACUCGUCAAGUGUUUUCUAUGUUCCAUGCCACUCGUCAUAAUACAAGGUCCCAACAUUACACAUGUCAUUAACUUUCAUAAUCAUAAGAUCAAGUUACUACUUAUCUUUAUCACUAUAGGGUUCUAUGUCAUUAUACUCAUUCUCAUGCCUUCUAGGUUCCAGUGCCAAUCAGAUUGCUGCACUACCAAGAAGCAUGCUAGAAUAAAACAUUACCAACUACACCCUAUAAUGCAUAAUACUACAUGUGCAAUAUGAUCAACAAAAUACAACUUAGACAUAGGGAGCAGCUCAACUGCUUCAGGAUGGACACCACCCACCUUUUGGUAGUGCCGCGAGGUUAGGAAACUCGACUUCGCGAUCCUUGGUCGCCGUCUUGACUCUUCGGGUCAAUACGAACCCACGAGCACUCGUUUCGGCGAUAACUCCGUACUUGCUUGACGAAUCGACGAACCGUCUUCGCCGACGCGUUUAGAGACCUAGCAAUGAGUAAAACCUAAUUAUAUUGUUAUAUUAGGCUCCGAGAGUAUAAAUUUUCAACGUAUCGAUGUCAACGUUCACAAGAACCAAAACCGGAACAACAUUAGACUACUCAGUUGCACCCUAACAGUAUAACUUUGCAAACAGUACUUUUUCUCAUUCAAUCGAACAAAGAGUAAAACCUAAUUAUAUUGUUCUCUUAUGCCCGAGAGUGUAAAUUUGCAACGUAUCGACAUCAACUUUCACAAGAACCAAAACCGGAACAACAUUAGACUGCAAAGUUGCGUCCGAACAGUAUAACUUUGCACACAGUACUUUUUCUCAUUUAAUCGAACAAAUAGUAAAACCUAAUUAUAUUGUUCUAUUAUGCACCGAGAGUUUAAAUUUGCAACGUAUCGAUGUCAACGUUCACAAGAACCAAAACCGAAAAAAUAUUAGACUAAGUUACCCCCUAACAGUAUAAAUUUGCAAUGAGUACGUUUUCUCAUUCAAUCGAACAAAAAGUAAAACCUAAUUAUAUUGUUCUAUUAUGCCCUGAGAGUGUAAAUUUGCAACAUUUCGAUGUCAACGUUCACAAAAACCAAAACCGGACAAACAUUAGACUACUUAGUUGCGCCCUAACAGUAUAACUUUACAACGAGUACUUUUUUUUCUUCAACCGAACAAAGAGUAAAACCUAAUUAUAUUAUUUUAUUAUGCCCCGAGAGUGUAAUUUGUAACGUAUCUAUGAAACGUUCACAAGAACCAAAAUCGGAACAACAUUAGACUUCUCAGUUGCGCCCUAACAAUAUAACUUUGCAAACUGUAUUUUUUCUCAUCCAAUCGAAUAAAGAGUAAACCCAAUUAUAUUAUUCUAUUAUACGCCGAGAGUGUAAAUUGGCAACUUAUCGAUGUCAACGUUCACAAGAACCAAAAUCGGACAAACAUUAGACUACUCAGUUGCGCCCUAACAGCAUAACUUUGCAAUGAAUAGUUUUUCUCCUUCAAUCGAACAAAGAGUAAAACCUAAUUAUACUGUUCUAUUUUGUCCCAAGAGUGUAAAUUUACAACGUAUCGAUGUCAAGAUUCACAAAAACCAAAACCGAACCAACAUUAGACUACUCAGUUGCGCCCUAACAGUAUAACUUUACAACGAGUAUUUUUCUCCUUUAACCGAACAAAGAGUAAACCUAAUUAUGUUGUUCUAUUAUGUCCCGAGUGUGUAAAUUUGCAACGUAUCGAUGUAAACGUUCACAAGAACCAAAAUCGGAACAACAAUAAAAUACUCAGUUGCGCCCUAACAGUAUAACUUUGCAAACUGUACUUAUUCUCAUUCAAUCGAACAAAGAGUAAAACCCAAUUAUAUUGUUCUAUUAUUCCCCGAGAGUGUAAAUUUGCAACUUAUCGAUGUCAACGUUCACAAGAAACAAAACUGGACAAACAUUAGACUACUUAGUUGCGCCCUAACAGUAUAACUUUGCAACGAGUACUUUUUCUCAUUCAACCGAACAAAGAGUAAACAAUAUAUUGUUCUAUUAUGACCCGAGUGUGUAAAUUUCUAUCUGAUCGAUGCCAAUGUUCACAAGAACCAAAACCGGACCAACAUUAGACUACUCAGUUACGCCCUAACAGUAUAACUUUACAAACAGUACUUUUUCUCAUUCAAUCGAACAAAGAGUAAAACCAAAUUAUAUUAUUCUAUUAUGCCCCGAAAAUGUAAAUUUGCAACGUAUCGAUGUCAACGUUCACAAGAACCAAAGCCCGAACAACAUUAGACUACUCAGUUGCACCCUAACAGUAUAACUUUGCAAACAGUACAUUUUCUCAUUCCAUCGAACAAAGAGUAAAACCAAAUUAUAUUAUUCUAUAAUGCCCCGAGAAUUUAAAUUUGCAACGUAUCGAUGUCAACGUUCACAAAAACCAAAACUAGACCAACAUUAGCCGGACCAACAUUAGACUACUCAGUUGCGCCCUAACAGUAUAACUUUGUAACGAGUACUUUUUCUGAUUCAACCCAACAAAGAGUAAAACCUAAUUAUAUUACUCUAUUAUGCCCUGAGAGUAUAAAUUUGCGACGUAUCGAUGUCAACGUUCACAAAAAUCAAAACUGGAACAACAAUAGACUACUCAGUUGUGCCCUGACAGUGUAACUUUGCAACGAGUACUUUUUCUCAUUNUUUUCUCAUUCAAUCGAACAAAGAUUAAAACUAAUUAUAUUGUUCUAUUAUGCCCGAGAUUGUAAAUUUGCAAUGUAUCGAUGUCAACGUUCACAAGAACCAAAACUGGAACAACAUUAGACGACUCAAUUUCGUCCUAACAGUAUAAAUUUGCAAACAGUGCUUUUUCUCAUUCAAUCGAACAUUGAGUAAAACCGAAUUAUAUUGUUCUAUUAUGCCCCGAGACUGUAAAUUUGCAACGUAUCGUUGUCAACGUUCACAAGAAACAAAACCGAAAAAAUAUUAGACUACUCAAUUGCUCCCUAACAGUAUAACUUUGCAAUGAGUACUUUUUCUCAUUCAAUCGAAUAAAGAGUAAAACCUAAUUUUAUUGUUCUAUUAUGCCACGAGAGUGUAAAUUUGCAAUGUAUCAAUGUCAACGUUCACAAAAGUCAAAACCAGACCAACAUUAAACUACUUAGUUGCGCCCUAACAGUAUAACUUUACAACGAGUACUUUUUCUCCUUCAACCGAACAAAGAAUAAAACCUAAUUAUAUUGUUCUAUUACGCUCCGAGAGUGUAAAUUUGCAACGUAUCGAUGCAAACGUCCACAAGAACCAAAACCAGAACAAUAUUAGACUACUCAGUUGCGCCCUAACAGUAUAACUUUGCAAACUAUGCUUUUUCUCAUUUAAUGGAAUAAAGAGUAAAACCCAAUUAUAUUGUUCUAUUAUACUCCGAGAGUGUAAAUUUGCAACGUAUCAAUGUCAACGUUCACAAGAACCAAAACCGAAAAAAUAUUAGACUGCUCAGUUGCUCCCUAACAGUAUAACUUUACAUUGAGUAUUUUUUCUCAUUCAACCAAAUAAAGAGUAAAACCUAAUUAUAUUGUUCUAUUAUGUCCCGAGAGUGUAAAUUUGCAACGUAUCGAUGUCAACGUUCACAAAAACCAAAACCGAACCAACAUUAGACUACUAAGUUGCGCUCUAACAGUAUAACUUUGCAACGAGUACUUUUUCUCCUUCAACCGAAUAAAGAGUAAAACCUAAUUAUAUUGUUCUAUUAUACCCGGAGAGUGUAAAUUUGCAACGUAUCGAUAUCAACAAUCACAAGAGCCAAAAUCGGAACAACAUUAGACUGCUCAGUUGCGCCCUAACAGUAUAACUUUGCAAACAGUAAUUUUUCCCAUUCAAUGGAACAAAAAGUAAAACCUAAUUAUAUUGUUCUAUUAUGCUCCGAGAGUAUAAAUUUGCAACGUAUUGAUGUCAACGUUCACAAGUACCAAAAUCGGAACAACAUUAGACUACUCAGUUGCGCCCAAACAGUAUUACUUUGCAAACUGUGCUUUUUUCUCAUUCAAUCGAACAAAGAGUAAAACCUAAUUAUAUUAUUCUAUUAUGCCCCGAGAGUAUAAAUUUGCAACGUAUCGAUGUCAAUGUUUACAAUAACCAAAACCGGAUCAACAUGAGACUACUCAGUUACGCCCUAACAGUAUAACUUUGCAAACAGUACUUUUUCUCAUUCAAUCAAACAAAGAAUAAAACCUAAUUAUAUUGUUCUAUUAUAUCCUAGAGUGUAAAUUUGCAAUAUCAAUGUCAACGUUCACAAAAACAAAAACCGGAACAACAUUAGACUACUCAGUUGCGUCCUAACAGUAUAACUUUGCAAACAGUGCUUUUUUUCAUUCAAUCGAACAAAGAGUAAGAACUAAUUAUAUUGUUUUAUUAUGCACCGAGAGUGUAAAUUUGUAACGUAUCAAUGUCAAUGUUCACAAGAACCAAAACCAAAAAAAUAUUAGACUACUCAGUUGUUCCCUACCCGUAUAACUUUGCAAUGAGUACUUUUUCUCAUUCAAUCGAACAAAGAGUAAAACCUAAUUAUAUUGUUCUAUUUUGCCCUGAGAGUGUAAAGUGAUUGUGCCGCUCUAAUACCAAUGUAAUCCUCCUGAUCCAACUUAGCAAUCGGAUGAAUUCUCUUAAUGACAGUAAGGCUAAUUUCGGGAUGAUGGUGUGCUUUCGAAAGGUCCAAUCGCUCCAAUGAUGCCCUGUUGAGGAUUGACUAGAAUUGGAGAUUAUGGUAAAAACAUUUAGCUGAAGAUUAAGAUGAGAGGAUAGGAGAGAGAGACUAGAGGGAAUGAGAAUUGAGAUGGGAAUAGAGGGAGGAGGAGAAGAGGAGGAAGGGAAAAAGGUAGGAGGAAGAGGGUAAUUAGGGAUUCAUUAUCUUCUGCUUAACUCUCUUACAGGUAAUUGUUUCUAUAUAUACUAUUACAUCAUGACUAAUAUGUAAAAUAGCCAAUAACAGGGAAUAAACUGCAAAAGAAUUAUUUAUAGGUGGGCCUCUGGUUGCCUCCUAAACCAAUCCCCCGAUUAUGGGCUGGGCCCUCAUAACUGCCUCCGAUCCGCUUCAGCCUCAAGGUCCCUAUCAGAUCUGGGUUGAUGGCCUAAGUGGCAACCUCUAAAUCUAGUCCGAUAACCCACUUUUAUCACCUAACUACUCCCGCCGCAUUUGACUACACCCCGACAGGAUCUACUGGACUUACCUUGUCGCCCUCUUCCCACUUAACCCUAACCUCCCUCCUUGCUACAGCCAUUACAGAUACUUCAACCUAAGUAAGAAAAUGAAAUUAAAUACAGCUAGUGUUGCAGGUGCAACCCACCUCCUCACAUGCAACAUAAUAUUUCCCAUAUGGAUCUGCACAGACAAAGAAUUGAGGUAAUAAACCCUGCACCAGAUGCACUACAAAGGGCGGUAUGCAUGACUUACCAUCUAUCUCAUAGUGAGAUCUCUUAGAUUUCCGUACUUAAAACUUACAACUGAUCAAACUUACAACUGAUCGAGAAAACAUUGACAAAUACAACCAACAUAAUUAGCUAUGAAGUCCAGCAAUAAAGAGGGCUUAAAAACGAUAUCAACCAAAAAGAAAAUUACCAAUAAACAAACAUUUGCAAGCAGCUUGAAAAGUUUUAGCCUUUUUGGUUGUAAAUAAGGAUCUGAGAGUACAGAAUACAAAUGGAAGAGAACAGAGGAGACAAACAACAAGAUUAAGAAUUGAGCUCGAACUUUUGGGGAAAAAAAAAAAAAAAAGAUGAAGAAAUAAUUCAGCAGGUCGUGAUUUCCAGAAUAUCAUCUCCACACUUGUUCUUUUGUUAAAUGAGCAAACAAUUGGAGCUACUCAAGAACAUAUCAUGAUUCCAAAGCAAUUCCAUCCGGGACUGCUUAGCAGACGAAGUGGGAUCCUGCCAUGAAUACAAAGCAACAAACCAAUCAACACACUUACAUUCAAUUAAUAAUUAAGAGCAACAUAAAGAGCUCUAAAUCACCGACACGUGACAGUACUCAAAAAAGUCUUUUUACCAACUACAACAUGCUCAGCAGUUUUCACCUGCAAAACAAUAUAUACAUUGACAGGUCUGCUAUACCGUGUUGAUUGUGCGAAUUGAGUAGGGGCUGCCAAAUUCAGGCACUUACAAGCGCUUAAUUGUAAGUGGUGUCAAAAUAAAUGUGUAAAUCCUAAGAGCUAGUGCUUUUAUCUGUAUCAGUUGCAUGCCAUCUUCAAAUUACGAGCCAUGCAAUUGAAUUUGCAAUAAUAGGAUAAUGAUCCAAUUCGCCCUGAAUAAGCUGUCUUCAAAAGCGCUACAUGAGCCUACUUACUAGAUCGGAAGAUCUUCAUCCAAUUCAUUGUCUUGCAAAUUCCAGUUCAAGAAUUCCCUCAUGUGAAGGUUUAUGCAGUUCCCAGAACACUUGCUAAAAUGCAUAAAAUAUGCAUCACAGACUUACAGACUAGAGUUAACAAGAACUAAGAAUAACUUGUCAAAUGCACAAACACAUCCAGGUAUUAGAAUUCCAGGGCAAAGCAUAAUCAUGUUAGAGCUGCCCGUUGCAACAAAAAGUGCCACGGAUGUUUGACAGAAUCAUUUACCAUGUUGAAUAACAGAUGAGUUCGUACAUCUCAAGAGCAAGCCAACUAAAAAAAUCUCCAGAGAAGAAAACCAGCCAAAAAGAAUUAUGUAGGUACUGCAUAGUAUAGAAAUAUCAAUGAAGAUAUAUAAGAGUCAUUUUUAUCAUCGACAUAUUCAAGGCACAUUGAGAAUUCUAAAACUGAAAAACAAUGUUCUAAAAAGCCGUAUGUGGUACGCGGGCGGUCCACCAACAUAGAGCACAUAUGCAGCAUCCAAAUGCAAACGCAAGCGCAUAUGCAGUUCAGAUUUUAAAAUAUAAAAAAAUAAAAUGUAAAUGUAAAAACUAUACUAAUAUACUUUUAAAAAUAGAAAAUAAACAAAUAUGUAAUAAAUUGGCUAAACUUUUUAUGAAAAGGAAUAAUUUAUCAGUGAAUUAUCAUUUACUGUCACUUGUAGUCAACCUCCAAACCAACACUUUAAAAAUAUAGAAUAAUAACAUCUAAUGGAUACAAAAAUAGUAAUCAAUAUUUAUAUUUUAUAAAUAUUAGAUAUGUUGAAAAUAAUACCACAAAAUAUGAAAUAUCAAUGACCAAGCAAUUAAGAUAAAGAGUGAUAGGUUAUAUUUAUACAUAUAUAGUGACAUUAAUAUGCAUAAUCAAUAAUCAAAUUUAUAUGAAAAUAGUUACGUCUGCAUGUAUAUGUGCAUGUAUAAUCAUCACCCACUGCAUUUCAAUCCCACCUCAAAGAAGGAAAAAAAAGAAAAAAAAGGAGAGAGAUAUAUAUAUAUACACAUAAGGCGGCGACAUAUUUGGCUGCCUACCGCAUAUGCGGCCGCAUAGUUCGACCAUAUACUGCACCACAUAUUAUAAAUGUGGUGCGGUUGAUGGCCGAAACGGAAGCCCAAGCGCCACAUAAGCCGCACUUUUGGAACACUACAGAAAAAUUGGAAAGAGUUAGAUGUUCCUACAAUUUCUGAAUAAAUAGUUAGAAAAUCAUACUUUACUAGUUUCUUCUCUUUUUUUUCGAAAGGCAAUUGCAGACAAGCCUACAGUGGCUUUGUUGUUCCUAAAACCUGCUGAGACCUUGACCAAUUUGAACAUGGAACAACUGUAACAUACUCAUGCAAUAAUGCUAACACCACCAUGAAAUUAUCAUCAAACAUCAACUUCACCUUGGGUAAUUCACAUAUAAAGUUGGCUACAGCUAUCGGAUAUCUUCUUACGCAUUAAGAAUUGGUAUUUAUUCCUUUUUUCCUGCCAUAUCAUCAGCUAAUCUAUCCUAUGAUUCAGCUAGUAACAAUCUCCAUUAGAGUCUCCAAAAAGAACAACACAUAUCUUAGCACACUCAAUCCGCAAAAACAAAUUCAACAAUCUGAUGACCAAGCUUGCAGUACAGACUUCACUACACAUCGAGAAGAAUUAUACUUCAUAACUCUAGUUGGAACCGUGGCCUUCUAGUCUUUGUAGGAAACCCCAUAUUUUUCAAUCUUGAUGCCUCAAUCUAUUAUAUGUAUUUCAUACACUUUAACUGAAACCAACUUAGUCCAAAGCCUUUCUUUACUGUUUUUCCUCCAUAAAAACCCUAGUUGCCAUUAGCAAAGAAUAUAAACCAUUGACCCUCAUCUUGAAUAUAUUUUUGUAAUCCCUAUAACAAAUCAAAUAGACUAGGUGAUAAUACUUUGGGGCCUGUUUAGUUCACGGAUUGUAAUAUUCCAAUAAUCUGCUAUUUCUUCUAUUGAAAAUAUCCAAAUUACUGGGUGAUUAUAAAAGGUAUUACUGAAGUAGUGUUGUAGAUUUCCAGAUGGUAAGAACACUAGAUUAUCAUGGGUUAGAAGGUAUUCUCAUUUUCAUACUUAACAGGAAUCAUUAGUAGUCUUUAAAUAAGAAUAAACUAACUCUUAAUAACCUCCCAACCCAAGUGGCUUGGUUUAGUAACAAACUUGCCAUUCCAAAUAUAAAAUAUACAACAUGCUGGAAAUAUUACAAGCCUUGAACCAAACGGCCCCUAGGUGAAAUCCUAUUACUCAGCACACCAGUUUCCCUCAUACAAAUCAUAAUAAUGUUUCUCAAAUACAGAAGUAUAUAUAUGUAUAUAAAUAUAAAUAUAAAUAUAAAUAUAUAUAUAUAUAUAUGUAUAUAUGUAUAUAUAUGUAUAUAUGUAUAUAUAUGUAUAUAAAUAUAUAUAUGUAUAUAUGUAUAUAUAUAUNNNNNNNNNNNNNNNNNNNNNNNNNNNNNNNNNNNNNNNNNNNNNNNNNNNNNNNNNNNNNNNNNNNNNNNNNNNNNNNNNNNNNNNNNNNNNNNNNNNNNNNNNNNNNNNNNNNNNNNNNNNNNNNNNNNNNNNNNNNNNNNNNNNNNNNNNNNNNNNNNNNNNNNNNNNNNNNNNNNNNNNNNNNNNNNNNNNNNNNNNNNNNNNNNNNNNNNNNNNNNNNNNNNNNNNNNNNNNNNNNNNNNNNNNAGAGAGAGAGAGAGAGAGAGAGAGAGAGAGAGAGAGAGAGAGAGAGAGAGAGAGAGAGAGAGAGAGAGAGAGAGAGAGAGAGAGAGAGAGAGAGAGAGAGAGAGAGAGAGAGAGAGAGAGAGAGAGAGAGAGAGAGAGAGAGAGAGAGAGAGAGAGAGAGAGAGAGAGAGAGAGAGAGAGAGAGAGAGAGAGAGAGAGAGAGAGAGAGAGAGAGAGAGAGAGAGAGAGAGAGAGAGAGAGAGAGAGAGAGAGAGAGAGAGAGAGAGAGAGAGAGAGAGAGAGAGAGAGAGAGAGAGAGAGAGAGAGAGAGAGAGAGAGAGAGAGAGAGAGAGAGAGAGAGAGAGAGAGAGAGAGAGAGAGAGAGAGAGAGAGAGAGAGAGAGAGAGAGAGAGAGAGAGAGAGAGAGAGAGAGAGAGAGAGAGAGAGAGAGAGAGAGAGAGAGAGAGAGAGAGAGAGAGAGAGAGAGAGAGAGAGAGAGAGAGAGAGAGAGAGAGAGAGAGAGAGAGAGAGAGAGAGAGAGAGAGAGAGAGAGAGAGAGAGAGAGAGAGAGAGAGAGAGAGAGAGAGAGAGAGAGAGAGAGAGAGAGAGAGAGAGAGAGAGAGAGAGAGAGAGAGAGAGAGAGAGAGAGAGAGAGAGAGAGAGAGAGAGAGAGAGAGAGAGAGAGAGAGAGAGAGAGAGAGAGAGAGAGAGAGAGAGAGAGAGAGAGAGAGAGAGAGAGAGAGAGAGAGAGAGAGAGAGAGAGAGAGAGAGAGAGAGAGAGAGAGAGAGAGAGAGAGAGAGAGAGAGAGAGAGAGAGAGAGAGAGAGAGAGAGAGAGAGAGAGAGAGAGAGAGAGAGAGAGAGAGAGAGAGAGAGAGAGAGAGAGAGAGAGAGAGAGAGAGAGAGAGAGAGAGAGAGAGAGAGAGAGAGAGAGAGAGAGAGAGAGAGAGAGAGAGAGAGAGAGAGAGAGAGAGAGAGAGAGAGAGAGAGAGAGAGAGAGAGAGAGAGAGAGAGAGAGAGAGAGAGAGAGAGAGAGAGAGAGAGAGAGAGAGAGAGAGAGAGAGAGAGAGAGAGAGAGAGAGAGAGAGAGAGAGAGAGAGAGAGAGAGAGAGAGAGAGAGAGAGAGAGAGAGAGAGAGAGAGAGAGAGAGAGAGAGAGAGAGAGAGAGAGAGAGAGAGAGAGAGAGAGAGAGAGAGAGAGAGAGAGAGAGAGAGAGAUAUAUAUGUAGAGAGAGUUUGACUGGGCUACUAUCGGUAGUAAACUACUCGGUUUACUACCGAUUUGUUUUUUAUGAUAGAGCUUCCAAAUCGACGAUCGACACCGCUGAACAUGACCUAGACCAUUUAAAUUAUCUAGAAAUCAAAUUUCAUGAUUUUUUGGCAUCACUAACUGAACGAUCAAAGAGUCACAAAAUCUAUAAUUUUAAUGGCCGAUAUGGUGCGUUUUCUCGUUUAACGGUAUAGAAGAGUUCAAAUCAACUAAAUUUUUGUUAAAAAAUUCUUUAAACUAUUUAAAAUAAGAUCUAGACUCUAGAUCUCAAAUAUAAAAAUUGUAUCAUCACUUUUUGAAGGAUAUUCAUUUUCAGCCAUUCAUUUUUCUGUUCACUUGAUGGACAAGAGAACAAUAUCGAAAAUGUGUGAAAUUUAAUUUCCAGAUAGUUUAAAUAGUUUAGAUCAUGUUUAACGGUGCCAAUCAUCAAUUUGGAAGCUCUAUCAUCGAAAACAAAUCGGUAGUAAACCGAGCCGUUUACUACCGAUAGUAUUCUAGCAAAACUCUAUAUUACAAGACUCCUAUCAUCAUUUUUUAAAGAAUAUUCAUUUUCAGCCAUUCAUUUUUGUGUCCACUCGAUGGAUAAGAGAACAAUGUCGAAAAUGUAUGAAAUUUGAUUCCUAAACACUUCAAGUGGUAUAGAUCAUGUUCAACGGUACCGAUCGUCGAUUUGGAGGCUUCAUCAUCGAAAACAAAUGGAUGGCAACGGAGUCUGUUUGUUAUCGAUAGUAUUCUAGCUCAACUCUAUAUGUAUAUAUAUAUGAAGUUCUUAAGAAUAAAUUAUAUAUUUUUUCGACAUAGCGUACUUUAUGACCAAACCACUUCAAAAUUGUCAAUUUUCAAUUGCUACUAUGAAAAGUUUGUAGUUUAACGGUGUAGAAGAAUCUAAAUUUAUUCAAAUUUUGAUAGAAAAUAUUUUAAAUUAUCUAGAUCAAGAUUAGUGCCUUUGAUCUUGAAUUCAAAAGUCCUAUUCUCACUAAAGAUAGCUCAAUUUUCACUGUUUAUUUAGGCACAAUUUACUUUCUGAGUAAACAAUGUCGAAAAAAAUUAAAAUUUUACUCCUAAAAAUUUCAUAUACCCUAAAUUAUAUUUAACAGUGUGGAUCGUUGUUUUGAACACCCUAAAAUAAAAAAUGAGACUAUAGUAUCGGAGCUNUCUAUAUAUAUAUAUAUAUAUAUAUAUAUAUAAAAUCUAACAUCAUACAAACAAAAAAAAAGAAAAGAAAAAAAAUAUAUACCUAUUGUUACCCUUUGAACUUUCAAGAUGUUACAAAUUCCUGUAACUUCAUGUAAUAGUACAAUCAAACCUUUGUACAACAACUAACAAUAAUCUCCUAGCGGUCUCUACAACUAAGGAUUGAACUCCAUUUUGUAGGUUCUACAGUUUCUGCAGGAAUGAAGCCUCAGAUUUGAAGAACUACGUUGCUUCAAUCCGUAAUAAAGCUCCAUAUUCUGUUGUUAGUGUUUAAAGUGAUAUUACCAUUAUUUCUACUACAGAUGUCACAGAACAAGAAAUGUUAAAACUAGCAUUGUUCAGUCUGAAAUGACAAUUGCACUAUUACAUGAAAGCGACGUGUUUCAAAAAUGAAGAAUUUAGGUGUCUGAUUCCAAAAGUUUUCACAGCUCAAGGAUUUUCACUUCAUUACCUCGACACAAAAGAAAAGUUGUAUAUUUCCACAGAAACAUUCAGAGUUUCAGACAAUGUGCAUAUGCUGAAAAAUGUUUCAAACAGAAGCACAUUCGUCAAUUUGACAGGCUGGUACUCGAUUGAUACUAAACAUUGAUUCAGGUGACAUUAACUUUCCAGUAGCAGGAAUAACUUCUUACCAACUUCUAGCAUGAACUGCAACAGCUCCUAUGGACAAUGUCAUGAAGGACACUUCUAGCAUAAUAAGUGAUCUUCAAUUAGAGUGUUCUUUAGACAAAUACAAGGAUUUAAGUGCCGUGGUACGGGGUCAUGCCGGAAACUUGCCGGCACGGUACGACACGGUGCGCAAUGUUUAAAGUACCGUGGCACGGGGGCAUGCCGUUAUGUCCCUGGCACGGUACGGCACAGGCACGCUUGCGUGCCGACACGUGAGAUACGCGUGACCUCCUACUGGCACGCUUUGGCACGGACUUAUUUCAGAUUUUUUGGUUCUAAUAAACUCUUAUAAUAUUAUUUUGAAAGAUUUAAAUAAAUAAUUAUGAAUAUUUAUUAUAUAUACCUUACUACACUCAUCAAUAAUAUGUAUGUAAGCUUUUUAUAAAUAAAAUACAACUAUACCUGAUGUAGAAUAGAAAUUAAAAUACAAUAAUAAAAUUCACAAGUACAAUAAUUAUUUAAAUUUACAUCUUUAUAUAGAAAUGACUACUUAAUUCGACAUAUAUCGUCACGCUUGAUCAUAUGGCGUAUUGUCAUCUACAAAUACAAGAUUUAUUUGAUAAUAUUGAUAUAAGUAUUGCUGGUAUUGUGAGAAAGUCAUAUAUUCCAAAUAUUACAUCCAUAUUUUAUUCUUUUAUUCUUUUUAAAAAUUUCUGUUCAAAAUUUGUUUAGAAGAUCGAUUUUUGUUCCCUUGAUUCACCGAAAGCUUCACAGUGCAACAAUUUUUGACAAAAUAUUUUGCGAAGAAAAAAUGAAUGUCUGUGGUGGAAGCGGAGGGCGUGGGGGGCGGUAUGGAUCAAGUAUGUCAAUUAAAAAUUUGCUAUCAAUAUAGAAGUUAAAAAAAAAGGUAUCCGCCACAAAGCAAAAAAAAGUUGAAAAAAAGACAAUAAAGUUAAAAACAAAGACAAUAUAAGUGGCCCGGAAGGGGGGCUCGAUACCCUAGAGAACAAAACAAAAAAGAAAAAGCCAAAAAAAAAAGAGGAAGCAGCGACACGCGGCACAAUGCCGCGGCACAUGCCGCUUUGUCUCGAGCGGCACGGGCCAUGUGCCGCGGCACCCGGGGGGGUCCGAGACCCCUCUGUACCGUGCCCUCUUGGGGGGGCGGUACGGCACGCCCCGUGCCGUACGGCACGGGGCGGCACUUUGAACCUUCGGUGCGUGCCGAGCCGAGCCGAGCCGAUGCAUGCCGAUCAAAAAAAUUCUUGCAUGCCAACACAUAAUAAUAGCAUGAAAAAUUUAUUUUCUUUAGUAACAAAAUAUUUUAACUAUUUAUUAUGUCGUUUUAUCACAUCUUUUGAACUUUAUUGAGAAAAUUACUUACUAAUUUAAAAAAUAGAAGGUUUUGAGUUGUGCCAUCGGCACGGAAUCUGUAUCGUGCCGGUAUCUUGCUGUCAAGGUACGGCACGGUGGAUACAGCCCGUGCCGACGGGGACUUAGAAACUUGGGUAAAUAUCAUUUGUACAAUGCAAGGCACUAAUCAAAUACAAUGUGGUGCCAAAGUGGAUGAAAUGUGUCCAUAAGGACAAACUUGUCUGCAUGUGGGUGUGACUGCAUGAGGAUAUAUGAACUAGCGAUCACACAAGAUUGAAGUUCCAGUUUCAAAACUCAAAAGAUCAGAAAUUGAUUGAAAAGAAAAGCCAUGAGUGAAACUAUGCAUUAAGUUCGUAUUCACAAUAUAAUCUACAAGAUAAAAUUUCUUCUUUACAUUUGAAUUUUGCACGUCUGUCUAUGCGAAGGUAAUAUUUUGGUUUAGUUUAGGUUAGUGUCACAAUUUUAAAUGUAUCUCAAAUGCAAUAUAAUGCAAAACCUACGGGUCUUAAACCAUAUGACUGUUGUUAAACCUAGAACACUAUAUAGCCAAUGCACUACUCUAUUUGAAAUAGCUGCAAGUAACAAGAGGGCUGAUAAAGCCACAUCCAUGAAGACAUGAUCACUUUUAACAAGAUCCUGAUUCAGACUGCUCAGUAAAUUCCUUCUUUGUUAAAUCACAUUUUAAAUAUGUAACAACCACCACUAGUCUUAUAAUACAAAAUUAAUCCAGCAACCCCACGUCAAGUUUUAUCUGUAAAUUUAGUUACCUAUAAAUGUACAUAAACACUUUAGCUCAUCUAGACAACAGAUGAAAAAUUAAGGAGAAGUAAAUAGAUAAGGAAUAGAUCUGGUUUCAAACAUAGAUGGUUAUAUACAUGUUUUGAACUGAGAUUCUUCGAAUUAUUCACAUACCAAUAAGAGAAACAUUUAAAAUAAAUAACUAUAAAUAUAAACAAGUACCAAUUAUAUAAAAUCAUCUUGAGAUUAAAAUAAGGCAGUUUGAUUCUUACUAUCUUCUGGAAAUCAAGCCAGCUCCAGAUGACCUGAAAAAAAAUAGUAAUUGCAAUUAAUUUAUCUUCCUGUAGCUUUAGAAAGAGUGAGGUGUUGAAUCUUAAGUCAUGGAAAUACUAAUAUUUACCUUCCUUGUUGUUUGCCUCCAGACCCAUGUCUCCCAUUACUUGGUCCUUUGUUCUGUGACGAAGGCAAGAUUGUUCUUUCAAGAUUUCCACCAUUUCCAGUACCAACAUGUACAGAUGACUGACCAGGUCUAAUUUCAGGCAAAAAUCCAUUGGGGUCCUGAAGACCUUUUAGUUUGUUCGAAAUUGCCAUAUCAGAAAGCCCCUGGACAAUUUUUGAAUUCAAAUUGACACCAUUCUGUUGUUGAUCAUGCAUUUUUGGAGUCUGUGAAUGCAUGUCAAAUGAAUCUCCAGGAUUACUUAUAACAGCACCAUUUGCAAAAGACAUAGUAUUCACAGAUCUAGGCUCGAUUUGUGGCACCCUUUUCUGGCGAUUGUUUUGAGCAACAGGAGUCACAGCAACCGAAGGCAAUAAUGAGGAGUAUUGGGAAGCUGAUGCUGCAGCAGCAGCAACCUUAGCAACAGCAGUAGUAGCAGAUAUGAUCUGUUGUGCUCCUUCGCGAAGAUGAAUAAAAUCCCCCUCAAUGACAAAUAACUGGCAUUGCAACUCCCAUAAGAAACUUAGCAAAGAUUAUAUCGUAAUAAGACAUGCAUGGGUUAAAAACAUACCUCAGGAUGAUGCGCCACAAAAUCAUCCAGCUUUCCAUAGUGUUUCUUGUAAUCAUGCCAGUGAAGAGGAGCAAGCAUUUUCCCAAGCCUAUUUGGUAGCUGGAAUAUGAAAUAAAUACAAACCAAUCAGCCUAAUUAUAAAGAAAUAAUCACGAGCUCCAGCAGAAAAUAUACUCACAGUUGUGCUGAUCCUGAUGCGACCAUCCGAUCCAGCAGGAAUAGCACGAACAAUGCAUGCCAGAAGUGAUCGUUCAUCCAGUAGAGCAGGUUCCACUGCCUUCCCAGUAGGCAAUGAACUAGAGGACCAAGUAACAGAACUAGGUAUUUCAGCAUAAUUAACUACAUUUUUAUGGCAUUCUGCUGCUCCAUUUGAAGUGGUACCAUGAACCUGAGGAGCUGAAGCAACCACACCAGGAGCUGAACACUGUUGUAGUAACGCAGGCUCUUGUGAUUGCUUAUUUGCAGCAAAAACAUUUUCAUCUUGUACCUAAUAAUAUUCAAAGAAUAAUUUGUCAGCAAAAGUUGACAACUGCUUCUUAAGUUGCCUUUUGAGAAAUGAGUGGUGAUAAUACAAACAUGCAAUGAGAUUGAUUGAAGAAUCGGUCAGAACAAAACAAACCUUUGACUCGCUCUUCUGUUCACGUACGUCAAACUUUUGGGUAGAAUUACCCUCAGAAUUUACAUCUAAGGUCUCUUGUGGUUCUAGGGAAACUGCAUGCUGCUUCCCAUUCAAUUCCAGAGCCUGCCAUCAAAAAGUCAGCAUUAAGAUUAAAUAUCUAGGAACAGAACAAGAAUAAACUAUUUGUAGAUCUGCGGAAGUUAUAUAGACCUGCACUUCACUUGAUCCACUGAUUGCAUGGCGAGCCCUAUGCUCUUGGCUAAUGUGGACGCUAAGGUGGUCUGGUUGGACUACAUGUCCUUCAACAGAGUGCUGAUAGCUAGAAUGAGCAUCUGAUCUUAAAAGAUUCUGAUCUGACUGGGAUGACUGAUAAUGUGUCUGGUUAGGUACCUGUGAGACAUCAAAUGCCACCUAAAAUAUAAUAGUGUGUUGAGAAGCAUAAGCAAAAAAUGAAAAGGUAAAUUAGGUUUAUUAUAAAAGUAAUUCAUGCCAAUUAAGUUGUUUAUAAUGCAGAUUUCAAGCAAAAUUUCAAAGAUAGUCCAACCUGUUGAUCUGGCCAAUGAUGAUGAGGAGUUGCAGAUGCUGGCUGCAAAUGACCAAGCUGAGAUGGAGGAACAGGUGAGUUGGUCGAUGUUACAGAUUGUGGCACACCUUGUGGCUGCAUCACAUAAGGAUGCAUUGCAGCCAUCUGUCCAGGAGGGAAAAAGGCGCCGACUCCAAGCAAUGAAGAUGGAACAACCGGCACACCCGAGGAAUGCUCAGUCUAAUAAAAAGAACAAAAGUACUUUCAAAAAAGGGUAGUCACUCCACAAUCUUUAAAGUAUAUAACAUAACAAAGAUUGGAGAACGGAAUCAGUAAUGAGAAUCAAUAUAUAUGAAAGUAUUACUAUAUAAUAUGCAAAUAGCAAACAACUGCACGAAUAAUUGAUGAAGAAAUAUCAAUAUGGCUCUUUCAAUCAGAACCUUGUCAUGAUCUACAUCAUAGUUAGAUAUAAGGGAUUAAACUAUGACGAGAAUAAGCAAAUUUAUGGAACAAUUGUGUCUACUGACACCUGACAGUUCAGUUAGAGCAUUAAGCCCAGGCUACUAUACAGAAGCAUGCAACAAUUGAAUGCAUCUUCUGUUGUAAGUUAACGGAAAAAAGAUGUAGAUUAUCUGCAUAAGAACGAAAAAUGACUAGCUUCUGCAUCUCAACCUUUCAUUGUUCCCUGGGAUGUCAAUUGUAUAUCUUUGUCUUCAUGCAGAUAAAAUUAAGAAAAUAUGGUAGUAAACAUGACAGUAAAUCUUAGAGUUGUUCAAACUUAUGGUACCUUUCUAGGUGGGUUAGAAGCUGAAUUUAAGGACGAACCGUCAUCUGACCUUUCACUUGUAACAAAACCCAAGUUACCAUUUGAAGAACCACCAUCAUUCGCAUUAAUUUGGCUUCCCUUGCUCUGGACAUAUGAAGAAGAAUCAGCUGAACUCUCACUAGCAGCUCCUGAACCAUCUUUAUGUGUUACAUUUUGUUCUCUUGCCUCAGCUAACUCUAGUUGAAGCUGCUGAAUAACUUGCAGAUGAUGUCGCUCCAUUUCAACAUACUAGAAUCAGAAGGCCAAAAUAAAAUAAUAUCAAAGAUCAAACAAGACACAAUCAUCUAAAAUACUCACAAAAAAUCAUAAAAAUAUAUAUAGGUAUAAGCAGCACACACAUUAUUUACUUUCUCAUAGAAUGAAGAAAACUGCAUGUGCAUGCUAUCUAACCUGUUGUUGAAACCCAAUCCAAUAAUGGUUAAACUGUUCAGUGCGUUCUCGCAGCUCAGCUUGUAAUGACUGGUUAGUGGUUGAUUGCAAAGCAUCCAUUUCUUGAACACGAGUAAUCCAAGCUUGUACCUCCCUUAAUUGCUCAUCCUUGUAAAUGAUAGUGUCUUGUGCAACCUUAUGCUGGACAACCCAAAAAUUUGUUAAAUAGUAUAAUAUAUCUUUCUCUAUGUAAUAUGUAAUGUUUAAUUUUAUAUAUAUAUAUAUAUCAAGGAUUUAAGUGCUGUGGCACAGGGUCGUGCCGGAAACUUGUCGGCACGGUACGACACGGUGCGUGGCGAGCCGUGCCGAGCCGUGCCGGUCAAAAAAAUUCUUGUGUGCCGACACAUAAUAGCAUUAAUAUUUAUUUUCUUUAGCAACAAAAUAUUCUAACUAUUUAUUAUAUUUUUUUUAUCACAUCUUUUGAACUUUUAUGAAAAAAUUACUUACUAAUUUAAAGAAUAAAGAGUUUUAAAGUAUGCCAUCGGCACGGGGUCUGUAUCGUGUCAAUAUUUUGUUGGCACGGUAUGACACGGUGGAUAGGAUCUAUGCCGACGGACACUUAAAACCUUGCUAUGCAAUCUGCAUUAACACCUAAGAAAAAACUUAUAUUGUUUGCACAACAUCUUUAUUAAAAAAAAAAAAUUAUAUAUUGUUUGGUUAUAAGAUUGUAGGAAUCAGUUAUUGCCAACAAGUACUCUCAGUCGAAGUUUUAAAAAAAUCAUCUCAUAAAAAAAAUAUAAAUAAAAUCAUAACUUCCUUCUGCUCUGUUUUAUUUUAGGGUCAGUUUGAUUGGAUGUAAUUAGAANCAUGAAAUAUUUAUUUUCUUUAGCAACAAAAUAUUCUAACUAUUUAUUAUGUCUUUUUAUCACAUCUUUUGAACCUUAUUGAGGAAAUUACUUACUAAUUUAAAGGAUAGAGGGUUUUGACCUGUGCCAUCGGCAUCAGGUCUGUAUCGUGCCGGUAUCUUGUUGGCACGGUACGGCACGGUAGAUACGGCCCGUGCCGACGGGCACUUAAAAGUUAAAACCUUGAUAUAUAUAUAUAUAUAAAUAAAUAUAUAUAUAUAUAUAUAUAUAUAUAUAUAUACCAACUGGAUCAAAGGUUCAUCAGCUAUACGAUUCUAAGUUGAUUACAGCUUUAUUCUGUAUAAUAAAAGAUUUUCAAUCCAGUUAUUCACUAGAUAAACAUAACAGCAUGGUUAACUUGUACAUGUAUAGAUACAGCAAUUGUAUAACACAUAAAGGCACAAAAAUGCUGUGUACGCACUUUACGCGUUGAUGUGAUUGUGCACCACAUUGCAUCUUACUGCUAGAAGGUUCAAAGCACCGGUGACUACGCAUUGCAGCAUGAAAGCCCAAACCAACAUUGCUAAAACCCUCAAGAAGCAACUAACAAUAAUUGGGUAGACUCCAGAGUUUUGAACUACUAGAAACAAUAUCAUUGAGAUAAUUUUAUGAAGAAAGUAGCAUAUGGGUCGUUAGUCCGCCAAUCAUUGACAGAUUUGAAACUGCUAUACCAACAGUCAUGCAAUAGUACCUAAAAUAAGUAUUCAAGACAAUAUAUUAAAAUCAGGUUUGGAUGAUAACUAUUAUCCUGUCAGUGUGUAGGCGAAUUUCCCUGACAUAAAUCCUCGAACUAACAGGAUAACAGAGUGAGUCAAAUAUAUUGCCUCACAAAAAAAUCAACGACAUCGGAGAGAAGGUUGAUCUGCAAUUCGUUCUCCAAGGUAUUGCACCGUAAGUGAUCAAUCUAGCUAGCAGUCCCUAUGACUAAAUUUAAGCAAAGCACAAAGAAGAAGAAGAAGAAGAAGAGACAGAAAUCAAUUUCCACCAAUAGCUACAUGAUAUCAUUGACCGAGUUCUAUGCCAACGGUCCACCUUCCGCACGCUGCCUUAAAAAGCAGUGAAUGCACUAUUGCAGGCACAUAUGCAUCCACAUAAGGCAUAGACUUAUAUUUUAGGGAAAUUUUCUUAAUCCAACAUAUUCAAAUUAUUGUAAUAUAAUUUUGGAUAAAUAUGAAUAUAAAUAUAUUAUUAAUAUACUAGAUAACUGUAAAUUUUAAAUCAUGAGAUAAAUGAAGAACUUUUAAAAUAAAAUUAGAUUGAUAUUUAAAUCGACUAAUUCAACAUACAUAAUAUUUAGAUAAAUAUGGAUAUUAAAGAGAAUUCUGAGAUUACAGAUAAUUAUGAUUAUUUUAAUAUAUUGAUAAAAUGUUAAAAAUCUUUUUGAAUCUAUUUAAUGGUUUAUAUAAUUAAAUAUAAUUGCAGAUGAUUGCGAAAUACAAAAACCAAAAAAAUAUAGAUAUCAAAAUAUAAUCUUAUCAAUAGGCGGGUUCUUGAACAUAUAUGAUAAAGUCUUAAGAAAAACACUAAAAAAUAAUCUUGCAGUAUCUAUGUUAAAACUGAAUGAAAGAAUUCAAAUUAAAAUAAAUCGAGUAUAUUCAUAAAAAUAAAAUAUAUCUGUAUAUAAAAUAUAUAUAAAGAAAUUACCAUGCAUUUAACGUCAAUGAUACUUAUAGUUCCUUCAGUUUGGAGAGAUUUUUAAGAAAAUAUAUGUAGGUUUAGCAUGACUCUCCUAAGGUUAGUUGCUCAAACAUUCAAAUAUCACAAUUCAUUUACACAACUUGCAUGAUUUACAGUCAUUAUUAUUUCCUAAAUAGAAUAUUCUUCUUUAAUGUUAACAUUCACUUUAUUACUCCAUGAAGACAAAAAGGUAAAACAAAGAAGUAAGAUGUGUACCUGUUCUUCCAAUGCAAUAAACUGAUUAUCUUUCUCUUGUAUAUGUUCUUGAAGAUCACGAAUUUGUUUAAGAAGCUGUGCCCUUUCAGCCUCUGAGUUAUCACGCUCCCUUCUGUAGAAAAUAAUAAGUUUGCAAAGCUUAAAAUACAAAGGGACAGAUGCUGACCAAUUUCACACUCAAAGAGCAAGGUUUCACAAAGUAAUUCGUAGAUGGAUAAAAUCUUAUAGGACCAAAAUAGUAAUAAUAUCCUUUCACUAAAUUUCCAAUGCAACCACUUAAGAGAUGAUAUGAAGCCAGCUAUAUUCUCACAUAAAGCCUAUUCCAUCAGCAGAGUCGAAAGACGCUCCACAUCAUGCUUCUCGUUCUCACAAGAAGCCCCUUAAAACAUGUUAUUUGCAAGCUAUCUAGGACAACCUCAGGAGAACAUCGCCGUAGGGGACACUAGAUAGAGACUACAGAAGUCAAGGAAGAGAACAAUACAUUGGACCAACUGUACAAAGGUAACAUAAGCAUGAAGACAAUAUUGUAGCAGGACUUCCGCAAACAGGAUCACUUCGGAUCUGUUGUUGAACUGUACCAUUGCAAAAGAGGAUAAAAAUCUUUACAACUGUAUAUCUAAUUGAAGUACUUCAUUCAUCACGCAAGCUAAAAGUAAUAAUAAAGUUUUGCUAAGCAUUUAGGUGCAAAAGAAUGCAAGCAUAAGAAACCAAGAAAGAUGAUAGAGGACAAAUUGAAAGAAAGUUUACUCAAAUGCUGCACGUAGCAUAGAACCAAGCAUUGUACUGUUGUUUCGAGUUGAUAGCAGAAGACUGAACAUGUUAUAUAUAGCGAAAAAAAAUUAUCACAGGGCCAUGAUCAACUGUAUUAAGAAAGACAAUGCAAAUACCUGAAUGUGGCCAGCUCUUUGUUUUGUUCCCUCAGAAGGUCCUCUUUAGCCCAGGCCUAUGAAAACGAGCAAUAAAAUGCAAACAAUGAAACUUAUUGGAUGUUGAACUUAGUUAACGAAGAAGAGAGUGAAAAAAAAAAGUGAAAAAGCAAACUAACCGCCUCAGUGUCAAUCCUUAGAGCACGUAAUUCUCUAUUGUUCUCUUCUAACUUCCUCUCUAACUCAAGUAUGUAAUUCUCUCUUUCUUGCAGUUGCUCCUGUGUAGAAAAGAAAAGAUAACUAUAACCUAUUAGAACUUUUUUUCUUUGGAUGAAGAGUCAAAACUAUCGAACAUCAUGAGGCAACUUCUGAAAUUCAACCACGGCAACCAUACCCAAAACACAAUUUAGAUAAUAAGAAAUAAACCACUUCUUUUAAUGGCCAUUAGAAUGAAGAUUAAAAAUGGAAAUGCAAUGGAUAGCCCAAAUAAAUGAGCAUACUGAGGAGAAAUUUGUUUAUAGCUAAGAGCUAAACUCCAGACAGUUAGUUAGUGAUUCAUACUCAUAUGAGAUGCCACUCUAUCAUACCACUCACCCAUACUUUUAUGAUGAAUGUGGAAUGAUCAAGCAACAUAAAUCUGAAAAGGAGAUUAAAGAUGUUUUACAUCUUCGAUGCACAUGGCAAAAACUUACAAAAGUUCAACAUUAUUGCAUGCCGGAAACGUGCAUGCACUGCCCCACAGAUCAGACUAACAAUGAGAUCCAACCAUCUUACAAACAGCUAAUUAGCGCUAGAGACAACGAAACAAACAUCAAUAAUCAGGUUUUUGGGUAAUAGCUAAAAGAAAAAGAAAAAAAAAAAAAAAGGGGGGGCAUAACAAAGAGCAAUUAGUGGAAGAGACCUUUAAUUUGGCAGCGGCGGCAUCCUGCUCCUUCAUCCGAGCUUCAAAGCCACUCUGUGCCUCCAAGAUUUCACCACGCGCAAUUGCCUGUGCUCUCAGCUCAAUCUCCAUAUGCUGCAACUCCUCCCUCUGCCUUGCAAUAUUCUGCAGCUUCCUUUGCAAGAUAUCAUCAUUCAGCCCCCUCCCAUCUAUCAUAAUCGAGGAGAAAUCCACAUCAAGUGGCCCCAUUCCUUCCUGCACCUUGCCAGAAUACACCAUUACCUCUUUAAGCACUUACCUGUAUUCUAAAAGGUCACACUGCCGAAACAACAACGAAACCAUUUCCCACAGUACCUCAUAAAUAGUUCUCUCUUCCGGCUGCCCCAAUUUAACAUGUUCAGAGUCCUGAGAUCCGAAGUUUCACACAAAAUCAAAACCCUAACAGAAUCAAUCAGGCACAAAGUGCAAGCAAGGGAAAAUUUCUUUCCUACCUCAGACCCAUUGCUCCGGAACGAAUGCUGGGAGACAGCGCGCCACUCCUUCCUCGGCUGCUGUGACGAAGAAGAGGGCGAGGAGGAGGGCACAGGAAGCGACCCACCGCGGCUUGCGGAGGCCUCCAUCGCGGAUCGAGAGCUCUCUCUCCGACGCCUCCAACUCCUAAGAUCGAGUCCGCUCCCGCAGGAAACCAAGCCAAGGACCCCGAGAGCGAGAUCGAAGCUAGGGUUUUUCAACCAUGUGAGGGUGGGGGCCGAGGAGAGGGAGUGGGAUUCUAGGGUUUUGGAGAUCCCGACGAGAAGUGAACGGAGGAGACUAGCGCUUUUGUGUUGGGGGUGCUGCGGUGGGGGGACGAUCGAGAGGGAUUUGGAAGGGCGACGUGGAGAGAGCAAUGGAGUUCAGGAAGGUCGAGGGUCAAGAAGCGAAACCUUGCCCUAAUUAGAGAAGGGAAGACGGGCGGGCGAGGAAACGGAUGGAUGGCCCGAGCGAACCGGGUCGGCAGUCCACAGCACGUUGAAAGAUUUUGGAAACGGAAGCUAAAAUAGAUUGUUUCUAUAGUUGCAUUUUGUGUUUACUUUUUAAUUAAUUCAGUCGCGAGGUAGAGUUAUUGAAGUCCAAAUUUAUUUAUUUUUCUUUAAGGCAGUAGAUCAUAAUCUAUGAGGUUGCAAAGAAUAUUUUUACCUUUUCAAUUGUAUCUGUUAACAUAAAAGUUUUUUUUUUGUAAUAUCCUAAAUUUUAGAGUUCACUUUUUACUUGAGGAAUUUUACGAUAUAUACUGAAGGACUUUUUUUUGUUUCUUUCAUAGCCUAAUUUUAAUGUUUCGAAAUAAAACAAGAAAUUUUUAGUAGAAGUUUGUAUUUGUGAAACAUAAGUGGAGGUUCUAAAAGAAUCUAGACAAUAUGUAUAGAUAUUCAAAAUUUUGUCCGAGCCCAAACACGAACAGAAACGGGACAUAUUUAUUUGAUGCAAAAUGGAUAUGGUUUUCUAUACGAGUAUCUAUAAUCUAUCUAUAAUCUAUAAUCUAUAACUCUAUAAUAAUAACUCUAUAUUAAUCCCCAAUACUGUAGCUGAUGUGGCAAAUCCUCAAAAUUUUAAUUUUUUUUAUUUUUUUAAUAGUAAAUUUAUCCGCUCAUCUACGCCGCACUCUUUUUCUCAAGUAUUCCCCAACCGUUCGCGUUCGUGUCCACUCAUUUACCCCGCACUAUUUUUCUCAAGUAUUUUCCAAUCGUUCGCGUUCGCGGCCCCCCAUCUCCUCCAGUCGCACUCUAUUUCUCGCGCCCCACUAUCUCCUCCUGUCCCACUCUAUUUCUUCUCUCAUCACACUCCAUUUCCCGCGUCCCCCUAUCUUCUCUCGCCGCACUCUCUCUCUCUCUCUCUCUCGCUCGCUCUCUCUCUCUCUCUUAGCGUUCGCCGACGAGGGUCAUAUCUAGGGGAUUUGUCUAUCCCUAAGUUCAUGAAAUACGCCCCCUUCCAAAUGCUUGCCUUUCCAACUAUGUGCAUUGUAGCUAUCUUUAACCAUUGCUGUUCAGUUACUCGAUAAUUGCUGAAAUAUUUCUCACAAUUUUCGACCCAUGCUUCAGGAUUUUCUCCACAAAAUUCUGGGAAGCUUGAUUUCAAAUAUGGCAUGGGUUUGAGAGGUAAUGGCUGAUUUGCAAACAACUUCAGCACCUCCUCAAACCUGCUGGCACUAUCACUCAUCUUUACUUCCUGACCAUUAUUGUCCCCUAUCUGUGGGUGUUCAUGGUGCUUUUGCUCUAUUUCCUUUAGUGCAGCGUGUUGGCCGAUUAGGGAAGUAAUUAAUGAACUUACUCUUUUCUCAGCAGGGGUGGGUAAAGGUAUUAGCCCUUUCUCUUCUUUUGGAACCGGCACUGCUAUCUCUUUUUCACUAGCAUGCAUAAAUUGGCUCCUAAUCAACUCUAGGAGUUGUUCAUGUCUGUGGGCAUUCUCCUGCAUCAUGAUUUCGUGCCUCCUUACCUCUUCCUUUUGUAGUGCUUCAAUCAAGACAUCUAACUUUUGAUUGACAUCCCUAGCACUUUGUAACGCUCCUUCAAAGCUUCAAUUAUAGCUAGUGGUUUGUUGCUGCAACCUUGUUCCAAUAGCCAUUUUACUCUUAAACUUAUAUGGAUUUCAGUCUUUCGUUUUCGGCUGUGCGACGAAUUGCGCAACUGCUCAACCCUUGUGAUUGCUUCGGAAUGGUUUACGAUCGUUGCUCGCGACUUGUUUGUUGAACUACCUAGUUGUUGUACCACCUGUCGACUUCAAAUUUGUCUUGUUUCCUUCGAUGAAAUCCCAGCAGCUUAUGAUCCUUGACUUCCUUGCAGUGACUCAACAAUUUGGUCCGGUUACUAUUUCGACAAGCUACUGAACUUAUGUGCAGGAAUUUUGACAAACACGAGGUGGGAACUCUAGUAGAGGAGUGAAUUCCUUUAUCCGACUCAACUCUGCGAGUUCAAGAGUCAGGUCGACUCUCGCAGUGACCCUCCUUUGUCGGGUUACAGCCGAGGCCGACACCCGCAGCGCGGAGGAUUAAAUUGCAAGGUGACUUAACGAUUUCUAGAAUCGGAAUCACGGCAAUAGCACUGCACCAAUCCCUGAGAUCGUGCUGCUCUGCUCGGGUAUGGUUUGGGAUUGCUACGUGUUACAGUAACUCUACCGAGGCGCCCGUGAUGCUUGCCUGAGGCUAGGUGCUAUUCUAAUUAAAUAGAACCGGCACCUAUAGUUGCUACUACCUCGGUACACUUCGUGUGGGAUUUCAGUUGCUAAUUUAUGCUAAUUGGAUGAUGUUACCUGAUGCCCCUUCACUGUUCGGAGUAAUUCCCAACUGCUGCUGCCUUUCCGCGGCCUCGAUAAUGUGAAUCUCGCUGCCCAUGGCCCUGGGAUGGUGCCGCUAUGAUACCAAUUGUAAUAUCCCUGUGGCUCGGAUCAAGUUCUUGGUGCUUCCGGUCGCGAAUCCGAUGAAGUUUGAUGCUAAGAAAGGUAAGGGAAGUCGCUGGAGAGGAGCAGAAGGGGUUUGCGAGAGGGGAGAUAGAGGCAGUAGAGAUGAGAAUUAGAGAAAAGGGGUUAGGGAUAGAGAUUAGAGAUAGAGAGUGGGAUAAGAAAUUGGGAAGGGAAGUAGUAGAGAAGAAGAAGGGUUUGGAGAAGAACUUUUGGGGGAGAAAUAAACUAAUUCAUUUUCAUUCAUACCCUGUUUACAUUACACUUAGGUAUUUAUACUACUCGGUGGCAUGAACUGAAAAGAAACUUAACUACUAUCUGGGGCUAAACAACAAAAGUGCUAAUAUGAGGUAUAGGCCUGGUGGGCUGCUAAUUCAGUGUUAAUUGGGCCUCUCGAUGGCUUGACCUGUCCAUGAGCAUCAUGUAAUCGGGUGAUUGGAUAUCGGGCUUCCUUCUCCGCAUGAUCCUCAGACGAGCGGAUAGCGAGUCCGCGUUUUAUACCCGAUCCGAUAAUCCGACCACCCGAUCCAUCAGUGGAGUGGUAACCGGGUAUGUGGGUUUCGGUCCUCUCUUCUUCGCACUAUCCACAGCCCGGCGGAUAGUGGGUCCGCCUUUUGGAUCUGCUCCGAAGAUCUGCCAAUUCAAACCGCCUGCUUCCAUCUUCCCCAAUCUCUGUCGGACCAUCUCCUCCAACCUCGAUCCUCCCAUUUCCCCUUCAGCUCCGACGAUGACCUAGCCCGUCGCCCCGCCGGAGUUCCACCCGAGCGCCCUCACGCCGCCGAAGUUCCACCAAGCUCUCACCUUCCUCCACCUGCUGUAGCCCUUAUUUCUAUUCCACUAUGCAAAGUUAACAUUUUUACUAAUCUCCUCUAUUACUACUACUUCUACUAUUUAUUUUAGGUCGUUACACCUUGUGCUUCUUAUUUUUCAACACAGAUUUUUGGCCUUCAGAUGGAAACCAUUUGGAGCUAAUUUCUAUAAUAUUCCAUGUCAAAUAUUCAGUUUUGGAUAUAAAAGUGUCACGCCCGGGUACCAGCAGAAGCAUAUCCGGUACGUGCACAGACCCGCCAUACACCUGCAGUAUAUAAGGCGUCUACAAAGCAAAUCGACAGGAAGUAGAACAUAGAAAAUCCUAUCCACAGCGUACGUGGAGUCGGACGUUCGGUUCUUGGUGUAGCGGGUUGCCAGGCGGGCUUCCAUGCACGUGGCACCAGUCCCUAGGCAAUCACCCUCUCCUUUGUAUCGGCGCAUGUGGGUAUCGGUUCUAGGGGCUAUCCCUCUCCUUGUACGGCAUGUGGGAUCGCGAGAAACAAGAAAGAAUCAGUAUUAGGAGUUUCAAGAAAGGCCACCCUCUCCUUGUAGCGGCGUAUGUGGGCGCCAGGUUCUUGAUAACUCAAGUGUUCAUGACUCUAAGGCCUUAGCUGAAGUGUUCAGUUCCCAAGUAUAGGUUGGGAUACGAUAACUGGAUAGAUCCAGGUUACGUGAAAGGUGGGAUCCAGGUUGACUGAGAUCCAGAUUACGGAGUUAAAGUGUUGGAUCCAAAUGGAAUUGAGAUCCAAAUCAAGAGUUGGAUGCAAGAAAUUGUGAUCCAAUCUACGGUGUGUGGAUCUAGGGCUGAGAUCCAAGUAUGAGUUGGAUACAAGAAAUUGUGAUCCAAUCUACGGUGAGCAAUAAAUAGGAUCCAAGUUGUUGCGAUCCAAGUUACAGUAGAUACAGGCUGGAUACAAAUAAUUGUGAUCCAAUUACGGUGAGCUAGAUGAACUGUAGGAUAAACAGUAUAGCUCAUAAGAUGUCAAGUGUAUGUAUAUAAAUCGUAGUUGAUGUACGUAGUAGAACGUAAAUAUAGUACCUGUACGUAAGAAAUGUAAUACGAAUGAUACAAUAGUACGGAGAGGAUCGUAGUAUAUUGGUACGUUAAUCGAUCGUAUAUAAGAUGUUCGUAUAUUUAUAAGGUAAUAAUACGUAUAUAUAUAAGAGUAAUACAGUGAUACGUAGUAGAUCAUUAAUGUAAUAUACGUAGUUGUACCUAAGAAUUGAGCGAAUCUGUAUUUCCCGCUGGAUCAGCGAAGCCAUUUGUGUUGGGUGGAAUUAAGCGCAAGGCUAACGAGCAGCUGUGAACGUUAGCCGGAGGGCGCCGUGGGCACUGGGCCAAGCCGAGCUUGAGAACGCGCUGGUGGGCUUGCCGGUGGUUAGGCGCUAGGCAGAUAAGACCUCAAAUAAGGUGUUGUGGUGCUACGAGGGCUAGGCAAGAGUACUAAAAACCUCCGAAUAGAGCGCACGACGCCGAUAGACAUGGUUUUGUCUGACAAAGCAAUUAUUGAAGCGCAUGUGAGCAGCAUAGCAGCUUGGCUCGCGUGGUUGCGCAAGCAAUAUGGGGGUUAAUCCAAAUGUCUCCCAAUUUACUCUAGUUUUGGUAGAUAAAUGUUUUUAGGGUAAAACUCGGGAUCAAACGCUGAUGCCGUUUUAUGGGGUUUAUUUAGGGAUCUAAGUACGUAAUUAGAUGAGUAUUCGUACGAUCCUAAGAUAGAUUUGGUAAGAAUCUCACAUAAUUGGUUUGGGAUUCUUUAGUGGUAAUUUCUCGAAGUUUCUUCGAAUGGAGGAUUUCGGAGAGGUUCGUGUUCCUUCCUUACUUCUUCUACCUUUCGAGUAGGAGAAGAAGAAGAAGAAGAAGAAGAAGGAGAAGAGGAAGAAGAAGACGAAGAAGAGAAGAUAAAGCAAAUCUCUCUCUCUCCCCACCGCAACCCCAACUUUGCCACUCCUUUUCUCUCUCUCUCUCCAAGAUGAGGAGAGAUAUGUGAAUUGGGUACAUUGUAAACGUCCUUUUGGAGAGUUGUUUCGGAGAGAACGUUGUCGGGCUUGACCCGUAAAAGCCCCAAGCCCCUGGCCAGAGACGUACUCCCUGGCCAGAGACUCUCUGGCCAGAGAGGUGGACCCUGGCCAGGGUCUCUCUGGAGGUCGGGUCUGAAUCGGUUAAAAGUCGAAGCAGGCAAAAGCGAGGCAAAAGCGGGCAAAAACAAGCAAACUGGAGGCUAAGCAGAGUUUAGCUUGGCUCUGAGAGGUUUGUACAAAAGUUUGUACAAAAGUAGUAGAAAGGUAGGAGUGAUUACGGCCUAAAUCGAGUGCCGGGUUGUACCGGAAAGCCGAGGCAAAAGCGCGGAUACGCGUGGCUUUGCGGGCUAUCGAGGGUUUGAAGUGGGUUGAAGUGGCCUUGGUAAGUUUAUCGAGAGGUUAGCUUACAUGUGGUAUUGAAUUAUCAAAAUCUUCAGGCCAUGGAAUGUGAAAAUCAUAUAGCUGAACAUGAAACGAGACUAUAUANGCGGUCUGUCGGCGUGCCCGAACCGGACCAAAUUGGGAGCGGUCUCGGGGCGUGACAAAAAGCAAAAGAACAAUAACUAUACAAUCCAAAAUCUCGACAAAGAGAAGUAUCACAACUGUAGUUCUCGGUCCAAAUAGUACAUAUACAUCACGGGGAUACAAAAAAUAGAUACAAUGGUAGUCUCUCUAUACAUAGGGACAUCACCCUCGGCCGUAGCCCAAGUAGCAAGGUGAUCGACUAGCAUACUCCUAGCAAAGUCUAGCUAGACGCGACUCCCUUGCCACGAUCCCUAGCCUCUCCUGUAGAUGGCUCUGAAAAAAAACAACCACCAAAAGUGCGUGAGAACUAUUAACAAUAGUUCCCAGUGGGUAAGCCGCCAGCCUCGGCGAAUUACACCACUAGGUUCAUGAUGUACUGAAUGGAAGUAAAAGCAGUAAUUGCAUGAUAUAUCUAUAUGCUGCUAGCAAGUAAUGAGCAUGUAAUCAACAUGUAAUCAUAAUUUCUGCAGUAAUGAAUCAGUCUGAAUCACAGAAGCAUAGCUACUACUGUAUCAUGAACAUAAACAUGAACAUAAGCACAAAUGUGUAAGUAACUACUAUACACUAUAAUUGGCAAGUAUUCAUUACUGUCAACUGUCGUUUCGAACUUUAACCUCAUUAGAGUUUUCCUUUCAUUCAUCAGGACCUACCCAAGGUAGUCCGGCUUGUGCCGCGCCUAAUGGCCCCGUGGUAGUAUACACUCCCCACGGCAAUCCACUUCGGCACCCAAUCCAGCACGGGCGAGCAACUGUCGCGUAGGCCAACUCCGGAGUGCCGGCUUGUAGAGAGCUACCUUCACAAGCGUGUGCGAAUGUGCACGAUGGCAAGCAAGCAAAGUCCACAGUCUAACAUGUCUCAACUAUCACAAUUUAGCUCACAAUAUUCCCGCUCUCGAUCCUUUGAUCGGAAUUUCAAUAUAAUUAAUAUUGACAACAACUAGUAUCCACUAGAUUAAUAAACAUGUGAGAGUAAUGCUAAUUUACAUAUGGCAUUAGAAACUUUCUAGUAUCAUGGCACUACCAUUAUAGUCAUAAAACAUGCUCUCGUUCUCGACUUUAUAAUCAAUAAAGUUACAAGCAUGUCAUUGUUCUCUACUUUCUAGGAACAUAGUAACUUGUACUAGAAUGUCAUUCAACUGAAUUAAACAUGAACAUAAAUACUUUAUGCAUGUGUGUAUCCACUCUACUUUAUAGAGGUUCUAUUUCAAUUAUAUCAAAUGUUAUGAUGAUAUAUAUCAAACCCUUUAUUAGUAAAGGCGCUACUAAAUCGAUUCUAUAGUUACAUAUAGAACAUAGGGGAGCUUCACUUGCUCUGGUUAGGUCAAACCUACCUAGUACUAGGCUCCAAAUAGUCACAAGAAGUUCCAAUAAUCAGCUCAACAAGGCUCCAAUCCUGUUGAAAAUAAACAUCAACACCGUGUCAAAAUGACGACCGAAAUGUCCGAUUUCGGCAUAAUUUGCACUUAGUACAAAAUAACCCCUUAAAUCCCUGUUUUGGGCUAGUGUAAUACCUCAAGUUAAGCUUCCAAAAGGCCCUCCAAUGCCAGUCGAAGGCGGUCCAAGGGUCAAUCACCCUCUCGCUGCGAACAAUACCGAAACGGCAUCAAUAUACUCGAUUUGACGAAUAGAACGUCGAUAGCGGAAAAAUUGAGUCGAUUACCUUCUUAAGCUUCCAACCAGUGACCCACUGGUUCAGAGCUACGAAAAUCCUUCCAAAACACUCCUUCCCACAUCCACGUAAGCUCCGCAAUGCUCGUAACCAGCGAAGAACACACGAUGCGACGAAAACGAGCGAAAUCGUCGAAUUCUAUGUAGAGAGAGAAAAACCCUAAAGAGAGAAAGAGAGAGAAAGUAAAAGAAGCUUUCUCUGAGCCUUGCAGCCUCCACUGAGCCUCCAGGGUCGUGCUCGAUUCAAAUUGAUAGGGAUCAAAUGUGAAAUUACCGAAAUAGCCCUGCUGCCACGUUUUCCCAUUGUGUACCGGUACACCAUGAUGGCUGUACCGAUACAUCAAGCAGAAAACUGCUGAUUACGCCAGAUCAGUGCACUUUCUUACUUUUAACCCUCCAAUCACUCUCUAACUUGCUCAAAAACUUGUCCAAGUCAUUUAAAAUAUGUAGGAUAGUUCCACAUUUCAAUUCACACACUCGAACUCUGCAAUUUGCGAAAGUUCAGUGUAUUACAUUCACCCCUCCUAAAAAGAAGUUUCGUCCGCGAAACUUGUAAACCUUACCUCAAGAUUCCGUCGAGAAAAGAUAGGGAUAGUGCUCUAACAUCGCACUCUCCAGUUCCCAAGUGGCUUCUCGUUCAUCGUGAUUGCUCCAAAGCAUCUUCACGUAGGGUAUUUCGCGAUUUCGAAGCCGUUUCACCUCUCGAGCUAAUAUUUUCACUGGAUGCCCCUCAAAGCUCAAAUCCUCUUGCAGCUCUACUGGAAUACUUUCCAGUACGUGGGUUGGAUCAAAGAUAUACUUCCGUAGUGUGGAUACAUGAAACACAUUAUGCACUCCCGAUAGGUUCGGCGGUAAAGCAAGCCGAUACGCUACGGCGCCUAUCCGCUCCAACACCUCAUAGUGUUCAAUAAAUCGAGGACUUAACUUCCCUCGAAUACCAAAUCUCUUAACCCCCUUUGACGGUGAAACUUUUAGGAAUACAUGAUCGCUAACUUGAAAUUCCAGUUCUCGCCGACGUUUAUCCGUAUAGCUCCUUUGUCAACUUUGGGCGGUCAGUAAACGUUCCCGUGCAAGUCGAACUUUCGCUUCAGCUUCCUUUAACACAUCUGGACCCAAGACUAAUCUUUCACCAACUUCACUCCAAUGAAGUGGUGAUCUGCACUUUCUACCAUAAAGGGCUUCAAAAGGUGACUUCUGAAUGCUUGCUUGAUAACUAUUGUUAUAAGCAAAUUCAGCCAUCGGUAGGAACUGUGGCUAACUGCCCUGGUAAUCAAUCACACAGGCCCUCAACAUAUCCUCAAGGGUCUGGAUGGUACGCUCAGACUGCCCAUCACUCUGGGGGUGGAAAGCAGUACUAAAAUCCAAUCGGGUACCCAAGGCCUCAUGUAAACUCCUCCAGAAAUGUGAAACAAAUCGGGUGUCUCGAUCAGAAACAACAGAGGCUGGUACUCCAUAUAAUCGCACAAUUUCAUCUAGGUACACUUGUGCGAGUCUUUCCCCCGACCAAACUGUAUGAAUUGGAAUAAAGUGGGCAUAUUUAGUCAAUCUAUCCACAAUUACCCAAAUUGCAUCAUGACCUGCUUGUGAGCGAGGUAAUCAAACAAUGAAAUCCAUAGUAAUCCUCUUCCACUUCCACACUGGUAUGGGUAAGCUUUGAAGUUUUCCUGCAGGAAGUCGAUGUUCAGCUUUAACUUGCUGACAGGUUAAGCAUUUAGCCACAAAAUCUGCAACUUCCUUUUUCAUUCCAGACCACCAGUAAGUUAAUUUCAAAUCUUUAUACAUUUUCGUACUUCCAGGAUGCAAAGUAUAUGGCGCCCGAUGUGCUUCUUUUAAAAUCUCCUCUUUAAUAUCAUAAUCUGCCAGUACACAAAUUCUAUUACUGAAUUUUAGCAGUCCCUGAUCAUCUACUCGAAAGUCACCAACAUAAUCAACAGUGAUUUUUACUCGAAUCUUUUGCAGAAAUUCAUCUUAAGCUUGCUUUUCUUUAAUUCGAUCGAUCAGGGUAGGUUGCACCACCAAUGACAUAAGUCUCCAAGGCGUAUCAGGAGCUACAACUUCUAAAUUCAAUUGCUCCAUUUUCUUUACCAACAGGGGUUGCAUAGUUAUUGACAUCGCCAAAUUUUUCGUCGAUUUUCGACUUAAAGCAUAUGCUACAACAUUAGCUUUUCCUAGAUGAUAGAGGAUGGUCAAAUCAUAAUCCUUGAGCAACUCCAACCAUCUACGUUGUCUCAAGUUUAAUUCCUUCUGAGUAAACAGAUACUUUAAACUUUUAUGAUCUGUGUAAACUUCGCAACGCUCGCCGUAGAGGUAGUGGCGCCAAAGCUUUAAAGCAAAUACCACAGCUGCUAACUCAAGAUCAUGUGUAGGGUAGUUCUUUUCAUAAUCCUUUAGUUGGCGAGAGGCAUAAGCAAUUACCUUGCCAUUCUGCAUUAGAACACACCCUAAUCCAUUCAGCGACGCAUCGCUGUAAAUCACAUAACCCACUCCGGUAACAGGCAGUGCUAGAAUCGGGGUGGUGGUCAAUCGUUCCUUCAGCUCUUGGAAGCUUCUUUCGCAGGCUUCAUUCCACAGAAAUUUAGCUCCUUUAUGAGUGAGUCGAGUGAGAGGAGUAGACAUCUUCGCAAAUCCUUCCACAAAUCUUCGGCAGUAUCCCGCCAAACUAAGGAAACUCCGAAUUCUGUGACACUGGUCGGCCUAGGCCACUCUUUAAUCGCUUCAAUCUUCUUUGGAUCCACAGCUAUCCCAGUUUCUGAAAUUACAUGUCCCAGAAAUGCUACUUCUCGAAGCCAAAAUUCGCAUUUCUUUAACUUUGCAAACAAUUUCUUUUCUCGAAGUACGUGUAACAUCACUCUUAGAUGGUUUUCAUGCUCCUCAUCACUUCGAGAAUAGAUCAAGAUAUCGUCGAUAAACACGACCACAAAUCUGUCCAAAUAGGGCUUAAAGACACGGUUCAUUAAAUCCAUAAAGGUUGCUGGGGCAUUUGUCAGUCCAAAUGGCAUCACUGUAAAUUCAUAAUGUCCAUACCGUGUCCUAAAAGCGGUCUUCGAAACAUCUUCAGGCUUGAUCUUAAGCUGAUGAUAACCUGAUUGCAAAUAAAUCUUGGAAUACACUUUCGAUCCUUGCAAUUGAUCAAAUAAAUCGUCGAUUCGGGGUAAUGGAUACUUAUUCUUGAUUGUGACUUUGUUGAUUUCUCGAUAAUCCACACACAAUCAAAGAGAUCCAUCAUUCUUCUUAACAAAUAAUACCGGGCCUCCCCAAGGAGAUACACUCGGUCGAAUAAAACCCUUAUCUAGUAAAUCUUGCAAUUAUGCCUUCAGCUCUUUCAACUCAGCGGGUGCCAUCCUAUAGGGUGCUUUCGAGAUAGGGGUAGUCCCAGGGACCAGAUCCAUCACAAAUUCAACCUCCCUAUCAGGUGGCAUACCCAGUAACUCAGCUGGAAACACAUCCUCGAAUUCUCGCACAACUGGGAUAUCUUCAAUCUUGACGGCUUCACCAUCACUCACUGAAAUACUAGCCAAAUAGGCUACACACCCUCUCCGAAUCAACUGUCGCGCUCGCGAAGAGCUAAUAGUCAUUGCGAACAACGAACUCCGACACCUCUUGUAAACAAACUCUUGCUGCCCCGGCUCCCUAAAGGUCACCGUUCUGUUCGUGCAAUCAAUAGUGGCACAAUACUAUGUCAAUCAGUUCAUACCCAAUACUACAUCAAACUCUCAUAGUUUGUGUAAUGCUAAUAAGUCUACUGGCAUAAUCCAAUCGCCUACCCGAACUUGGCAGCGAGGGCAAAACUCACGAACAUUUAGGGUAUGGUCGGGCACGAUCACUCAUCCCGGAUGCAAAGUAGGUGCUAAAUGAAUGCUAUGCAACUCGGCAAACUGCCGAUCAAUAAAAGAAUGCGAAGCACCAGUAUCAAACAAUGCACGAACACGAAUGUCAUAAAGCAUAAUAAUACCUGCUACGACCUCCUCUGCUGCUGCGGCCUUCUCUGACUGGGCGGCAUAUAUACGUCCACUCGAACCCUGCCGAGGACUCUCAGACUACCGCUGUCCCAGUGGUCGUCUGUACUGAGAGGGUGCUGUCGGGGUCCCCUGGCUCGGAGCUGAAGAUGCAGGUGCAGAAGCUGAUGAUGGUGCAGGCAAAGAACCUCUCGGGCACUCUGAGCGAAAGUGGCCCUCCUGACCGCAGAGAAAACACCUGCCCCCACGUUGUGGACACUGUGGCGGUAUGUGAGGCCCACCACAGAUAACACAACGUGGUGGUCGACGACGCUCGGAUGCUCCACGGGGUGCUGAAGAACCUCGACCCCUCGACUGUCCUGACUGUCCCUUCGGAUACUUUGGUGGUUUCCUGAAGGAUUGCUGACUACUGCUAUCAGCUACUGGUCUCUUUCCUUUGCCUUGAUCCACAACGUCUCUUCCUUCAUGAUUUUUGCCCCUUUCUCAACAAUCAAGGCCCGGUUCACCAUAUCUCUGUAAGUCGCGAGGUUUGACGCCUGGACUAAUCUGAAAAUCGCAGACCGCAAACCCACCUCAAAGAUACGAGCCUUGUCCUCAUCAUCUCAAACCACAAAAGGAACGCAGUACAGUAAUCGGGAGAACUCUCGCUCAUACUCUGCCACUGUCCUGUCCCCCUGCCUCAGAUUUCUCAGAUCCCUUUCCAUCUGUCUCUUAACACUCUGAGGAAAGUAAGUCGUCAACAACAAUUCCUUGAACCUGUUCCACGUGAUAGCGGACAAAUCAGUACGGGGAUCCUCACGAAUGUCCACCCACCACCUGUAAGCCUCGCCGUCAAGGUGGUGCGUCGCAAACCAAACUCGAUAUCGCUCCUCGACGAAUGUAUCAUAGAAUAACUUCUCCAUAUGCAUCAGCCAUUUCUCAACCACCCAGUGAUCCGCUUUCUACCCACAAAGAUAUGAGGGUUGCAGCAACGGAAUUCAUUUAGUCGUUCCAUCAUCCGCUCUCGCUCCUCAACCCCGACCAUCUCAGGUAACACUGUCCCUAAUGCCGCUACAGGUACUGGUGGUAGUGCUACUGUCUGCUGUCGGGGCUCUACCCUCAGGGCUACUGGGGGUGUAUCAGGUACCGGUGACGGUGCUCUCGUAGUUGUGUCCCUCUCUGGUGCUGGAGGUACAGAAUCUGGAAUCUCUCUGUCGGUCGUCUGCCGCAGUAACAGAUCCUCUAACCUCUUCAUCCUAUCCUCCUGUCGACGCACAGCGUCCAUUUGCUAUUGCGCUGCCGAUGCCUGCUGUGUCACUAGUUGAGUCAACACUGCGAGCUGUUCCUGUAACUCCCUGACCUCACUGGACCCCGAAGUGACGGAAGUCUCCACUUCUUCCGCAGCGGCCGCCUCAGCCGCCCCGGCGGUUCCAGAACGAAUCGUAGGCAUCUUAAGCUGCAGCACAAAAACAAACAUAGAUUAAGAAAACCUAAGCUAUUGAACCUUUACUCCAGAUAUAAACCAGCAAAUCAAGCGAAAGUAAUGAAAUGUAACGCGUACUAACUUCCGAUGUCACGUUGUCGGCCGCUAACGUGGCCCUCUGCAAAGUUAGUAAUUGCACAUUCCGAUCAAACUCCUACCAUUCGGAGUUUAUAAUUUACCCAAUCAAAGUACUUUCGCUAACAACAACCUCACCUAGACCUCAUCUCUCACGAGCCUAUUCUUAUAGUCCAACCAGCCUAAGAUUUGCUAGGUCUACUAAGACUCAACCCUAGGCUCUGAUACCACUAUAAUCUGUCACGCCCGGGUACUAGCGGAAGCAUAUCCGGUACGUGCACAGACCCGCCAUACACCUGCAGUAUAUAAGGCAUCUACAAAGCAAAUCGACAGGAAGUAGAACAUAGAAAAUCCUAUCCUGAUAUCAGAGCAAAGUACAAGUCGAUAUACUAAAAGCAAAAGAACAACAACUAUACAAUCCAAAAUCUCGACAAAGAGAAGUAUCACAACUGUAGUUCUCGGUCCAAAUAGUACAUAUACAUCACGGGUAUACAAAAAAUAGAUACAAUGGUAGUCUCUCUAUACAUAGGGACAUCACCCUCGGCCGUAACCCGAGUAGCAAGGUGAUCGACUAGCAUGCUCCUAGCAAAGUCUAGCUAGACGCGACUCCCUUGCCACGAUCCCUAGCCUCUCCUGUAGAUGGCUCUGAAAAAAAACAACCACCAAAAGGGCGUGAGAACUAUUAACAAUAGUUCCCAAUGGGUAAGCCGCCAACCUAGACGAAUUACACCACUAGGCUCAUGAUGUACUGAAUGAAAGUAAAAGCAGUAAUUGCAUGAUAUAUCUAUAUGCUGCUAGCAAGCAAUGAGCAUGUAAUCAACAUGUAAUCAUAAUUUCUGGAGUAAUGAAUCAGUCUGAAUCACAGAAGCAUAGCUACUACUGUAAUCAUAAUUUUUUUUUUUGAGAGAUAGGUAGUAUGCUACCCGCUUCAUUUAUUUUAUUUAGAAAUAAACUUAGCUAGAAAUGUGAAUAAAUUAGGAUUCGAACUUGGGUCUCAGGUACCAACCAUCAAGCUCUUUGUCACUUGCUCUAGGGAUGGUCGGUAGGACGUUAAUAUUUUACAAUUCUUUCAUGAGAGCAGAACAAAGGAGAUAGAGCAAGAGUUACAAGUAGGUUUAAUAUGUGUACUAUAUGCCUAUUUCGGGCAAAGUGGUAAUUUGGUCAAUUCUUUAGAAUAAAAAAUACGAUCGAAUAUACAAAGUUUAAAAAAUAAAUAAAUAAAAAACGGAUCGGAUUUGUAAAAGCACGAAACCAGUGGAAUUUUUAUGUGAAAUUAUGUGUGAAAUUUUAUGACUUAGUAAAACAUGGUAAGCCAUGCAAGUCUUGAAAAUCAAGGAUAUAAAUUACUUUAUAUUUUAUGAAAACAUAAAAGUAUUUAUUCAGUGUUUAUAUAUAGGCUAGAGCUACUAUACUCUUAUAAUAUAGAGUAUUUCAUACUCAUAAGUUAUUUUCAAUGAUAAAGCUUCCGAAUUGAUGAUCUACUACGUUAAAUAUGAUCUAGAGUAUUUGAAAUUUUUAGAAAAUAAAUUUUGUAAUUUUUCGAAAUCAUAAUAAAGUUCAUCAAGCGGGUAUAAAAUGAAUGGUCAAAAUCGAAUGCGUCUUAAAAAUAGAUGUUCAGAUCAUUCAAUUUAAGAUCGGAGUUAUUGAUUGUUAUCUAUGUAGUGAAUAGAAUUUUCUAUAAAAAAUUCAACUGAUUUCGAUUUUUUUACAUCGUUAAACUAGCAAAUACUUCACACCGGCUGUUAAAAAUUGUCAAUUUUGUGAUCUUUUGAUCGUAAGGUGAAUGAUAUUGAAAAAUUAUAAAAUUUGAUUUCUAGAUGUUUUAAAUGCUCUAGAUAACAUUUAAUGGUGUGGAUCGUCGAUUCGAAAGUUCUAUCAUCGACAACAACUUAUGAGUACGAGGACGAUCGUACUCAUAAGAGUAUAGUAGCCGGACUCUUAUAUAUAUAGAAUUGAGCUAGAAUACUUCUAGAAGUAUCACUCCCUUGGUGCUUUUAGGUUUCUAGCCCUUGGAUCUACUUCUUGAUUACUAAUAGCCUUUGUAUCAAAUACUAUUCCACCUACUACCUCCUACCACCAUCAUCCCAAGCUUACAUUUCUCCAUCCAAGGGUUAAAAACUCAAAAGCACCAACCUCUUGGUGCUUUUGAGAGUAUUCUAUCUCAACUAUAUAUAUAUAUAUAGAGAGUCCGGCUAUAGUGCUUGUAAAAGUACUAAGCACUUGGUGCUUGUAAAUUUUUUACCGUUAGAUCUCUACCUUUGAUCAUUUUUACCCGUUAGAUUAUACUAUUCAACCAAUCACCUACUUAACCUUAGGGGGCCCACAUCAUCCUAACCGCACAUCCUUUAAUCCAAGGGCCGAAAACUUACAAGCACUAAUGACUUGGUACUUUUAAAAGCAUAGGAGCUCAACUAUAUAUAUAUAUAUAUAUAUAAUGUUGUAUAUAUAUAAUAUAUUAUUAUAUAUAUAUACUAUAGUAUACUAUAUAGUAGAGUUGAGCUAUGAUACUAUCGGUAGCAAACGGGCUCCGUUGCCACCCAUUUGUUUUCGAUGAUAGAGCCUCCAAAUCGAUGAUUGGCACCGUUGAAUAUGAUCUAUACCACUUGAAGUAUCUAGAAAUUAAAUUUUAUGUUUUUUCGAUAUUGUUCUCUUGUCGAUCAAAUGGGCGUAAAAAUGAACGGCUGAAAAUGAGUAUUCUUUAAAAAGUGAUGAUAGGAAUUUUGUAAUUAAGAUCGAGAGUAUAGAUCUUAUUCUAAAUAGUUUAAAGAAUUUUCUAACCAAAAUUCAAUUGAUUUGGAUAGCUUUACACCGUUAAACGAGAAAAUGCCUCGUAUCUACCUUUAAAAUUACAAACUUUGGAACCCUUUGAUCAUUAGGUCAAUGAUAUCGAAAUACCUUGAAAUUUGGUUUCUAGAUACUUCAAGUGGUAUAGAUCAUGUUCAACGGUGCCGAUCGUCAAUUUAAAGGCUCCAUCAUCGAAAACAAAUGGGUGGCAAUGGAGCCGGUUUGCUACCGAUAGCAUUCCAGCUCAAAUAUAUAUAUAUAUAUAUAUAUAUAUAGAGAGAGAGAGAGAGAGAGAGAGAGAGAGAGAGAGAGCCAAGCUUCUAUGCUUUCGAAAGUACGAGGGCCUCCGUACUUGUAAGUUGUUUUCGAUGAUGGGACAUCCGAUUCGACGAUCAGUUUCGUUAGACAUGAUCUACGCUAUUGGAACUAUCUAGAACCAAAUUUCAUAAUUUUUUGACUUCGUUUGCCUAAUGAAUGAGUAGUCUCAAAAUGAACGGUGGAAAAUAAAAAUCUCAUAAAAAAUAAUGAUAAAGGACUCAAAUUUCAAAUCGGAAGUAUUGAUCUUGCUAUUGACAUUAAGUAAAAUUUUCUAUUAAAUUUUCAUGUAAUUUGGAUACUUCUACACCNACUUUAAACCACAGGGUACUAAAAUGAAAAAGUGUGGAACCACAGAGGAGGUUUUUGAAGUUUUCCCUAUAUAAAAUUAUGCUACUAGCCAGACUCUAUGUAAAUAUCUAUAGAAUUAUGCAAGUUGGGCUGGAAUACUAUUGAUAAUAUUUGGUUCCUUUUGCUAUCAAGGUUUUAAUGCUUGGAUGAAAAAUUAUAGAGUUAGGAUCAUAUUAAUCCCUUAGGGUUGAGUAGUCCCCACUGGAUUAUAAUAUUUAAUCCAAUUAUUAGAAAUGAUCAAAGAAAUUGAUUCAAUGACUAAAAACUUAUAGCAAAAUGGGGCAAAUACUAUUAAUAGUAUUCUGGCCGAACUCGAAUUAUGCUACUAUACUAUCGAUAGUACCAAGCGAUUAGUGCUAUCGAGUUUUGGCCGUUGGAUGAAAGGAUAUGCGGUUAGGAUAUAUAUAUAUAUAUAUAUAUAUAUAUAGAGUGAGGCUACUAUGCUUCUGGAAGCACGGAGCCUGGGGCUUCCGUGCUUCCGGCUCGUUUCGAUGUUGCGACUUUCGCAAUGCGUCGAUCGCUCGUUACUUAUGCUAGAAGUAUUUGGAGUAGCCUAGAACAUAAAUUUUAUGAUUUUUCGAUAUCAUAUGCGUAGGCUCGGACAGGGGCUCUCAAUAAUUUUAAUCGCCAUGGGAGCCGUUUGCAAGUUUCAAGUGUAGAAAUAGUCCAAAUCACAGUGAAAUUUGAUAGAAAGUUCUUUAUACUAAUAUAAAAUAAGAUCAAUAUCUUUGAUCUACAAAUUUUCCAAUGUCAUGAUUUCACGUUGUAAGAUUUUUUUUUCAGCCGUUGAUUUUUGCGCAGCCUAUCGUUCACUAGGACAAAUAUAUCGCAUAAAAUUUACAAAUUUUAAAUUUCUAGUAUUGAAAUACUCUAAUCAAGUUUAGACGAGCGAUCAUACGAUUCAGGAAGUCGGCAACAUNNNNNNNNNNNNNNNNNNNNNNNNNGGGGAAGAGAUUUCUUAUACAUUUUUCGUACUUUUCCAGGAGGCAAAGUAUAUGGCGCCCGAAUGUGCUUCUUUUAAAAUCUCAUCUUAAAUAUCAUAAUCUCCAGUACAUAAAUUCUAUUACUGAAUUUUAGCAAGGUCCCUGAUCAUCUACUCGAAAGUCACCAACAUAAUCACAGUGAUGUUUACUCUAAUCUCUUUGCAUGAAGUUCAUCUUAAGCUUGCUUUUCUUUAAUUGCGAUUCGGAUUCAGGGUAGGUUUGCACCACAAAUGGACAUAAGUCUCCAGGCGUACAGAGCUACACAACUUCUAGAAUUCAAUUUGCUCCAUUUUCUUACCAACCAGGUGUGCAAGUAUUCGACAUCGCCUAAAUUUUCAGUCGAUUUUCGACUUAAAGCUAUGAUCUAUCAACAUAGCUUUCCUAGAUGAUAGGAUGUCAAAAUCAUAAGUCCUGAGCAACUCCAAACCAUUCUACGUUGUCCAAGUUUAAUUCCUUCUGAGAAACAGAUACUUGAAACUUUUAUGACUGUGUAAACUCGCAACGCUGCGGAUCGCCGUAGAGUAUGCGCCAAAGCUUUAAAGCCAAAAUAGCCUACAGCUGGCUAUACUCAGAUCAUGUGUAGGGUAGUUCUUGUUUCAUAAUCCUUAAUUGCGCAGAGGCAUAAGCAAUUACCGUUGGCGCGGCGGCAUUUGCUGCAUAGAAACACACGCCUAAUCCAUUCAGCGACGCACAUAAUGCGUAAAUCACAUAACCGCACGUCCGGUAACAGGCAGUGCUAAAUCGGGGUGGUGCGUCAAACGUUCGUUCCUUCAGCCUCUUGAAAGCUUCUUCGCAGGCCUUCAUUCCCACAGAAAUUUAGCUCCUUUAUAUGAGUCGAGUGAGAGGAGUAGACAUCUUCGCAAAUCCUUCCACAAAUCUUCGGCAGUAAUCUCCCGCCAAAGCUAAGGAACUCCGAAUUCUGUACCUGCGCCUAGGCCACUUCUAUUUCGCUUUCAAGUCUUCUUUGGAAUCCAUCAGCUAUCUCCAGUUUCUGAAAUUACAUGUCGCCAGGAAAUGCUACUUCUCGAACACAAUUCGGCAUUCUGUUAACUUGCAAAACAAUUUCUUUCUCGAAGUACGUGUACGAUCACUCUUAGAUGGUUUAACAUGCUCCUCACACUGAUCGAGAAUAGCAUCAAGAUAUCGUCGAUUAAACACGACCAACAAAUCUGUCCAAAUAGGGCUUAAAGACACGUUCAUUAAAUCCAUAAAGUUGCUGGGGCAUUUGUCAUCCAAUAUGGCUCACUGAUAAUUCAUAAUGUGCCAUACCGUUUCGCUAAAAUGCGGUCUUCGCUGAAACAUCUUCAGGCUGAUCUUAAGCUGAUAAUAACCUGAUUGGCAAAUAAAUCUUGGAAUACACUUCGAUCCUUUGCAAUUGAUCAGAUAAAUCGUCAUUCGGGGUACAUUGGAUAUUUAUUCUUAGAUUGUGAAACUUUGUUGAUUUCUCGAUAAUCCACACACAAUCAAAAGAGAUCUCAUCAUUCCUUCUUAACAUAAAUAAUACGGCCUGCCCAAAGAAGAUACACUUGCGGUCGAGAUAAAACCGCUAUCUAGUAAAUCUUGCAAUUAUGCCUUCAAGCUCUUUCAACUCGGCGGUGCCAUCCUAUAGGGUGCUUUCAGAUGACUGGGGUAAAGUCUCCAAGACCAAGAUCCAUCACUAAAUUCAACGCUCUUAUGUCCUCUAUCAAGGGUGGCAUACCCAGUAAGCGUCAAGCUGGAAACACAUCUCCAAUUCUCGCACAACGGAUAUCUUCAAUCUUGACGGCUUUUCACCAUCACUCACAGUGAAAAUACUAGCAAAAAAUAGCCUACACACCCUCAUCCGAAUCAAACAUGACGCGCUCGCGAAAGGCUAAUAUCAUGCAACAACAGAACCCGACACUCUUGUAAACAAACUCUUGCUGACACCGGUUCCCUAAAGGUCACCGUUCUGUUCGUGCGCAAUGCAUAGUGGCACAUACUUGUCAUUCAGUUCAUACGCCAAUACUACAUUCAAAACCUCAAUAGUUUUGUAAUGCUAAUAAGUCUACGCAUAAUGCCAAUCGCCUACCCGAACUUGGCCAAGCGAGGCAAAACUCACUAAACUUAGAGUAUGUCGGGCACGAUCACUCAUCCCGGGAUGCAAAGUAGUGCCUAAAUGAAUGCUAUGUCAACUCGCAAACUGCGAUCAAUAAAAGAAGGGCAGCACCAAGUAUCAAAACAAUGCACUAACACGAAUGUCAUAAGCAUAAUAAUUCACCUGCUACGACCCUCCAUCUGCUGCUGUGCGUGCCUCUCUGACUGGGCGGCCAUAUAUACUUCCAUUUCGAACCCUGCCGAGGUACUCUCAGACUACUACGCUGUCGCAGUGUUCGUCUGUACCUGAGAGGUGCUGUCGGGGUCGCCCUCUUCGGAAGCUGAAAGAUGCAGGUGCAGAAGCUGAUAUGCAGGCAAGAACCUCCUCGGGCACUCUGAGCCGAAAGUGGCCCUCCUGACCGCAGAGAAAAACCUGCCCCCGAGCUUGUGGACACUGUGGCGGAUGUGAGGCCCACCACAGAUAACACAAACGUGGUGGUCGACCGACGCUCGCUGGCUCCACCACGGGGUGCUGAAGAAGCUCCGACUCCCCGAGCUGUCCUGACGUGUCGCCUUCGGAACUUUGUGUUUCCUGAAGGAUUGCUGACUACUCUAUCCGAGCUACUGGUGCUCUUUCCUUGCUUAUCCACAACCGCUCUUUCCUUCAUGAUUUUUGCCCGCCUUCUGUUCUCAGACACUUUAUCAAAUGGCCCGGUUCACUCAUAUCUCUGUAAUUCGCGGAGUUUAUCCGCCUGGACAAUCUAAAUGCGCAGACGCAACGCCACCUCCAAAGUAUACGAGCCCUUGUCCUGCAUCAUCUCAAACCACAAAGAACGCAGUACAGUAAUCGGGAGAACCCUCGCUCAUACUCUGGCACUGUCCUGUCCCCUGGCCUGCAGAUUCUGCAGAUCCCUUUCAUUGUCUCUUAACACUCUGUAGGAAAGUAAGUCGUCAACAACAAUUCCUUGAACCUGUCCAUCUAUAGCGACAAAUUCAGUACGUGGAGUAUCGCUUCAGCGAAUUCCACCCAACCACAUCUGUAAGCCUCCUGCCGUCAGGGUGCGUCGCAAAACCAAACUCGAAUCGCUCCUCGCACGAAUGUAUCAUAGAAUAACUUCUCCAUAUCAUUCACCAUCUUCUCAACCCAGUGAUGCCGGCUUUCCUACCCACAAAGAUAGAGUUGCAGCAACGGAAUUCCAUUUAGUCGUUCACUCAUCCGCUCAUCUGCUCCUCAACAGAUAUCACCGACCAUCUCAGGUAACACUGUCCUAAUUGCCGCUAAGGUACUGGUGGUAGGCUAAAUGUCUAGCUGUCAGGGACUCUUACCAUCAGGGCUACUGGCGGGUGUAUCAGUACCGGUGACGUCUACUCGUAGUGUGUCCCUCUCUGUCUGAGGUACACGAAUUUAAUCUCUCUGUCGUCGUCUGCCGCAGAACAGAUCCUCUAACUCUUCAUAGCUAUCUCACUGUCGACGCAGUCCCAUCAGGUCCAUUUGCUAUUGCGCUGCCGAUGCUCUGCUGUGUCACUAGUUGAGUCAACAGCUGCGAGCUGUUCCUGUAAACCCCGCUGACCUCACUGGACCGCAGCCCGAAGUGAGGAAAGUCUCCACAUUCUUCGGCAGCGGCCGCGCUCAGCGCAGCCGGCGUUCCAGAAUCUGAAUCGUAGCAUCUUAAGCCUGGCAGCACCAAAAACAAACAUAAGAUUAGAGAAAACCUAAGCUAUUGAACCUUUACUUCCAGAUAUACGAACCAGCAAAUCAAGCGAGAAGUAAUAAAUGUAACGCGAACUAAACUUCCGAUUCACGCUGUCAGCCGCUAACGUGGCCCUGCUGCAAAGUUAAAUUGCACAUAUCGCGAUCAACUCCUACCAUUCGGAGUUUAUAUAUUACACCAAUCAAAGUAAUUUCGCUAACUAACAACCGUUCACCUAGACUCGAUCUCUCACGUAGCCUAUGUCUAUAUCCAACCAGUCCUAAGAUUUGCUAGGUCUACUAAGACUCAACCCUAAGCUCCUGAUACCGACUAUAAUGCCCUGUCAACAGCCGGGUACUAGGCGAAGCAAUAAUCCGUACGUGCACAGACUCCGCCAAUAAACACCUGCAGUAAUAUAAAGGCAAUCUAAAAGCACAUCGCAGGAAAUUAGAAACAUAGAAAAUCCUAUCCUGAUAUCAGAGCAAGAGUACAAUCGAUAUACUAAAAAGCAAAAACAUCACAACUAUAACAAUCCAAAAUCUCGACAAAAGAAGUAUCAACAAGCUGUAGUUCUCGUCCAAAUAGUACAUAUACAUCAGCGGUUAUAAAAAAAAUAGAUUACAAUGGUAGUCUCUCUAACAUAGGGACACACCUCGGCCCGUAACCCGAGUUUAGUCAAGGUGAUCGAGCUAGCAUGCUCCUAGCAAAGUCUAAACCUAGACGCACUCGCCUUGCCCACGAUCCCUAGCCUCAUCCUGUAGAUGCUCUCGAAAAAACACGCACCAUCAUGUUUCAAAAGGCGUGAACUAUAACAAAUAGUUCCCAUGGUAAGCCGCCAACUCCCUAGACUAAUUAACACACUAGGCUCAUAUGUACUGAAUUGAAAGUAAAAGCAGUAUUGCAUGAUAUAUCUAUAUGCUGCUUAGCAAGCAAUGAGCAUGUAAUCAACAUGUAAGCAUAAUCUGGAGUAAUGAAUCAGUCGAAUCACAGAACAUAGCUACUAUGUAAUCCAAUAAAAUUUUUUUUUGAGAUAUAGUAGUAUCUAGCACCGCUUGCAUUUAUUUUAUAUUAGAAUAAACUUAGCUAGAAAAGUGAAUAAAUUAGGAUUCGAACGUUGGUCUACAGGUACCUUAACCUCAAGCUCUUUGUCACUUGCUCUAGCGGCAUGGUCCGUAGACGUUUAAUAUUUUACAAAUUCCUUUCAUGAGAGCAAACAAAAGGAGAUAGAGCAAGAGUUAGCAAGUAAGGUUUAAUAUGUGUACUAUAUUGCCAGUAUUUCGGGCAAAGUGUAAUUGUCAAUUCUGUAAAUAAAAAAUAACGAUCGAAUAUACAAAGUUUAAAAAAUAUAAUAAAUUAAAAAAACGGAAUCGGAUUUGUAAACACGAAUUAACCAAGUGAAUUUUUUAAUGUGAAAUUUAUGUGUGAAUUAGACUUUAGUAAAACAUGUAAGUGCCAUGCAAGUCUUGAAAUCAAGAUCAUAAAUUCUUUAUAAUUUAUGAAAACAUAAAGUAUUUAUUCAGUGUUUAUAUAUAGGCAACUACUAUACUCUUAUAAAUAGAGUAUCUUCAUACUCAUAAGUAUUUCAAUGAUAAAGAAAGCUGUUCCAAUUGAAAUGAUCUAUCUAGCGUUAAAUAUGAUCUAGAGUAUUUGAAAUUUUUAAGAAAUAAAUUUUGUAAAUUUUUUCGAAAUCAUAAUAAAUGUUCAUCAACGGUAAUAAAAAUGAAUGGUCAAAAAUCGAAUGCGUCUAAAAAUAGUAUUGUUCAGAUCAUUCAAUUUAAGAUCGCGAGUUAUUGAUUGUUAUCUAAUGUAGUGAAUCGAAUUUCUAUAAAAAAUUCAACGAUUCGAUUUUUUUUUACAUCGUAAACUAGUCAAAGUACUUCACAGACCCCGGCUGGUUAAAAAUUUGUCAAGUUGUGAUCUUUUGAUCGUAAGGUGAAUGAUAUUGAAAAAAUUAUAAAAUUGAUUUUCUAGAUGUUUUAAUCUGCUUAGAUAACAUUUAAAUGUUGGAUUCGUCGAUUUCGAAAAAAGUUCCUAUCAUAGACCAAACAACUAAUGAAUAACGAGGAACCGACGUACUCAUAAAGAGUAUAGUAGCCGGACUCUUAUAUAUAUAGCAAUUGAGCUAAGAAUACUAUCUGAAGUAUCUACUCGCUCUUGGUGCUUUGUUAAGGUUUCUAGCCCAUGGAUCUACUUCUUGAUUAACAAUAGCCUUGUAUCAAAAUACUAUUCGCCUACUACCUCCUACCAUCCCAUGCAUUCCAACUUACAUUCUUUCUCCAUCCAACGGUUAAAAACUCAAAAGCACCAACCUCUUGGUGCUUUUCGAGUAUAAUUCUAUCUCACUAUAUAUAUAUAUAUAAGAAGUCCGCUAUAGUGCUUGUAAUAAGUACUAAGCACUUUGUGCUUGUAAAUUUUUUUACCGUUAGAUCUCUAGUAUCUUUAUCAUUUUUACCACCGUUAGAUUAUACUAUUCAACCAAUCACCUACUUAACCUUAGGGGGCCCCACAUCACCCUAACCGCACAUCCUUUAAUCCAAGGCCUGAAAACUUACAAGCAUAAAUGACUUGGUAACUGUUUAAAAGCAUAGGAGCUCAACUAUAAUUAUAUAUAGUAUAUAAUAUAUAUAGUAAGAAUAUAUUAUAUAUUAUAUAUAUUAUAUAAGUAAUUAUAUAUAUUAUAUAUAUUAUAUAUAUAUUAAUAUAUUAUAUAGAGUUGAGCUAGAAUACUAUCGACAAACUGCUCCGUUGUGCCACCCAAUUUGUUUUCGAUAAUGAGAGCCUCCAAAUCGAGAUUGCACCGUUGAAUAUGAUCUAUACCAACUUGAAGUCAUCUAGAAAUUAAUUUUAUGUUUUUUCGAUAUGUUCCUGUCGAUCAAAUUUGGCGUAAAAAUGAACGCUGAAUAAUUGGAGUAUUCUUUAAAAAUGAUGAUAGGAAUUUUUGUAAUUAAGAUCGAGUAGUAAGAUCUAAUUCUAAAAUAUUAAAGAAUUUUUCUAACCAAAAUUGCAAUUGAUUUGAUAAGAAUUUACACCCCACCGUAAACGAAAAAGCCUCGUAUUGCUACCUUUAAAAAUUACAAACUUUGGAUACCGACUUGAUGCAUUUAGGUCAAUGAAUCGAAAUACGAUGUGAAAUUUGGUUUCUAAUAUCUUCAAGUGGUAAUAUAUCUGUUCAAGCGUGCCGAUCGUGCAAAUUUAAAGGCCCAUCAUCGAAAACAACAUGGUGGCAAUGAGCCGGUUUGCUACCGUAGCAUUCCAGCUCAAACAUUCUUAUAAUAUAUAUUAUAUAGAUAUAUAGAGAGAGAAAGAGAGAGAAGAGAGGAGAAGAGAGAGCCAAGCUUCUAAUCUUUUCGAAAGUACGAGGCCUCCGUACUUGUAAAGUUGUGUUCGAUUGAUGGUACAUCCGAUUCGACGAUAGUUUCGUAACAUGAUCUACGCUAUUGACAAUAUAGAACCAAAUUUCAUAUUUUGACUGUCGUUUGGCCUAAUGAAUGAGUAGUCUCAAAAAUCGAACGGUGGAAAUAAAGAAAUCUCAUAAAAAAUAUAUAAAGGACUCAAAAUUUCAAAAUCGGAAGUAUGAUUUCUAUUUGACAUUAAGUAAAUUUCUAUUAAAUUUUUCAUUUAAUUUGGAUACUUCUACACCCGUUGAACUUUAAAAACGCGCCACUCGGCCGUUUAAAAUAGUCAUUUUUGGUCCUUUUGAUCACUAGUAAAUGAUGUCAAAAAAAUUUAUAAAAAUUGAUUCCUAGAUAGUUCCAAUAUUGGUAGAUUAUACUAACGGAGCCGAUGAGUCGAAUCGGAUUUCCUAUCAUCGAAACAAUCUUACAAAGCAUGGAUGUUUCGAUACUUUCGAAAGUAAUAGUAAACGACUCUAUAUAUAUAUACUAUAUAUAUAUAUAUAUAUAUAAUGAUAAUAUAUAUAUAUAUUAUAAGAGUAAAUACUUCAAAAACCCCGCCUUGUGUUCAAAAUUUUUUCACUUAGUACCGCUGUGUUUAAAAAUGUAUCAAUUUUAGUUACAUGUGGCAUUCUCACAUUUAUCACUUUAGUACCGCGUGGUUUAAAGUGAGUAUCAAGUAGUAACCUCUGUGGUUUGCAUUUUAUCAGCUUUAGUACCCUGUGGUUUUUGAUUUGUAAAUCAAAUAGUACCUGUGUUUUUUAAACUAUAGGGUACUAAAGUGAUAAAUUAGGAAAACCAGCAGGGUACUAAAAGUGAUAAAUGCAAAACGCACAGGGUACUACACUGAUACACUUAAACCACAGGGUACUAAGUGAUAAAGUGAGAAACCACAGGUCUAACUUGAUUACACUUUACCACAGGUACUCAAAGAUGAAAAGUGUGGAACCACAGAGGCGUUUUUGAAGUUUUCCACUAUAUAAGAAUUAUGCUACUAGCACAGACUCAUUAAAUAUCUAAUAGAAUUAUGCCAAGUUGGGCUGGAAUACUAUUGAUAAAUUUGGUUCCUUUUGCUAUCAAGGUUUUAAUGCUUGGAAUGAAAAUUAUAGAUUAAGGAUCAUAUUAACGCCUAGGUGAGUAGUCCGCCCACUGGAUUAUAAUAUUUAAUCCAAUUAUUAGAAAUGAUCAAGAAGAAAUUGUAUUCAAAUGACAAAAAACUAAAGCAAAAUGGGGCAAAUAAUAUUAAUAGUAUUACUGGCCCGCAACUUCGAAAUUAUGCUACUUAAUACUAUCGAUAGUACCAGCAUUAGUGCUAUCGAGUUUGCCGUUGGAUGAAAGGAUAUGCGGGAUUUUUUUAGGAUAUAAUAUAUAUUAUAUAUAUAUAUAUAGAGUGAGGGCUACUAUGCUUCAUGGAAGCACGAGACCUGACGGCCUUCCAGGUCCGUUUUGAUGGUGCGACUUUCCGCAAUGCGUCGAUCGCUCCCGUUCUAUCUAGAAGUAUUUGGAUACCUAGAACAUAAAUUUUAUGAUUUUUCGAUUAUCAUUUGGCUCGUCAGGGGCUCCUAAUUUUAAUGGCCAUGGUGAGCCGUUUCCAAGAUUUCAAGAUUAGAAAUAUCCAUAAUCACGUGAAAUUUGAUAGAAAAGUUCUUUAUACUAUAUAAAAUAAAGAUCAAUAUCUUUGAUCUACAAAUUUUAAUGUCAUGAUUUCACGUUGAUAAGUUUUUAUUUUCAGCCGUGAUUUUAUGCGCAGCCUUCGUUCACUAGGACAAAUAUAUCGCAUAAAAUUAACAAAAUUAUUUUUUAGUACUUCAAAUACUCUAGAUCAAGUUAACAGAGCCGUACGGCGUUGUCAAUCGAAAACCAUCUGGAAGCACGCCUGUCUCCCUAUAUAUAUAAUAUAAAUAUAUAUACUAUAUAUAGUAUCUGUACCUCUAUUAUAUAUAGAAUAUAUAUAUAGAAACGAGAGAGAGAGGAGAGAGAGGAGAGAGAGAGAGAAAGAAGAGAGAAGAGAGUAAAGCUAUAUGCUAUCGAAGCAUAGAGAAUCUGGUGCGGGUCUAUCCGAUUUUUUCGUCUUGAGAUCAACCUACUUUGACAAUUUCUACCUUUAAAUAAUAUUAUUUCCUAUGUGGGACUACUCAACCUAGGGAUACUACUCAAAACCAAGGAGGAGAUCCCCGCGCUCCGAGGCACCCGCUAAUCAGUCACAACCGUAUAAUUUUAUCCAAUGUCAAUAAAGCGAAGUAUCAAAUCCUCUAUACUUCGAUAGCAUUAAUAAGUUGUAACACUAUAUAUAUAUGUCUAUUAAUGCUAUUAGGUUUCGCCCUUGGAAAAAGAAAAAAUGGCAAUAAAAAAAAUAAUUAUUUUUAAGGACUGAGAUUUUUGUACAUGGUGCCAACAAAGCUUCUGUUAUAGAUGUAGUGUGUGUAAUUUAAUUACCAGAUAAGCCCCGUAACAGUUUGCGGGCAGAAAAAAUGAAGCUAGAAAUUGAGAAAUACGCAUUUUAGUUUUCACUUAAAAGUGAAUAGAAACGUCUGGGUUUUCGCGGAAAAGCCGCGAGUAAGUGAGUUUGGCGCGUAUCGGACUCCGUUUCAAUAUGAUCGUCCAAUAGCACGUUUCGGAACCGGUUUCAGUCUGUUUUGGAACCAAAUGCACUGACGGAUUUUCCAGAUCUGAUGCACGUUUUCGAGAAAGAAGAGUUUAUCAAAAGAUGAUUUUCUUCCUUGCUUUUCGUGCAUCUGUCGAAACUCUUGUUCGUGCUAACGACCUGGAGUAGGUGAAGGUGUUUUUGGUCGCCUAACUUUAGUACGGAAUUCCAUUUCUGAUGCGAAAUGGUUUUGUUUGUUAGACAUUGGUAUAUGUGUAAUUUAUGUGUUAAUUGAAGAGCGUGGUUUGUCCCGCGAAUCUGCAACAAAAUUGAUCAAACAAAAUCUAGUUUCAUUCUCGUCGUGCUGAACGCCGAUGGUGCAAUCCUGUCGCAAAUCGCGAUGAACGGAUUUGCCGCGAUUUUGCAUUGAUGUUUCGGAGAGCGGGGUUUGAUUGGCAAAUCGAACUUCGCAAAAGUCCCCAAUAUUUAUGUACUCGAUAUCGCACGAGUCGAACAGUGGAGUGCGUACACCGAUUUACUCAGCGCUUGAAGGUCUUGCUGUUGCCAAGUUUCUGUUCGGGAGCGACUUUGGUGGCAAAGUGCGCUUUUUUAUAUUGUAUCUCCUAUGUUUCAUCCAUGAGAACCCUAGCACUACUCAGACCGUGCUCCUACCUAGCCCUAAGCCGACCUUCAGCUUGGUCCCCGCGCCAACUUGUGCGCGCGUCCCGGCCGCCGCGAGCUGUCGUCCGCCGCCGGAAAGAGCCACCCCGGCCAUCCUUCGAUUUUCCUCCGGCCCCGACUUCACCUUGUUGGCUGCUAGUGCUCGGGAAGCUAUGAGCCCGAGCACCACCAUCCUCUGGCAUAAUCUCCCCCCCCGGCGCGCGUCCUGUCGUCUCCGAGCGCUCGCCGCCAGCGCCAUGGCAAGUUGCGGUCAAUCAGAUCUGAGCAGAUCUGGCGCGACGGCGUGGAACCUCGCCUGCGCCUUCGGAUGCGCCUUUGCUCGUCUGUCGUGUCCGCCCUCAUCCUGGCACUCCGGGGACCUCCCGCUCGCGAUCCUCGCCGUCGAGCCGCCGGCCGUCGCUACGCGGCUGCCAUCUGGCCGGCCCCGACCUGGUGCGGGCCGAGAGCGAGCCCUUGUGGCCUCCGCGCGUCGCCGCCGGCCCACAGUGGGCUGCACUACCGUCCCUCUCGACCUCCCGCCGAACGUACCGUCGCCGCCACGACUCCUCCGACGCUGGCCGGCCACGCGCCGGGGAAACUUUUUAACUCCGAGAGCUAGAGAUCGAGUUGAUCUCUCUCGCCGCGCAACUGCCGCUCCCGCGGCCGGCCAAGCAGGUGCCGCCGGACUCCACAGACCAGACGCGCACCCUCCCCUGGCCGGCCGCCCAGCACGUCCAGCCACGCCGGCGCCCAACCCUAGCUCUCACGCGCUCGGCUGUAAGCUUGUUUUUUCAGCCAUUUCUGCGCGUUUUUCCUGUUCUACCCACUGUCGUGCGACCUGAGGUGUUCCGAUGCCUCCGGAGGUGAGCACGUGAUCGUCACAUGUCAUCUGAAUCACAGUGCUCACACUCACUUAGGGUCAAACGAGCCCUGGUUAGCGAGAAUAAGCAUGCUUUUCCUUACUGUGCGCGCUGUUUCACUAAUUUGCGUCGCCCAUGAGCGCCGUCCAGCAUGUGGCGGUCAGUGCUCCGAAAGGUGACACGGCCUCCGGCUUCUGAACCGCCGAGACCAGUCAGCGGAGUCUCGUCUUGGCCUGUUUGACCUCGUGUGUUUGCAUUGUCGACCAAUAAAAGCGCUGAAUCGCAUGAAAUAUCGCGAUUUCAGGUAUUCAGAGAGGGGCUUUUAUGCCAUUUUGGUUCGUCGUACUGAUUGUUGGCAGCAAAGUGUUUGGUUGAGGAUAUACCUCUGGACUCGAUGUCCAGGCCCCAUGACGCCUUUGGCGAAGAUGCGGAAAUCGGCAAUUUCCGGUCGCGUUUUCGGAAAAUCCGGCCGACACAUGGAACGCGGUUCUUCGAAUUAGUUGCGACGUGCUUCGUGAAGCUUUGGUAAGUCGCUGAGCCAUUGUUGGCUGGUCAAUUGCGUAUUUCGAGAGUUGGGAAAUGACGGGUGAGCGACGCGGUCCGGUGUCGAAUUAGACACUCGGAAGACGCGAAUCCGAAACGCAUUAUGCCGACGAUAAUUGUUUCGACACGAGAGUUGUGUUCCGGCUGCGAUGAUGCAUAUUUUAGGUUAGUGGCACAGUGACUCGAUAUGCUCGAAAGUCGGUAUGGUAUUCCGGACAGUUCGUGGUCCCCGGCGGAGUCUCUCGUGCGAUACGGGUGUCCGGCGUAUUACGGAAUCGUUUGGGAACUUGGUCACCAUGGUUUUGCUUUAGUUGUGGAUUAGUGUUUAUUAGCUUGUGGGUUAACACUAACCAACGGUGGACCUUCCUUAGCUCCGGUUGACGUUCUUUGCAUCAGGAGACAGGGCGAGCAUUUGUGACAGGUGGGUACUAUCGAUUCGCGAAGUCGUACAGUGUGCACGCUCGUGAUCAUUUCUUCUAUCCCUGUUCUCUGGUUGCUACUAUCUACGAUUGUCAAUUGAGCUGCAUCCCAGUUGAUUUUAUAUACUCUAACUUGAAUUUUCCGAUCGCUAGUACCUAUGUGUAGAGUAGAGUCAGUUUUAUCGCAUAUGUGAUUUCCAGUGACGCUGAGUGUCGGUUCUCGUACUUCGUUUCGGUGACUGAUUGGUCAGUUUCUCGCUUUCGCGUUCGAUACCCUUGAGGUCGAUAUACCCUACAAGGUGGGAUUUCGCUCUAACGCGGACGUGAUGAUAUAUGGUCUAUCUUUUCAGUUUCCGACUGUUUGGUAUGGUUUGUGAACCUAGUCGCGUCAGCUUCGUGAGUUCCGUCGUUGAUGACCUUGAGGCUCGUGUACCCCUGAGGGGUAGGGGAAGGGUUGUCGCUGUGCUGGACGUAGUUCUGGACUAUAUCGAUACGCUCUUUGACCUAUCCGGUCGGUUCUUGCGUUCGUACAUUACUUUGACAUCGAGCAGUAUUUAUCGAUACAUAUCUUAUUUACUCGCUGGUUGUUCCAUGUGUAGUAUCUCUGUGUAGCGGGUAGAUAAGGUGACCAUUCUUGAUAUGACUAUACAGUGACCUGGUUUGGUCGGUCUCCUGUUUGCAUUCUGUGACAAUCUGUUGGUUGUUCGUUACUCGCCCCGUACUUUGACCUAGUCUCGUCGUAGUUCAACGUUGUUACUUGAUGACCUAUCGUUGCUAUGCCCAUAGAGGGCAGUGAUUGUUCGCGUGUCGCCGAAAACGUUGCUAUACAUAUCGAGGCAUCGAUCGUCCACCACUCGUUGAGCAUAUUCACGAACACUGGCCGUCUGAUCCACUCCGAGGGAGUGUUCUUUUCCGGAAAAGCGUCGUAACGUCCCGACAUCCGUGAGCCCAAAGGCUAGACUUGGGUUAAUGCAGUUGAGUGGAUAUGGCAGCGAGCCUGAGGCUCCGGAACCAACAUGGAGGUUUAGAAUUGGGUAUUUUGAUAUAUGCGACCGGUUGAUCAUACUUACAGUCUGCUUUACGUUGUCUUGCUACUAAAGUUUCGCAUAUUGUUACGUUUUCGGUUCUUCGUUAUAGUAGCAGUUGUUUACAGGUAUACCUAUAGUUCUUUCUUACACUUGUCUUGCUACUAUAGUCUGAUAUCUCUGUAUGUACGCUUGUCGUUCUGUUUACAGUAGCGGUAGUUGUUCUUUCAUCUAUAUCUCUUUCGUUAUGAUCGUUGCUACUGUAUUUCACUUACCCUUAUACUAUCGUUUAUCUUCCCGAUCCGGUGAGUACUCCUCGCCUUCUUCGGCUUGCGGUACCCACUGGGAGGGGAGACAUGUUUACAUGUUCUCACCUCCCCCACUAUUUUUCAGGUAUCGCGGGCGGUGAGGGUUGAGACGUGACGUGAGACACGUACGUAGCAGUCGAUAGAUCUUCCGACUCAGGUUAUUCGGUGUAGUUCCUACCUUUACUAUUCUGUCGAUAUAGCUCAGAUAGUCUAUAUGGUUCAGUAUUGUCAUUACUUUUGAAUAUGUGGAUUUUCAUGAAUGUAAUAAAAGGAUUUCUGGAUUUGGUAAAAUAAAAGGUUUUCUACCCCUCGUGGUAGCUUUUAUAAAAGAUAAAAGUUUUCGCGUAUGGAACAGUUUUCAAAAGAUUUUUCGUGGACUUCUGUUUAAACAUCGAAUGUAAAACUACGGUGUGAAUGGUGAAUGUAUGAAUGUAUAGCUAUCUGUAUAUUCAUUUAGUUGUGGUUGUAUACUGUUUGUACUUUUGUACUUGUGUGACGCCGUGCAAAUAUAGGGGAGACUCUGUCCGUGUGAACAGUGGAUUCCCUGUAUUUGUGGCGGAUCUGGCAUACUCUGGGGUCAGGUUUUCAAAAAAAAAAAAAAUUUUAAACGUUUUUCCGCUGUGUUUCAAACAAAAAGGGGACCCCGGGGCAUGACAUUAUUGGAGAAGAAUGCAAGAAAAAAAAUGAUUACCGGAAGAUGAUGAUGAAUGUGUGGCCAAUCUUACCAUUCAUGCGGCAAUAAGAACACCUAUUCACGCCUCAAAUCAAAUAGAAGCACGUUAUAUCAAGUAAGUUCUCCAAGAACAUGAACUUAAAUGCAAGAGUAAGUUUCUGUAAUACACUGAACUUUUGCAAUUUGCGGAGUUCGAGUUUUUAUAUUUCUUCAUGAUGGGAAAUUUUUGGAUUAGUUACUUUUUGUUCCUCUGUUGUUAGUAUUUGGAUUUAUACUUUGCUCUGAUAUCAGGAUAGGAUUUUUCUAUAUUUUUUUUCUCCUAUCGACUUGCUUUCUUGUAGACGCCUUAUAUACUGCAGGUGUAUGGCGGGUCUGUGCACGUACCGGAUAUGCUUCCGCUGGUACCCGGGCGUGACAGUUUCCAAUAAAAACUCACGCUUUUUAUGCGUUCAUGAAAUGUUUGAAAGACAUCAAUGAAUCAAGCUCAUGUGGUAGUGAUGCCCUUUCAAAAUUUACUCCUCUAUAAUUACCAACUUUUCUUAUUUGUCCUUAAAUUAUGGGCAAAAUAGGUAUUUUGAUUUCUUUUUAACUCUAGUACAAAUUUAAUUUGGAUUUAAUUCGAGAUGACGGACUUAAUUCGAGAUGACUAAUAAGGACUAACUGUAGAAUUAUUUUUGAAUAAUGGAGAAAUACACUAGAGGUAUAUUCGCAACAAAAAAAAAGGGGUAUAUAAGAUAUUUCACAAGUUUUGAGAGGUAUAUAAGUAAUUAUCCCUUUUUAAAAAAAUUACACUUUACAAAUUUUAUAUUUAUCCUAAAAUUUAAACAGAGUAAUUGCAAAAGAAAAAUAAAAUUAUAAAUUCUACAUAUAUACAUACAUUUAGGGGUAAACUUCAAAUACCGCCCACAUGGUUUCGCAUUUUCUCACUUUAGUAUCUAUGGUUUAAAGCGUAUCAAUUUAGUACUGAGUGGCUUCAUUUUUUUUCCUUUUCUGCAACUCCUCCAUUAACAUUUUAUUAAAUUAUAUACAAAAAAAUUUCAGAUAUGCUAUCUAAAUUUAUCGAAUAUUUAUUUUAGAAUAUUUUAGUUCUAACUUUGUUACUAAUUUAACAAAAAAAAAUUAGCGAAAGUAAUAAUAAAAAGAAAAAAAAUAAAAUUACGAAGUACUAAAUUGACACACUUUAAAGCAUAUAUAGGAUAAUAAAGUAAAAAAUGUACGAAACUAUCGGAGGGAUAUUUGAAAUUUUUUUCGUAUUUAAAUACAUAGAUUUAUAUAUUAAAAUAUUAUGUACAGAUCGUAUAAUUGUCGCAUAACCGGGCGAGCUCCCCCUCCAUGUUGUAUUAUAUAUAUAUAUAGGGUCCGGCUACUAUACUAUUAUGAGUACGAUCGUUCCCGUACUCAUAAGUUGUUUUCGAUGGUAGAGUUUCCGAAUCGACGAUCCAAACCGUUAAAGGUUAUUUACAGCAUUUAAAAUUUCUAGAAAUUAAAUUUUAUAAUUUUUUGACAUCAUUUACCUUACAAUCAAGAGGUCACAAAUUUGACAAUUUUUAACGGCCGGUAUGGGAUACUUCUGCUAGUUUAACGGUGUAAAAGAUCGAAUUUGUUGAAUUUUUGAUAGAAAAUUUUAUUCACUACAUAGAAAGAUCAAUAACUCCUAAUCUUGAAAUUGAAGGAUUCGAUCAUCUUUUUUUAGAACGUCGUUCGAUUUGACGUACAUUUUAUGCCGCUUGAUUGACUUUAUUAUGAUUUCAAAAAUUUACAAAAUUUAUUUAUUCAGAAGUUUCAAUAACUCUAGAUCAUAUCUAACGAGUGAUCGUCGAAUUCGGAAGCUCCAUCAUUGAAUAACAACUUAUGAGUACGAGAGCUCAAUUAACUCAUAAUAGUAUAGGUACUAUGGCCUAUAUAUAUAUAUAUAUAUAUAUAUAUAUAUAUAUAUAUAUAUAUAUAUACCUCUUUCUUUCAACCCCACUCUAGUACAUUUCUCAUCUCUCUAGUUUCUCUCUCUCUCUAAUCCAAUUACGAACAAAGAAAUAGCCAACUCCACGACCUUCCACUAUCUCCUCCUUUACAUCGUCCUCUUCUGUAAGGUACCGGACUUCUAAAAUCAUGAAGUUACGGUGUAUAUUUGGUUGGAGAGCCAUUUGAAUGGUUCCGGUGAAGUUCGGUGAAGUUCGGGAGCAAUCGGGCGUUUUGGUGCGCGUAGUCACCAAACAGAACCCGAAAGGCUAUGUUGGACCAUGAGCUAAAUCCAGCAUUAACGUGGAUGAAAAGAUGAUGAAAACAUGUUCGAAAACAUGUUUGAAGAGUCUCGGUUCGAUUUGAAAUGAAUCAGAGGUCAAACGAGCGAAAACGAGUGAAAACGAGCGAAAACGGAGUGAGAAAGGAUAAAGGCUGAAAAUGCUGAAAAAUUGGCUAAGUAUAGAACUUUGGUCCUUCGGGGACCGGUCUCUCACUGCCUGGGACCGGUCCCAGAGACCCGAAAAUGCCCAGUUCGGGCUGUUGCAAGAAGAGACUUGUUGGGAGGUUUUUAUGUAAUUGUUGCACGGGUUAAGUGUAUAGAGAGGGUUGGAGCCUCUCUCUCUCUCUCUCUCUUUCCCUCACCGUUUCAACCCCAACACCAUCCCUCUCUUUCUCUAAACGAAAAAAGAAGAAGAGAAGAAGAAGAGGAAGGAGAAGGAGAGAAAGAAGAAGAAGAAGGAGAGGAAGAUCAAGAAGGAGAUCUUCAUCCUCUCCUUCGUCUUCCUCGUGCUUAGAGCAAACCUAGAGAGGUAAGCUUCUUAGCCUAUCAUGGUAGAUCCCUAGAUAUGUGGUUGUGAUCUCUAGAAGUGGUUUAAUUGGAUUCCUAGCAUGCUAAAUAGGUGAUAAAUGCUAAAAUCUAGAGAUUUAAAGAUAGGUUUUUGCCUAGUUGGAAUCUAGGGCUCCGAAAUGGGGUUUUUAUAAAUAGAUGGGUUUGAUCUCAUUUAGACCUCUAUAAACCUAAUUGCUAGGUAAACGAACGCGUUGGCGAAGUCGGUUCGGCGAUCCGUCGAGCCAUUAUAAAGAUAUUGAAGAAACAAGCGAUUUAGAUUCGUUUUCGCCUGAAGGGCCGAGGCGACGUCGUAAAAUCGUGGAAAUAGAUUUGGAGCACCGUGGCACAUAACCGAAGUCCUAUAAUUUUUGGGGCUACGAAGUGGAGCAAGGUUGAGGCGCAGUUGCAAUAUCGGGCCGUGACGGAUACGGGUGCCGCGGGAGGCCGAUUGCAAGUGUCGACAAGCAAUCGGAACGCGAGUUAAGGUGGGUUGUGCUUACCGAAGUGACUAGGUCGCCUUUAUGUCUAAGAAAGUUAAGAAUCCAUGUUGAUACAUAUAAAUGUAAAUGGAUGCAUGUAAUUAACACUAAAAGAAUGCAUGUGAGUAUAGUGCAUAGAAUGAAGUGCAUGUUGAUGACAUAAGUUAAAAUGCUAAGUUGAUGCAUGUAGCUAAUGCUAGAUAAUGCAUGUGGAUAAUAUAAUGCAAAUGCUAAGUAGAUGCAUAUAAAAUGAUAUGUGAGAUUAUACAUGCAUGAUUAGCAUUGUGAGAUUAUAAAGGGCAUGAUUAGCAUUGUGAGAUUAUAAAGGGCCUGAUUACAAUUGUGAAAUUAUAUAUGCAUGUGAACUUGGUUGAUAACUCUAGAUUGAGUAGAGAACAUGACAUUGGUAAUAGGAACGUGAAAACUAUAACCGUAAUACUCGAUUGGACAACUAGGAUGUCGACUAGAUCGAGUGGCAUCUAACCUAGUGUUAAAGAACAUAGGUGGUGAAUGAAUCUAGAGUCAUAUGAACUAGAUCGAGUGGCAUCUAACCUAGUGUUAGUAAACAUAGGUUGAACAAGAAUGAUAUCGAACCUAGUGUUAACAAACAUAGGUCGGACCUAGUGAUAUUGAACCUAGUGUCAGUGAACAUAGGUUGAACUAGUAAACCUAGAGCUUUGUAACCUAGGUUGUGAUAUAGAAAACCUAGAGUGGCUUUGAACCUAGGUUGUUGAGUAUAGUGGUAGUAGCCACUAGGAUGUUCUAGGUUGACAGCAUAGGGUUGGUUAUGGACCCUCGACCUGUGGAAGUGGAUUCCGGAAUCCCAGGAUCUGUGAUGACCUUGGUAUCAAGGUUAGGGCGUGUGCGACAACUUCGCCGCCGAGAUUGAUACUAAGGAUAGAUUAGGGGUGAAUGUGCAGAGAUCACCGCCCGGGGCUUGAACUAUUGUCGUGGCGUGUGUGACGACUUCGCCGCCGGAUGGUUAAGCCAGUUUAUGGAUUAUACCGCUGAAUUGGCUUAAGCCAUUGUUGGGUGAGGUGCGAUUCGUUCGCUGCCAGAUGGCUAAGUCAAGGGACUUGAACUAGUGUUUGGCGCGUGCGACGACUUCGCUGCCAGCUGGUUAAGUCAUAGAGGGCGGCCAGUGCGCGGACUAUCCGCGGAUGAUUGACUCGAGGCCGAGUCGGGUGGUUAGCUUGAUUAGGUUAAUGGAAACCUUAUAAGCUACUGAUAAAGGUAAGAGCUAAGGUAAUAGAGAUCUUAGAAGCAAGUUGAACUUGAGUUGUGGUGAACUAAGGUAGUAGAAACCUUAGAGUCAAAUAACAUGAGCUAAGACUAGCUGAGUUGAAUGUAGAAUCAAUAGAUAUGCUGAAUGGUUGCAUAAUUGCAUAGAACUGCAUAAUAUUCAUAUUGCAUGUUGUGAGGCAUAUUUUCUGUUAGUUGCAUCGUAACAUUAUGAUAUAUAUCUCUAGAUAUUUUUGGACUAACAUGAUUGCAGUGCCUCUUCGGACCUAAUGGUCGAGCUUUUCCUUUGGGUGGCCGUACCCACUAGGAACCAUGGAGUUCUCACCCCACGUUGUUUUGGGGUGUUACAGGUUCGCACGUGAGCGGCGCGGCGGCGCGAGGAAAGGGCGUAGCUCCAUAAAUAGCGCCCUACCCAGAGACCAGAGAUAGCAGUACCCCGUCGACAUAGCUUAGGGGUAUGGGAAAUGAAAAGAACACAAUAUAUCAACUUGUAAAUAAAUUUGUAAUAACUAGAUUGUAUUUGGAAGAAAUCAAAUGAGAAUUGUGAUGUAGAACCAAUGAAUGUGAAUGUAUGUAAUAACAUAGGAUGUGUUAUGUUAUUGAUACUUUCCUUAUGCAAGCUGUUUGUUGAGUACUGUUCCUGGUUGGAACCUUUGUAUUGUAUUGAUUGCGAUGCCUUGAAUGUACAGGGGAGAUUCUGUUCGCAGUACAGGGGAAACCCUGUCCGUUUGGCGCUGUCGGCGCGGCGACCUGGGCCAAAUAGGCGGGUGGUCGCGGGUCGUGACAUCCUCCUCCUCCUCCACCCCGCCACCCGCCACCGCCCACGUCCAAGUCCACGUCGGGCACCUCCUACAUCUUCCGCGUCGUCGCCUGCUCCGCCGACGACCGCCACCGCCGCUUCUUCGUCCGCCCCGCCCUCCGGCUGCUGCGAUGCCGCCGCCGCUGACGGCGACUACAACUGCGACUGCGACUGCCGGACCGACGCCAUCACCUGCUGCUCCGACGCCCCCCGCGGCUGUCGGCCCUGCUGCCCCGGCUAUCGGCCCCUGCUGGUCGGGCCCGACGCCGGCCGCGAUCUUGCCNUUAGACCUAGUGGGAUAGUCGGCGUGGUUGGUUGCCGAACCCACUGGGAACUUUGUUGUAGUUCUCACACCCCUAUUUCCAUAGAGCCGGGGCCCAGCGAGCCGGCGGACGAUCGCGGUAAGGGUAUCGCGCCCUAGGUAGAGACCGCCCGAGAUGUUUAUUUACUUUAGUUGCAUACCCCUUUUAUUAUAUCAUCUUUUGUACUUUGAUGAUUUAGUUGUUAAAGGAAAGAACAUGUAUGAUGUAAAAGAUUCUUAUAUUUAAAUGCAAGAAAUGAUAUUUUGAGAUCCUAUGAUGUAAAGAAAAGAAAUGAUGAAAAAUAUAAUUGAUUCCCUAAGUGUAGUUAUUUACUUUCACUCUUGGCUAUUGCUUGCUCUCGUUGAAGCCAUUGUGUAUGCUUUCGCUUAUGCAAUUUCUAUACUUUAUCUGUACUUGUUGUUGAGCCUUGGGCGGGCAGCGGAGGUUCUGUCCGUUCGACGUCUGUUCUACGCGCUCGAACCGACAAAAGAUGAUCGGGCUCGGGGCGUGACAGAUAAGAUGGUAUCAGAGAGUAGAAGCCAAAAAAGGUGAAAGUUUAGGAUAGACCUAGAGACCUUUAGGAUUGGGAAGACCUUAAGAACUUAGGAAACGUGAGUGACGUUGAACAAAGUAUAGCAAAAGCUUAUGAUUGGGUUAAUGCUAAUGAGUCUCUAAUGUGGUUAGAGGCUAACUUAAAGUUGUUAUUUGUUUUCUUUCCUUUGUGUUGUGAUCGGCGGCCGACGACAUGAUGCUUUGGAAGGAGAAUAAAUACACUUAUUGCUUUCGCCGGAUUGGGCAAGUACGAGUAUAUUGGUUAGGUAACUAACGUAAAUUGCUUCGUUGCAGGAGGCAAUGGCACCUCGACCUUGUGGACGACCGCGAACAAGGUCGAUGGCCGAGGAGCCGAGUGCGGCUCCCGCGCAGCCCGGAGCGGGGGACGACAGGGAGCUUCGGGAGUAGUUGGCCACGCUCAUUGGCGUGGUGCGGCAACAGGCGGAGUCGGUCCAGCGCCAAGGGGAGCAAAUCCAAAGGCUCCAGGAGACGUUGGAGCGGCAGCAGACGACGGUGGCUCAGGCAGGGGUCGAACCCCCUGCGCCCUCUAUUGUGGUGCCGACGGUGGCUGAGAGAGUAGUGGCGAUGGCGACGCCGGUCGCGGCUGUACCAGUGACGGCGAUACCGGCCGGAUCGGGAACCUCAAAUCCCGAUAGUGCGGCGGUGGAGGCAGAGCGGGAGCGCGUGUUAGAGGCUCUCGUUUUGUUCAAGAAGUUCAACCCACCUAUCUUCGACGGGGAGAAGAUGGAUCCGGCGGUAGUCGAGGCGUGGGUCGACUUGAUGGAGACGCUCUUCGAGGACAUCUAUUCCUUGGAGAAAGACAAAGUACCUCUCGCCACACACUGCCUCGAGAAGGCGGCCAAGGUGUGGUAGAAGCGGGUGAAGCGGGAUCGAUCUUCUGACCUCCCGCCUAUGCUUUGGGAGGAGUUUAAGAGGGCGCUGUUCGCCAACUACUUCCCUGACACGGAGAAGCGGAAGUUGCAAGAAAAAUUCCACAAGUUGAAGCAAGGCGACCGAUCGGUGGGGGAGUACGAGCGGGAGUUCUCCCACAUUAUCGACUGCGACCCGGAUGUAGUUCGUGAUGAUCGGGACCGCACCGAUUGGUUCGUGCGUGGGCUUCAGCCGGGGAUUCAUCGGGCCGUGCAAAUCCUCAAGCUUCCGACCUUCGCCGAGGCUUUUGAUCGAGCACUGUGGGCGGAGCAGGGCUAUGCCCACGAGCGUGAGGAACGCGAAGCCGCAGCUGAGGCAAAGGAUAGGAGCAAGAAGCGGGCGACGGGUGGCACCGGGGGCCGGCCGAGUACGAAGAAACCCCCUCGGUAUCCCCGAUAGCAGUCGAAGGGUUGGAGACCCUCCCGUUGCGUUAUUUGCGGCGGUAACCAUCAACCGCCGACAUGCCCGCAGCGCGAAGGAAAGUGCUUCAAGUGCGGCCAGGCAGGGCACAUGAUUGGGGAGUGCCCGAGCUGGGGUUCAUCUGCACCGACCUCGACAUCAGUUCCAUAUACCCCGAGACAGCAGGCGGGGUUACCACCGGCUAUGUCGGCUGGACGUUCGUCUUCAUCGCGUCAGCCGGAGGCAUCGAGGGCACCGAGUGGGCGGGUUUUUGCCACUCAGGUGUAGGAGGAGCCGAUUCCUGUCCCCGACGACAUCGUGGCAGGUAUUAUCUCGAUCAAAGGCACCAGAGCUAGAGCUUUAUUCGACACAGGUGCAUCGCAUUCAUUCAUAGAUGCAUCAUUCGCUAGGACUCAUGGCAUUAAGAUCGUGCACCAUUAUGACUAUUGGACGGUAAAUUCGGUCAAGCAUACUUUUCAUGUUCACGAAGAAUGUGUAGCGUGCCCAGUGCAGAUAGGUGACUGGGUCAUGCCGAUUGAUCUGUUGGUGAUAAACCGAAUGUGGAGUUUCGACGUGAUCUUGGGGACCAACUGGCUCUCCAAGUAUUAUGCCGUGAUAGAUUGCGAAAGUAAGGUGAUCAUGUUUUGUGAGCCUAAUCGAGAGGAGCUAGUGUAUCAGCAGCUAAAAGCUCACUUUUCGCGGCUACCGUGUCGGCGGCACGGGCGAGGAAAAUAAUAAAAGGUGGUUGUGUGGCCUACUUGGCGACAAUGGUGGAAGCCCAGAAAGAGCACCAGAAUUUGGGAGGCAUUCGAGUGGUGUGCAAAUUUUCGGAUGUAUUUCCGGUGGAGUUACUGGGAUUGCCACCGGACCGGGAGAUCGAGUUCGUUAUUGACUUGGUCCCGGGGGUGGCGCCAAUCUCGAAGGCCCCGUAUAGAAUGGCACCGGCGGAGCUAAAAGAGCUUAAGGCACAAUUGCAAGACUUGCUCGACAAAGGCUUUGUGAGGCCGAGUGUGUUACCAUGGGGAGCUCCGGUGCUAUUCGUUAAGAAGAAGGACGGCACACUUCGACUCUGCGUGGAUUACCGCGAGUUAAACAAGGUCACAGUGAAGAAUAAGUACCCGUUGCCGAGGAUUGAUGACUUAUUUGACCAGUUGUAGGGGUCAAGGGUAUAUUCAAAGAUUGAUCUUCAAUCGGGGUAUCAUCAGUUGAAGAUACGGCCCGAGGAUGUGCACAAGACGGAGUACGAUACGCAAUAUGGCCAUUAUGAGUUCACGGUGAUGCCGUUUGGGCUUACUAACGCCCCAGCGGCGUUCAUGAACUUAAUGAAUAGAGUCUUCCGUCCGCUAUUGGACCGGUGCGUCGUGGUAUUCAUUGACGACGUAUUGGUAUAUUCUCGGACCGAGGAAGAACACGAGGAGCACUUGAGGACCGUGUUGGAAAUACUCCGAAAAGAGAAGUUAUAUGCCAAGUUGAAAAAAUGCGACUUUUGGCUAUCGGAGGUCACUUUCCUUGGUCAUGUAAUUUCAGGCGAUGGUAUUUCGGUGGAUCCGAGGAAGGUGGAGGCAAUUAAGGAUUGGCCUCGCCCGACGAGUGUAUCGGAGGUCCGCAGUUUCCUUGGGUUAGCGGGCUACUACCGGCGGUUCGUGGAGGGGUUUGCUAAAAUAACUACUCUGCUAACGCACCUUACACACAAAGGGGUGAAGUAUGUUUGGAGCCCCGAAUGCGAACGGAGCUUCGAGGAGUUAAAGAAAAGGUUGACCACGACCCCGGUGCUUGCUCUACCAACGCCGGGGAAGACCUUUGUGGUAUAUAGUGAUGCUUCCUACGUAGGACUCGGGUGUGUUUUGAUGCAAAACGGGCCAGUUAUAGCUUAUGCUUCACGCCAAUUGAAGACAUAUGAAAAGAACUACCCGAUUCACGAUCUUGAGCUAGCGGCGGUUAUUUUCGCGCUAAAGCUAUGGAGGCAUUACCUAUACGGGGAACAUUGUGAGAUCUAUACGGAUCACAAAAGUCUUAAGUACUUAUUAACCCAAAGGGAGCUAAAUAUGCGACAACGGCGGUGGUUGGAAUUGUUAAAAGACUAUGAUGUUACUAUCCUAUACCACCCUAGGAAGGCGAAUGUCGUGGCCGAUGCACUUAGUAGAAAAUCGGGAGAAAAUCUGGCUUCGGCAAUUAUACCCCAACCACUAUUGCAAAAGGAGAUGCAACGGCUUGGAUUGGAAGUAGUAGCGCCGGGGGUGCCGGCGAUACUUGCGGCGUUGGUUGUUCAAUCGAUUUUAUUGGAGAGGAUUAAAGAGUUGCAAGCUUUAGAUGAAUAUCUCCAAAAGGUGCGCGGGGAAGUUGAGAGCGGUAGUGCCGAUGACUUUGGCAUUGGGACUGACGGCGCACUCCAGUUUAGAAACCGUUGGUGUGUGCCUAAGAAUAAGGACAUCCGCAGGGCGAUCAUCCAGGAAGCGCACCAAUCCCCUUAUAGUAUACACCCGGGCGGCACCAAAAUGUAUCAAGAUUUGAAGUUGCACUAUUGGUGGCCGGGCAUGAAGAAAGACAUUGGGGAGUUUGUUGCGCAAUGCCUUACUUGUCAACAAGUAAAAACGGAGCGGCGUUUUUCGGCGGAAAAAUUACAAAGCUUGCCUAUACCCGUUUGGAAAUGGGAGAACAUCGCUAUAGACUUUGUGACCGGAUUGCCACGAUCUCAAGGUGGGCACGAUGCAAUUUGGGUUAUAGUGGACUGGUUGACGAAGUCGGCGCAUUUCCUACCGAUUCAUAUUACAUGGUCGGGGGACAAAUUGGCUCAAGUAUAUAUCGACGAGGUUGUGAGACUUCAUGGGGUGCCCGUGUCUAUCGUGUCGGAUCGGGACCCGAGGUUCACCUCUCACUUUUGGAGGAGCCUACAGGAGGCUUUGGGCACGCGGCUCGACUUUAGCACAGCAUUUCAUCCUCAAAGUGAUGGUCAAUCGGAGAGGACAAUACAAAUACUUGAGGAUAUGCUUCGAGCGUGUGUACUGGAUAUAAGGGCAAUUGGCAUGAUCAUCUACCGAUGGCGGAGUUCGCGUACAAUAACAGUUAUCAAGAAAGUAUCGCGAUGGCGCCAUUCGAGGCCCUUUAUGGAAAGAAGUGACGCUCCCCAAUUCAUUGGAGCGAUGUGGGCGAGAGGGCGGCUCUUGGCCCCGAGUUAGUGAGAGAGGCGGAGGAGAAGGUUCGUCUUGCUCGCCAACGACUUGCUACGGCGCAAUCUCGGCAAAAGAGUUAUGCCGACAAACGGAGGAAAGAUAUAGAGUUUGCCGUUGGAGACCACGUGUUUCUAAAGAUUUCGCCGAUGCGAGGGAUUAAGUGGUUUGGAAUCCGGGGGAAGCUAAGUCCCCGGUACCUUAGACCGUUCGAAAUACUGGAACGGGUCGGCGCUGUGGCAUACCGAGUAGCAUUACUACCAAGACUUGCGGGAGUGCACGAUGUGUUCCACGUGUCGAAUCUUCGCAAGUAUGUCCACGACCUCGAUCAUGUUCUCUCAUUUGAACCGUCCGAGAUUUAAGAGGACAUGACCUAUGAGGAGUUCCCGGCAUACAUCAUCGAUCAAGAAGUAAGAAAAUUACGAAAUCGCGAGAUUCCGUAUGUUAAAAUUCGUUGGUGCAAUCACGACGACCGGGAAGCUACUUGGGAGCUCGAGAGCGCAAUGCGGGAGCAUUACCCUCAUCUCUUCGACGAGCUGAACUAAGGUACGAGUCGAGUUCGGGCUUAAAUUAAGCUAGUUUCGCGGAUGAAACUAAAUUUAAGGGGUGGAGAAUGUAACAUAUCGAAACCCGAAAACGAUAAUCGAACUUUAAUCAAAUUGGUUAAAGUGUCGAGAGAAAUGGAUUGAUAAGUUCCAUUUUGCAUUCCAACGAGUCUGGAAGGGCAAAAAUGAGUUAAGGAAGUGUUGGAAUGGGUUUGGCAUCGAACGACGCGAAGUAGAGUCGAGUCAAAGCCAAAACAUCAAUCUGGAGCAUUGUGUACCGGUACACCAUGGUGGUUGUACUGGUAUAGCAAGCGACCCGAGCACAGGUUGCUCUCGGGUUUGAGUCUGCGCGAAGGAGUACCGGUACGGGACUCCGUGUACUGGUACACAAGCUGCGAAACCGAGAGACCUUGCUCUCAGGUUUGACCUCUGUAUAGGGGUGUAUCGGUACAAAUGCCCGUGUACCGGUACACUUUGGGUCUGACAGCCCAGUGAGGCUGAUGUAAAUAAAAAGAAAUGGAGGGCCUAGUUGCAAUUGUAGCAACAUGUUAACACCCCAACACCUCUCUCUCUCCCUCCCACAGCCACACACAUUCCCCUAUCUCAUUUCUCUCUUUCUCUCUCUAGAACAUCUCUAGGGUUUGGUGGAGAAGGUGGAGAAGAGCUUGGAGAAGGUGCUUUUGGAGCUUGGAGAAGACCUAGGGCUCUCCUACAAGGUGGACUUAGGGCUAGCUUGUGGCUAAGGUGAGGUUUUCAUGGAAACCUAAGCUAGGGUUUGAAUUUCUACCAUGAAACUUAGAGUUUUGGGUUUCUCUCUUGUUUAGAAAUCCUCUAGAGGCUUGAGCUCCAUGAAAACCCAUAGGAGCUCAAGUUGCUCUAAUGGUGGAUUUCUAGGGUUUGCAUUUUGAGUCCUAGAAAUGGUUGGGAUGGUUCUCGGUGAACUUCUAGAGGUUAGACAAGCUUUCUUUUGCUUGUUUUAGAGAUCAAAACCUAGGGUUUAGCAAUGGGUUUGGUUAGGGUAUCAAAUUUGGCGCUUUUGCCCUAGGAUUUUUCGGGGACGAAUUAAACCCGUAGAAACCUAAUUGGGGGUGUCCUAAACGCGUGGAGCAACUCCGUUUAAUGUUACGAAAAUGUUUGAAAAUAGUCCAUGCAUAUAGGGCCUAAUUUGGCACUAUUUUGGUUGUAGGACGCGACUUCGACGUUCGUGAGGUGCGAGAGGCUUCACAUCUUUUCUCUACUACCACUCACGGUGGGUGGUGCAUUCCAAGGACAUCGGAAAUCUCUUUAUGUCUAAGUGUCAUAUUUUGAGCAUAUGGGCAUUUUUGAGCAUCUUGCAUAAUAGGGUUAAUUGUGAGUUUUUAUAGCCUAACGUAAAUUUAAAUGCAUGUUAAAUGUUUGUAAGAAGGUGAGAAUGAUGAUCCCUAUGUAUGCAUGAUUAUGACAAGAACCUAGAAGGGUUAGUAAACAAAAAGUGACACUUUGACAUAGAUCUAGCAAGUGACCUUGACGAGUCUAGAACACUUAGUAAACAAGUGUGGCAUUUGGCAUGAGGACAAGAAUAUAGCACUUAGAGAACAAGUGUGGCAUGAGUACAAGGACUUGAUAGUGUAUAUGACACUAGUGAUAGUAAAGAAUGCAAAGAAAAGAAUGAUUGAGAUAAUAUGACAUUUCAACCUUAGUGUGAGGGUUAUUUGAGCAUGGUUUUCCUUAAAGUCAAGGAAUGGAUUGAACUUGUAAUUCUCGAAUGUAGGAUUGAUCGUACUCACUUUAGUCCUUGCUCGAGGUUGUGGUAGCUCCCCCUCGGGCGAUGUGCUCCGGCGUCGAUAUCACUGGGUUGUAGCGAGUAUCUCCCCAAAGGACGGUCCCAUCGGGUUGUAGCGAGUAUCUCCCCGAUCAUUGGGAUUUUGAGUUGGUGAGUUUGUUGAGGGCGAAACCUACGGGUUAGCCAAGAGAUUGGGUAUUGACACUAUGACCUUGCAUUCAUCAUGAGCUUUACAUUGUGCAUAUCAUUUUUUAUUGUUCAGGCAUAUUAGUUGCAUUUGCUAGUUGGUUACUUACUUUCUUUCAUUCUAUUAUGCCUGAUUAGACCUAGUGGGAUAGUCGGCGUGGUUGGUUGCCGAAUCCACUGGAACUUUAUUGUAGUUCUCACACCCCUAUUUCCAUAGAGCCGGGGCCCAGCGAGCCGGCGGACGAUCGCGGUAAGGGUAUCGCGCCCUAAGUAGAGACCGCCCGUGUAAGGAAGUGAAUUUUCGAAACCCGAGAGUUGUACUUCGUCCAGGAUCGACUAUUUGUCGAGAGAAUGCCCUUGGGGAAGUUAGAGAUGUCCAAAGCACAAAAAGUGCCUUGGAGUUGAGUCCACGAAAGCAAAUGAUGCAAACUGCAUCAUUGGGCUGAUGUUACUCUCGGGGACCGGUCUCUGGAGGUGAGAGACCGGUUCCCUUGGCUGGGUGUAGCAGGGUUGCUUGAUGCAACCGGUCCCUGGCAGGGAUGGACCGGUUCCCGAACGUGGUCCCAGUGAGAAAUGCCGAAAUUUGGCUAAGUCCUGAAAAUCGAGCUCUCGGGGACCGAUCUCUCAGGCGAGGACCGGUCUUCUCCCGAGGACCGGUCUCCUGGGGAGAGACCGGUUCCCGAACGCGCGCGCUCGAGGGAGGCCCUCGGGGACCGGUCCCAAGUCGGGGAGACCGGUCCCUCCGCGCGAGAACUGCCCAGUAAGGGCUGUGCAAUGGAUGGAAAAUUGAGGGGUUUAAGUGCAAAAUGGCCUUUAUUAGAGUGGGCUGAGCCCCCUCUCUCCCUCACACUCAUCUCAUUCCCUCUCUAUCUCUUUUUCUUUCUUGCUCCCUCUCUCUCUCUCUAGAAAGGAAAGGAGGAGAAGAAGAACAAGAAGGAGAGGAAGGAAAAGAAGAGGAAGAACAAGAAGGAGAAGAAGAAGGAGAUCAAGAGGAAGGCCUUGGACACCUUCUAUCUCCCUCUCCUCUUCUCUUUGGUGUAGCACAAGAGGUAAGCCCUAACCCUAGCUCUUGGAAACUUAGGGUUUUUGGGUUUUGAUGCUUUAGAAUGGGUCAAAUGGACCCUAAACAUGCUUCUAAAUAGAUCAAUCCCAUGAUUCUAGGGAUUUAUUGGUGGUUUGUUAUAGGUGCAAACCUAGGGCUCCAAAAUGGGGUUUUUGUGAAUGUAUGAGAUUGAUCUCAUUUGAAGCCUUGGAAACCCUAUUGUUAGGUCACAAAACGUGGGGGCGAAGUCGGUUUUGGCAUUCGGCGAACCGACGCGAAGUUCUCGGCAAAAUAGGGCCGGACUAGUGUUGAUUUGGGCAAGGAAGGCUAAAGCCUUUUCGUAAAGUUCGCCGAGAAGAAUUUUCGAGGCCUCUACAUCGAUUAAAGGUGGGGGGUGCCAUCCCGAAGCUUUCGGACUCCUUUCUAUAUCUUAGAUUGCAUUUAAUCUCAUCUCUUCAUGUUGCAUUGUAGGAUUGCAUAGUAACUCCAUUCCUUAUGCUUUCUAAAUGAUAAUCUAGUGUACUUGGAACGCUUGGUGACUUAGAUAGGUGAGGAUUGGGUCGGAACGUGGAUCCUAUAAUGCGAAAGAAAAGAGGUGAACCCGAUGGGGGUGUUGAUGACAUAGAAAGUAGUGUUAAUGUUACAGAACAAACGAGUAGCAUCCAAAUAUUAAAUGAUGACGAGUGGCAUUAAUGUAGUGUACAUAACACUAGGGGUUUGAGAACUUAGGGAUAGGUGGAUCCCUUAGAAAAUGCCUUGUAGAUAAAAAACUUAGUAAACCUAAGUAGCCUCACGUGGAGGGGUUGUCGAUGAGUCGAUUGAGACAUUGACCAUAGUGGUAGGGCUUCCUCACUUGGAGAGGAUUUUGAUUGGGUUGUGGACCCUAGUGAUAGUGCUCCCUCACUUGAAGAGGAUUCGAUUGGGUAUAGACUCUAUUUGUAGAGCAUCCUCACUUGGAGAGGACUUGAUUGAGUUGUUGACCCUAGAUGUAGGGCAUCCUUACUUGGAGAGGAUAGAUCUAGCUCACAGUCUGCGUUUGGGUGGUAUAGCCAUCCAAUCCCCACAUGGAGGGGAUUGUCGUCGAGUACUCCGGAGUGUCGCGCGACUAGGACCACUUGGAGAUCCGGACCACAUGGAGGUCCGCAGACGGUCCCGGGCUUGGGUGCACUUGGAGCUCCCUCCCCACUUUGGGAUUGAAGGGUGAGUCAUAGGCGAGCCCUAGGGCCUCGCCACAGAUUGGGUAAAUGGAAAGGUUAAAGGUUUAAUAAUGCCAUUGAACAUUGCUAUUCGAAUAUGGAUCAAAUUUAUUAGCAUGGUAGCAAACCUUUAUUAUAUGAUGCAUGCAUUCAUAUUCAUGAUUAUGGGCAUAAUAGCAUAGUUUUCCUAGUAUUGCAUUUACAGUUUUCAGAUACAUAUCUAUCUAUCUAUCUAUCUGUUGUUAAUUGUGUCCACUUGGACCUAGUGGGGAGAUCGGCAGAGUUGGCGGCCGAGCCCACUGGGAACUGUGGAAGAUAGUUCUCACCCCACUCCAUUUCCAGUGGUAGAUACAGGGCUGCCGAGGGAGGACCGCGGCAAGGGCAUCGCGCCCUAUCAGUGAGACCGUAGUAGUAUAGUAGCUUUCCCUUUUGCAUUAGUACACCUAUGUAUUGAGAGAGAAUCAUUGUAGGUGAGGACUUGGAGAGCUAUGUAUUUUGGGAUGAAAAGUGAUGUAAAUGAAACUAUUGUGAUAGUUAGUAAAGUACUCUCUUUAUUUCACAUGCUUUUUCUUGUGGAUUACUUGCUCUUCGUAUUGUUGGCACUGUUUGUGCCCUUGUGGAUGUGUAUGUUUAGAAUUUAAUUUCCUGGGUAAAUUCUUGUACACAUUCUUGUUGUUGAGCCUUGGGCGGACAGGGGAGGUGCUGUCCGUUCGGCAAUUCGCCGCCACGGCCGAAUCGUGCCAAAUUGGUAGUGGUUUCGGGGUGGGGCGUGACAGUGCAAGAUGUUUAUUUACUUUAGUUGCAUACCCCUUUUAUUAUAUCAUCUUUUGUACUUUGAUGAUUUAGUUGUUAAAGGAAAGAACAUGUAUGAUGUAAAAGAUUCUUAUAUUUAAAUGCAAGAAAUGAUAUUUUGAGAUCCUGUGAUGUAAAGAAAAGAAAUGAUGAAAAAUGUAAUUGAUUCCCUAAGUGUAGUUAUUUACUUUCACUCUUGGCUAUUGUUUGCCCUCGUGCAAGCCAUUGUGUAUGCUUCCGCUUAUGCAAUUUUUAUACUCUAUCUGUACCUCUUGUUGAGCCUUGGGCGGGCAGGGGAGGUUCUGUCCGUUCGGCGUCUGUUCGACGCGCUCGAACCGACCAAAGAGGAUCGGGCUCGGGGUGUGACAAUAGAGCUUACAUUUCCGGUACAAAGUUCAGCAAGGAUGCAUCCGAGUGACCAAAUAUCAAUCUUUUUAUCAUAAGAAAGACCCAAUAUAAUCUCAGUUGCGCGGUACGAUCGUGACUGUACGUACGAACAUAAAUGGUCGGUCUCAAAGCAACUACUCCCAAGGUCAAUGACUUUGACUUCACACCUGCUGUAGCUUUUCACCAAUAUAUUUUCAGGAUUCAAAUCACAAUGAAUAAGACCAAGGCUGUGCAAAAACUGAAGUACCUCCAGACAUUGAAUAGUUAUUGACUGUAGAUCAAAAUUAAAGAGGAAAUUAGCAAAAAUAUGAAAUAACUGAACAACAAAAGUUCAAGAUGGGGGCCAACAGGGUGGUGAAAUUUAAACAACCAAAAGAAACAAAAUAAAUAAACAACCUGCAACCUCAGCACGGUGAAGUAAACCUCCCCUCCAGAUUCUCUAUUGAACUUGUGAAAUUCAUAUAAGUUUGCCUUGAGAAGCUCACAAACUAUCAGCAAGUGUUCCUAUAGAAUAAAACACAAAUUAGUUGAACAGUUAAACAGAUUUCUCACUUGAGAUGGAACACUUGAUACAGUACAUAAUAGAGGGUGAGCUGCUAUGUUGAUGCCCAAACUUUACCCAAUUUCUCAUUUUAAUUGCAAAACUUUUUAAUUGUUUCGAUGAAGUCCCUAAAGUUUGUUACUUGUUUCAAUUAAAGUCUAUGCUGUCAAUAAGCCUGUUUAAUAAGCCAGAGGUUGCCAUGUGGUAGAUUGAUGCAAAACUGGGCCGACCUGAUUUGGUCAAUCAGUUUAAAUCAAUUGAAUUUAUUGCUUAUUUUGGAAAAAAAAUCAGAUUAGAGUAGUUGAUCUUAUCUUUUAGGUAGUAUUUAUUUUAGAUUGUUAUUAUUCAGUUAAUCUCAAGAUAAGGUUUUGUUUAGUUCGUUAUUUAGGAUAAAAUUAAAUCCUAACUUGGUUAUGUAUAAGGUUAAGGAUAGUAUAAAUAAGGCAAAAGACUUCAUUGUAUGAUAAUGAUAUGAAUUUACAUAGUAGGGAUAAAAUGCUAUUUAUACUAUUGAAAGUGUUUGCUACCAACUUUUUUGCCAUUGGAUGCCUAGGCUUUAGUGGUGGUAGGUGGUAUAGUAAUAAUCCAAUAGCAGAAAAUUAGAUAGUAAAUACUAUUUAUAUACUAUCAAUAGUAUACUAGCUCAACUCGAAUUUAUGGAUCUAUAAUGAAGACAAAUGCUUGGGCAACGAUGUCUUUUAUUUUCUUUCAACGAAUGCAUCGCUCUAGAGUGAGUCCUGUCUAGAAACAAGUACAGUUCAGGAGUGAGUCUUGAUUAUCUUUUCUAAUUUUCUUUUCUUCCUUUCUUUUUUUAUUUUUCUGAAUUUUAUUCUUGUUUCUUUAAUUUCAUACUUUUCAUAAUUUCUUCUUUUUUAAUUCUGAAAAUUAAAAAAAUUAAAAAAUAUAUCAAAAAUUUUUAGAAAUGCCAAAGCUUUCAAAAAUAUUGUAAAUCAUAUUUAGGAGUCCUCCAAAGUGUAGGGUACUACAUUCCAUCCUAUAUCAGAUUUGGCAUCAGAGUUGACAAUUCCGUUUCCUCAAAAAUUUGGGGCUUGUGGAAGAAAACAGGGUGAAAAAAAAAGGUGAGAAAAUGUAAAAUAAAGAAAAGUAGAGUGAAAAAAGUAAAAUAAAGAAAAGUAGAGUGAAAAAAGUAAAAUAAAGAAAAGUAGAGUGAAAGAAAAGGUGUAAGAAAAAUGUGUGGAGAAAAAAAAUGGAGAAAAAGUAGUUAAAAAAAACAUCAUGGAUGAAAAAGAAUGUCUUAAAAAAUAUUUUCCAGAAGUAUAGCAGAAAAAAAAGAAUACAUAUAAAGUGAAAAAAAUAUGUGAGAUGACAAGAGUGGAGUUUGAUGAAUGGUUGUACGAUCAGAAGUCAUACUUUGGGAGGAAAAAAAAAUCGAUAUUCAAAUGGAAAUACUAAGGUAAUUUGAGAUGGUGAUAUAGACAAAGGAAAAUAUUUCAUCUUGAUUUUAUCAAAAUACUUUUUUGACAAAGAAAAAAAGGAGGUUGAAAGAUUUUGAGAUGAUGCUAAAAUUGUUGAAAAUGAUUUUUAAUGAUGAGUAAGACAAGAGAUGAGUAUCGAUGGAUCCAACUAAAAGUUCAACUGGAAACCCUGAUUGCUCAACAAAGUAAGCCACCCAUAGCAUAGUCAGGAGAUGACAAUUCUAAUCCAGUCCAUUUGCACCAUCUGAUUGCAAAUAAGUUCUAGAUGUGAUCGAGUUGGAAUUUGAGCAUCCGCGGUGAGUGCGUUGAAGAGAUAAGAUUACAAAUCCAUUUACCCUCAUCGCCCCAGCAAUAUCCGCCCUCCAUACUUGAGCUUCAAAUUGCACCAACACCACUUUUCUCCACAAUAUCAAUCUUUAUAAAGCGUCAUCGACAUACUAGUCAUUCCUACAUCAACACCAAGUUGGAGACUUUGAUGAUACAAGUUGUUCAACAUGCAAGUGUUGGACUACAUUACUUUAUUCCACACACUUGGUUGUUUUUUAUCACCUUACAAAUCCAACUAGUCUUGAGGAUGAAACCCUGCGCUGCAUAAGCGAAUGAGGCAGAACUAGGCUGACCCAAUUUGGUUGAUCUAUAAAUCAAUUGAAUUCAAUGUUUUUUAAAAUCAAAUUACAAUAGUUGAUCUUAUCUUUUAGUUAGUAUUUACUUCUAGAUUUUUAUUAUUCAGUUAAUCUCUAGAUAAAAUUUUUUUUAGUUAUUUAGGAUAAGUUUAAAUCCUAAGUAGGUUAUGUAUAAGUAAGGUUAAGGAUAGUAUUAAUAAGACAUAAGACUUCCUUGUAUGAUGAUGAAUAUGAAUUUAUAAAUCUAUAAUGAAGACAAAUGCUUUGGCAAUGAUGUCUUUUUUUCCUUUCGCGCAUGCGCUCGCCCUAAAGUGAGUCCAAUCCAGAAACGAGUUCAGUUCAAGAGUGAGUCUUGAUUACUUUUUUCUAUUUUUUUUCUUCUUUUUCCAUUUUUUCUGAAAUUUUUUCCUAUUUUUCUUAAUUAUUGAUUUUCAUAAUUUCUUUUUUUAAUUCUGAAAAUUUUUUAAAAGUUGAAAAGUAUUCAAAAUAUUCAGAAAAUUUUAGAAAUUCAAAAGCUUCCAAAAAAAAUAUAAAUCAUAUUUUGGAGCCCUCUAAAUUGUAGGAUCCUAUAUUCUGUCCUACAUUACAGUUUCUAUUGAAAUUUCUGGGCUUUUUGACUGCAGGGACUUAGUUGCCUAAAGUAAUAAAUGUUGGGAACUCAAUUGCAAAAAUUAAACGAUCAGGAAAGCAAAAAUUCGAGCAAAAGCUUAGGAACCAAUGGUGCAAUUAACACAACAAUAGAUCAUCUUCCAAAUAGGGAUUGUUAUCGAUAUUCCCAUUUAGUAAACUAAGCCCAUAAUAUAAUAUCAAAGCAUAUUUAACCGAGGAUAGAAGUUAUUCGACAAAAAGAAUGAAGAUACACAACCUUCUAAUAGAAACAAAUGCCACAUAUAGAAUGGUCAACUAAUAUGAUGGACAUAAAGAAUUAUAUUGGUUCCAAGUAAAAAAGAAAUAGAAAUAUAUAGCUCUAUAGCUGUAAUAGCAGCGGAAAAAAAUGAAAGCAUUAGCAGCAGACAAUUCUUGCUUCUACUGAUGGAUGUCAGAUAUGUUUCGUAUUCUUGAACCGCAAGAAUUCCUAACUCUAUUCUAUUUCUCUCAACCUGUAAGCUAGGAUUAUACCUAAUCUUAUUAAGAUUAUUCCUAGUAUUAUUGAAUUAUAGUCACUAAUACAAAUAUAUUCUUUAUUUCGUUGAUUUGGUGCGGCAGAUGAGAGGGAGUAUAGGUGCAUUUUGGAUGCUAGGGUUUUUUAAUGAGAGGCAUCUUUUGUACUUGUUUGGAUUAUAAUUAAAGUUUUUGCUCCAUCUUCGCCCAUGAACGUAAACCAGUGGUCGAACCACGUAAAUAGUGUUCUCUAUUUUUUUUUAAUUUUUUUGUGAGAGGCAUCUUUUGUACUGUGUUUGACUUUAUAAUAAAAGUCUCUGCUCCAUCUUCACCCAUGGACUUAGAUGAGUAAUUGAACCACAUAAAUAUGUAUUCUUUAUUUUUCUUCUCUUCUUUUCGAUUCUCAUUUGUAUAUUCGCACCCGAUGAACUAAAUCAUUUCCGCUUUUAUCGUAACAAACUGAUAUCAAAGCAAUUUUGGUAUCAAAGCAAGUUGCGAAUUCAUAAGAAACUAAUAUCAGAGUCUGAUUGUUCAAGUGGGUGUUUAAAAUGUUGAUGAAAUUUGAGAUCAAGAAGUGUGAUUGCUCCAGCAGUUUCGCUAUUCAGCAAGUUUAGAUGUAAGUCGUUCUAAUGCAACGAGGUUGCACAAGGCGUUAACUGGAGAGGAAGAAGAUUGGUUCUCUAAAGAACCAAGCAGAUUUGCUCAUUAAGCCUCUUUUGAUGACCAAAUUCAAUAUUCCAUGUACAAUUUGUCUGUGCAGUAGCACUCGAGGAACCAUUGGGGUUUUGGCAAAAGAUGAAGAAUUCAAGACAAGGUGGAGAUAGCUCGAUAUGCCUCAAAUUCUUGAACCACAAGGUUUCCCAACCCUAUUCUAUUCCUCACAACCUAUUAAGUUAAGCUAGGAUUAUGCCUAAUCUUAUUGAGAUUAUUCAAUCUUAUUGGAUUUUAGUCACCAAUAUAAAUAUAUCUUUUAUUUCAAUGAUUUGGGGCUGAAAAUGAGAAAGAGCAAGGGUGUAUUUUGAAGGCAGGGUUUUUGUGAGUCACCUUUUGUACUCUGUUUGGAUUAUUUAUGAAAGUCUAUGCUCUGUCUUCGCCUAUGGACAUAAGCCAGUGGUUGAACCAUAUAAAUAUUUGUGUACUUUAUUUUUCCUCUUUUUCUCAAUUCUCUUGUUUUUUUUUCACACCCAACGAACUAGAUCUUUUCGCUUAACAAUGGAUCAUAGAGAAAUGGCAUAAAACUAAAAGGCAGCAUGAAAAUAUUCCACAGCCUAAAAUUCUUAAGAAGUUGCAUGUGACAUUAUUAAUCUUCACAUUCUGAUUAAGAUUCCAAACUUACAAUUACUUAGAAGUUUUCCUAUGUUAUCUGUAGGCUUUAAGAUUCCAAACUUAGAAGAUAAAUUUAGAAUUUCUCCUAUGUUAUCUGAUGUACAAGGCAACGGCUUAAAAAGAUAAUUAACUGAAACAUCAGCUAGAGUCCUAUCAAUGUCUAUAGGCACCAUUAAAUAUAUAUAGGGCAGGUAUCCAGUCCAGGCAGAAACAAUGCCCUGUCUGAUAGGUUUUUUAGCAUUGGUUUCCCAAAAAAGCUAUUUAGACUUGACCCACAUACUUGAUAAAGCCCUACCUAGAAAUUUCUGAUAGAAUGAUCUUCAAUCAAAUUGCCAUUUGUCUCACAACAAUCAAUUCAUUUUAUAUAAUGGCUCUAGCUAACAUUAAUCAAACCCUAAUCUACACAGCAGUACCACAGUGCCCUCUCUCCCCACCAGUAUUGUUGCCUAAUGACCUUUCUCCAACCAAACGACGUUGCUCGCUUAUUUGUGCAUGUUGCUGUCUGCUAAGCACCAUAAUCGAAUAGUGCAGUUCCAGGUUUUGGAUUAAAACUAGUCAUGGAAGACCAUCCAUCAGCACUCUAAGAAGUCAAGAAACAAGCAACAGUCGAGCAAAGACUAAAUUACAAAAAGUUAUAAGACGAAUAGGUUGAAAGAGCAUCAAGCAACUAUCAGUGCUUGCCAAUUGCCAGCUAAUAUUACUAGUUAUGUAAGAUAACAGACAAUAAUAAGGAAGAUGACUGACACACCAAAGUCAAGUUGCGGCAUAAAGACAUUUUACCACACCAAAAUUCGUGGUUCUCUGUACAAUUCUAUCACAGGAUUAAGAGAUGAGCAAGGGCUAACUAGGGUUGCGUACUAUAUCACCCAUCUCCAGCUAAGGAUGUGUUGCAUAAUUGCAUUCUUGUUUUGGACACAAAAGUAACUCGAAGCAUACUAGGGCAUUUAUACUAGCUAAUUUGUCACACCAAUGGCUACACAAGAGAUAUAUAUACAUAAGUUUGUAAACUUCUUCUGAAUCCAUGAAAGAGGCUACAACCUGGUUAUUCCAGUCAGUAUUGACAACCAGCGCAGCCGUACCUAUUCGUAUCCAAAGAAAAGUUGCGAGUUGAAUAGUUUAACAGUCCCAAAAGGAACCAACUCCUAUUCUUCACUAAACAUGUUCAUAUAUGACAUGAUAGAAGCUUUAUUUGCGCAAGUAAUGCUAGAGAAAUGACCGGGCAGUUGAAAAAGCACAUAAAUUGCACGGUACUUAAAAGUCACACAAGGCUAGGUACUUGACAUGUAACUUGAACUGCACUAAUUACUGCAAGCUAAAGUUAAAGAAAUUACCUAGUUACUAAUGUACAAGUUUGGUCAUUGGGACACAGUUUGAAGAAAAAGAUUACAAAUGGGCUAGCUUCUAACCAAACCUUUCUGACAUUAAAGCAUAUUAGUUUGCCCAGUAGACUCUGAAAUUCCAAUGUGAAAGCAUAUUUAUCGACUACAAAUUUAGGUCUGCAAACAGAAUGGGCAAGCUCGCCAUUAACAAGAGAAGCAAGCUAGAAUGUGUGUGUGUGUGUGUGUGUGUGUGUGUGUAACUUCUUUAAAAAAAAAAAAGGCUUUGCACUAAAACAGUCCAAUUUCCCUAAGUUUAAUAAAAAAUGUCAAAUAUCAGGAAGGAUGUUGUUUCAAAAUUUUGAUCUGGAUGAUAGAACUGUGAUAUAAACAUAGAAAUUUAAAUUGGACUACUUCAAGUCCAACAGGCAAAUUAUGAAAUCUUCAAGUUCCAUGACAACAAAAAAGAAAAAUAAAAACAAUAUGACCUAAGGAUAAUGAGAUUACUAUGCACUCCAUUAUAUGAAAAUGCCAUGAUAUAAUCAAGGUUCUCAAGGUGAUGCCACUAUAACACUGGCUAAGAGCUUAAGAGGACUCUCUAAAUUAAACAAGCUAUAUCUAUAUAAAUAUGUGUGUGUGUGUGUGUGUGUGUGUGUGUGUAACUUCUUUAAAAAAAAAAAAGGCUUUGCACUAAAACAGUCCAAUUUCCCUAAGUUUAAUAAAAAAUGUCAAAUAUCAGGAAGGAUGUUGUUUCAAAAUUUUGAUCUGGAUGAUAGAACUGUGAUAUAAACAUAGAAAUUUAAAUUGGACUACUUCAAGUCCAACAGGCAAAUUAUGAAAUCUUCAAGUUCCAUGACAACAAAAAAGAAAAAUAAAAACAAUAUGACCUAAGGAUAAUGAGAUUACUAUGCACUCCAUUAUAUGAUAAUGCCAUGAUAUAAUCAAGGUUCUCAAGGUGAUGCCACUAUAACACUGGCUAAGAGCUUAAGAGGACUGUCUAAAUUAAACAAGCUAUAUCUAUAUAAAUAUGUGUGUGUGUGUGUGUGUGUGUGUGUGUGUGUGUGUGUAACUUUCUUAAAAAAAAAGGCUUUGCACUAAACCUGUCCAAUUUUCUGAGUUUAAUCAAAAAUGUCAGAAAGGAUGUUGUUUCAAAGUUUUGAUCUGGAUGAUAGAACUGUGACUUAACAUAGAAAUUUAAAUUGGACUAGUUCAGGUCCAACAGGUAAAUCAUGAAAUCUUCGAGUUCCAUGACAACAUCAAAGAAAAAUAAAAACAAUAUGAUCCAAGGAUAAUGAGAUGACUGUGCACUCCAUUAUAUGAAAUGCCAUGAUAUAAUCAAGGUUCUCAAGGUGAUGCCAUUAUAACACUGGCUAAUAUCUUAAGAGGACUGUCUAAAUUAAACAAGCUCUAGAGCAACUCUAGUGUAGUACAAAAGGUGUUCUAUUCUCCUUUACAUCUACCAUUAUUUUAGCACGUUUCACUUAACCAUGCUGUAAUCCAAAAUCACUACUAAUGAACUUUCAGAAAAAAAAAUUCACAGAAAUAUAAGACUCAAAAUAGAAAUGAAAGAGUUCGAUAGUUUUUACCCGAGAGUAGAAGUAAUCAUACAAGCACAGAAUGUGAUACUUGUCCGCCGGAUCAUGCCUGUUGACAUAUUUCAAAAACUUGAUUUCAUCAAGGCUUUGAUCAAAAAAAUCUUUAUUGUUCUUUAUGAUUUUCACACAUACAUCCAUUCCGGUGUGCAAGUCAUGUGCCUGAAUAGCUUUGCUGAAGGCAGCUGACCCGAGAUACUCGGUAACAUGAUAUCGCCCAGCAAUAACAGAGUUCAAAACAACAUGGAAAUUCUUGUCUUCUUCAAAGCCAGUUCUGGUAAAAUAUCAGCAAAAUGGACAUAGGUAUUUUUAAACCAAUUUCUUUUUCAAACUUUAUUCUAUUUAGGAUUCCAUUACAACUAAAAGUUUUUUAUUCAUCUUUAUUUAUACUAGUGUAGGGAUCCUCACGGUGCGAACGAAUAGAAAUUUUUUACGAAAAUAUAUAGAUUAAAUAAACACAUAUAAAUGUAAAGAAAAACAAUUUUGACAUAAAUUUAAGAAAAACAAAUGAUAUGACCAAAAUUUCAAAAUGGACAGUGGAAAAUUAAUUUCAAAAUGGAUAGUGGAAAUUGAAUAUUCUUUAAAAAUUGAGCAUAGGACUUUUAAAUUCAAGAUCAAGAAUGUUAACCUUAAUCUAUAUAGUUUAAAGUAUUUUCUAUCAAAAUUUGAAGAAAUUUAGAUUCUUCUACACUGUUAAACUCCAAACUCGUCAUAAUAGCCAUUGAAAAUUGACAAUUUUGAAAUGGUUUGAUCAUAAAGUAAACUAUGUCGAAAAAAUAUAAAAUUUUAUUUCUAAAAAUUUUAAAUACCCUAGAUCAGUUUUAACGGUGUGGAUCGUUGAUUUGAAUGCUCGAAAAUCGAAAACAACACUAUAGUACCGGAGCUCCGGUACUAUAGAUAGUAUAGUAGCCUAGCUCUAUUUAUAUAUAUAUAGCCUAGUUUAUUGUGAUAAGAUGUGAGUAGUAUGUUUAAAUGAAUCUAAAUUAGAUUAGAUGAAUGAAUGGAAUAAAAUGUAGAAAGAACAGANAAUUCCGACAAUGACAGACGGAAUCCAAAAAAGAAUAAAAUAAUAUUCCCUACGAAUGGUUAUGAUUAAUUUGUUAAAUAUAUCUCAAAUAAAAACGAAUGGUUAUGUUCAAUCUAUUAAAUCUCUACUAUAUAUAAAAAUCUAUAUAUAUAAUCAAUUUGUUAAAAAAAUAUCUCAAAUAAGAUAUUGUAAAUAUUUUCUAAUAAAAUAUAACAUAUUAAUUUAUAAAUAUAAAUUUUAUUGUAUAAUUUUGGAUAUAUAUAAUACACAAAUUUAUAUUGAUUUGAAAUAAAUUAUAAUAAUUGUUACGUGCAUUUGCACGUACAUUUAAGUAGUAUAUAGAGUAGGGCUACUAUACUCUUAUGAGUAUAGAACUCUUACUACUCAUAAGUUGUUUUCGAUGUUGAAGUUUUCGAAUCGACGAUCCACACCGUUAAACAUGAUCUAGAGUAUUUGAAACUUCUAGAAAAUAAAUUCCAUAAAUUUUCGAAAUCAUUAAAAAGUCCAUCAAACGAGUAUAACAUGAACGGUUAAAAUCAAAUGACAUUCAAAAAAUGGAUGAUCAAAUCCUUCAAUUUAAGAUCGGAGUUAUUGAUCUUUAUUUAGGUAGUGAAUAGAAUUUUCUAUCAAAAAUUCAACCUAUUUCGAUUUUUUUUCACCGUUAAACUAGCAAAUAUCUCAUACCGGCCGUUAAAAAUUGUCAAUUUUGUGACCUUUUGAUCGUUAGGUAAAUGAUAUCGAAAAAUUAUAAAAUUUAAUUUCUAGAAGUUUUAAAUACUCUAGAAAAUGUUUAACGGUAUAGAUCAUCGAUUUGGAAGCUCUAUCAUCAAAAACAACUUAUGAGUACGAGGGCGAUCGUACUCAUAAUAGUAUAGUAGCCGGACUCCUAGUGUGUGUAUAUAUAUAUAUAUAUCGAGGGGUUCAAGUACAUACAAAAGGAUCUACUACAACACUAGUUCCAGCGAGUACCCCAAACAACACCCAUAUGUACAAAAUACCCUAAAACUACAUGAGGAAGGUACUCCACUCUGCAACUCAUUUGGAAGGGAUCUAGCUCGCGACUCCCUUUUCGUGAUCACUAUUAGGAACGACAGCAACCGAAGAAGAAGGCUUGGCAAAAGGGUUCAACAACUAGGUAUGAGAACUACUGCAAAAAAAGUAGUUUUCAGUGGGUACCGCUACCGACAUCAACGGCUUACCCAAUAAGUCUACAAAAGUAUGCUAAAAAAUAGUAAAGAAAGUUGAAACAAUUCUACAGCUAAAUGUCACUAUACUAUUAUGAUCCAACACUAACUACCUGUAGAGAAUGCAAUCACUGACCAAAUCUCACUAGGGACUGUGAACACACACGUCCCGCCUGUCGAAGCUAUACUAAUUAUCACUACGCUGGGUCGUCAAUGGAGAGUGAGUCCAAUCAUGACACAACGACAACAACGCAAAAGCACAAAAUUCGACUCCGGAGUGGCACUCGUGGGCGCUACCCAACCGAGUACAUAAGCGUAUAUUUGCCGAGAGCUCAAUCAGGCUCUCACAGGCUAUAGUCAAAGUAGAAGGGUCUAAUUGGUCUAACAAUCAUAACACACGUGCCAUCGGCACAAUCUGAUGCAAAAAUAGCAAACUGGGUUCACCGUCAACCACAACGGUCCCCGACAGUCCGGAACAGUCUAAACACGACUGUAAAAAUAAACUCGGUAUCGCAGCACGAGCAUAAAUUCAUUAUACACUAUACUGGAUAUCAACCGUCUACAAACUACGGCGAUACAAAUAAAUUACAGCUUCUAAAGUUAAAUAUGGUAGUUUUCAGAAAAUGACAGUGUAGAACCUAUAGUUUUCUUCUAAGUCAAUUUCAAGUCCAACAUGUCACGCCCCGACACCCGCCUAUUUGGUUAGGUUCGGGAACGCCGACAGACCGCCGAACGGACAGAGUCUCCCCUGUACGUCCUAGGUGUCGCAAUUAAUACAAGUACAAGAAGUUCCAACCAGGAACAGUAUUCAAGUAAGAUUGCAUAAGGAAGGUAUCAAUCAACAUAACACAUCCUAUGUUAUUACAAGCAUUCCCCUUUAGAUUUAUUUUUACAUCACAUUUGCAUUAUUACGUUACAUUCUCUUCCAAAUACAAUUAAUGAUCGCAAUAUUAUUACAAGUUUGCUUUUUUUUUUCUUUUCCCUCUACCCCUAGGCUAUGCCGACUCGGGGUACUUCUAUCUCUGGUCUCUAAGGUAGGGCGCUAUCUAUGGAGCUACGCCCUCGCCUUGCGCCGCUCACGUGGGAACCUGCAAUACCCCAAAACAACGUGGGGUGAGAACCAACUCCAUGGUUCCCAGUGGGUACGGCCACCCAAGGGAAGAGCUCGACCAAUAGGUCUAAGGAGGCCCUACAACAUGUUAGUCCAACAGAUAUCCAACAGAUAUAUAUAUAUAUAUAUAUAUAUAUAUAUAUAUAUAUAUAUAUAUAUAUAUAUUCAAGUUAUGAAAUACAUGUUGUGCCUCACAAUAUGCAAUAUGAAAUCAUGCAGUUUAUGCAACCAUGCAACAACUAGUAGUUCAAUCGAUACUACUUUUAUUCCUGUUAUUCACAGUUCAACCAAUUGACUUCUAAGUUUUCCUCUAUCUUAGAUUCCUGUUAAUUACAAUUCUGCUCAUAGGUUUAACUGCUUUUAGAAGCUAUCCACAUCGACUCGGUCUUGAGUUAAUCAUGACGCGGAAUACCGCACAAAGUCAGGCUCAAGGUAAAGGAUGUCUGACAUGCACCUCAGCCCUAAAUCCACUCAACUGGGAUGCAACUAAAACUCAUAUGAUGCAUCAUAUAGUAAAAUGGUGCUAUCAUGCUAACAAGUUCGAUCCAUGUUCGAUAAGCAAUGUUCAAUGACCAUAUUGACUUUCCAUUUAUCCAAUCUAUGGCGAAACCCUUGGGCUCGCCUACAACUCACAUUUUCAUCCCGUAUUGGGCAAGGGAGCUCCAUAUGCCUCCAAACCCGGGACUGUCUGCGGACCUCCAUGUGGUCCUAAUCGCCCGACACUCCGGAGUACUCGACGACAAUCCUCUCCAUGUGAGGAUAUGGAUGGCUAUACCACGCCAAAUAACAGACCGUGAGCUUGAUCUAUCCUCUCCACGUGAGGAUACCCUACGAACUAGGACCAACAUCUCAAUCGAAACUCGUCUACAUCCUCUCCAUGUGAGGAUACCCUACGAACUAGGGCUAAUAAUGACUCGGGAAAUCCACUAGUCCCAACAGUAAUGUCACAAGUGUCUCUACUACACUUAUUCUCAAAACAUGUCAGAGUAUCUCUACUACACUAGUCCAAAUGCCACUCGAUCUACUUGACACUCUACUUGUGCACAUCAAGUAUUAUAAUUUUCAUGUUCUUGUUUUCCAAUGUCAAUUUAUCUAAUCGACCAAGUUCAACAUGCAUAAUUCAUCUACUAUGUUCCACAAUAUGGCAACAUGUAUAAUUCUUCCAUCAUAUGCAAUAUAUGUCAUCAUGUAUAUGUUUCUAUUUAACAUAAUCCACAAUAUGUUAAUUCACAAUAUGUCAUCAUGCAUAUAUAUUACUAGCAUCAUAUGAUAUGUCAACAUACAUAUAAUAAUCAUCCAAAGUAGUCUAUACUUAGCAUCUCAUGUAUUGUUUUAGCAUUUAAUGCAUUAUACAUUUCAUCUCAUUGGUAGGCAAUAUCAACUACAUAGUGUAACAUACCACAUCCCUCGUAAUCGUGCCGAGUUCCGUCGAGCGGAACGCGGAAUUGAACGAGUUAGAAUGGACCCUGAGCACAUUAGGGCUCAUAGGAGAAGCAAAAAGGGACCCGAUAGAGAGAAUCAGAAAAUCUGGUUAAGUCUCAGAUUUUGUGCUCUCGGGGACCGGUCCCUGAAGGAGAGACCGGUCCCCGUACGCGUAGCCUGCCAGGAAGUCCUGAGGCAACCGGUCCCUGGUGGUGAGACCGGUCCUCGGGAGACCGGUCCCUGAAGGGGCAGACCGGUCCCUCGCUGCGCAACAGCCCAAAAACCCAAAAUUUGGCUAAGUCCUGGAACACCCACGUUCGGGAACUGGUCCCUGGUCGGGGAGACUGGUCCCCGAAGGCGAAAAACGCCCAGUCUCGGCAGAUCAAGGGGAAACAUGUUGAGGGGUCUAAAUGCAAUUGUCACAACACUAUAUGUGGACACCCCUCUCUCUCCCACAGCCAUUUUCACCAUUCUCUCCCAUUUCCUUUCUUUCUCUUUCUAGAACUCUUGCUCUAGGGCUUGGAGAAGAAGAAGAAGAAGCAAGGGAAGGUGGAUUUGGAGGCUUUGGUGGGUUCUACAAGCUCUCCUACAAGCUACAAGCCUACAGAAGGACUUGGGGGGCUUGGGCGAAGGCGUGAGUUUUGGUAGAAAUGAGUCUAGGGCUUGGUUUAAUCCUAUGUUUUGGAGCUUUGGGUUGUUUUGGCCAUGGGAGCCUCUAUAUGCCUUGAACUCCAUGGAACCCAUGAGAUCAAGUGCUCUCAUGGUGUGGGUGGGGUUUGUCAUGGAAGCCUAGGGUUGGUUCAAGUCUAGAACCUUACUAGGAUGCUUCUUAGAGGAUCCUAAGCUAUUGUUUGCUUAAGGUUGGAUCGAUUCAUGGGAAACCCUAAAUGACAAUAUUAGGGCUUGAAUUUGGGCGCUUUUGCCCUAGGUUGGUUCGGGGACAAAUUGCACCCGUGGAACCUAAUUGGGGGUGCCCUAAACACGUUGGGCAACUCCGUUUAACAUUACGAAAAUGAUAGAGUAUAGUCCAUGUACAAAAGGCCUAAUAUGGCACCGUUUUGAUUAGGCGCGGAAGCGGCUUUCGUAAAAUCCGGGAGUCUCAUAAUACUUCACCCACAGCACAUUACUAGAGGUGGGGGUGCACGCGGAAUCGUUGGAUUCCCUUCUAUGUCUGUUUUCUCUACUCUUGAGAUAUAUGUAUAGAAUACCCAUUCAUGAUAGUAGGGUAGAUAAUGUGGAACUUGUUUGACUUCAUUUAUAUGUUUCUAACGUAGUUGAACAUAGGGACGAUAGAACCAAGAAGACAUGUGUGAUUGGAUCCUCAAGUUGUGUGAAUGUGAGGUUGGACUUUGGAAAUAGAAAAACAAGGGUGACAUUGACAUAGAAACAAGAUUGAUUGAGAAAUAAACGUUAACUCUACGUUUACCAAAUUAUGGCAUCAUCACGGAUAUGCCUUGAGAGUGCAAGAAUGAAUAGUAGAGACCUACCAUGACAUCGAUAUUGUGACAGUGCUAUGAAUCCUACAGUUGGGGAUUAGAUCGAUCUCACAUAACGUCUUGGCUUGAGGAAGUGUCUCCCCUCGAGCGUGCGCUCCGAGUUGGUCACCACUGGGCGAGGUAAAGUCCCACCAGUUGACGGUCCUAGGAGCUUGAGUCCCCCAAUUAUUAAGGGGGUUGUGAGUUAUUGGGGUUAACAGAGUUAACCGGUAAGAUUGGGUAAGAGCCAAAGCUUGAUUAUGAUUGGAGCAUGCAUGCAUUUCCAUUUUUGCAUUGAAAUUAUAUAUCUACUGACUUCCUUCUUGCAGGCAUAGUAUUAGUUGCAUUAGUAGUGGUUACUUUUCCUCCUUUGAAAUACUUAUGCCUGGAUGGACCUAGUGGGUAAGUCGGCGAGGUCGGAUGCCGAGCCCACUGGGAACUUCGUUGUAGUUCUCACACCACUAACCCUACAGGUCCUAGCACGAGCGGGGCGGCGGAGGACCGAGGCAAGGGUUUAGCGCUGUAGGUAGCGGCCACCGGAGUAGCAUUACAUUUUGUAGUCAUUACCCUUUUGGUGUACAUGUAGCAGCUUUAUUUUGUUGAAUUAGAGAUGUAAAGUUGUAAACAAUCAUGUAUUUGGUGGAUGACUAAAUGUAAAAAGAUAUGAUGGUUGAAUGGAAUGUAAUAGUUUUGUUUACUCGAAUUUGGUUUAAAUGAAAUCAAAUAUCAUGUGUGAUGUAUAUUUAGCUUAGAGCUUUCGCUUCCGUGGUUGCUUGCCCUCGCGCAAGCCUUGUAUUUUAUAUGCAAUUCUCUUGUUGAUUGCCUAUUUAUACAUGUUGUUAGAGCCUUGGGCGGACAGGGGAGGCUCUGUCCGUUCGGCGUCUGUUGACGUGACCCGAACCCGACCAAAUUGGCGGGGAUUGGGGCGUGACACAUAGUAUGUUUCAAGCAUUCAUAUUAUCAUGUAAGCCUACCAAUACAACUAUAUGCAUCAAUUAGAAAACCAUUAUUCUUAGACAUAUAGGCGACUUAGUCGCUUCGGUGAGCACAACCCACCUCAAAUCGCUUUCCGAUUGCUUGUCAACACUUGCAAUCGGCCUCCCGCGGCACCCAUGUCCAGUUCGGCCCGAUUUUGCUAAUACUCACCAACCGUGCGUCGAAUCGCGGCUCCGAAAAUUAUAGGUCUUCGGUUAUGUGCCACGAUGCUCCAAAUCCAUUUUCAUGAUUUUACGAUGUCGCCUCGGCCCUCCAGGCGGAAACGAAGCCUAAUGUCCGUUUCUUUAAUAACUUCACAAUGGCUCGACGAAUCGCCAAACCGACUUCGCCAACACGUUCGUUUACCUAGCAAUUAGAUUUACGGAGGGUCAAAUUAGAUCAAACCCAUACGUUUUACAAAACUCCAAUUUUGAAGCCCUAGAUGCCAUUAUAGCUAAAUCCAUUAUUUAACUUCAUGAAUCAAGCAAUAAACCUCUAAUUAGCAUCUAAGUAUUCUACUAAAUCCAUCUCUAGAGCAUAUAAAGCUAAUCCUAGAGAUCUACCAUGAGAGGGCUCAAGAAGCUCACCUCAAAGCUUGCUCCAAACCAUGGAGAAGAUGAAGAAGAUGAAGAUGAUUCACUUCCAAGCUUCAAUCUCUACCAAAUCCACCAAUUUUGGGACAGGUUUAGAGAGAGAAAGGGAGGUUUCUCUCUCUCCCUCUCCAUGCGUGUGUGAGUGUGUGUGUGUGUGGGUUGUGGCUGCACGGUUGAGGGGAAGAAGGAGACAAGUGGCCAAAUUCACAAGAACGCCUUGCACCUAUUAGAAAUUACAUCUCCAGCUCAGUUUAGCAGUUCGGAGUCGUUGGAGCCCUUCUGAACGUCCGUUUGCGCUCAAAUUUGACAGGCAGGCUUGGUUUAACGUACUGAGUAAGAAUAUAUCUUAAGUUUUCAGUUUCGACCACGUUUGGUCACCGAAAGCUCUACGGAACUGUAAUCUUUAUCAGAUAGCUGUCGGAUUUUAUUUUUCACUUUCCGGGUGUCAGAAUGGCAUGAAACUUUAAAUCUAGCCUCAUAAAAAUAAUUCUGACAUAUCUUCCAGUUUUCAUUAUUUUCUGACAUUGUGCAUUUUCUGCUAAUUUAUUUGUCCCGUUUCUCACAGAAAAUUCUAAAUCUUCUGUUUUCGCUCCGAUUUCAGCACAGGUCAUUCCCAACCUAUAUUUCACCUCUUUAAAUCCAAUAAAAAUAGUAUCUCAUACUAUUUUUAUUUAUUUCUAUUUUUAUAUUUAAAAUUCGGUAUAUUACAUUCCACCGCAACCUCACCGGAACUAUUCAAAUGGCUUUCCAACCAAAUGUACACCGUAACUUCAUAAUUUUAGAAGUCCGGUACCUUACAUCCUCCCCUCCUUAAAAGAGUUUCGUCCUCGAAACUAUCUCACUUCAAUUCCAAUGCAUACCCCAUCUCAACUUAUCAAAUAGUCGAGGGUUCCAAUACACUUUCGCAUCUCGGAGUGGCCUUUCACUUAUCGGAACUAUCCAAAGGCUCACUACGAAGGAUGUAAGACUAGAUUCACUCACAUUUGCCACGUGCAGCUCCAAAAGUGCAUUACCACCAUGCAAAGAACUACUCUUGCAUUAUACACCCAAUCGAAAAAUUUCACUCCGAUUCGAUCACCUGCAUUGCUUAGAAGCAAUAUCGUUGGUGACUCGACCAAUAGCGAGUGGUUCAUCACAACCGCAUCCUUACUCUAUCACGAGAUGGCCCACUCCGGCACAUCUCUAAUCUCAAUCCACAAAAGAGCAUUGUCCUCAAGCUCCAAUUCCCACAUGGCUAUCCACAUCUCAAUGUCGCACAAGAGCACUUCGCCCUUGAUAUCAUAAGCCACGACCAACUCUACUUCGCUCUUGCGACAAAUCCACACUAACCCUCCGUUCGUGAAUCCAAGCCAAACUCACUAAUAGAGUUAUCGGCUAAACCAAUUACGUCGGUUUCCACACGUGGACCAACGGUCACCCGUCCUACGUAGGUCUACCGCCUAAACAUCUUACAACUACACAUAGCGUCCCUCGCUCACCAGCGUAGACCCAAUCAUAAUCGGGCGAAAUUCUUAUUCGAGAAUUCGCACACACUCCAACAAGGAGCAACCGUGACCCCAAACCACCUCAAAUCCUCGGGUUGGGUCACUACACACUCGGUGUAUCCUCGAUCUCAUGAUCCAACACGUGGCAUUCCACGCUCCCGGGUCUAAGCUCGGACUACCGUCCUGACCAAAUCUCUGCCCUACCCGUAGGUACCGGGCCGCUGUCUCUCACAUCUGACUGCGCCUGCCCAAAGGGCCCAGGCUCCACAGUCCACAAAUGGUCCAGGCACGGGUCGUCCCCAAGCACUACCCGCCGUCGUCGUACUACACGACAUACUCUAUUGAGCUAUAAGUACACUAUCGGCUCUUAAGCACCUAGUGCGAGCCACCAGCCCUACGAGUGAUCCAUGGCCCGCUUCACACUUAGCAAUGCUGAGUGCUACUGCCAACUUACUCUCCCGGCUGAAUCGAAAUCGAACUCUAUGAGUACCCACACUCGAGCGCUCUAUACGCCUCUAUAGCGUCCCACACUAAGUCCAGCAUCAGGCAACCGUGCCUAUGCACACUGACCGCACGAGCACUACUCACCUACCUCAAUUCGAGGUACUACUAGGCCAACGUGCCCAUAUUCGGCAACCAACCGGCUACUCUCUUAACAGUGAUUCUACUCUCACCGUUCAAUCUUCCGGAUCCAUAUCCAAAAUACUCGAACUACUCGGGUAUCCUCAACGUCAUGGUGCAACUCUCGCAAUCGGCUACUCACCCUGCCUUGAGAGCCGCUCCACCGUUCACAUUCACCAUGAGUCCCAUUCCUUGUCCAGGAACCAUUACUAGCCACUUGCUAGUGCCACUUGGCUCUCUACCUGCUCCAGCAGGUGUCACAUUCCCACAAUGCAAGCAUGCCCGGGUAUCUACACUUGCCCGUCCACUGGUCUCUACUAUACUGAUGAAUAAUUAGUAGCAAUUGACCAUUCAAUGAAUGCAUGCAAUGUAUCGACUUAAAAUCAUGCAAAAGCAUAUGCUUGCCUCAGCCAAAUCAUACCUGCUACGUCCUUGCCAGUAGCAGCAGGUUUCUCAACCUGGGUCGCCUACUCAUGACCACUUGGUGCCCACUGCGAACCCUCCGGUUGCCACAUUCUCAUCACGAAGCGUACAUCGCCAUGCCUAGUGAGGACUUCUGCAAUCCCACAUCCCAGAGAAGCCAAAUAAAGGACACUUUCGGGGUUUGGGAUUGCGACUGCAACUUUAAGGAUGUGCACUGCCCAAACUGGGCAAUUUUUGGGUACGGGAACCGGUAUCUCCCUGAAGGGACCGGUCCCCGAGAGCAAGAUUUCUCAAAAUUAGCUCCUUUUUGCCCUUUCACGCGUACGGGGACCGGUCUCUCCCCAAGGGACUGGUCCUCAAGAGCUAAAACUACAUUUUGCAGUUUUUCUCCCAACUUGCUCUCGGAGGCCGCCAACAAUGCACUUCUUGCAUUUUUGACCUCUUCGGCCUCACCGAAGCAUACCAACACGACCCCUGGUCGGUUCUACACGAAGUCCAAUCCUCGUAUUUCAAGAAUUCACUUCCUUACGUGCACAACCUCGACCACGUCCGGCCAAGGUCUCUGCAGAGGCAUUACCCCGCCACUCACACGAGAGUGGCCAAUCAUUCGCGAAGUCCCAAGUCUCCGCUCAUUUCGGAUUGCUUAGGGACACCACUCGUCCCAUCCCGCACUGAUCUAGAUGAAGAUCGCCUACGCGGUGCGAUCGCUUCCUAAGGCACGACAACUCGGUCGAUUCUCGACCCUCAAGGUCGAGCGCGAAACAACUGACACCGACUCGAAUCGGGCGAAAGUCAUGCAAGGGUGUCUAUUCUCAUCACUCGGUUUCAUGUUGUGUAUACCCAACAUGAACAUCCUCGGUUGAGAAUAAACCACACCUCGAGUCUACCUCUAAUAUCCGUUUUAGAGGUUUACUAACCUGACCCAAUCGAUCAAUCUUUCGCCAUAAGUCACAAGUCCUCGUCUCUCACGAGACUUAUUCUCCUAUGGUUUACUAUCCUAGGGUCUCCUAGGUCCGCCUAAACCAUUUCCCAUUCUCUACUUUAUGCUCUGAUACGACCUUAUCUGUCACGCCCCGACACCGGCCUAUUUGGUCAGGUUCGGGCACGCCGACAGACCGCCGAACGGACAGAGUCUCCCUUGUACGUCCUAGGCGUCACAAUCAAUACAAGUACAAGAAGUUCCAACCAGGAACAGUAUUCAAGCAAGAUUGCAUGAGGAAGGUAUCAAACAACAUAACACAUCCUAUGUUAUUACAAGCAUUCCCCUUUAGAUUCAUUUUUACAUCACAUUUGCAUUAUUACGUUACAUUUUCUUCCAAAUACAAUUAAUGAUCGCAAUAUUAUUACAAGUUUGCUCUUUUUUUCUUUUCCCUCUACCCCUAGGCUAUGCCGACUCGGGGUACCUCUAUCUCUGGUCUCUGGAGUAGGGCGCUAUCUAUGGAGCUACGCCCUCGCCUUGCACCGCUGCACCGCUCACGUGCGAACCUGCAACACCCCAAAACAACGUGGGGUGAGAACCAACUCCAUAGUUCCCAGUGGGUACGGCCACCCAAGAGAAGAGCUCGACCAAUAGGUCUAAGGAGGCCCUGCAACAUGUUAGUCCAAUAGAUAUCCAAUAGAUAUAUAUAUAUAUAUAUAUAUAUUCAAGUAUUGAAAUACAUGUUGUGCCUCACAAUAUGCAAUAUGAAAUUCAUGCAGUUUAGGCAACCAUGCAACCAACUAGUAGUUCAAUCGAUACUACUUUUAUUCAUGUUAUUCACAGUUCAACCAAUUGACAUCUAAGUUUUCCUCUAUCUUAGAUUCCUGUCAAUUACAGUUCUCCUCAUAGGGUUUAACCUGCUUGUAUAAGCUAUCCACUCGACUUGGUCUUGAGUCAAUCAUACGCGGAAUACCGCACAAAGCCAGGCUCAAGGUGAAGGAUGUCUCACAUACAUCUCAGCCUUAAAUCCACUCAACUGGGAUGCAACUAAAACUCAUAUGAUGCAUCAUAUAGUAAAAUGGUGCUAUCAUGCUAACAAGUUCGAUCCAUGUUCGAUAAGCAAUGUUCAAUGACCAUAUUGACUUUCCAUUUACCCAAUCUGUGGCGAAACCCUUGGGCUCGCCUACAACUCACAUUUCCAUCCCGUAUUGGGCAAGGGAGCUCCAUGUGCCCUCAAACCCGGGACUGUCUGCGGACCUCCAUGUGGUCCCAAUCGCCCGACACUCUGGAGUACUCGACGACAUCUCAAUCUCCACGUGAGGAUACCCUACGAACUAGGGCCAACAUCUCAAUCGAAACUCGUCUACAUCCUCUCCAUGUGAGGAUACUCUACGAACUAGGACUAACAAUGACUCGGGAAAUCCACUAGUCCCAACAAUAAUGUCACAAGUGUCUCUACUACACUUAUUCUCAAAACAUAUCAUAGUGUCUCUACUACACUAGUCCAAAUGCCACUCGAUCUACUUGACACUCUACUUGUGCACAUCGAGUAUUAUAAUUUUCAUGUUCUUGUUUUCCAAUGUCAAUUUCUCUAAUCGACCAAGUUCAACAUGCAUAAUUCAUCUACUAUGUUCCACAAUAUGGCAACAUGUAUAAUUCUUCUAUUAUAUGCAAUAUAUGUUAUCAUGUAUAUGUUUCUAUUUAACAUAAUCCACAAUAUGUUAAUUCAUAAUAUGUUAAUUCACAAUAUGUCAUCAUGCACAUAUAUUACUAGCAUCACAUGAUAUGUCAACAUACAUAUAAUCAUCAUCCAAAGUAGUCUAUACUUAGCAUCUCAUGCAUUCUUUUAGCUUUUAAUUCAUUAUACAUUUCAUCUCAUUGGUAGGUAAUAUCAACUACAUAGUAUGUUUCAAGCAUUCAUAUUAUCAUGUAAGCCUACCAAUAGCCUAGCUCCGAUUCUACCCCUACCACUAUAAAACCCGUCAAUACACCGCCACUUCUCCUUCCUCCCCUUCGCCGAAGCUCCGAGCGAGUCGCCGAAUUUCGCUUCGCAUUCUAUCUCUCUCUCUCUCUCUCUCUCUACCCCUCUCUCGUUGCACCCUUGCACCUCCUAUCUCGCCGUCGAUGAGAGCGGUGAGAGGAGUGGUGGCGCCGUCGAAGCUCGCGUCGCUUGCCGAGGCGGCGUCCUUCGCCGCCGCCGGCGAGAAGGCACACCCCAACAUCGUCGCCUACAUCCGCCGCUUCAGAUCCGCCCUGGAUGAGCUUGUGCGCCUCCACCGCGAGAUCGAUCCUGACGGGGGUGGCGAAGUGGAAAACCUAGUGGCGUGGUCAAGGGAGAGGUUGGGGAUAUGGGCGCUAGGGUUUUGGGGUUGGUGGAGACGAGGGGGAUGAGGAAGAAAAAAAAAAGCAGAAGAGAGAGAAGGUGGAUGGGGAAAGGAGCGGUUUCGAUGGUGGUGGGGGCGAUGGGGAUUUGGGGGAUGCGGGGAGAAAGAGGAAGAAGAAGAAGAGGAAGAGAUAGGGAAAGAUGAACUUCAUGGGCUUUUUGGAUUAGGAUCUACGUCCCGCCUGUCGAAGCUACAUUAACUAUCACUACGCUGGGCCGUCAGUGGAGAGCGAGUCCAAUCAGGACACAACGACAAUAACGCAAAAGCACAAAAUCCGACUCCGGAGUGGCACUCGUGGGCGCUACACAACCGAAUAUGAAAGCGUAUGUCACGCCCCGGGACCGAGCGGAAGCCCGCCCGGCGCGUGCCCAGACCCGCCAUAUGUCUAAAAUGUAAAAGGCGUCUACAACAAAGCGAUAAAUAAAGCAAUAAUAAAAUAACAUUUAGGAGUAUCAGAGCAUAGUAUAUCUAGAUUUCUAUAACAAGAAAAGGUGAGAGAAGCCAAAACCACUAAAAGGAAACAUAAAGUAAUACAACAAAAAUCCCAGUACAAGUGCUAUAAGUGGUACAAUGGUGGUCUCUAUACACGGUAACAAAACUCUCUCUCACCAAAAACACAAAAAGGAGAGUUGACCACCUAGGAGCAAAAGCAAGCUCCGCGCUAACUAGCUAAGCGACGCCCUUGCCGCGAUCCCAUGCCUCCGCCGACGCCGAAGGCUCUGAAAUAAAACUAUAAAACAGGGGGCGUGAGAACUAUUUUUAUUAAUAGUUCCCAAUGGGCAAUUACUGACUUCAGUGAAAUGCGCCACUAGGCCCAAAAGCUACAAAAAGGGGUAAGUACGAGUAUAAGCAAAAGUGAUAUAUACGACAAGUAAAUAAACAUAAGUACUUGCUACUACAUGAUGUCUCUACUUAGCAUGGAAUUUGCAUAAGAAAGUUAUACUAUCAUGAAAAUGCACGAGUAUACAACCAUCAUAAUAUCCACAAUGUAAUAGUAAAAUGUCAUUGUUUACUAUUCUAGUCAAUGUUCACUUGGCAUGUUAACUACUUAAAGUUAAAUCUUGGGAGACCCGCCCGAAGGCUGUCUUGCCUGUAGACCCACCCAUAGGCUGUCUUACCGGUGCCGAGCCUAAUGGCCUCGUAGUAGUCAAUAUCCCCACUCUAGGAAUGAGCCUUGCCCACGGCAAUCCACUUCGGCGCCCAAUCCCGCACGGCGAAUAUGUAUCGCGAUAGCCAUCUCCGGAGUGCUGGCUUGUAGGGAGCGACUCUCACAAGCGUGUGCGAAUGAGCACAAUGGCAGCAAGCGUAAGAUCCGUCUCAAGUCUCAAAUCAUCAUGUCUAAAAUAUGGAAUAUAACAUAUGUCUCAAGGACCUAUCUCUAUGUCAUCAUGUCUAAAACAUGGAAUAUAGUAUAUAUCAAUGGCCUAUCACUAUGUCUCUAUAUUGCAGUUUUCCAGUUUGCUAGUUCAUGUGCCCCUUCAUGACACUUUUGUUCACUAAGUCAAAGCAUGAUAAUUAUAUUUAUGAAUACAUAAUUCUAUUCAUUUCCCUCGCACGAGGCAUGUAAUCAACUCGCAAGGAUAAACACUUCCACAUGCAUGCAGCCUACACAUAUAGCUCCACUAUAUAGAGUGUAAUUUUUAUUAUACAUAACACAUGCAUUUUAAGUAUUCUAAAAUUCACAUAAAUCCCAUUUAGCAUAAAUAUGCAAUCAAAUUGACGUUACGACAAGUAUAAUAUACAUAGGGGCCAUUUUGCCCCGAUUUCAUGAAGUCAAACCCACCAAAACUCUUGCGACCCUUCGUUUGCUCUGACGAAGGUGCCCACUAGUCUCCUAGCACCCUAAAGAUGUAGGAACCAGAGUUAAACGAACCUUACGAACAUCUCAAAACUCAAACAUUAACCAACUCUAGCUAAGGUGGAGAAAACUCACCUAUAGCCUAGGAAUCCUCUAAGAAAUCCCAAAUGGAAGUCAAAUCCCUUCCAAAGCAACCUAUACUAAGGUUCUAAGCCAAUCAAUCAGGUUUCAAAGCCCUCAAAUCAAAAAUCUCCAAUUCUAACCCUAAAAUCGAAAUCUAGGGUUUCAUUUGGUAAAACCUACCAAAACAUGCUCCAAAGAGUAGAUUAAGCAUACUAACCUUGUAAGGUACCAGGCUUCUAAAAUCAUGAAGUUACGGUGUACAUUUGGUUGGAGAGCCAUUAGAAUGGUUUCGAUGAAGUUCGGUGAAAUUCGGGAGCAUUCGGGCGUUUCGAUGCGCGUAGGCGCAAAAAGGGGACCCGAAAGGCUAUGUUGGACCAUGAUCUAAAUCUGGCAUUAGCGCGAAUGAAAAGAUGAUAAAAAUACACUCGCAAACAUGUGUGGAGAGUCUCGGUUCGAUUUGAAACGAAUCGGAGACUCACGGAGCGAAAACGAGCGAAAACGGACCAAAAUUGGCGAAAAGGCUGAAAGUUUGGCUAAGUCUGAAAAUGCUGAUUUUCUGGACCUACGGGGUCCGGACCCUGGCUUCAGGAUCCGGACCCUGAGCCCGAAAAAUGCCCAGUUUGAGCAGGGGCAAUCUUGUAAAUUGGUGGGAUUGCUUCUAGAAGAAGGGCUUUAACCCUUCUUCUUCCUUUCUCAACCCAAACGCACACACACACACACAUGAGCUAGAGAGAGGCGCUCCCCUCUCUCUCUAGAUUUCUCCUCCAUCUCUCUAGAUCUGUAAUAUACCGAAAAUUCGGGAAAUAAAUAUCGAACUUUAGUCAAAUUGACUAAAGUGCGAGGAUGGUACACUUCGGAAAGUUCGAAGGUGUUGAAAUGAUUAAAAGCGAGUUACGGGAGGUUUUCGAGAGCUAUAGAAUCAAAAUCUGCAUUCAGCAAUUUUGAGCUCUCGGGGACCGGUCCCUGGUGGGAGAGACCGGUCCCCGAACGCGUAUGAAUUGAGACAGCCGAAAAAUCGGCUAAGUCCUGAGAAACCAGCUCUCGGGAACCGGUCCCUGCCUGAGAGACCGGUCCCCGAGAGACCGGUCCCCCAAAGAGAGACCGGUUGCCCUGCGCGCAGCAGCUCUGGUUGCGCGGGGAGAGCCUUCGGGAACCGGUCCCUGAAGCAGAGACCGGUCCCCGGUUGCGCGAACUGCCCAGUUCGGGCUGUGUAAUGAGAUAAAAGCUGAGGGACUUAUCUGCGAAAAUGCGUUAUGUGGGUCAUGUUUAGGGCUGAGAGAGCCUCUGCCUCUCAUUCCCUCACACCCAAACUCAUCCCUCUCCCUCUCUCUCUCUAAAAGACAAAGAAGGAGAAGAAGAAGACAAGGAAAGAGAGGAAAAGAAGGAGAAGAAAAAGGAGAAGAAGAAGAGGAAGUGAUGAAACUCCCUCUCCCUCAUCUCUAGCUUGGAAAAGGAGAGCUUACAAGGUAAGCUUUGAACCCUAAUUAUGGUAGAACCUAAUUUAGGAUUUGGAUUAAGCUUAAAAUGAGUUUUAUGGAACCAUUUGAGUAUUUGAAGCUUUUCUUUUGCUUCUUUUGAGAUCAAGACCAUAGAAAUGGUGAAGCUUGAGGUGAGCUUCAUCACCUCUCAUGGUGAAACCCUAAGUAGGGUUUUGAUUUGUCUAAAGAUGGUUCUAAUNNNNNNNNNNNNNNNNNNNNNNNNNNNNNNNNNNNNNNNNNNNNNNNNNNNNNNNNNNNNNNNNNNNNNNNNNNNNNNNNNNNNNNNNNNNNNNNNNNNNNNNNNNNNNNNNNNNNNNNNNNNNNNNNNNNNNNNNNNNNNNNNNNNNNNNNNNNNNNNNNNNNNNNNNNNNNNNNNNNNNNNNNNNNNNNNNNNNNNNNNNNNNNNNNNNNNNNNNNNNNNNNNNNNNNNNNNNNNNNNNNNNNNNNNNNNNNNNNNNNNNNNNNNNNNNNNNNNNNNNNNNNNNNNNNNNNNNNNNNNNNNNNNNNNNNNNNNNNNNNNNNNNNNNNNNNNNNNNNNNNNNNNNNNNNNNNNNNNNNNNNNNNNNNNNNNNNNNNNNNNNNNNNNNNNNNNNNNNNNNNNNNNNNNNNNNNNNNNNNNNNNNNNNNNNNNNNNNNNNNNNNNNNNNNNNNNNNNNNNNNNNNNNNNNNNNNNNNNNNNNNNNNNNNNNNNNNNNNNNNNNNNNNNNNNNNNNNNNNNNNNNNNNNNNNNNNNNNNNNNNNNNNNNNNNNNNNNNNNNNNNNNNNNNNNNNNNNNNNNNNNNNNNNNNNNNNNNNNNNNNNNNNNNNNNNNNNNNNNNNNNNNNNNNNNNNNNNNNNNNNNNNNNNNNNNNNNNNNNNNNNNNNNNNNNNNNNNNNNNNNNNNNNNNNNNNNNNNNNNNNNNNNNNNNNNNNNNNNNNNNNNNNNNNNNNNNNNNNNNNNNNNNNNNNNNNNNNNNNNNNNNNNNNNNNNNNNNNNNNNNNNNNNNNNNNNNNNNNNNNNNNNNNNNNNNNNNNNNNNNNNNNNNNNNNNNNNNNNNNNNNNNNNNNNNNNNNNNNNNNNNNNNNNNNNNNNNNNNNNNNNNNNNNNNNNNNNNNNNNNNNNNNNNNNNNNNNNNNNNNNNNNNNNNNNNNNNNNNNNNNNNNNNNNNNNNNNNNNNNNNNNNNNNNNNNNNNNNNNNNNNNNNNNNNNNNNNNNNNNNNNNNNNNNNNNNNNNNNNNNNNNNNNNNNNNNNNNNNNNNNNNNNNNNNNNNNNNNNNNNNNNNNNNNNNNNNNNNNNNNNNNNNNNNNNNNNNNNNNNNNNNNNNNNNNNNNNNNNNNNNNNNNNNNNNNNNNNNNNNNNNNNNNNNNNNNNNNNNNNNNNNNNNNNNNNNNNNNNNNNNNNNNNNNNNNNNNNNNNNNNNNNNNNNNNNNNNNNNNNNNNNNNNNNNNNNNNNNNNNNNNNNNNNNNNNNNNNNNNNNNNNNNNNNNNNNNNNNNNNNNNNNNNNNNNNNNNNNNNNNNNNNNNNNNNNNNNNNNNNNNNNNNNNNNNNNNNNNNNNNNNNNNNNNNNNNNNNNNNNNNNNNNNNNNNNNNNNNNNNNNNNNNNNNNNNNNNNNNNNNNNNNNNNNNNNNNNNNNNNNNNNNNNNNNNNNNNNNNNNNNNNNNNNNNNNNNNNNNNNNNNNNNNNNNNNNNNNNNNNNNNNNNNNNNNNNNNNNNNNNNNNNNNNNNNNNNNNNNNNNNNNNNNNNNNNNNNNNNNNNNNNNNNNNNNNNNNNNNNNNNNNNNNNNNNNNNNNNNNNNNNNNNNNNNNNNNNNNNNNNNNNNNNNNNNNNNNNNNNNNNNNNNNNNNNNNNNNNNNNNNNNNNNNNNNNNNNNNNNNNNNNNNNNNNNNNNNNNNNNNNNNNNNNNNNNNNNNNNNNNNNNNNNNNNNNNNNNNNNNNNNNNNNNNNNNNNNNNNNNNNNNNNNNNNNNNNNNNNNNNNNNNNNNNNNNNNNNNNNNNNNNNNNNNNNNNNNNNNNNNNNNNNNNNNNNNNNNNNNNNNNNNNNNNNNNNNNNNNNNNNNNNNNNNNNNNNNNNNNNNNNNNNNNNNNNNNNNNNNNNNNNNNNNNNNNNNNNNNNNNNNNNNNNNNNNNNNNNNNNNNNNNNNNNNNNNNNNNNNNNNNNNNNNNNNNNNNNNNNNNNNNNNNNNNNNNNNNNNNNNNNNNNNNNNNNNNNNNNNNNNNNNNNNNNNNNNNNNNNNNNNNNNNNNNNNNNNNNNNNNNNNNNNNNNNNNNNNNNNNNNNNNNNNNNNNNNNNNNNNNNNNNNNNNNNNNNNNNNNNNNNNNNNNNNNNNNNNNNNNNNNNNNNNNNNNNNNNNNNNNNNNNNNNNNNNNNNNNNNNNNNNNNNNNNNNNNNNNNNNNNNNNNNNNNNNNNNNNNNNNNNNNNNNNNNNNNNNNNNNNNNNNNNNNNNNNNNNNNNNNNNNNNNNNNNNNNNNNNNNNNNNNNNNNNNNNNNNNNNNNNNNNNNNNNNNNNNNNNNNNNNNNNNNNNNNNNNNNNNNNNNNNNNNNNNNNNNNNNNNNNNNNNNNNNNNNNNNNNNNNNNNNNNNNNNNNNNNNNNNNNNNNNNNNNNNNNNNNNNNNNNNNNNNNNNNNNNNNNNNNNNNNNNNNNNNNNNNNNNNNNNNNNNNNNNNNNNNNNNNNNNNNNNNNNNNNNNNNNNNNNNNNNNNNNNNNNNNNNNNNNNNNNNNNNNNNNNNNNNNNNNNNNNNNNNNNNNNNNNNNNNNNNNNNNNNNNNNNNNNNNNNNNNNNNNNNNNNNNNNNNNNNNNNNNNNNNNNNNNNNNNNNNNNNNNNNNNNNNNNNNNNNNNNNNNNNNNNNNNNNNNNNNNNNNNNNNNNNNNNNNNNNNNNNNNNNNNNNNNNNNNNNNNNNNNNNNNNNNNNNNNNNNNNNNNNNNNNNNNNNNNNNNNNNNNNNNNNNNNNNNNNNNNNNNNNNNNNNNNNNNNNNNNNNNNNNNNNNNNNNNNNNNNNNNNNNNNNNNNNNNNNNNNNNNNNNNNNNNNNNNNNNNNNNNNNNNNNNNNNNNNNNNNNNNNNNNNNNNNNNNNNNNNNNNNNNNNNNNNNNNNNNNNNNNNNNNNNNNNNNNNNNNNNNNNNNNNNNNNNNNNNNNNNNNNNNNNNNNNNNNNNNNNNNNNNNNNNNNNNNNNNNNNNNNNNNNNNNNNNNNNNNNNNNNNNNNNNNNNNNNNNNNNNNNNNNNNNNNNNNNNNNGGGAGCGGCGGCAGCAGCGGCUGUUCCAGUUACGGUAGUACCGGCCGGGUCGGGAACUUCGAAUCCCGAUAGCAUGGCAGUCGAUGCGGAGCGAGAGCGCACUUUGGCGGCUCUCAUACAAUUCAAGAAGUUCGACCCACCUACCUUCGAGGGCGGUUUGGUGGAGCCGGCGGUUGUGGAGUCGUGGAUCGACUCAAUGGAGACACUCUUCGAGGACCUAAAUACCUCGGAGAAAGACAAAGUGUACCUCGCCACCCAUUGUCUAGGGAAGGCGGCGAUGGUGUGGUGGAAACGAGUUAAGCGGGAUCGUCCUACCGAUCUCCCGCUCAUGCUUUGGCAAGAGUUCAAGAGAGCGGUGUUCGCGAACUACUUCUCCGACACGAUGAAGCGGAAGCUACAAGAAAAGUUCCGCAAGUUGAGACAGGGUGAUCGAUCGGUGGGGGAGUAUGAGCAGGAAUUCUCCUACAUUAUUGACUGUGUUCCCGACGUUGUUCGUGAUGAUCGGGACCGGGCGGAUUGGUUCUUGCGAGGACUCCAACCCCGGAUUUAUGAGAAAGUGCAUAUUUUGAAGUUGUCGACCUUUGCGGAGGUCUUUGAUCGAGCCUUGUGGGCGCAACACGGUAGCGCCCAUGUACGUGAAGAAAGGGAAGCUAUUGCCGAGUCGAAGGACAAGGGCAAGAAAAGAGCGACGGGCGGUGCCGGGGGCCGGCCAAAUGCUAAGAAACCCCCUCGGUAUCCCCGACAGCAGUCGAGUAACUGGAGACCACCUCGAUGUGUUAUUUGUGGUGGUGAGCACAAGGUGUCAACUUGCCCGCAGCACGAUGGCAAGUGUUUCAAGUGUGGCCAACCGGGACAUCUUAUCCGGGAGUGCCCGUCGUGGACGUCGUCUGCACCAAUGGCGGCUUCAACACCGUCUACCCCGAGAUAGCUUGCGGGGUUGCCACCGGCGAUGUCGGCUGGGCGCGCGUCAGCACCGAGUCAGCCGGAGGGGUCGAGAGCGCCUAGCGGCCGAGUUUUUGCCGCUCAGGUGGAGGAGCAGCAACCUGCAGCACCCGACGACGUCGUGGCAGGUAUAAUUGUGAUUAAAGGCACUAGAGCUAGAGCAUUGUUCGAUACUGGUGCAUCACGUUCAUUUAUAGGCUCAAAGUUUGCAAGGGCACAUGGCAUAGAAAUAACGCAUAACGAGGACUACUGGUGGGUGAAUGGUCCCGAGCACUCGUUUCGUGUUUAUGAUGAGUGCUUGGAGGUUCCGGUGCAAAUCGGCGAUUGGAUUAUGCCAAUAAACCUGCUGGUGCUAGACCGGAUGUGGGGCUUUGAUGUUAUUUUGGGAACCAAUUGGCUCUCCAAAUAUUAUGCGGUCAUAGACUGUGAAAGCAGGGUUAUCACUUUUCGUGAGCCUAACCAAGAAGAGUUCGUGUACCGGGCGUGCAGAGGUGCGCGUUUCGCGGCGACUAUAUUGUCGGUGAGGGCCAAGAGAAUGAUUAAAGGAGGAUGUAAGGCCUAUUUGGCAACCAUGGUUGAUGGCCGUGGGGAGCACCCAGACCUUGGAAGUAUCCGAGUUGCGUGUGAGUUUCCGGAUGUGUUUCCGGCGGAGUUACCGGGAUUGCCACCGGACCGGGAAGUUGAGUUCGUUAUUGACUUGAUUCCCGGGGCGGAACCAGUUUCGAAGGCUCCGUACAGAAUGGCACCGGUGGAGCUAAAGGAGUUGAAAGGCCAACUGCAGGACUUGCUCGAUAAAGGCUUUGUGAGGCCGAGCAUGUCACCGUGGGGAGCUCCGGUGCUAUUUGUGAAGAAGAAAGACGGAACACUUUGACUCUGCGUAGACUAUCGCGAGUUGAAUAAAGUAACGAUAAAGAACAAGUACCCGUUGCCAAGGAUUGACGAUCUAUUCGAUCAGUUGCAAGGGUCCAGAGUGUAUUCAAAGAUUGAUCUCCAGUCGGGGUAUCAUCAACUAAAGAUAAGGCCGAAAGACAUGCACAAAACGGCGUACCGUACGCGGUAUGGCCAUUAUGAAUUUACGGUAAUGCCGUUUGGGCUUACUAAUGCCCCGGCAGCGUUUAUGGACUUGAUGAAUCGAGUCUUCAGACCAUUGUUGGAUCGAUGCGUCGUGGUGUUUAUAAACGACGUAUUGGUCUAUUCGAAGAGCGAAGAGGAGCACGAAGAGCAUCUGAGAGCUGUGUUGCAAAUACUCAGAGAGGAGAGGCUCUAUGCGAAGUUAAAGAAGUGUGACUUUUGGCUAAAAGAAGUCACAUUCUUGGGCCAUGUGGUGUCGGGCGACGGAGUGUCCGUAGACCCGAAGAAAGUGGAGGCGAUCAAGGAUUGGCCUCGCCCGACGAAUAUAGCGGAGGUCCGCAGUUUUCUUGGACUUGCGGGCUACUACCGGCGGUUCGUGGAGGGGUUUGCCAAAAUAACCACUCCACUAACGCGCCUUACGCAUAAAGGAGUAAAGUAUGUUUGGAGCGACGAUUGUGAUCGGAGCUUCGAGGAGUUAAAGAAUAGAUUGACGUCGACCCCGGUGCUUGCCUUGCCGACUCCGGGGGAGACUUUUGUAGUGUAUAGUGAUGCCUCGUAUGUUGGUCUCGGGUGUGUGUUAAUGCAAAAUGGGCGAGUCAUUGCUUAUGCAUCGCGCCAAUUAAAGAGUUAUGAGAAGAACUACUCGAUUCACGACCUUGAGUUAGCCGCGGUGAUUUUCGCACUGAAGCUUUGGAGGCAUUACUUAUAUGGUGAACAUUGUGAGGUAUACACCGAUCACAAGAGUCUAAAGUACUUGUUCACCCAGAAAGAGUUGAACAUGCGACAGCGGCGGUGGUUAGAGUUGCUAAAGGACUAUGAUGUCACUAUAUUAUACCACCCCGGAAAAGCCAAUGUUGUGGCCGAUGCCUUGAGUAGAAAAUCGGCGGAGAACUUAGCGACGGCAAUUACGCCUCAACCGCUAUUGCAAAAGGAAAUGCAACGAUUCGGGUUGGAAGUGGUAGCGCCGGGAGUGCCGGCUACACUUGCCACAUUGGUUGUGCAACCGACCCUAUUGGAAAGAAUCAAAGAGUUACAAGCUUCGGAUCCUUAUCUCCAAAAGGUUCGGGGUGAUGUUGAGAAUGGCAAUGCCGAAGACUUUGGCAUUGGAGCUGAUGGCGCACUUCGAUUUCGAAAUCGAUGGUGUGUGCCUAAAGAUGAUGAGUUGCGAAGGGCGAUCAUGCAAGAAGCGCAUCAAUCUCCCUAUAGUAUACACCCCGGCGGCACUAAAAUGUACAAGGAUUUGAAAGAGCACUAUUGGUGGCCGGGUAUGAAAAGAGAUAUUGGGGAGUUCGUGGCGCAAUGUCUAACGUGCCAACAAGUAAAAGCUGAGCGCCGAUUUCCGGCGGGAAAGCUACAAAGUCUACCAAUACCCGUUUGGAAAUGGGAAGAUAUAGCAAUGGACUUUGUUACCGGUUUGCCUCGAUCACAAGGCGGACACGAUGCGAUAUGGGUGAUAGUGGAUCGAUUGACAAAGUCGGCACACUUCUUGCCGAUACAUACUACGUGGUCGGGAGACAAGCUAGCGCAAGUUUAUCUCGACGAGGUUGUGAGACUUCAUGGGGUUCCAGUGUCGAUCGUGUCGGAUCGCGACCCCAGGUUCACAUCCCACUUUUGGAAGAGUUUGCAAGACGCGCUAGGCACACGGCUCGACUUCAGUACAGCGUUUCAUCCUCAAAGUGAUGGACAGUCGGAGCGAACAAUACAAAUCCUUGAGGAUUUACUUCGAGCGUGUGUGCUAGAUUAUAAAGGAGGAUGGCAUGAUUUCUUGCCUAUGGCGGAGUUCGCCUACAAUAAUAGCUACCAAGAAAGUAUAGCGAUGGCGCCUUUUGAGGCACUAUAUGGUCGAAAGUGUCGUUCUCCUAUCCAUUGGAGCGACGUGGGCGAGAGAACGGCUCUUGGCCCGGAUGUAGUGCGGGAGGCGGAAGAGAAAGUUCGCCUUGCCCGUCAACGGUUAGCGAUGGCGCAAUCUCGGCAAAAGAGUUAUGCCGACAAGCGAAGAAAGGAUUUAGAGUUUGCGGUUGGAGACCGUGUAUUCUUGAGAGUAUCGCCAAUGCGAGGAGUUAAGCGAUUUGGGGUCCGUGGGAAAUUAAGUCCCCGAUAUGUCGGACCAUUUGAGAUAUUGGAGCGUGUGGGUGCGGUGGCAUACAAGCUCGCACUACCACCGAGACUCGCGGGAGUUCACAAUGUAUUUCAUGUGUCAAAUCUUCGAAAGUAUAUUCGCAACUCGACACAUGUAUUAGAGUACGAGCCCGUGGAGUUACGUGAGGAUAUGUCUUACGAGGAGUACCCGGUGUGCAUCCUCGAUCGAGAAGUUAAGAAGUUGCGGAGUCGCAAAAUCCCUUAUGUAAAAGUCCAAUGGAGCAACCACGCGGCGCGAGAAGCCACUUGGGAGCUCGAGGAAACCAUGCGGCGAGAGUAUCCGCAUCUAUUCGAAUCGACGAGUUAAGGUAUGUGUAAUUUCGCGGACGAAAUUAUUUUAAGGGGUGGAGAAUGUAAUAUACCGAAAAUUCGGAAAAUAAAUAUCGAACUUUAGUCAAAUUGACCAAAGUGCGAGGAUGGUACACUUUGGAAAGUCCGAAGGUGUUGAAAUGAUUAAAAGUGAGUUACAGGAGGUUUUCGAGAGCUAUAGAAUCAAAAUCUGCAUUCAGUAAUUUUGAGCUCUCGGGGACCGGUCCCUGGUGGGAGAGACCGGUCCCCGAACGCGUAUUAAUUGAGACAGCCGAAAAAUCGGCUAAGUCCUGAGAAACCAGCUCUCGGGAACCGGUCCCUACCUGAGAGACCGGCCCCCGAGAGACCGGUCCCCCAAAGAGAGACUGGUUGCCCUGCGCGCAGCAGCUCUGGCUGCGCGGGGAGAGCCUUCGGGAACCGGUCCCUCAAGGAGAGACCGGUCCCCGGCUGCGCGAACUGCCCAGUUCGGGUCGUGUAAUGAGAUAAAAGCUGAGGGACUUAUCUGCGAAAAUGCAUUAUGUGGGUCAUAUUUAGGGCUGAGAGAGCCUCUCCCUCUCAUUCCCUCACACCCAAACUCAUCCCUCUCCCUCUCUCUCUCUAAAAGACAAAGAAGGAGAAGAAUAAGACAAGGAAAGAGAGGAAAAGAAGGAGAAGAAAAAGGAGAAGAAGAAGAGGAAGUGAGGAAACUCCCUCUCCCUCAUCUCUAGCUUGGAAAAGGAGAGCUUACAAGGUAAGCUUUGAACCCUAAUUAUGGUAGAACCUAAUUUAGGGUUUGGAUUAAGCUUAAAAUGGGUUUUAUGGAACCAUUUGAGUAUUUGAAGCUUUUCUUUUGCUUCUUUUGAGAUCAAGACCAUAGAAAUGGUGAAGCUUGAGGUGAGCUUCAUCACCUCUCAUGGUGAAACCCUAAGUAGGGUUUUGAUUUGUCUAAAGAUGGUUCUAAUGGACUUUUUAGAGUAUAAUGAAGCUAUUAUUUUUGCCUUCUCUUUGAGAUCAAACCCUUAGGUUUGCAUAUAUUAUUGAGCUUAGGCACCAAAUUGGGGCUUUUGUCAUAGGGAUUUCUAGUGCAAUUGACCCUCUAGAAGACCUAACUACUGGGGGUAAUCCAUACGCGAUUGGUAUGCGCCUCGAAUAGCAUUGCGAAAAGUUGUAUGUAAAGUAUGGCCCAAAUAAGCCCUAAUUGCUGUUAUGCCGGCAGGUAGUGAACCGGGUGUCUAAAAAAUCCCAGAAAUCUUCGGAGCACCUAAAAGACCUCAAUUGGUGGUAGGUGCUUCCAAACUCGGUUUGAAUUCUCUCCAUCGCCUAAUGUUCAUCAAUUGAGCAUAUGUUAUUAUUACUUGUUUGCAUGAUUUUAGGUAAGUGAUGAUAAAAAAUGUGAUAUUGCAGUGAUGUGAGUACAACUUGCUUAAUGUGAUGGCGAGGACCCCUAUGAAUGUUAGAACCCAUAGCUGUAUGCAAUGAGAGGAAAAUGUGAAGUACCAAGUGAGGCCAAAGAACAGAGUGCACUAUGACAUAGAUCGCCAGUGGAUCUAAUAAUGCUAAAGUAAGUUGACCACGAGUUAGUGUGCAAGCACAAGAAUCAAUGUGAUGUAAAGAAUGAUGACGAUGACUAAAGCUAAAGCAAAGAGCAUGCAAUAAUAGAACAUGUAAAGUUAAAGAAUAUGAAAGCUAAAGAUAGCCUAGGAGUAAAGAAUGUAAAGAAAUGAUUGUAGCAAGUGGCCAACAUAAAGUGAUGUAAUGAAACACUAGCAGUUAUGUGUAAAGUCAAGAUAUGAACUUAUAACUCCUUUGAGUUUAAGGAUUCGAUCAUACUUGCUUAUAGUUCCGUGCUCCGGAGGGGCGCGUCGCUCCCCUCGGGCGAUGCGCAUCCCGGCAGUUAUCAUCAAACGCGGUUGGAGUCAACCGAAAGGAACCACGGUCUAGCGGGUGAGUUCCUUGCGAUGAUGGACUUAAUGUGAGCAAGUUAAUGUGAGCGAAACGCCCCGCGGUUACGCCUUGAGAUUAAGCACACAAGAGAGCAGAACGAAAAAGUGCUAAGAACAAAGAACAAAGACAAAGAAAUAAAAAGAAAGAACAAAGCAAUUUUGCAUCAAUCUCAUUGUAUUUAAUAUUGAGCAUACUCCUUGCCUUAUUGUUCAGGCAUAUUAAGCAUCAUGUAUAUGAUGGUUCACUUAUAUGCAGCUUAUUCUUUCUAUUAUGCCUGAGUUAGUCCUAGUGGGAAAGUCGGUGAUGUUGAGGCCGAACCCACUGGGAACUUUGUUGUAGUUCUCACCCCACUAUUUCCACAGAGCCGGGACCGAGCGAGCCGGCGAGCGACCGAGGUAAAGGUAUCGCGCCUUAGUCAGAGGCCACCAAAGUUGGGUUUCAUUUUGUAGUAAAGUACCCUAUGAUCAUCUUUUGUACAUGACGGUAAAUGAUGUAAAGAAAAGAAUGUAAUGUGUAUUUUGAGGUAAAUGUGAUGUAAGAAAGAAAUGAUGCCAACGAUGUAAUGUAAUGAAAUGCAAAGAAUCCAAAGUGUAAAAGAAGAAUGCAAUGUAUAUGAUCUAAAAUGAAUCAUAUUACUUGUGUAGAUGUUUAGUUUCCUUUCUUUCACUAAUGGCUAUUGCUUACCCUCGCGUAAGCCGUUUGUGUAUGUUUCCGCUAGUGUAUUUCUUGUUUGAAUUUGUACAUGUGAUGAGCCUUGGGCGGAUAGGGAAAACUCUGUCCGUUCGGCGUCUGUUUGACGUGCUCGGGUCGGGCCAAAUUGGUAUCGGUCCCGGGGCGUGACAAGAUCCAUCUCUAAAACUUGGAGGCUUGGAGGAGAAGGAUCUUGCGAACACGUGGGCUGUGAUGGUUCGAGCUUUCGUGCGCCCGUUUGAGUGGCGUGCUCCCGUCUCGGCGUUCGCAAUUUGGUAAGCUUUUGGGAUUUGGUUUAAUCCUUAAUGCUUGGUGGUUUAAUAGUCUCUAGUGUAGUUUUAGCAUACUUUCCCCAUGAGAUUUGUGUUAUUAGAGUUUAUGCUAAAGCUAGGGCUCCAAAAUGAGGUUUUGCUAAAUAGUUGGGUUUGAUCUAGUUUAACUCUAUAUAUACCUAAUUGCUAGGUAUUAUGACGCGUUGGCGAAGUCGGUUCGGCGAUUCGUUGAGCCGGUGCGAAGAUAUUGAAGAAACGGAGGAUUUAGCUUCAUUUCCUCCUGGAGAACCGAGGCGACGUCCAUAAAUCGUGAAAAUGGAUUUGGAGUGUCAUGGCAAGAAACCGAAGACCUUUAAUUUUCGGAUCGCGGAUCGGACGGCGUUCGGUGGUUGCGCGUGAAUUGGGUCGAGCCGAGCGGCGUGCGCCGCGGGAGGCGGAUUGCGAGUGGCGACGAGCUAUCGGAACGCGAUAAAAGGUGGGUGGUGACAAUCCCGAAGCAGUUGAACUGCUCCCUAUGUCUAAGUAUUAUGGUUGAUCAAUUAUGCAUAUUGAGCAUGAUGCAUUAUAGGGUGCUUAAUUAGUUGUUAUGUAUUCUUGCAUGUUAUAGGUAGUGUUGUAUUACUUGUUUAACACAUAAGCCUUGUAUGCAUGAGAUUGAGAUAUGUUGUUUAGUAAUCCUAUAAUGAGAUGAUAAAUGUUGAUUUGAUCCUAGGUAGACGGAAACCUAUUGGAUGUGUAAUUAGUGUAUUGGGAAUACUUAAACAAGAAUGAUUGGCAUUUGGACUAGUGUAACUAUUAUGCAUAAUCAGGUAUUAAAUAGUUGCAUUUCCAUUCUUGCAUGAUCCUUAGUAGUGUAGCAACAUAAGUUUGGCACUUGACUUAGGAUGCAUGAGAAUAGCGGAACUGUGACCUAGAACCCUAUAGUGGUAAAGUAAAUGACGAACUUAACCUUGUGUUAACGAGAACCAAAGAACGAGUGGCAUCUAAAUAAGUAAAUAAUUUGACGAGUGGCAUGAUAAGUAAAGUAUAGAGGAAACACUUGUUCCGUGUUGAACGUAGGAAUGAACUAGUUUCCAAGUGAUGUUGUCUAGAGUGGUAGGGUAUCCUCAGUGACAGGGAUUUGAUCAUACUCAUAUGUCUGUUCAAAGCUUGGGGUGGUCGCUCCACACAAGUAGUGCACUCCGGAGUUGUCACACGAUAGGGAUAGCCUUUUGGGUCUCACAGACGGUCUUGGGCAAGUGAGCUGAUCCUCCCCAGGUGAGUCGGGUGAGUGAGCUGAUCCUCACCUGUGAGAUAGAGAUUGGGUUGUGGUACCUGUGUUGAGUCGGGCGAGUGAGCGGAUCCUCCCCGUAGAGUGCGUGUUGCGGGUUGGGCGAGUGAGCGAAUCCUCCCCGUAGAGUGUGUGUUGCGGGUCGGGCGAAUGAGCGGAUCCUCCCCGUAGAGUGUGUGUUGCCAGUCGGGCGAGUGAGCGGAUCCUUCCCGUAGAGUGUGUGUUGCGGGUCGGGCGAGUGAGCGGAUCCUCCCCGUAGAGAGUGUGUUGUGAGUCGGGCGAGUGAGCGGAUCCUCCCUGUAGAGAGUGUGUGUGUUUCGAGUCGGGCGAGUGAGCAGAUCCUCCUCGUAGAGUCUGUGUUGUGGGUCGGGUGAGUGAGCGGAUCCUCACCAGUGUGACUGAGAGUAGAUGUGGCACCUAUAGGAUAGCCGUGGGAUUGAGACGUGAGAUUGAGAGCGAGCCUCCGGGCUAGCCGAGUGAUUGGGUAAACUAUUGAACCAGUAUUCUUAUUGAGCAUAGUCGCUUGGUAGUUAGCCUGAUGAAUUUACCUUCAUACCGUGAGUGGACAUACUAUUCCUUACCUAUGAGAUUUGAGCGGGGUAGCCCUGUACUUAGUAGAGUGAGAUGCAAGUCGGGCGAGGAGCGGGGUAGCUCUUUGCCUGUGACCUUCGAGAUAUGAGUUGGGUGAGAUGAGAGCGGGAUAGCUUUUCAACUACAGGAUUUGAAGUCUUAGGUGGGGUAGCCUAAUUGUCACGCCCGGGUAUCAGCGGAAGCAUAUCCGGCACAUGCACAGACCCGCCAUACACCUGUAGUAUAUAAGGCGUCUACAAAGAAGCAAAUCGAUAGGAAGAAAACAUAGAAAAUCCUAUCCUGAUAUCAGAGCAAAGUAUAAGUCGAUAAUCUCAUCAACUGAAGAACAAGAAGUAAAUAACCCAAAAUCUCAACAUCAAAGAGAAGUAAGAAAACUAUAAUCUCUGAUUCUAAAAACUCAUACAUCAAAGGCUACUAAAAAACAUGUACAAUGGCAGUCUCUCUAUACACAGGGACAUCACCCUCGUCCGUAGCCCGAGUAGCAAGGUGAUCAACUAGCAAGCCCCUAGCAGUAUCUAGCUAGACGCGACUCCCUUGCCACGAUCCCUAGCCUUUCCUGUCGAUGGCUCUGUAAAAACAACCAUAAAAAGGUUCAUAAUGUCAUACAAAAAACAUACAAAAAGUAAAUACAGUUAUAACUUGUAGUUUACCAACAAUAAAGAACUAUGAAAUUGCAUCAUGCUGUCUGAAUUAUUUAUCAAGUAAAAACAUGUAUGGUAAUCACAACGAACAUGACUAUGUCAAAUAGAGAAGUACUGUAUACUACUCAGUGAUACUCAUCAGCUGUUAUCAUUUAGUACAUCGAUUAAUUCAUAAGGACCUACUCAAGGUAGUCCAGCUUGUGCCGCGCCUAAUGGCCCCGUGGUAAUACACACUCCCCACGGCAAUCCAUUUCGGCACUCAAUCCCGCACGGGCGAGCAUCUGUCGCGUAAGCCAACUCCGGAGUGCCGGCUUGUAGGGAGCGACCCUCACAAGCUUGUGCGUAUGAGCACAAUGGCAAGCAAGCACAAUUCAUAAUUUAGUAGUUCUUAAUUGUCAUGUGUUAGCAUGUAAGAUUCUCAUCCUCGACUUUUAGGUCGGAUCUCAACAUAAUAUGUCACGCUAGUAUUCACUAGGUCAAAUAAACAUAUAAAGGCAAGGUACGAUUACAUAUGUCAUUUGCAUCAAUUUCUAGUCACUAGUAAUGUAUGAAUAUACUAAAUUACAAACUAAUUGUCUUGUCCUUUUAUUUAAUAGAAACAUAAUAGAUCCUUCUUGUCUAUGCAUUCAAAAUGAAGAUAAAGACGUGAUUGCACAUGAUUAGCAGUCUUAUAACAUCAUCUAGAACAUAGGGGAGAGUCACUUGCUCUGGUAAGGUCCGACCCACCUAUUAGUCGACGAUUCACGUCCAACCUGUAGGUAUGAAUCUUCACAAUUCCCGAAAAGCCCUAGAAACUGAUACAAGAUCAGCUAGGAGUGUACUUUAGAUCCUAUGUAAUUCUAUCACAUUAACACUUCUAGGAGGUAGAAUUUCACCUUGUACCCUUUGAUAGUUGAACCCCUGGUUCAGAUUAGAUGAAUGCUUCAAAUUUCAGCUUCAAAAGCCUUCCAAAAUCAGCCGAGAUCUACACACACCGUCCGCUGCGAACCUGUUGCGAAUUAGCUAUAAAACUGCAUUGAAGUGCUUACUAAAACAGUCUAUUUCAGCAACAGUUCACUUCGUACCCAGUUAUAGCUUUAGUCCAUGUUUACUCCAGCUUAAAAUAUCAAAGUCCACUUUCGUAAGUUCCCCGAAGUUAGUCGAGAACCAUCAAAUACCCUGUCGCAAAUCGGCUAUACAUUAACAUCAAAUCUGCACCAACUAUAAAUAGUAUCAUCUAAUUCAAAAAGAUUUUCACCUUAGGUCAGGUUAUAGCUUAGAUCCCUGUCUAGAUUCAGUCCAUGGCACUCAGUUUAAUCUCCAAAGACUUCUAAAUAUUAGCCGAGAUCAAUCUAAUGCCCUCGCUGCGAAUUGAUACCAAAACAGUCACCAAACUCACUAAUAAGCCUUAUAUAGUCAUAAUAAAAGAGUAAUACUCAGCUAAUUACCUUCUUAAGGCUUCGAAUCAGCUUAUCCUUGAACUAGAACAGAGAAAUUACAGCUAAGUAUUCCUUUCUCACUGCUGGAACCACUCCUCAACCAGCUGCGAUCACGAUACAAAGAAUAGGUUCAACUUUAGCACUAAAGCUGUCAAAUGAAAACUAAAUUAGGUAAUUACCUUUCGAAGCCUCUCUUUAACCUUUCUCUGCAGUAAGGAUGAAGAACUUUGUCACAACACCUCCCCCUUAGCUCCAGAGGCUGUCCCUCAAGGUUCUAAACCAGCUAACACCAAGGAGAAGAAGGAUUCAAGCUCAAAUCCACCAUUUCUUACACUUAGGAGAGAGAAAUCUAGAGAGAGAAAGUUAGAGAGCACCAACCCUUAUCCCCUGGUGUCACGCCCCGCGACCGCUACCAAUUUGGUUCGGCCCGGGCGCGUCGAACAAACGCCGGACGGACAGCACCUUCCCUGUCCGCCCAAGGCUAACAACAAGAUUGUGUACAACAAGUCCCCAGGAAAAUAACUUGAAUACAUACACAAUCGAUGACUGCAACGAGAGCACAAUCAGUGCAAAACAACCAAGAGCAAGAUACAAGUAUAGAACAUACAAGUAAUGAUAAAGAGAGGAACAUCUAUCUAUUACAUUCAUUCAGCCUUUAUAAUACAAUUUGAUUAUACAUUAAGCUUCUAAACAUAAUAUAAAGCUUACAUUCAGCCCAAAAUAGCUCACAACCUAUACAUCAUCUACUCUCAAAGCAUAAAAUGUGACUCUAAUGCAGAAAUAGGAAAGUAGACUAAUGCAACUAGGGCGCUAAGNAAUGUUUCCGGACCUCACCGAACUUCACCGGAACCUUUCAAAUGGUCUUCCAACCAAAUGUACACCGUAACUUCAUGAUUUUAGAAGUCCGAUGCCUUACACCUGGCCUCCAGCACCCUUUAGGGAGUUGCUGAGGUCGAGCAGAAGGGAUAAGGAUAGAGAUAGAAGGGGAAAAGACCAAAAUGCCAAAACUGCCACGCACCUGUUGCUGCUACUGCUUGCUGUACCGGUACAGCAUUAUGCUUGUACCGGUACACCAAUGCAGAAAAUGCCAAUUUCGAAAUUACAAUGCACUUUCUCACUUCCAAGGGUCCAAUGACUCUCAAACUUGUCCGAGAACAUCUUUAUGCUCUUUAAAACACGUAUGAUGGUUCCAAAUACCCUUCUUCUUACUUGAACUUCGCAAUUUGCUAAAGUUCAGUAUACUACACUAAUGGAUUGGAUGAUUUAAUGAACCUCAUUGUUGAGCAUAGUAGAUAGUUCUUUUACUUUUACUAUGUAGUGCAUGCAUUCAUAGCAUUGGAUUGAGGCAUAGUAGGAUAUUUGCAUUUCUACUUACUUGUUAUAGUUGCUCUUUCAUAUAUAGCUAUCUAUCUAUCUAUUUGUUGUCUUCCUAUGCCUGCUUAGACCUAGUGGGGAGAUCGGUGGAGUCGGCGGCCAAAUCCACUGGGAGCUAUUCGUAGUUCUCACCCCACUUUGUUGCAGGGCUGAGCUCGAGUACCCCCGGCGAGGAUCGUGGUAAGGGCUUAGCGCCCUAGUGCUAGUUGAUAGAUGCUUCCCUUUUGCAUUAGAGCUACCCUAUGUACUUGAGAGUAGAUGAUGGAUAGGCUGAGAUGAGUUGAAGAGUUGUAAACUCUAUGUUUAUGUUUUGGAAAAAUGUAAAGUUAAUCAAAUGUAUUAAAGUUGAAUGGUUGUAAUAGUUAGUAUCUCUCUUUUAUUCACUUGUUUAUUACUUGUGAUGCCUGCUCUUUAGUUAAUUAGCACUGGUUGUGCUCUCGCUAUUGUUGUUUGAUUGUGUAUGUAAUCAAGUUGUUUUCCUGGGCACUUGUUGUACACAAUCUCGUUGUUUAGCCGUGGGCGGACAGGGGAGGUGCUGUCCGUUCGGCGUCUGUCCGACGCGCCCGAACCGGACCAAAUUGGUAGCGGUCGCGGGGCGUGACAAACCUCCUUGGUAGCUUCAAACCAAGCUCAAAAUGCUCUAGGGUUGAAGGUUGAUCCUCUAUCAAGCUCCUAGCCCAAGCUCCAAGCCACCAAGGUGAGAAGAGAGGGUGUGGGGGAAGUCCAAAGUCCACCAUGCAAGCUCUCCUUCCUUUUCUCCUCCUUCUUCCCUUUCUUCCUUCUCCUUCUUCUUCUCUAGAGAGUGUGAGAGAGUGAGAAGUGAGGAAAAGAGAGAUAGGACAAGCCCUAAAAGCCCUCUAAUGUAACAAAAUCCAGAAAAGCCCUUUAACUUUGCAACCUGUGCACUGCCCUGACUGGGCAGUUUUUGGGUGGAAAGACCGGUCUCUCCCCACAUGGGACCGGUCCCUCAGGACCUUCCCGCAAAACCAACGUUCGGGAACCGAUCUCUCUGGCCAGGGACCGGUUGCCUCAAAGUCUGCCGCAACUGUAGCUAUGAGGGACCGGUCUCUCCUACCAGGGAUCGAACCCCGAGAGUGAAACUCUCAGGACUUAGCCAAAAAAUCCAUAAUUUCGAACUUCGGGUCGGAACACCGUCUACGACCCUCCACAAGGUGUGGAAAAGUUCAGAACUCAAAUCAAACACUCGAACCUCGCAAUUUGCACAGGGCCAGUAUGUAACAGUGUAUCUCUGCCGAGAGCUCAAUCAGGCUCUCACAGGCUAUAGUCAAAGUAGAAGGGUCUAACUGGUCUAACAAUCAUAACACACGUGCCAUCGGUACAAUCUGAUGUAAAAUCAGCAAACUGGGUUCACCGUUAACCACAACGGCAUCCGACAGUCCGGAACAGUCUAAACACUACUGUAAAAAUAAACUCGGCAUCCCAACACGAGCGUAAAUUCAUUAUACACUAUACUGGAUAUCCACCGCCUACAAACUACGGCGAUACAAAUAAAUUACAGCUCCUAAAGUUAAAUCUAGUAGUUUUCAAAAAGUGACAGUGUAGAACCUAUAGUUUUUUUCUAAGUCAAUUUCAAGUCCAACAUAUAUAUUUUAAUUAAACCAAUUGUUAAGGAUUUUAUAGGUUGGCAGAUUUCAUAAUGUUGAAUGGAGUCUUGAAGAGUUGAUUGCGGAAGAUUGAAGAAAGGAUCCAAAUUGAAGAACAAGGACAUGAAAGAGCACUAUUGGUGGCCGGGUAUGAAAAGAGAUAUUGGGGAGUUNNNNNNNNNNNNNNNNNNNNNNNNNNNNNNNNNNNNNNNNNNNNNNNNNNNNNNNNNNNNNNNNNNNNNNNNNNNNNNNNNNNNNNNNNNNNNNNNNNNNGCUUUUGAAUUUUUACUAAACUAGUACCCUUAUGUGUAAUUUGUAGAGUAUCCCAAAUUUCCUUGGCGGUGUUACACGCCGAAAUGCGAGUAAACUCCGUUUGUGACAAUGCAUUAAAUAAAGCGUUUAUGCCCUUGCCAUUAAACGAAGAUGACUCGUUUUCAUCUUUGGUCCACUUGUUCCAUGGUUUAGGAACGGUAGCGUUAUCGACAACUUCGGUAAGGUGCUCCCAACCAAAUUCAAUAGCUUUCCAUACUCGCUCAUCGAUUGCAAUUAGAAAAGCUCUCAUGCGAACUUUCCAAUAGGCAUAAUUCGUGCCAUCGAAGAGUGGUGGUCGAUUAACAUUACCGCCUUCGGCCAUUAGAUAUCAAUAUAUCUAGAUCCCGCUCUGAUACCAAUUGAAAGUUUUGAGGAGCCCAAGGAUCUAUCUAGAUUGUAUCUAUCACCUAGAGGGGGGUGAAUAGGUGAAAAGCCAAAAACCACAAAUCUCGAUGCAAUAAAAAUAAAUGCGGAAAAUAAAAAGCACACCGAGAUUUACAUGGGAAAACUCCAACUCGGAGAAAAACCCACGGGACCAACACGCGAAAAAAUAAUUCACUAAGAGAAAAGAUUACAAGGUGAUUACCGACUCCACGGACUUAACCUCUCUUAACCUCCUAUGAAUCUCCGCGCAAUCCUCCGGGUUGUCCACUCCCUCACGUCCAAAUCCACGAACGCCCCCACUUCGAAUCCACAAAGCUUCAAUCACGCCGAAUCCACGACGCCACUCGAAUCCACGAGCCCACGAUCCGAAUCCACGAACCGCCGUCAAACACGCCGAAUCCACGACGCCGUCAUGAAGAGCAUCAUGAUUAUGGUGAUCCUUCGCUUAGGGGUAUCGUAGAAAACCAGAGAAAGAAACUCCAAGCAAAGCGGAGAUCAAAUCGACAUAUAGCGAAUGCGAAACAAUAUCUCGAUUUGAUCUAAAGAGGCUAAUUUGUAGAAAAUAGGUUUUAGAUGAAAUCCGAGCCUCUAGGGUUUCUCAAACAUGUAUUUUCGUGAUGCUUAAUCAGUUAGAGAACCCCUAUAGCUUAUUUAUAGACUUUAUAAUCAAAACGGAGUAGGAUUAGAAAGUUUCUUUCCAAAAUCAGCACCUUGUACCGGAACAAGGAAAGCUGUCCAGGGUACAGCAUGACGGAAGAUUUUUCAGCGAAGCUUCUGUACCCUGGAUAGGCUUCAGCUUGUUCCGGAACAGGGCUUGUACCGGUACAGCCUUGAUGGUUGUACCGGAACAACCAUCAAACAUUUCUGCGCAAACGCUGAUGGCUGUACCCUGGACAGAAAACCCUUGUACCGGUACAACAAUGCAAUUUUCGCAGAAAAUGCAUUGUUUCAAGUUUUACAAGCUCUUAGAAACUUUCUAAUCAAUUACAACUUGAAAACAUGAUUCUAAAAUCUAUAAUUAAGUAUGAAUCACCAUAAACAAGAUUUAAAGCUUACCUAAGCAUCGUGAUUCAUAUUUUGCGUGUUUUGCGUCCUUUCCAAUUCUUCGAAGCCUUGAAUUCUUCGAUCUUCAAUACUCCGCUCCGGACUUCUUCAAGACUCCGACUCGACCCACGAAACUUGCCAACACAUAGGACCUAACAACCCCGAGAUGUUUGAUUGGAUAAAAGCCAUGUGAAUUUUUAUAUCAUGCAUGCAUGUAUCAUAUUUGAGUUUAUAUAUCUGCUGACUAUCUUUUUGCAGGCAUAGUAUUAGUAGUAGCAUUAGUGGGUUUGCUAUAUCUAUUUCUUUGAAUACUUAUGCCUGGUUAGACCUAGUGGGUAAGUCGGUGGGGUCGGCGGCUGAACCCACUGGGAACUUUGUUUUAGUUCUCAUUACCACUAACCCUGCAGAUCCGAGCGCGAGCGGGGCGGCGGAGGAUCGUGGCAAGGGUUUAGCGCCGUAGCUAGUGGCCACCAGAGUAUAGGCAUUUCCCUAUGUGUAUAGUUCAACUUUUGUAUGUUGAAUAUAAGUGAGAAAAGUUGUAAUCAUUAUUUUGGGUUGUAAGAUAAUGUGAUGUAAACAAUGUAUGGAAAAGAAUGGUUGUAAUAGUGCUUGUAUUUGAUUAAAAUGUAAUCAAAUAUGAUAUGAUGGUUGUAUGUAUAGUAUAGUAGUCAGAGCUUUCGCUACUUGUGUUGUUGCUUGCCUUCGUGCAAGCCUUGUGCAAUUAUGUUCACCUUGUGCUGAAAUUCUUGAUUGUACAUAUUGUUGAAGCCUUGGAUGGACAGGGGAGGUGCUGUCCGUUCGGCGUCUGUCGACGUGGCCCGAUUCCGACCAAAUAGGCGGAGCUCGGGGCGUGAUGUCACGCCCCGGGACCAAUACCAAUUUGGGCCGGCCCGAGCANCAGGACUUAGCCGAUUUUUCGGCUGUCUCAUUUCAUACGCGUUCGGGGACCGGUCUCUCCCACCAGGGACCGGUCCCCGAGAGCUCAAAAUCUGCAGCUUGCAGAAUUUGAUUCUCAAGCUCUCGAAAACCUCCCGUAACUCAAUUUUAAUUAUCUUAACACCUUCGGACUUUCCGAAGUGUACCAUCCUCGCACUUUGGUCAAUUUGACUAAAGUUCGAUAUUUGUUUUCCGAAUUUUCGGUAUAUUACAUUCUCCACCCCUUAAAAUAAUUUCGUCCGCGAAAUUACACAUACCUUAACUUGUUGACUCAAAUAGAUGCGGAUACUCUCGCCGCAUGGUCUCCUCGAGCUCCCAAGUGGCUUCUCUCGCCGCAUGGUUGCUCCACUGGACCUUCACAUAUGGAAUUCUGCGACUCCGCAGCUUUCUUUCUUCUCGAUCGAGGAUGCACACCGGGUACUCCUCAUAAGACAUAUCUUCACGUAACUCUACGGGCUCGUACUCUAAUACAUGUGUCGAGUUGCGAAUAUACUUUCGGAGAUUGGACACAUGAAACACGUUGUGAACUCCCGCGAGUCUCGGUGGUAGUGCGAGCUUGUACGCUACCGCACCAACACGCUCCAAUAUCUCAAACGGUCCGACAUAUUGGGGACUUAGCUUCCCGCGGACCCCAAAUCGUUUUACUCCUCGCAUUGGCGACACUCUCAAAAAUACACGGUCUCCAACUGCGAACUCUAAAUCUUUUCUUCUCUUGUCGGCAUAACUCUUUUGCCGAGACUGCGCCGUCGCUAACCGUUGACGGGCAAGACGAACUUUUCCUUCCGCCUCCCGCACUACAUCCGGGCCAAGGGCCGCCCUUUCGCCCACGUCGCUCCAAUGAAUAGGAGAAAGACACUUUCUUCCAUAUAGUGCCUCAAAUGGCGCCAUCGCAAUACUCUCUUGAUAACUAUUAUUAUAGGCGAACUCCGCCAUAGGCAAGAAAUCAUGCCAUCCUCCUUUAUAAUCUAGCACACACGCUCAAAGCAAGUCCUCAAGGAUUUGUAUCGUUCGCUCUGAUUGUCCAUCGCUCUGAGGAUGAAACGCCGUGCUAAAGUCAAGCCGUGUGCCUAGCGCGUCUUGCAAACUCUUCCAAAAAUAAGAUGUGAACCUGGGGUCUCGAUCCGAUACAAUUGAUACCGGCACCCCAUGAAGUCUCACAACCUCGUCAAGAUAGACUUGAGCUAACUUGUCUCCCGACCACGUAGUAUGUAUAGGCAAGAAGUGUGCCGACUUUGUCAGUCGAUUCACUAUCACCCAUAUUGCAUCGUGUCCGCCUUGUGAUCGAGGCAAACCGGUAAUAAAGUCCAUCGCUAUGUCUUCCCAUUUCCAAACGGGUAUAGAUAAACUUUGUAGCUUUCCCGCCGGAAAUCGGCGCUCUGCUUUAACUUGUUGGCACGUUAGACAUUGCGCCACGAAUUCCCCAAUAUCUCUUUUCAUGCCCGGCCACCAAUAAUGCUCUUUCAAAUCUUUAUACAUUUUACUGCCGCCGGGGUGUAUGCUAUAAGGGGAUUGGUGCGCCUCUUUCAUAAUCGCCCUUCGUAACUCAUCAUCUUUUGGUACACACCAUCGAUUUCGAAAUCGAAGUGCGCCAUCGGCUCCAACGCCAAAACCUUCGGCUUUACCGCUCUCAACAUCACCUCGAACCUUUUUUAGAUAAGGAUCCGAAGCUUGUAACUCUUUGAUUCUCUCAAAUAGGGUCGGUUGCACCACUAAUGCGGCAAGUGUAGCCGGCACUCCCGGCGCUACCACUUCCAACCCAAGACGUUGCAUUUCCUUUUGCAAUAGCGGUUGAGGCGUAAUUGCCGUCGCUAGGUUAUCCGCCGAUUUUCGACUCAAAGCAUCGGCCACGACAUUGGCUUUCCCGGGGUGGUAUAGUAUAGUGACAUCGUAGUCCUUCAACAACUCUAACCACCGCCGUUGCCGCAUAUUCAGCUCCCUUUGGGUGAACAAGUACUUUAGGCUUUUAUGAUCUGUGUAGAUUUCACAAUGCUCACCGUACAAGUAAUGCCUCCAAAGCUUUAGCGCGAAAAUUACCGCGGCUAACUCGAGGUCGUGAAUCGGGUAGUUCUUCUCAUAACUCUUUAAUUGGCGCGAUGCAUAUGCAAUGACUCGCCCAUUUUGCAUUAACACACACCCGAGACCAACAUACGAGGCAUCACUAUACACUACAAAAGUCUCCCCCGGAGUCGGCAAGGCAAGCAUCGGGGUCGACGUCAAUCUGCUCUUCAACUCUUCGAAGCUUCGAUCGCAAUCGUCGCUCCAGACAUACUUUACUCCUUUAUGCGUAAGGCGCGUUAGCGGAGUGGUUAUCUUGGCGAACCCCUCCACGAACCGCCGGUAAUAGCCCGCAAGUCCAAGAAAACUACGGACCUCCGCUACGUUCGUUGGGCGAGGCCAAUCUUCUAUUGCCUCAACUUUCUUCGGGUCUACCGAAACUCCGUCGCCCGAUACUACAUGACCCAAAAAUGUGACCUCCCUUAGCCAAAAGUCACAUUUCUUUAACUUUGCAUAAAGCUUCUCCUGUCUGAGUAUCUGCAACACAGCUCUCAGAUGCUCUUCGUGCUCCUCUUCGCUUUUCGAGUAAACCAAUACGUCGUCUAUAAACACCACGACGCAUCGAUCCAACAACGGCCUGAAGACUCGGUUCAUCAAGUCCAUAAACGCUGCCGGGGCAUUAGUAAGCCCAAACGGCAUUACCGUGAACUCAUAAUGGCCAUACCGCGUACGGUACGCCGUUUUGUGCACAUCCUUCGGCCUAAUCUUUAAUUGAUGAUACCCCGACUGGAGAUCAAUCUUCGAAUACACUUUGGACCCUUGCAACUGAUCGAAUAAAUCGUCAAUCCUUGGCAACGGGUACUUAUUCUUUAUCGUCACUUUAUUCAACUUGCGAUAAUCUACGCAGAGUCGAAGUGUGCCAUCCUUUUUCUUCACAAAUAGCACCGGAGCUCCCACGGAGACACACUCGGCCUCACGAAGCCUUUAUCAAGUAAAUCUUGUAAUUGGCCUUUUAACUCCUUUAGCUCCACCGGUGCCAUUCUAUACGGAGCCUUCGAAACUGGUUCCGCCCCGGGGAUCAAGUCAAUGACGAACUCAACUUCCCGGUCCGGUGGCAAUCCCGGUAAUUCCGCCGGAAAUACAUCCGGGUAUUCGCACACUACUCGGAUAUUCCCCAACUCAGGGUACUCCUUUCGAGCAUCCACCAUGGGUGCCAAAUAGGCCUUACACCCGCCUUUAAUCAUUCUUUUGGCUCUCACUGACGAAAUGGUCGCCGCGAAUCGCGCGCCUUUGCACGCCCGAAACACCAUCUCCUCUUGGUUAGGCUCACGAAAAGUGAUAACCUUGCUUUCACAAUCUAUGACCGCAUAGUAUUUGGAGAGCCAAUUGGUCCCCAAAAUGACAUCAAAUCACCACAUCUGAUCUAGCACUAGCAGAUCUAUAGGCAUGAUCCAGUCACCGAUUCGCACCGGAACCUCCAAGCACUCAUCAUAAACACGAAACGAGUGCUCGGGACCAUUUACCCACCAAUAGUCUUCAUUAUGUAUUUUCUCUAUGCCAUGCGUCUUUGCAAAUGAUGCAGCUAUAAAUGAUCGUGAUGCACCAGUAUCGAACAAUGUUCUAGCUCUAGUGCCAUUAAUCGAAAUUAUACCUGCCACGACAUCGUCGGGUGCUGCAGGCUGCUGCUCCUCCACCUGAGCAGCAAAGACUCGGCCGCUAGGCGCUCUCGAUCCCUCCGGCUGACGCGGUGACGAUGCGCGCCCAGUCGACAUCACUGGUGGUAACCCCGCAAGCUGUCUCGGGGUAGACGGUGCUGAUGCCGCCGUCGGCGCAGACGACAUCCAUGCCGGGCACUCCCGGAUAAGAUGUCCCGGUUGGCCACACUUAAAACAUUUGCCGUCUCGCUGCGGGCAAGUCGACACCUUAUGCUCUGCGCCACAUAUGACGCAUCGAGGAGGUCUCCAAUUCCUCGACUGCUGUCGGGGAUACCGAGGGGGUUUCUUAGCAUUCGGCCGGCCCCCGGCACCACCCGCCGUUCUCUUCUUGCCCUUGUCCUUGGACUCGGCCAUAGCUUCUCUCUCUUCACGCACAUGGGCACUACCGUGCUCCGCCCACAAAGCUCGAUCAAAGACCUCCACAAAGGUCGACAGCUUCAGGAUUUGCACUUUCUCAUAAAUCCGGGGCUGGAGUCCUCGCAAGAACCAAUCCGCCCGGUCCCGAUCGUCUCGAACUACGUCGGGGACGCAGUCAAUAAUGUGAGAGAACUCCUGCUCAUAUUCUCCCACCGAUCGAUCACCCUGUCUCAAUUUGCGGAAUUUUUCUUGCAUCUUCCGCUUCACCGUGUCGGGAAAGUAGUUCGCGAAGACUGCUCUCUUGAACUCUUCCCAUAGCAUAAGCGGAAGAUCGGUAGGUCGAUCCCGCUUGACUCGCUUCCACCACACCAUCGCCGCCUUAUCAAGACAAUGGGUGGCAAGAUAUACCUUAUCCUUCUCCAAGAUAUUGAGAUCCUCGAAGAGCGUUUCCAUCGAGUCGAUCCACGACUCCACGACCGCUGGCUCCACCAAACCGCCCUCAAAGGUAGGUGGGUCAAAUAUCUUGAACUGAAUGAGAGCCGCCAACGUGCGCUCUCGCUCCGCAUCUACCGCCGCACUAUCGGGAUUUGAAGUUCCCGACACGGCCGGUACCACCGUAACGGGGACAGCCGCCGCUGCCGCCGCUCCCUCAACAACGCUCGGCACUACCGCAGGGGGUGCUACAUGCUCGACACCCGCCUGGGCUGCCGCCGCCUGCUGGCGCUCCAAAGCCUCCUGGAGCCGCUGAAUCUGCUCCCCUUGGCUUCGCGCAGACUCCGCCUGUUGCCGCACUACUCCAAUGAGCGCGGCCAUUUGCUCCCUAAGCUCUCCGUCGCCACUAGCUCCGGAUCGCUCGGGCUCCACACUCGGCUCCUCCGGCAUCGACCUUGUUUGCGGUCGUCCACGAGGUGCCAUUGCUUCCUGAAAAGAAGCAACAUACGUUAACUACUUGACCAACAUUACUCGACCAUACCCAAUCCGGCGAAAGCAACAUGCAUUUGUUCUCGCCCCAAGCAUCAUGUCGUCGGCCGCCCGACACAAAACAAGGAGUAGGAAACAAAUGAAAAUUAAACUUGGCCUCUAAUCAUAUUAGAGGCAUCCCAACUUAACCCAAUCACAUGCUUUCGCUAACUUUAAUUCCACGUCACUUACGUUUCCUAGAUCCUUAAGGUCUUCCAAUCCUAAGGGUCUCUAGGUCCAUUCCUAUUCUUUCACUCUUGGCUCUGAUACCACGAUAUCUGUCACGCCCCGGGACCAAUACCAAUUUGGGCCUGCCCGAGCACGUCAAACAGACGCCGAACGGACAGAGUUUCCCCCGUCCGCCCAAGGCUCAUCACAUGUACAUUUUCAACAAGAAGUGCACUAGCGGAAACAUACAAAAACGGCUUACACGAGGGUAAGCAAUAGCCAUUAGUGAAAGAUAGAAACUAACAUCUACACAAGUAAUAUGAUUCACUUUAGAUCACAUACAUUGUACUCUUCUAGUACAUUUUGAUUCUUUACCUUUCAUUACAUCAUUGCAUCAUUUCUUUCUUACAUCACAAUUACCUCAAAAUGAGCUUUACAUUCUUUUCUUUACCUUGCUUUAUACAUCAACAUCAUAAAUCAUCAAAUACAAAAGAUGAUAAAAGGGGUAAACUACUAACAAAAUAUAAACCAAGCUCUGGUGGCCUCUGUCUAAGGCGCGAUACCUUUACCUCGGUCACUCGCCGGCUCACUCGGUCCCGGCUCUGUGGAAAUAGUGGGGUGAGAACUACAACAAAGUUCCCAGUGGGUUCGGCCCCAACAUCACCGACUUUCCCACUAGGACUAACUCAGGCAUAAUAGAAAGGAUAAGUAGAAUAGUAACCAACUAUAACAUGAUGCUAAUAUGCCUGACCAAAAGUAGGAAGUAUGCUCAACAUUGAAUAUAUGCAGAUUAUGCAAGUUCUUUCAUUCUUUGACUUUACUCAAUAAGUUUGGAAAGCACCACCCACCUCGUAGGUCUAUGUAGGUGCUCCGACGAUUUUCUUGAGAUUUUUAGAUCCUUCGUUCUUUACCUGCGGCAAAACGAAGCCAACUUAGGCCAUUUUGCCCAUAACUUUACAUACACUUUUCGUAAUGCUUUUCCGAGCGCACCAACGCGUCGGAAAUACCCCCAAUUAGAUUUCUAGAGGUCAAUUGCACUUAGAAAUCCCCAUGAGCAAAAGCCCCAAUUUGGUGCCCUAGCUCCAAUACAUACAUCAAACCUAGGGUUUGAUCUCAUUGGGAAGCAAAAGUAGCUUCAUUAUACUCUAAUAAGUCCAUUAAAUCCAUUCUUAGCUCACUCCAAACCCUAGUUUGGAUUUCACCAUGAGAGGGGUCAAGCUCUUCUUCAAGCUUCACCUCCAACACUCAUGCCAUGGUCUUGAUCUCAAAAGAAGCAAAAAGAAAGCUUCAAAUACUCUAAAAGCUCUAUAAAAACCAUUUCUAGGUUUACCCAAACCCCAGUUUGGGAGUUAACAUGAAAAGGGGCAAAGCUUACCUCUAAGCUUGCUCCUUUCUUGCACUAGAGAGGAAGAAGAUGAAGUUGCUUCACUCCUUCUUCUUCUUCAUCACUUUCUUCUUCUUCUUUUCCUUCUCUUUUCCUUUGUCUUCUUUCUCUUCUUUGUCUUCUAGAGAGAGAGAGGGAGAGAAGAGAGUGUGAGAGGGUGAGAAUGAGAGAAAUAUCUCAUUUACCCCCAUACUAUACUCUAUGGGUUGCCAAAUUGCAACUAAACCCCUCAACUUUCACUUUAAUACACUGCCCGGACUGGGCUGUUCGCGCAGGCGGGGACCGGUCUAUCCUUCAGGGACCGGUUCCCGAAGGUUGUCCCAGCGCAGCCAGAGCUGCUGCGCGCGAUGCAUCCGGUCUCUCUUUGGGGGACCGGUCUCUCGGGGACCGGUCUCUCAGGCAGGGACCGGUUCCCGAGAGCUACUUUCUCAGGACUUAGCCGAUUUUUCGGCUGUCUCAUUUCAUACGCGUUCGGGGACCGGUCUCUCCCACCAGGGACCGGUCCCCGAGAGCUCAAAAUCUGCAGCUUGCAGAAUUUGAUUCUCAAGCUCUCGAAAACCUCCCGUAACUCAAUUUUAAUUAUCUUAACACCUUCGGACUUUCCGAAGUGUACCAUCCUCGCACUUUGGUCAAUUUGACUAAAGUUCGAUAUUUGUUUUCCGAAUUUUCGGUAUAUUACACGUGACAAUCCUUCUUUUUCACAAAUAGCACCGGAGCUCCCCACGGUGACACGCUCGGCCUUACGAAGCCUUUAUCGAGCAAGUCUUGUAGCUGUGCUUUUAACUCUACUAGCUCCACCGGUGCCAUUCUAUACGGAGCCUUCGAGAUUGGCGCCGCCCCGGGAAUCAAGUUAAUGAUGAACUCAACCUCCCGAUCCGGUGGCAAUCCCGGUAACUCCGCCGAAAAUACGUCCGAAAAAUCACACGCAACUCGGAUAUUCCCUAACUCCGGGUGCUCCCUUUGAGUAUCUACCAUGGUCGCGAAAUAGGCUUUACAUCCACCUUUGAUCAUCUUCCUCGCCCUCGCCGCCGAUACGGUCGCUGCGAAGCGCUUGCUUUUACACGCGCGAUACACCAACUCCUCUUGAUUAGGCUCGCGAAACAUAAUCACCUUACUCUCGUAAUCUAUGACUGCAUAAUACUUGGAGAGCCAAUUGGUCCCCAAGAUUACAUCAAAUCCCCACAUUCUGUCUAGCACCAACAAGUUAAUUGGCAUAAUCCAUUCACCUAUCUGAACUGGACAAGCCAAGCACUCCUCGUGCACUCUGAACGAAUGCUCCGGCGCAUUGACCCACCAAUAGUCGUAAUUAUGCACUAUUUUGAUGCCAUGAGUUCUCGCAAAGGAUGCACCAAUGAAUGAAUGAGAUGCACCCGUAUCAAAUAAAGCUCUAGCUCUAGUGCCAUUAAUCAGAAUAAUACUUGCCACAACGUCAUCUAGUGCUGCAGACUGCUCCUCCACCUGAGUGGCGAAAACCCGGCCACUAGGUGCUCGUGAUCCCUCCAGCUGACGCGGUGAUGAUGCGCGUCCAGCUGACAUCGCCGGUGGCAACCCCGCAAGCUGCCUCGGGGUAGCGGUGCUGAUGCCGCCGUCGGCGCAGACGACGUCCAGCUAGGGCACUCCUGGAUAAGAUGUCCCGGUUGGCCACACUUAAAACAUUUUCCUUCACGCUGCGAGCAAGUCGACACUCGGUGCUCACCGCCGCAAAUAACACACCGAGGUGGUCUCCAGCACCUCGAUUGCUGUCGGGGAUACCGAGGGGGUUUCUUUACAUUCGGCCGGCCCCCGGCACCGCCUGCCGCUCACUUCUUGCCUUUAUCCUUGACUCGGCCAUAGCUUCAUGCUCCUCUCGUGCGUAGGCGUUACCGUGCUCAGCCCACAACGCCCGGUCAAAGACCUCCGCAAAGGUCGUCAACUUGAGAAUUUGCACCUUCUCAUAGAUUCUCGGCUGGAGUCUUCGCAAGAACCAAUCAGCCCGGUCCCGGUCAUCACGAACAACAUCCGGGACGCAAUCGAUAAUGUGGGAGAACUCCUGCUCGUAGUCCGCUACCAAGCGAUCUCCUUGUCUCAGUUUGCGGAACUUUUCUUGUAGCUUCCGCUUGACCGUGUCGGGGAAGUAGUUCGCGAACAUCGCUCUCUUGAACUCCUCCCAAAGCAUAGGCGGAAGAUCGGAUAAUCGAUCCCGCUUGACUCGCUUCCACCACACCAUCGUCGCCUUCUCUAAACAAUGGGUGGCGAGGUACACCUUGUCCUUAUCCGAGGUAUUUAAGUCCUCAAAGAACGUUUCCAUUGAGUCGAUCCACGACUCCACUACCGCUAGCUCCACCAUGCCACCUUCAAAGCUAGGUGAGUUGAACUUCCUAAACUGAAUGAGAGCCGCCAACGCGCGCUCCCGCUCUGCCUCUACCGCCGCACUAUCGGGAUUUGAUGUUCCCGAUCCGGCCGGCACUACCGUGACUGGCACAGCUGCCGCUGCCGCCGCUCAAUCGACUCCACUCGGCACCACCACAGGGCGCACGACAUGCUCGGCACCCACCUGGGCCGCCGCCGCUUGCUGACGCUCCAAAGCCUCCUGGAGUCGUUGAAUCUGCUCCGCUUGGCGUUGAACAGACUCCGCUUGUUGCCGUACCACGCCAAUAAGCGCGGCCAUUUGCUCCCGAAGCUCACCGUCGCCACUUGCUCCGGAUUGCUCGGGCACCGCAUUUGGCUCCUCUGGCAUCGACCUUGUUCGAGGUCCACCACGAGCCAUUGCUUCCUGAAAUGAAGCAACUCAUAUUAGCUACACGACCAACAUUACUAAGCCAUACCCAAUUCGGCGAAAGCAACUUAUGUUUCCAUCCUCACUCCAAAGCAUUAUGUCGUCAGCCGCCCGACACAACACCAAGAGUAGAGAACAAACAUCAAUUCAACUUAGUCCCUAAUCACAUUAGAGACAUCCUAACUCAACCCAAUCACAUGCUUUUGCUAACUUUAAUCCAACGUCACUCACGUUUCCUAGAUCCUUAAGGUUUUCCAAUCCUAAGGGUCUCUAGGUCCAUUCCUAUUCUUUCACUUUAGGCUCUGAUACCACCAUAUCUGUCACACCCCGGGACCGAUCCCUUUGGCCGGCCCAGGCACAUCGAACAGAUGCCGAACGGACAGAGUUUCCCCUGUCCGCCCAAGGCUCAACACAUGUACAAUUCAAGCAAAGAGAAUGCACAAGCAGAAAUAUACAUAAUGGCUUACAUGAGGGUAAGCAAUAGCCAGAGUGAAAAAAUAUUAGACUAAACAACUCACAAGUAAAAUGAUUAACUUUUAACCAUUUACAAGCAUUCAACUAUCACAUUGCCUUUACAUUGCUUUUCAUCAUUUCUUUUUACAUGACAUUUCCUCAAAAUAAAAGAUUACAUUCUUUUCUUUAACAUCUCUAAUCAUCAAAUACAAAAGAUAAUAUAAGGGAAUCAUCUACUAGCAAUAUAUGAAAACUCGACUCGGGUGGUCUCUGUCUACGGCGCGAUACCUUUACCGCGGUCGCUCGCCGGCUCGCUCGGUCCCGGCUCUAUGGAAAUAGUGGGGUGAGAACUAUAACGAAGUUCCCAGUGGGUUCAACCCCAAUCUCACCGACUUUCCCACUAGGUCUAACUCAGGCAUAAUAGAAAGAAAUAAGCAGAUAAGUAACCAGCUGUACGAAUGCAACUAAUAUGCCUGAACAAAGCUAUCAAUAAGGAUGCUCAAUAUAAACUCAUGAAGAAUGCAAGUACUUUGAUCUCUUGUUCAAUCUCAUGGCUAAUCCGUGGGUUUCGCCGCUUUAACUCACCAACUCAAAAUUCCAAAUCGUCCAGGAGACUCCUACGACCCGACGGGGACCGUCCUCUGGGGAACAGCACCAACCCAGUGAUGACAAACUCCGGAGCGCAUCGCUCGAGGGGGAGCUACCGCCCUCGAGCAAGGACUUAUAGCGAGUAUGAUCCAAUCCUUAACUCUAAGGAUGUCAAGUUCAAUCCGUUCCUUAACUAUAAGGAAAUUAUGCACAAAUGACCCUUAGCUCUAAGGUUGUAUGCUAUUGUGUCUCAAUCUCAAGUUCUUUGCAUUCUUUGUUUUCAAUCAUGUCAUUACACUAACUCUAGUGUUCUUUAUGCCACAUUUGUUGCUAACUCUAGCUUUGUUGUUCUUUAUGCCGCACUUGUUCUCUUUGAUGCCACACACUAACUCUAGUGUUCAAAUACUUUAGUACUCAUUAUCCUCGUUAAUGCCACACACACUAACUCUAGUGUCAUCUUUGCAUUUACUAAUGCCACUCGAUCUACAUGUCAAAGUGUCACCUUUGUUCUUUUACCUCAACUAGAUUUUCAUGUUACAUCUCAUGUAUAUAUAGGGUUCUUAGGUUCUCAACCAUCUCAUAAUGCAAUUGUACUCACAACAUGCAACAUUCACAUAAACAUCAUCUCAUUCACCCUAAAAUGCAUGCAACAAUACACAUAUGUAUGCUCAAUAAGUGACACAUUAGACAUAGGAAGGAUUUCAAGGAGUUUGGAAAGCACCACCAACCUCGUAGGCUUGCUAAGGUGCUCGGGUUCAAAUUUCAUGAUUUUUGGCUGCCUAUUUCCUUGCCUGCGGCAAAACGAAGCCAAAUUAGGCUUUUUGCUCAUAUCUUCGCAUAGUCUUUUCGUAACGUCAAACCGAGCGCACGAACGCGUCGGGAAUACCCCCAAUUAGGUUUCUAGAGGGUCAAUUUGACUUUGGAACCCUCGCAUGCAAAAGCUCCAAUUUGGUGCCCUAGCUUUCACAUAUAUACAAAACCCUUAGUUUGAUCUCAUCCAUAAGCAAAAGAAAGCUUAUUAUCCUCUAGAGGUUCCAUUAAAACCAUCCUUAGGUCAUUCAAAACCCAUCCUAGGGUUCUACCAUGAGAGGGGGCAAAGCUUACCUCAAAGCUUUCCCUUUUCUUGCACCAAUGAGGAAGAAGAAGAUGGUGAUCCACUCCUUAACCUCAUUCUCCUCCAACUUCUCCUCCUUGCUCCACCUCUUGAGGGAGAGAGAGAUUUCCUAGAGAGAGAGAGAGAGCCUCUCAAACAUGUGUGUGUGUGUGGGAGAGAAUGAGGAAAUAAGUCCUCAUCCCCCAUAACAUAACCCCACAAAUGCAUAUUUGCAUUUAGAUCUCUCAACUUUGAUCUCUAUGCACUGCCCAGACUGGGCAUUUUUCGGGCACGGGGACCGGUCUCUCUAGCAAGGGACCGGUCCCCGAGAGCUGAUCUCAUUGGACUUAGCCAAUUUUCAUCAAUUCUGGGAUUUUACGCGCACGAGGACCGGUCCUUCCCCCAGGGACCGGACCUUCAGAGACCGGACCUUCAUCAAGAGACCGGUUCCCGAGAGCUCUCUUUUCUGUCUACGCGCAUAGGGACCGGUCUCUCCCGCCAGGGACCGGUCCCCGAGAGCUAGUUUUCCAACACUUAGCCAUUUCACCAAUUUCACACCUACGGGGACCGGUCUCUCCCACCAGGGACCAGUCCCCAAGAGCUCAAAAGCUGUAGUUUGCAGAUUUUUUAUUCUCUAGCUCUCGAAGAUCUCCUACAAUGCACUUUUGCUCUUUUUGAUGCCUUCGGCCUUUCCGAAGCGUACCAACCUCGCACUUUGGUCAUUUUGACUAAAGUUCGAUAUUCGUUUACCGAGAUUUCGGUAUAUCACAUGCACAACCUAUCCAAACUAUUCUCGAUGGAUCCAACUAUACUCUAUGGGUUCAAGACAUGCGAAACUUUCUCAAAGGACGUAAAUUAUGGCGAUAUGUCACCGGGGACAUCACAAAACCAGUCCGUCGGACGAAUGAAGCUGAUGGUGCGUACAAGCUUAGAAUAGAAGAAUGGGACAACAACAAUCAUAAAGUGAUUUCUUGGUUUGAUAACACAUCCAUCAAAUCAAUUCGUCAGCAAUUUGGUAAAUUUGAUACCGCCAAAGAGGUAUGGGAUCUUCUAGCCAAGAGAUAUUCUGCUACUAGUAGUGCUUCUCGUUAUCAGCAUAUCACUACUUUACAUCGCAUGCGUCAAGAUAAAAGUCAAUCUAUAUCUGAUUUUUAUUCACAAAUGCCAUAUAUUUGGGAUCAAUUGUCUUUAUCCGAACCUCAAUGGGACUGCUCUAAUGAUGCUAAGAAAUUCUAUGAAUAUCGCGAUGAUAUCGCGAUGUUAUGCAUCUUUAUCAAUUUCUCAUAGCAUUGGAUGAUAAUUAUGAACAAGUUCGAACAAGUUUGUUACAUUGUGAUCCUUUACCAAGUAUUGACAAAGCUGUAGCUGAAUUGAUUGCCGAAGAAACUCGGAAGAAUAUUUCGCAUGUUUCUUUUGAUAAUGUGUUAUCAACCACAAUUGUGCCUACUAAUAUCGCCUUGGCCACUGCUUCUAAUCCCACAACCAUUAAUUCAUGUAAAUAUUGCAAAAAGAAAGGACAUACAAUUGAGAAUUGUUGGAAACUUGAAAGAAAAAGGCGUGACAAAGAACCAAGAAUGACUCUUUCCGCCGCUCUGCUGCUGCUGUUAACACCAAUUCAAAUGACGAAGCUGCUUCUACCACCCCUACUAUUUCCGCAAAGGAUCUUGAGGCAAUAAUAAAUCAGGUAUUGUCCCACACAAACUUACAAUCCUCUUCUCUUUUUGCCGCAUCAGGUAAUUCUUCUUAGUUUUUUGACUUAGCUUGUUGCAAUCAUAUGACACCCAAUCGUUCCAAUUUUUCUUCGAAAAAUGUUGCUUCCAACACUUCUCCUAUUCGAACUGCUGAUGGAUCACUUAUGCAUAUUAGCCAUAUUGGAUCCUUUAAUACUCAAGACGUAUCAAUAUCUGAUGCAUAUUUGGUGCCUAAACUAUCAAUGAAUCUUCUCUUAGUAGGACAAUUAUGUGAUCUUGGCUUUGAUAUUUGUUUUUCUCACACUGGUGUUGUUGUGCAGGAUUCACUGACCAAACGGAUCGUUGGGACCGGGCAUAAAAUUGGUCGUAUGUUUGAGCUAGAUUCAUUGCACCUACCUCAAUCUUCAUCUGCCGCUAUUACGAAUUCUGGGUUAUCUUCUAAUUCUCUUAGUCUUUGGCAUUCUCGUCUUGGUCAUGUCUCCAAAUCCAGAGUCAAAGACUUAGCUUCUAGUGGUAAACUUGGUUAAGUUGAGUUAUCCGAUUUUAGUUGUAUUUCUUGCCAACUUGGAAAACACUUAGCAUUGCCAUUUAGUAAUAGUAAAUCUUUUGCUAUUGCACCUUUUGAUCUUGUGCAUUCUGAUGUUUGGGGUCCAUCUCCUAUUGCCUCAUUAGGUGGAUCAAGAUACUUUGUAAUAUUUGUUGAUGAUUUUUCACGAUACAUUUGGAUCUAUUUGAUGUGUCAGAAAUCUGAAUUGUUAGGCAUUUAUCAAGAAUUUUCGACUAUGAUAAAAACCCAAUUUUCUCACACUACAAAAGUUUUCCGAUCUGAUAACGCUUCAGAAUAUAAACAAAAAGAGUUUUUAUCAAUUCUUAAGCAAGAUGGAAUAAUUUCUCAUGCCUCUUGUCCUGGCACCUCUCAACAAAAUGGUCAUGCCGAACGUAAGCACCCACACAUUUUGGACACUGUUCGUACUCUUCUCAUCUCUACAUCUAUUCCCGAACAAUUUUGAGGGGAAGCUGCUUGUUAGAUGUAUGCCCUAGAAGCCAACCAGGCAGACACAUAUAUUCUUUCUAGGACAUAAAUUUGUAUUUAACUUUAAAAUAUUAUGACUAUAUUUGGAUUUUUAUUUCCAUUCAUGUUGUGUAUGUGUCCAUGAAUCGUCCAAGGAAUUAAUAAGAUGAUGACAUAUAUUCUCAAGAGUUGAGAAAUUGAGACAUGUGUCAUUGGUGGUUAAUUCCUAAAUGCUCCCGAUCAAUGAAUCAUCAUGGGGACGGUGAUUGAUCCGGUGAGAUUGGUGCAUAGGUCGCUUCCCUUUUGGGUAGACGGGUCUCGAGUCGACAGUGUGGGGACAUUGAAGCGAAUAUGCAGGUGGUUGUUAGAGAACAAGGGUAUCGAGCGUGACCAACGCGAUAAGUCACUUGGAUGUCUACUCACUCGUCAGUGACUUACUCAAUGUUGCAGUAGUGUGACUGGUCCUUUGACCUGCGGUGCUUCGGCUAUUCACAAUGAGGUUACUGUAGUUUGACUGUACAUACACUUGGUCCCUAGCCAUUCGGGUCCUUGCGGUGCAUGUUGGCUGCAGUAGGUUCAUUGUAGGAAUAGGGUGCGCACUUAAAUGGAAUCUAUCUCCCUUAGUAGAUAGGGGCGUUAGUCCUAUGUGAUUUAUGAGACCGAGUUUAGAAGAUCUUGGCCAGGGCAGAGUUAAUAGCAGAAAAGGGUUUUCGAUAUUAGAAACUCGAGUCGAAUAAAUUUAACAUAUGACAGACGAUGGAGUUUGACGAGUUAUUCCAUAACCACCAUCUAGUUGGGACUCAUGAUAGAAGGAUUGUAUCACACGGUAACUCCACCAAGAGGUUUAGUAUUCCGUUCUACUAGAAUGCCACUACAUGCUGCUAGGCGUCACUGGUGGAUUGUGAGACUCAUGAGAAUUAUCUAGAUGAUCGAUAAUUCUCAUUGGGCUGAGUUGGAAUUGUUUCGAUCCACUUAAAGGAGUUUCAGUGAUAUUGUUGAUAGUGAUCAAAAUAUAUCUCACUACUAGAUAGAAUAAAACCUAUGGGGUCACACACAUAAGAGGUUGUGAUUGAUCGGAUAGCUAGAUCGCGAUUAUUGAAUCGCCGGAGGACCUAAUUGUCAAUAUGUUGAUAAUUGGACUAAUUUGUAAUUAUUGCGAAUUAGUAGUAUUAAAGUGUAAAUGUUACAAGAGAGGACUUACUAAUAGUUAGUAAAUUAUAGAUGACUUAUGUGCAAAUGUUGCAUUAUUAAUUUGAUAUGAUCAAAUUAAUAUAAAGUUCAAGUCAAAUCAAAUUAGGAUUUGAUCGAUCUAACCAAUUAAGGAAAGAAUAAAUUUAAAUCUAGAUUUGUACUUAUCCUUAAUGGUUAUUAUAUUAUUAAAAAGAUGAUUAUAUUCCUCUAUAUAAUAAUACAGGAGUUUUUAGAAAACCUUAGCCGUCAUCUCUCUUCUCCUCUCUCUUCCAUAUUCUAGCAAGAAAAACGUCCUUUUGCAAGGGAGCUAGCACACCGGUGAAGACAUCGGUCAAAUCAAGAAUCUCGUGUGGAUACCUAUAGAGGCCAGACGCGUGUGCGGCUUCAAGAGAACCCAAUUCCACGAUCAUCAAAUUGAGGUGAAGAUCUAUCCGCGAAAAAGAUAAAGAUUCGAUUUUACUUUUCUCCUUUAAUCUUAAAGAACAUGAGGGAUCCAAAUUGCGUGGUUUUUGAGAUUGGAUCUCGAGAGUUUUUCAAAAUCAAAUUUGUUUGAUUUCUUUUUCCGCUGCGUUUUUAUAGUACGCAAUUUUCUAACACUGCUUUCACUGCAAUUUACACCAUUAAUAGAGUUCCUUCUAAUGUUAUCGCUAAUCAAUCUCCUUAUUAAUGUUUGUUUGGUAAACCGCCUGAUUAUUCCGAUCUAAAGACUUUUGGGUGUGCAUGUUUUGUUCUUCUUCAAUCUCAUGAACAUAACAAAUUGGAAUCCCGCUCUCGUUUGUGCUAUUUUCUUGGUUAUGCAUUGAACACAAAGGUUAUAGGUGUUAUGACCCUGUUAGUAAACGCCUUAGAAUUUCUAGACAUGUGAUUUUUUGGGAGCAUACAAUGUUCUCAAGUCUCUCCAAAUUUCAUGUUUCUUCUUCUGAUUCACAUUUUUUUACCAAUUUGACAAUUGAUCUCUUUCCCGAAAAUAAUAAUACAAGCGAAGGUGAUGACAUUUCAGCUCAAACAACAACCACAAUUAACUCACCCGAUGAAUCCAGAAGGUCGGAUGAUUCCUAUGAACAAGCCAUGUAUGAGUCAAGCACUCUCAUUGAUCCUACCACUUUUGUCGAUGUUCGUCAAUCUAGUAGGGUUAGAGCUCCACCGGCUAAACUCAAAGAUUACCAUUGCUAUUUUGCAAUGGCCACUUUGCAUGAACCUUAUACCUUUCGUAAAGCCUCCUCUAAUCCUCUUUGGCAGCAAGCAAUGAAAGAAGAACUUGAUGCUCUGCAGAAAAGCAGAACUUGGGAUGUGAGAUAUUGAAACUUGAUGAAAUUUGGCUAACUUUGGUCAAAUGGACCAAAGUGGGCAAUUGAACGGUUUGGACAAGUUCCAUUCGGCAUUCCAACAAGUUCGGAAGAGCAAAAAUGAGUUCCAAAGGUGUUGGAAUGGUUUUGACAUCGAUCGGCGCGAAGUAGAGCCGAAACGAAGUGAAAAUAGCAUUCUGGAGCUGUUGUACCGGUACAAGGGUGAUGGCUGUACCGGUACAACCAUCGCUGCCAGGUUGAGUAGCUCUCGGGUUUGAGGGCUUCAGGCGCUGUACCGGUACAAGGCCCUCUUGUACCGGUACAAGCCCGUCGAAACCGAGAAACCGAGCGCUCGGGUUGCGCUCGGGUUGGCUGUCUCCCAGGCCUUGUACCGGUACAAGAGCCCGUGUACCGGUACAAGGGACCCCGAACAGCGGGUCUGCUUUGAAAAAUAGAAAAGUAGAGGGGCUUUUUGAGAUAUUGUUAUAAUAGAGGGUUAAUACACCUCUCUCUCAGCCACUCCCUCCCACUCUUAGCCUCUCUCUCACUCUCUCACACACCUCUCUCUUUCUCUACCCGAAAGAAGAAGGAGAAGAAGAAAGAAGGAGAGAAAGAAAGAGAAGAAGAAGGGAAAAGAAGGAGAAGAUCAAGGAGAAGAAGAAGAAGCUUCUCUCCCUCCUCUUCUUCAAGCUAGGGCUUGCUUUGGAGCAAACCCUAGAGGUAAGCCUCAACCCUAACUUGUGAAUCUAGGGUUUUGGGAGCUUUUUGUUGGUUUUAUUGGUUCAAAUAAAACCUAAUGAGCUUAGAGGAUAUGGAUCUAGCUCACAUUGAAGCUAGAAACCAUGGGUUCCCAUGGUUUCUAAACCUAGGGCUUGAUUUUGGGAUUUUUGAGAAUAUAGGGUUUUGAUCUAUUUUGAUGGGUCGGAAACCUAAUUGCUAUGUUCCCGAACGCGUAGGCGAAGACGGUUCGUCGAUCCGUCGAACGAGCGCGGAGAUAUCGCCGAUUUGGGUGCUCUAGGGUUCGUUUUGACCCAAGGUGUUGAAGCGGCGCACGUGGACCGCGACGCCGAGUUUCUCAGCUUUCCGGCACUACCACAAGGUGGGUGGUGACCAUCCCGAAGCAGCGGGGCUACCUUCUAUGUCUAAGUUUAAUAUUGAUCUAGUUGCAUCUUGUGCAUAUACAUAUAGGGUUAGAUGAUCGUUGUUGCUUAUGUUUGCAUGCUAGUAGUUAUACAUCUUGUUGAUUGAUCCAAGAUCCAGUAUGCAUGAAAUGUAUGAUGAAGACCUAGACCCUAUAUGUGGUGAUUAAUGUUUAUGUGAUUAAAGAACUAGUGUGAUGUAACUAGUGUUGAAAAUGAGUCUAAAUGACGAGUGGCAUCUAGUUUAGAAAACUAUGACGAGUGACAUCUAGUUAUAGAAAACUAUGACGGAUGGCAUAUGAUUGUUGAUGACCUUGAUAUGAGAACAUUAGUGUAGUUGAGACACUAUGAGAUUGGGUACAAGAAUACCUUGAUUCCAUGAUGAGAUUACCCUUAGAGGGUAGGUUGCUGAUGUUCGUGAGUUGAUCGUGCUCACAUUGCCUGUCUGCGCUUGGAGGGGUCGCUCCCCACAAGCUGUGCACUCCGGAGGUUGGUCACUAGAGGGACAGUCAGUGUGCUGUCUGGACGGUCUGUGUGCUGUCCGCAGGCGGUCUCGGGGAAUAGUUCAGUGAGACUUUUCCCUAUGAGACUUACACGUGAGAUAUGUUCGUGAACCCGAGUUCACCAUGAGAUUUGGUUACCUAUUGAGUCACACUCAUUAUUGUUGCUCAUGAUAGCUUGAUUACAUAGCUUACUUGUUGUUCAUGAUAGCUUGCUUACAUAGCUUACUUACCCAGCUUUAUUUGUUGCUCAUGCAUUCAUGAUAUCAGAUUGAGGCAUAGUUCGAUAUUCAUAUUCUAUAUACCUGCUUCAGUUCAGCUUAACUUUAUAUAUAUAUAUAUUGCAUAUAUAUAUCCUUCUAUGCCUGCUUAAGACCUAGUGGGUAGAUCGGCGGAGUCGGCGGCCGAACCCACUGGGGACUAUUCGUAGUUCUCACACCCCACGUUGCAGGUGCUAGUUCGAGUAUCCCCACCGAGCGGGAGGAUCGCGGCAAGGGCUUGGCGCCCUAGCGUAUUGGUUGAUAGCUUACUUUUCUACUUGCAUUAGUUCACCCUGCUUUUACAUUUUAAGAGUAGAUGUUGUAUAGGGUGAGGUUUUGGAGAGUAUAUGAUGUAUUUACAUUUUUGAAAAAGAAUGCAAAUUGUAUUAAAUGGUUAAAGCUUUAAUGACAUCAAAGAGAUUGAAUGUUUCAAUUAUGUCUCCAAUAAUUAAGUUAUAUCUCUUUUGUAUACUUGUAUGCUUCUUACUGGUAUCGCUUGCUCUUGUUGGUUUUAGCACUUUUCGUGCUCCUGUUAUCGUUGCUUGAUUGUGCAUGUAAUCAAGUUGUUUUCCUGGGAACUUGUUGUGCACAAUCUUGUUGGUUAGCCUAGGGCGGACAGGGGAGACUCUGUCCAUUCGGCCUCACGCCCGCCGCCCUCGAACCAGACCAAAUCGGUACCGUUUUCGGGUCGUGCGGUUGGGGGCGUGACAUGGGACGUAGUUGAUUUACCUUCAGGGAAAUCAGCAGUCGGUUGUAAAUGGAUUUAUAAAAUCAAAGCUCGCUCGGACGAUAGCAUUGAGCGCUUCAAAGCUCGCCUUGUAGCCAAAGGCUUCACUCAAGAAUAUGGUAUCAAUUAUGAAGAAACAUUUGCUCCAGUAGCUCGCCUCACCACAGUUCGAUCUCUUAAUGCGAUAGUUGCAACUCGCCACUGGUCUCUUUUUCAAAUGGAUGUUAAGAAUGCAUUUCUUAACGGUGAUCUUGAUGAAGAAGUUUAUAUGCUACCACCUCCUGGUUUGGAUCAUCCUCCAAAUAAGGUCUGUCGACUUUGAAAAGCUUUAUAUGGGUUGAAACAAGCUCCAAGAGCCUGGUUUUCUAAAUUCAGCUCUACAAUCAGUCGUUUUGGCUUUUCUUCUAGCCCAUAUGAUUCAGCUCUAUUUUUGCGUCGACAAAGGGUAUUAUCAUUCUACUACUAUACGUAGAUGAUAUGAUCAUCACUGGUGAUGAUAUACAGGGCAUUCAAGACCUCAAAUGCUCUCUUAGUGAACAAUUUGAAAUGAAAGAUUUGGGCACACUGAGUUAUUUUUUGGGCAUUGAAAUAACAUCGUGCUCUGAUGGCUAUUUCUUAUCUCAAGCCAAAUAUGUAGAUGAUCCCUUAUCUCGAACUGGACUAUCAGAUAGCAAAAUUGCUGAUACACCAUUAGAGCCUAAUAUUAAAUUUCGUCCAACUGACGGAGAGCCACUCGCUAAUGCUACUCUCUAUAGGCAAUUAGUGGGUAGUCUUAUCUAUCUUACAGUUACCCGACCAGAUAUAUCAUAUGUUGUGCAUUUGGUAAGUCAAUUUAUGGCUUCACCACGAUCAGUUCAUUAUGCUGCUGUUCUUCGCAUUUUAAGAUAUAUUUAAGGAACUCUCUUUUAUGGGCUCAAGUUUUCUUCUUCUUCACCUUUGGAACUUCGCGCAUAUUCGGAUGCCGAUUGGGCAGGGGAUCAAACAGAUAGGAGUCUUAUCUAUCUUACAGUUACCUGACCAGAUAUAUCAUAUGCUAUGCAUUUGGUAAGUCAAUUUAUGGCUUCACCACGAUCAGUUCAUUAUGCUGCUGUUCUUCGCAUUUUAAGAUAUAUUAAAGGAACUCUCUUUCAUGGGCUCAAGUUUUCUUCUUCUUCGUCUUUAGAACUUCGUGCAUAUUCGGAUGCCCAUUGGGCAGGGGAUCAAACAGAUAGGAGAUCCACCACUGGCUAUUGCUUUUUAUUAGGAGACUCUCUCAUCUCUUGGCGUAGUAAGAAGCAAAAUGUUGUUGCUCGCUCUAGCACUGAGGCGGAGUAUCGUGCACUUGCUGAUACAACCACCCAAUUACUUUGGCUUCGCUGGCUACUUGCAGACAUGGAUGUUCCUCAACAUUCAAGCACUCCAUUAUAUUGUGACAAUCAAAGUUGUCACGCUCCGAGACCGCUACCCAUUUCGUCCGGUUCGGGUACGUCGAACAGACGCCGAACGGACAGCACCUCCCUUGUCCGCCCAAGGCUCAAGCACGGGAUCAUGUACAAGAAUUCGCCUAGGAACAAUUCAAUACAUACAUGAUCCAUACAACGACAAUAGAAGCACCACAAGUGCUUAACAACAAGAGCAAGUAACACAAGUAUACAUACAAGUGCAAAAAGAGAGAAUUCUAUCUAUUACAUCAUAUUCAUCCACAGUUUACAUUUUGUUUCAUCCAAAAUAUAGGUACAAGUUCAUUCACAUCUCUCCAAAAUGCAUCUCACAACCUAUACAUCAUCUACUCUCAUAUAUGUAGGUACCUCUUAUGCAGUAGGAGAGCUACUAAUGCUAGGGCGCUAAGCCCUUACCGCGAUCCUCGCCCGGAGUGCUCAUACUCGGCCCUGCAACAAAGUGGGGUGAGAACUAUCGUCCAUAGUUCCCAGUGGGUUCGGCCGUCGACUCCGCCGAUCUCCCCACUAGGUCCAAGUGGGCACAAGCAGAUAGAUAGAUAGAUAGAUAUGUGAAAACAGUAACAACAUAGUAAGAAAGCUAUGCUACUAUGCCCAAAUCAUAUACAAUGUAUGCAUGCACAAUGUGAUAGAUAAUCAACUAUAUACUACUAUGUCACUAUAUCCAAGAAGUAAUGUCCAACAAGCAAUGCUAAUCUCUUGUUCACCCAAUCCUUGGCCAACCCUGAGGUUUGCCCAUGACUCACAUGCAUCUCAUGGGUAAGGAGACUCAACUCGCUCAACAAACCUGAGACCGUCUGCGGGACCCCAUAAGGCUAUCCCUCGUGUGACAAACUCCGGAGCGCACGCUUGUGUGAAGCGACCACCACAAUCUCAACAGACAGUGAGUAUGAUCCAAUCCUCUCAACUCGAGAACACCCUAUCCACUAGGGUUAACAGUCACUCGGGAAUCCACUUAUCCCAAUGUCCAUAUGCAAGUGCUUAACUACACUAAGUUCUUGUUCAAUGACUCAUCUCUAGGGAAUCCGCCUAUCCCUAAGUUCACAUGUCAAGUGUUACUUUGCUCUAAGUUUUAUGCCACUUGUUCUGUUGUCAUUAUUAUUUAUAUGCCACUCGUUAUGUCUUUAUCAACCAUCGAGUCCAUCCCUUAUCUUAGCACUAUAGGAUUCAAUGUCUCGACCCAAUCCUCAUCUAUCCACUAUAUCAAGCAUUCAACUCACACUAUGAUAUUGUCUAGGACAAGCAUAAGAAAAUAGAAAUGCACAUUUAUCCUACAAUGCAUAUAUGCAAGAGAUGCAAGAUUACAAUGCACUAAGACAUAAAAGAGGAGCCCGGUUGCUUCGGGAUAACACCACCUACCUUCUAGCGUUGUCACGACUCUAGGAAUGUAAGUCGGCGAUUUUACGACGUUGUCUCGGCCUCCCAGGCGGAAACGAAGCUCGGAAGGUCCUUUUCGCCAAUAACUUUGCACAGGUUCGACGGAUCGCCAAACAGACUUCGCCUACGCGUCAGAAAGCCUAUCAAUUAGGUUUAUGCAUGAUCAAUUUAGAUCAAACUCUACUACAAGGCAAAACCCCAUUUUGGAGCCCUAAUUUGCGAUCAUGCAAGAAUCCAACUCUAAAUCUCCAAACUCAUGCAUUAAACACUUGUUAAGCAUGCUAGAGUUCCAACUAAAUCAACUCUAGAGUAUAAAACCCAAACCCUAGAAGUUCACCAUGGUUGAGCUUCAAGCUUACCUCCAAAAGCUAGCAACAAUGGUGAAGAGGAAGAAGAAGAUGAUGAAAACCCCUCUCCUUGCUUGCUUCUCCACCAAAACCCUAUCUUUUUUCACCUUCUAGAGAGAGAAAGAGAUCUUAGAGAGAGAGAGGGAAGUUUUAGGUUUAGGGUUGAGGAAAUGAGAGAGUGAGGGGGAAGGAUGAUCCCCAAGCACUCUUAUAAUGCACAAUUACCAAAAACCCCCUCCACUUUGCAAGCUAUGCACAGCCCAGCCCUGGGCAUUUUCGGGUACCGGGACCGGUCUGUCCCUAGAGGGACCGGUCUGUCCCUAGAGGGACCGGUCCCCAAGAGCAAGAUUUGCGAGCAGAGCCAUUCUGCCCAUUUUACGCGUACGGGGACCGGUCUCUCCCGCCAGGGACCGGUCCCCGAGAGCAAAACUUGUGCGCAGAGGAUUUUCUGCCACUUUCCAAGCUUACGGGGACCGGUCUCUCCCACCAGGGACCGGUCCCCGAGAGCAAAAUCUGCAAUUGUGCAGAUUUACACAAUUUGCUCUUCGAGGCCCUCCUUAAUGCACUUUUUGAGUUUCUGACGCCUUCGGUCUUUUCGAAGCGUACCCAAUUGACAGUCAGUCAAUUCUAACCGAAGUUCAACUCUCAUAUUUCAAGAAUUCACUUCCUUACAAAAGUGCUAUUCAAAUAGCACAUAAUGAUGUUUUUCAUGAAAGGACUAAGCAUAUUGAAAUAGAUUGUCACUUUAUCAGGCAUCAUCUAGUGCAGAGUAAACUCCACCUCUGCUCAAUCUCAUCGGCUAAUCAACUUGCGAAUAUUUUCACCCGACCUCACUCUACUAUGCUAUUUAGAGAUUUAUUGUCCAAACUCCAGUUGACAUCUAGUAUGCCACCUUGAGUUUGAGAGGGGAUGUUGAAGAAAUAUUAUUUCUUGAUUGGGAUGGACAUUCCAUCUAAAUAUUAUAUGUCUUCUAUAUGAAGAAGAUCAUGCAACCUUCCAUAUGAGUAAAAUCCUACAACAUAAUUUGUGCUACUCUACCAUGUAUAUGAUUGUAUAAUAUUUUAUUUCUAUGAUUAGCCAAGUUGUCAUUUUGGGAUGUAAGAAUCAUGUAUAUAUUAGUGUUAAUGGAGAACAUAGAAGAACAGAGAGUUUUUCUCAUCUUUAAAUUCACUGUUUCUAUUUGAAUAUUUUCAACAAUUUAACCUACUAAAUUAUAACAAAUCAAAAAAUUCAAGCUAAAAAUUGUAACAAAUUAAAGUUUGAGAAUCAAAGUCUCACACACGUCAUAGUUUUGAGGAUCAAAGAUGUAAUUUACUCAAAUAAAUAAAAGAAGAUGAUCAGAAACAGUACCACACACAACACUAAGGCAAUUUUAAGUGUUCAACUGAAAAGACAACCAAAUUCUACUCUAUAUACAGGUGUAAAAAAGCAUGUAGAAGCCCAAAAGGCGAUCUUCCUUAAUUUCCUCAUCAAGCUCGUGGUUUUUUUGUUUAAUCUGAAUAUCCAUAUGCUAUUUAAGUAUCACAGCUCCAUCUCGAUGUGGGAACGCAGUUCAAAUAGUGGCACCAGUGGCAAUGAUCAUUCAAAUUCUUUUCUUUGAAAAGCAUUACUAAACCAAUUGUAAAUCUGCAAUCAAACAUGGAAACAACAGUUAGCAGAGAGUUUCUACUACUUUCAGAAAGAAAAAAGGACAAGAUAAGAGUUCUGACUAAGCUAUUGGAGAAUGUUACAAAUUGACUCUGCUUGUUAUCCGCCUUUGUAAGAGCUGUUUGAGUUGCUAGAAAUUUCGGAAUGACAAAGCUUAUUUUAGCUUCCAUUUCAAAUUGGUGCUACCGCUUUAGGGUCCAAAAGUUUCAACUUUCUAACACUAGUGUGACUUCCAGAUUUCUAUCUUCACGACGAAAUGCCUGACUUCUGCUUCUUGAGGGGGUGUGUAGAAGCUAGGUGGUUUUCAAAUAAAAAGUGUAGUCCUUUUGGCUAAAGAGUAGGACCAAAACAAGCCUCUGGCCCUACAAAUCAAGUUAGCGAAAGACCAAAACGAGGUGCUGAGCCCUAAAAGCAGAGUUCCAAUUUUUAGCUUCUAGCUGCAGUAGAAAGAUAUGGAAGGGAUGGGGAUUUUAUGGGAAGCACUAAGGCUUCCUCAAACAGCUUUUACUCGAACAGCUUUUAUUCGAACAUCACUUCCACAAAAGCUCCAGAAAGGUCGAAAGGAACAAAAAGUGUGUACAAGUCACAGAUACUCUUCUGGGCAUACUUACCCAGCUAACAGCAGAACCAGUGCAACAACCCAUAGCACAAAUUGGUAAGGCUUGUAUUUUGAUCUCAUUUGACGGGACAGGGGCAAGUCAUGGCGUUCAUUCCAACCAAAUCUCGGCCGGGGGAAUAACACAAACCCAAGGAGAAAACCUGUCAAAAACCCUCCAAUAUGUGCAAAGUUAUCGACAUGUGGCAGGAUCCCAAUGGCCAAGUUGAUUGCUAUGAUGAACAAAAGGGUUAAUAAAGCUGCCGCCUACAAAAGCAAACCAAUGAGAUGAGUAACAGAGGAAGAAGCCAAAUAAAGCUUACCAGGAUAUACAAUAAUUCAUAAUGAAUUUAGUUCACCUUAUUGGAAUAGAUGGUCCAGUUUGUGAUGAGCUCUGAAAGCAUGGAUCCGAGUAGACCGAAUAAAGCACCAGAAGCACCCACAGAAAUGCUGUUUCUAAGGAGAAGAGCUGAGAGGACACUACCGCCAAACCCCGAUAGCAAGUAUGUAAGCCCAAUACGAACUGAAAGGCAGGGAACAAAUGAUCACUCUUAUAGAGAAGUAUGUUGAAUGAAUAACUGUACAACUACAAAUGAUACCAAAUCAUCAAAUUCGUUUUCUCAGUUAAGUCCUACCGAAUCCAAAUUGCUGUUCGAGACGGAUUCCGAUGAAAAUCAGGCUCAGCAUAUUAACAAGCAAGUGGAUAAGACCUGCAUGUAGCCAAAUACAGGUAAUGAGCCUCCAUCCCUGAUGUUGACGAACUACCUUGCUCCAUUCAAGAGCCCCCAUCCUUUCCAAUCUGAAAAAAAGGAGUAGAAAAGUAAAUCAAUAACAGGGAACUAUAUCCACCUCUUACACAACUUCAGCUAAAGCUAAAACUGGAUAAAAAAGUAUGCGAAGAAAUUUUCUAAAAAAGGUUCUAUGUCCUUCAAAAGUUCUACGUAUCGAAAAUCAGAAGUUCAGAUACCUACUUAUGAAUCGAACAUUGUACACCAUUAAUUAUUAGGACAACUUGAUGCCUAAGUAAUAUUCUAUUAGAAUUUAUUUUCUUUUACAGUAGACCACAUUCAUCGAAUUAUAUUUUAAUUUUAGCGCAUGGAUCAUCAGAUAUUGCGUGUAGUGCAUGAGGUGUACAGAUACACCGGGUGCAGGAAGUAAUUUUCCCGAAAAGAUUGCAUUGCAGAAGAGUGAAGAGAAAGAAAUACUGACUAUAUGUCCACGCCCACCCACCCUUUAAAACUAAUCCAUCCUCUCAGAAUGAAAGGCUAGUGACACCAAAUGAAAAGUUGCCACUCCCUUACCAAAGCUUCUGCAGCAAGCGAUCACAAGCAAUAGACCUAACUUUAUACGAAAUUGACAAUCUAUAUAUCAGACAAGAAGUAAAAGAAGAGGAGAAAAAAAAGAAGAAGAAAAAAACAACGAUAGAAAUCUCAAGUGGGUAGUAAAAAAUUGGAUAAAUUGCACUACUUUUCUCCAAACUUUUAACCUGGUUUCACUUUAAUCCUUGAACUUAAGUUGGAAAUUCGACACUCCAAAAUUUUUUUUUUGAGAGAUAGGUAGCACGCUACCCGCUUCGUUUUUUCAUUUAGAAAUAAACUUAGCUAGAAAUGUGAAUCAACUAGGAUUCGAACUUGGGUCUCGGGUACCAACCACCAAGCCCUUUGCCACUUGCUCUAGGGACGGUCGGUGACACUCCAAAAUUUUGAAAGCAUUUUAUUUUUGUUCGUCCUCAUCUACUAUCAAAGAAAACAUUAUUUCCUGCACGCGGUGCAUCCGUACAUUCACCCAGCGCGCAUCGAUCAGCACUCAUUCCAACCCAAGCUCAUACUUCGAUCACAUGUAACACCCAUUGAGUGAGUUGUGUUCCUUUGUCUACUUAGAAAUUAAAUGGUUAGAUUGAGAAAAAAACGAAAUGCCUUGAUGAUUCACGAUGCACUGAUGUAUGUUGAAUAUAUGUAUUAAAAACAUCAUUCUCUCGUAGCUUAAGCUUUUGGAGAACAUCAAUGGUUUCAUUUCUUAAGUUCAAAUUUAAAUUCUAAUAUAAGUUUGAUACUUGAAUUUAGUUCUAAAUUUAAAUUUUGACUUCGAACAUAAAUUUGAAUUGUAAAUUCAAAUUUUAUGUUUAGACUGUGAGUUCAAAUUUGAAUUCAAAUCUUGAUUAUGGAAUUGAAUAGUACGUUUAAAUUUUAAUUAAAAUUUAAUUUUUUUAAUUUCAAUUGUUGGAACAUGAUUCCGAUUCCGAUUCCAAUUCCGAUUCCUCUUGUGAACACAGCAAAUUGAAGUUUUUAUCAUUCAGUGUUCUAUUCCGAUUCCAUUCAUAUUCCAAUUUCGAUUCGUAUUCUGAACCAAACGUUUCCAGGACUACUACGGCAGUUUACUAACGUAAACCCAAAAUCUCAACACUCAAAUGCAUUAAGGCCUAGUUUAGUAGUGCAGAGGAAGCACUCCCAAUCUUUUCUCCUCCGAUGCUAUAUAAUUGCGAUAGCAACCGUCGCCGCAGAAGAAGAAUGUAACCAUAAUUUUAUUAGUAUUGGAGGAGAGAUGAGAAGCGCUUUCGUUUCUUUUUUUUUUUCUUUUUUUUUUGGGGAUCUCGUAAUGCGUAAAAGGAGGUGCUCUUGAUCAAAAACGCAAUCUCAAAGUACUGAAGCCCUGAAGCCUAAAAAAAAACAUUUCUUUUUUUUUAAAAAAGAAAGGGAACCGAGACGCAGAGAGGAGAGAGGAGAGAGGAGAGAGGAAGUAGAAAUGGGUUAUGGAGCGUACGUGGAAGAGGAGGGGCCGAGGAGGGGGUUCUCGCGGAGCGGCUGGAAGGAGAGGCGGCGGAGGAAGCGGGCGGCGCAGGGCCCGUAGGGCGUGUAGUGGGCGGGGCAGUUGUUGAGCACCAUCUCCGCCACGAACACCCCCACGCUCGCCACCACGAUCGCCGGCACCAACCACGCCCGCCACCUCCCCGUAAUCUCCCUCUCCCACUCCCACUCCCCCUCCCCCUCCGCCGCCACAACACCGCCGCGCUUCGUCCCGCCGCCGCUGCUCGCCAUCUCCGCCGCGCUUUCCCUCGUCGUCGUCCUCCUCGUCCUCGAAGAUGGUUCGGUUGCGUUUGCUUGGGUUUGAAGAAGAGGAGGAGGAUUGUUCGGUGAGGGAGAUGAUGCGCGUGUGUAACUGUGCAUGAAAGAGAUAGAGAAAGAGAGAGAGUCUAGAGAGUUGUGCUGGCGCCUGGCGGUUUGGUUGCGUUGGGGAUUUUUAUGUACGGGAAACAAUGUUUAGAAUUUAUUGUUUGGAAAGAAAAAGGAAGUGAGAGCGAGACGUGGAAAGUAACUCGGCGUCCGUAACUCGGUGGAUGGGGACAGAGAGACAAGUAUUUGUUCCCUGCGCCUGGUCUAUCUUUGCACCACACUCACCGCGCAUUUUCGGCCUCCUUUAUAUAAAGUUGCUAAUUUUCUAUUUUCUUCCAUAAAAUUUUUUAUAUAAAGUUGUAUGGAAAGGGAUAGUGAUUUAUUUGCAAUCCUUAUAUGCAAAAUAUUUAUUUUUCAAUAAAAAUUAAAAAAAAUUAAAAAUCAUUUUUUUUUGCUUCUAUUUUUUUUUUUUUAUUCGUCUUUGUUAUUUGGUUAAUAAGUAUGUUGUAAACUAACUAACCGUUGGCAACAAACAAAAAAUAUUUUUAUCGGUAUAUCAAAUUAUCUGAAAGUAGUAUUUAAAAGAAUAAAAUGAUGUCAAAUAUGACAUUAAAUACUCCUAAAUAUUAGAUAUAUCAUAUAUUAUAUACUAAAUUAUAUUUUAAUUCAGUAAAAUUAUAUUUUAACUUUAACUAUUGAACUAUUAAUUAUAAAAUAAAUAUGGUGGAUGUGAUGCACAGAUAUGCACAGUGUAUGCAGUAAAUUACUCUUGCCAAGUGGAGGCGACAAAGAAAGAAGUUAUGCCGAAGUAGUUAUCGGAAUACGCGGAACAAGCAGUAUUCGGAUUCGGGGUGGGAGUUGUAUAUCGAGGGAGCUGGGCCUGACAUGUGAGGGCCAUAAGAAAGUGGGCCCCGCACGUCAAUGUAAUGGCCUUUGGUGCAUAUAGUUGUGUAAUGUGGGCUGUGUCGGGCCGGCACGGCCCACAUUUUUCGUGCCAAUUCAGGCUAAGGGGCCGGCCCGGUUCCAAAUUCGGACCCACCACGGUCCUUCGGCCCGAAAGCUCUGGGCUGGUCCCCUAAAAUGUUUAAUUUUUUAUUUUUUUAAAAAAUAUAUAAAAUAUAAAAUAUAAAAAAAAUAAUUAUUUCAAUUUCAAAAUUUAAAAUUUUUAAAAAUAAUUAUAAUAUAACAAGUGUUUAAAUUUUUUUAAAUAUAUAUAUAAUUUUAAUUUUUUUUUUAAAAAAAUUGAUGUGUUUUUGGUCCUGGACCAAAAUUGUUUUGGUCCAUUGGACCAAAAACCUCCUCCCAAGGUCUGCUCACAGCCGACCUUGCGAGGAGAUCAGGAGAUCCACCAACCCUAAGGCCCUCCUCCGUAGGAGAAGGGCCUGGGGUUUGGGCCAUGCUGGCCCAGCGUGCCGGGCCAUGGGCCUCUCCUCGGUCCGGCACAGCCUAGGCCCGUUUCGGGUGGUGCCUAGCCGGGCCGGGCCAUCGGGCCCAAGAGGAGAGGCCCACCACGGCCCUUAAGCUUUGUCCGGGCCGGGCUGGCACAGGUGCUUCAACACCUGUGCCGUGCUCCAGUCCGGCCUGAGACCAUGCCGGGUUGGGCCGCCCGGCCCAUUUUACACCCUCUAGGUGCAUACCAUCGUAACGCUGAAAAUUCUGGUGGUAACUAAUUAAUCACGUUUUAAGCAAACAAGCAUGCAACCACAAAUCACAUUGGGUCAAUUUAACCUUAACAUAGGUUCGGUCUAUAGCAUGACCAUGAUGUUAAUUUUCUUUUUCUUUUUUUUUUUUUUGNGAGAGGGAGAUGGAGGUGCUCAAAGCCUUCCUCUUGAUCUCCUUCUUCUUCUCCUUCCUUGUCUUCCUCUUCUUGUUCUCCUUCUCCUUCUUGUUCUCCUUCUCCUUCUUUCCUUUCUAGAGAGAGAAAGAGAGCAAUAGAGAGAUGAGAGUGAGAGAGAGAGAAAUGAGAGGCUGAGAGAGGGAGUGGGCCAAUAUGCCCCUCUAUUGUAACAAAAUCCACUUUAGCCCCUCAACUUCUCACCCCUUGCACAGCCCUCACUGGGCAGAAUUCGCGCGGAGAGACCGGUCUCCCCGACUUGGGACUGGUCCCCGAGAGCUUCCCUCGGGCGCACGCGUUCGGGAACCGGUCUCUCCCCGGGAGACCGGUCCUCGGGAGACCGGUCCUCGCCUGAGAGACCGGUCCCCGAGAGCUCAAUUUUCAGGACUUAGCCAAAUUUCGGCAUUUCUCGCUGGAACCACGUUUGGGAACCGGUCCCUCACUGCCAGGGACCGGUUGCACCAUGCAACCCCGCACGCCCAGCCGAUGGGACCGGUCUCUCACCUCCAGAGACCGGUCCCCGAGAGCAACUUCAGCCCAAUAAUGCUGUUUGCAUCAUUAGCUCUCGUGGACUCAACUCCAAAGUACUUUUUGUGUUUUGGACAUUUUUUAACUUCCCCAGAGGGUAUUCUCUCGACAGUCAGUCGAUCCUGGACGAAGUAUAACUCUCGAAUUUCGAGAAUUCACUUCCUUACACCGGCGGUAGCGCCACGGGAGGAGGUGAUUGCAGCACCACCAGCUCAGGUGCCUCUAGCGGGGGCGGCUUUCCCCGUGACAGCUGUUGGAGAGGAGCGGGACCGACUAAUGGAGCGCCUCAACGAGUUCAGGAGGUGCAGUCCCCGGAUCUUCGAUGGAGAGAAGGUCGAUAACUGGAUCGUGGAAAAGUGGUUGAUGCAUAUGGAGAAGCUCUUCCGCGACACCUUCGUGGAGGAGAGGGACCGAGUUUGGCUCGCCACAUACCACCUGGACGGCAAGGCCUACCGCUGGUGGUUGGAUAUUCAGGAGAACCCCAGCACAGAUUUGGCGGCUAUUUCUUGGAAGAAGUUCAAGGAGCUUCUAUUGGCGCACUACUUUCCUGACAGCGUCAAGAGGAAGAUGGAGCAGGACUUGCGCAACUUGUGCCAGGGAGACAAAUUUGUGGCCGAGUACGCUCAAAUGGGAUCUAGGCCCUGGCCCAAUUUCAACCUGUCUGGUUAUCGCUCAGCUCCAUCCCUACUUUUCUCUGUUGAACGAGAGGGAGUUUUCUCAGCUUCUGCAUUGCGUGUCUUUCUUCGUGCGGGACGACGAGGACAAGGCCCACAUCUUCGAGCGUGGAUUGCGACCGUCUAUCUUCCGGUUCGUGCAAUCCUCCAACCUCCAAACCUACCGGGAGGUGGUGAAUUGUGCGCUCAUUGUGGAGAGCGGCGCGGCGGAUGUGCAAGAGCGGCGAGAAGGCAUGGACAAGGGUAAGGGCGAAAGGCCCGCGGCGGAGGGUGCGAGUCAGACGCACUUUAGGAGGCCGCCGAAACACCCUAGGAGCCAGCAGCGUAGGCGCGGCUCGGCAGCGCCGCGAGGAGGGUCCGAUCGAUGCCGACCUUCCAAGUGCGUGAUCUGUGGUGGUCCUCAUAUUCCACCGCAGUGCCCGCAGCAGGGAGGGAGGUAUUUUCUGUGCGGCCAGGAGGGCCACUUCCGGACCGAGUGCCCGAGGGGUUCGUCACCGGCAUCGUCGACUGCAUCGGCACCGGCUCUACCAGCCGCCAGCCAGGGGACUCCAUCAGCACAGUACCAGCCUGGGCGGUCAUCCGUCCAGCGUCAGAGCGAGGAUUCUCGACAGGCCACGAGUGGGCGUAUGUAUGCCGCUCAGACCGAGGAGGCGGCAGCAGCCGAGGAUGUGGUUGCAGGUAUCAUUUUUCUUGAUGGCAUUAGAGUUCGUGCAUUAUUUGAUACUGGUGCAUCACAUUCAUUCAUAGAUCGGCUGUUUGCCAAGUUGUAUGGCAUCCCUUUAGUUUCUUUAUUGCAUCCGGGACAGGUUGUAGUACCUGACCACAUUUUGGAUAUUCGAGAGUUUUACCCCAGUUGCCCUAUUCGGGUAGGGGAUUGGAUUAUGCCCGUGGAUCUGCUAGCUUUGCGCAAGCUGAGGGAGUUCGAUGUGGUCUUGGGUAUGGACUGGUUGACCAAGUAUUAUGCCACGAUUGAUUGUGUGAAUCGCAUGGUUACUUUUAGAGAACCGGGGCAGACUGAGGUUAUAUUUAGAGGAUGCCAGAGUUCGCUGUUUGUGAUGACGAUCAGCUCGUCUCGAGCUAGGCAGCUGAUCAGCAGAGGUUGCAUAGCCUAUUUGGCUAGUGUUGUUGUGAGGGGCGAUGAUGACGCCCCUAGGAUUGAGGAUAUCCCGGUGGUGCGGGAGUUUCAGGACGUGUUUCCGGCUGAGCUACCGGGUAUGCCCCCUGAUAGGGAGAUUGAAUUUGUGGUGGAUCUCGUCCCUGGGACUACCCCAAUCUCAAAGGCGCCCUAUAGGAUGGCACCGGCGGAGCUGAAGGAGCUGAGGGCACAGCUGCAGGAUUUGUUUGAUAAGGGCUUCAUUCGACCGAGCGUCUCGCCUUGGGGAGCACCUGUUUUGUUCGUCAAGAAGAAGAACGAAUCACUGCGCCUAUGUGUGGACUAUCGUGAACUUAAUAAAGUCACGAUCAAGAAUAAGUAUUCGUUGCCGAGGAUUGAUGACUUGUUUGAUCAGCUUCAGGGAUCGUGUGUGUAUUCUAAGUUAGACUUGCAGUCGGAAUACCACCAGUUAAAGAUCAAACCCGAGGAUGUAUCGAAGACGGCUUUUAGAAUACGGUAUGGACAUUAUGAGUUCACAGUUAUGCCGUUCGAGCUUACUAAUGGCCCGGCAGCUUUUAUGGAUCUAAUGAACCAUGUUUUUAAGCCUUAUCUAGACAGGUUCAUCGUGGUGUUCAUCGACGACAUUUUGGUUUAUUCCCGAAGUGAUGCAGAUCACGAGGAACAUUUGAGGCUUGUACUUCAAAUACUUCAGGAAAAGGAGCUUUAUACCAAGUUGAAAAAGUGUGAAUUUUGGCUUCGAGAAGUGGCAUUUCUUGGACAUUUGAUUUCGGGAUCGGGUAUAGCUGUGGAUCCCAAGAAGAUUGAGGCUAUCAAGGAUUGGCCGAGACCGACGAGCGUCACGGAGAUACAGAGCUUUCUUGGAUUGGCCGGUUACUACCGGAGAUUUGUCGAGGGGUUUGCUAAGCUAUCCACUCCCCUCACGAGGCUCACGCAUAAAGGCGUUAAGUUCAUUUGGAACGAUGCGUGUGAAAGGAGCUUCCAAGAGUUGAAGAAAAGAUUGACGACCGCCCCGAUCCUAACCCUGCCGGUUGCUGGAGCAAGGUAUGUGGUUUUUAGCGACGCUUCAUUUAAUGGAUUGGGUUGUGUAUUGAUGCAGGAUGGCAAGGUGAUCGCGUAUGCUUCUCGCCAAUUGAAGGAGUAUGAAAGGAAUUAUCCUACGCAUGAUUUGGAGUUAGCGGUCGUAGUCUUUGCAUUGAAGCUAUGGCGCCACUAUCUCUAUGGCGAGCGGUGUGAAGUAUACACGGAUCACAAGAGCUUGAAAUAUCUAUUCACUCAGAAGGAGCUGAACUUGAGGCAGCGCAGAUGGUUGGAGCUACUCAAGGAUUAUGAUUUGACGAUUCUUUACCACCUGGGCAAGGCUAACGUGGUGGCGGAUGCGCUAAGUAGGAAAUCAACGGAAAACUUAGCGAUGCAUGUUGUUACUCAACCGCAGUUGAUCGAGCAGAUGAAACGGUUGGAGUUAGAGGUGAUGACUCCAGACACACCCUUGAGGUUGAUGACCUUGGUAGUGCAACCUAUGCUUUUGGAUAGAAUUAAAGAAAAGCAAGUUUCCGAUGUGAAAUUGCAAAAGAUUAGAGACAAAAUGGUCGAUGAUUGCACCGGCGAUUUCCUUGUGGAUGACCAAGGAUUGAUGCGUUUUCGUGGACGGUUAUGUGUACUGGCGGAUUCGGGACUUAAAGAAGAUAUUCUUCAAGAAGCGCACCGGGCACCUUAUGCUAUACAUCCGGGAGGUACCAAGAUGUACAAGGAUUUGAAGUUACUCUAUUGGUGGCCCGGGAUGAAAAAGGAUGUUGGUGAGUUUGUUGCUAGAUGUCUAACUUGCCAACAAAUGAAAGCUGAGCACCGAUUACCCGCGGGGAAGCUUCAGAGUUUGCCGAUUUUUGUGUGGAAGUGGGAGAAGAUCACCAUGGAUUUUGUGAUGGGAUUGCCUCGCUUUCAAGCCGGGCAUGAUGCUAUUUGGGUGAUCGUGGAUGGGUUGACGAAGUCGGCGCACUUCAUACCUAUUCAUACUACUUGGACUGGAGAGAAGCUGGCACAAGUACACCUCGAUGAGAUUGUGCGACUUCAUGGAGUGCCUACAUCGAUUGUAUCUGAUCGCGACACACGCUUCGUGUCUCACUUUUGGAGGAGUCUACAGGACGCCUUAGGUACUCGAUUGGAUUUCAGCACUGCUUUCCACCCUCAGAGUGACGUGCAGUCGGAGCGCACUAUUCAGACCUUAGAGGAUAUGCUCCGAGCUUGUGUGAUAGACUUCCAGGGAGGAUUGUCACAGCAUCUACCGAUGGCGGAAUUUGCUUAUAACAAUAGUUAUCAAGCAAGUAUCAAGAUGGCACCCUUCGAGGCACUUUAUGGAUGGAAGUGUAGAUCUCCACUUUAUUGGAGUGAAGUUGGCGAGAGAUUGACUUUAGGCCCUUAUGUGCUCCAGGAAGCUGAGGACAAGGUUCGUAUUGCUCGGGAGCGACUUUUGACGGCACAGAGUAGACAGAGGAGCUACGCCGAUCGACGGCGGCGAGACUUGGAGUUCCAAGUUGGAGACCAUGUUUUCUUGAAGGUCUCGCCGACUAGAGGGAUAAAGAGAUUCGGGAUUCGGGAUAAGUUGAGCCCCCGGUUUAUUGGACCGUAUGAGAUCUUGGAGCAGGUAGGUCUGGUAGCGUAUCGACUUGCUCUACCACCGAACCUAUCGGGCGUGCACAAUGUCUUUCAUGUAUCGGUCCUUCGGAAAUACAUCUUCGACCCGGCUCAUGUUUUGGAUGCUACACCGAUAGAGCUGAGGGAUGAUUUGAGUUUUGAGGAGCAACCCGUGAGAAUCUUGGCUCGCGAGGUGCGGAGGCUACGGAAUCGGGAUAUUCCGAAUGUGAAGGUUCUUUGGAGCAACCACGGGGAGCGAGAGGCCAUGUGGGAGCUUGAGAGCGCCUUGCAGGAGCGCUAUCCCCAUCUUUUUUAGAUGGAGCUUGAGGUAUGUGGUUGGUUUCGAGUUUCGCGGGCGAAACUCCUUUUUAGGAGGGGUGAAUGUAACACACUAGACCUUUGCAAAUUACGAGGUUCGACUGUUUGAUUUGGAUUCUGAGCCUUUCCAAGUUUUUUGGAGGGUCGUUGACAGUGUUCCGACCCACGGUUCGCAAUCCGAGAUUUUUGGUUUUGUCCCGAGAGUUUAGCUCUCGAGGACCGGUCCCUGGUGGGAGAGACCGGACCCUCGUAGCUGUGGUGCGGUUGGCAGCCGAUGUAACCGGUCCCCUGGCCAGGGAGACCGGUUCCCGUAAACAUGUUUGCGGCAGGGUCCUGAGGGACCGGUCCCUUUGCCCGAAAACUGCCCAGUCUAGGCUGAGUGCUGGUUUAGGAGUUGAGGGGUGUUUUUGCAUUGUUGCAACACCUAUAUAACUCACCCCAGCCCCUUUUGGAGCUCUUUUGAGCUCAGACCUGAGGAGAAACAAGGUGAGCCCUUCCCCCCUUGUUUGAUUUUCAUUUUUGAUAGAUUAUUGCAUGUUUUGAUCUCCUCUCUCUUGCUUUUCCUUACUUUUUGUUGGUUUCCUCCAUGGGAGAAGCUUGGAUUUCGGGAUUGGAGCUUGUUUGAGGUUUGAUCUUCAACCCUAGCUCACUUGCUAGCUUGAGUUGGUGCUUUGGAGAGGUUAGUAAGUUUAACCUACCCUUUGAUUCUUGUUUAGCAGGGUUUUUGUUGUUGGAACCCUAGAUAUGAGAGUUUAGGGUUUAUAAUGGGGAUUUUUGAGUUAAGGCUUUUUGAUCUUAAUUGAUUGACUUAGAACCUUCCUUUAGGUUGGUUUUGAAGGAUUCUUGCUCCCUUUGGGAGAUCAAGAGGCAUUUUCACCAUUUUCAGUGAGUUUUUGCCCUUUUGCUUUAGUUGUUUAAUGUUUGAACAUAUGAUUGUUCGUAACGUUCGUGUAUCCCUCCUUUUGUGACCUUUAGGGUACUCAGAGAGUGGUGGACACCUUCGUCGGAGCAAACGAAGGGUUUCGAUUAGUUUCGGUGGGUUUGGCUUCAUUGGAAUAGGAGAAAACUUCUCCUAAGUGGUUAAAUGUCUUCGUUUCCUCGCAUCGCAUGCAUAUUCAUGCUAGAUAGAAUUUAUGUGAAUUUUAGAAUGCUUAAAAUGUAUGUGUUACGUAUUAUAAAAAUUCAUCUCUAUAUAGUAGAGCCUUAUGUGGACUUAAUAUGCAUGUGAGUAGCAUUCUUCUUGUGGUUUGGAAACAUGUUUCGUAUGACGAAAAUGACUUGAAUUAUGUAUUCUUCAACACUAAACUCAUGCUUGGGCUUAGUGGACAAAAGUGCCAUAAAGGGGCACCGAAUUAGUAAACUGUGAAACUGCAAUAUAGAGACAUAGAAAUAGGCCAUUGUGACAUCGACUAUAUUCCGUGUUUUAGACACGAUGACAUAGUGAUAGGCCAUUGAGACAUAGGUUAUAUUCCAUGUUUUAGACAUGAUGACUUGAGAUUUGAGACAUAUUUUACGCUUGCUUGCCCUUGUGCUCAUUCGCACAUGCUUGUGAGGGUCGCUCCCUACAAGCCGGCACUCCGNUAGCGUAAAUAUGCAGAAGAUGGAUGUCACGCCCCGAGGCCUCUUUUGUAAAGGUUUUUCGAAGAAGAGUCCAAUUUGAAAGUAAAGAUAGCGAAAAAUACCUCUAUUUUUUUUUUGAAAUACAAGUUUACCACGAGUCAGAACAGACUCACCACAAAUACAAAUUUUUUUCUGUCCAUUAGGACAGAAUUUUUCCUGUAUUUGUACGGCGUACUACUACAAGAGUUGUUGCAACACUAACAUUCAAUCACACAAACAACAUUCACAAUGCAGAUACUCACAAUAAUCAAUCAGCUAGCAAUCCUUGAAAUAAUGCAUGCUCUAAGCACUUCUUAGGCGAAGGAUGAUACAAACGCACAUUACAAUAAUCAACUCUAUCAUUUACAAAUGUUUUCCACUUGAAAACUUCAUUUUGAAAUACUAAGAAUCGAUAAAGCUAUAGAAAUCAUUUGAAAACAGUCUCCUACGUGGAAACUCAUUUUUCAAAAAUGCUGACUAUCUCGAGGGGUAGAAAACCAAUACGAUGAAACCAAAAUAUCAUAUCACUGGGAAUCCCAAAAGAAUUACCAUUUCAAAUACUUGUAAUUAAAAGAUCAUCCAUAAUAUAGAUUAUUCAUAAAUCGACAAUCAAGCAAACAGAUAAUUGAACCAUAAAUUUUUAAUUUAUUAACAAUAAAUGAAAUUGGUCAAAUCGAAAUAACCAUAACCAAUGCAGAUAUGCUGGGACCUCUAGAGCUCGCUAGCUAUCGCACCUCACGCACCGUCCCAACUCCCACCACCAAGAUCACCUGAAAGGGGGCGGGGGGAGGGGGUAAGAAACCAAGUCUCCCAGUAGGUACCGCAAGUCGACGAAGGCGAGUGUACUCAUUGGCGAGAGAAAUACAACAGAGAUAGAUAGAUACUCAUGUACAAUAGCGGAUAAAAAAAUAUAGAUAUGAACAAUAGUAAUCACCUACCGCUACUGUAAACAAAUAAACAGAUGCAUCAACUGAAUGAAAAUUGAUAUCCAAACACCUCGCCAUAUAGGUCUAAAGACCGCAGACAGUGCCACAAUAUGCUCAUCCACCGGUACAAAAUCCUAGCUAGCACCUUGCAGGGGCUCAUAGGUCGAAGAGAUGACCACUUUUCCUGAAAAGAACAUCCACACGGUGGCCAAACCAUUGCAUGAGCUGUGACGAUCGACGCGAAAUGCUCAAUAGUCAAUAAGACAACAAAAGCCGAGAGUGAGUUAAUAACCCACACCUGUCCAAACUAUAUCACCAAAUCAGUGAACUGACCAACACCGACCAAUCAGGUCCCAUAGAUAGAGAUCAUACAAUAGUCCAACACCCCUCUACUGCUAAUAUAUGAAAGAACAGAAGUAGAGUAAAUAAACCGAAAGUCUAGUGGUGUAAUGCUCAUCAAUAGUAUGCAAAGCGACAGAAAAGAGAAAGGAAAGAAUAUCAUCGAGCUAGCACCACUGUACCGACUUUAGAUCGAAGCACCCACCUAUAAUCUUAGUAGUGUUUAACACUCAAGGCACGUUGGGACGUCGACUAGACCUACAAAGGAUGCACUAGGUCAAGAUCCACUAAGUCAAAGUGUCACUGUAACACACUGGACCUUUGCAAAUUGCGAGGUUCGAGUGUUUGAUUUGGAUUCUGAGCCUUUCAACGUUUUUUGGUGGGUCGUUGACAGUGUUCCGACCCACGGCUCGCAAUCCGAGAUUUUUGGUUUUGUCCCGAGAGUUUAGCUCUGGGGGACCGGUCCCUGGUGGGAGAGACCGGUCCCUCGUAGCUGUGGUGCGGUUGGCAGCCGAUGCAACCGGUCCCCUGGCCAGGGAGACCGGUUCCUGUAAGCAUGUUUGCGGGAGGGUCCUGAGGGAUUGGUCCCUGAGAGGAAGAGAUCGGUCCCUCUGCCCGAAAACUGCCCAGUCCAGGCUGAGUGCUGGUUGAGGAGUUGAGGGGUGUUUUUGCAUUGUUGCAACACCUAUAUAACUCACCCCAGCCCCCUUUGGAGCUCUUUUGAGCUCAGACCUGAGGAGAAACAAGGUGAGCCCUUCCUCCCUUGUUUUAUUUCCAUUUUUGAUGGAUUAUUAUAUGUUUUGAUCUCCUCUCUCUUGCUUUUCCUUGCUUUUUGUUGGUUUCCUCCAUGGGAGAAGCUUGGAUUUCGGGAUUGGAGCUUGUUUGAGGUUUGAUCUUCAACCCUAGCUCACUUGCUAGCUUGAGUUGGUGCUUUGGAGAGGUUAGUAAGUUUAACCUACCCUUUGAUUCUUGUUUAGGAGGGUUUUUGUUAUUGGAACCCUAGAUAUGAGAGUUUAGGGUUUAUAAGGGGGAUUUUUGAGUUAAGACUUUUUGAUCUUAAUUGAUUGACUUAGAACCUUCCUUUAGGUUGGUUUUGAAGGAUUCUUGCUCCCUUUGGGAGAUCAAGAGGCAUUUUCACCAUUUUCGGUGAGUUUUUGCCCUUUUGCUUGAGUUGUUUAAUGUUUGAACAUAUGAUUGUUCGUAACGUUCGUGUAUCCCUCCUUUUGUGACCUUUAGGGUACUAGGAGAGUGGUGGACACCUUCGUCGGAGCAAACGAAGGGUUUCGAUUAGUUUCGGUGGGUUUGGCUUCAUUGGAAUAGGAGAAAACUUCUCCUAAGUGGUUAAAUGUCUUCGUUUCCUCGCAUCGCAUGCAUAUUCAUACUAGAUAGAAUUUAUGUGAAUUUUAGAAUGCUUAAAAUGUAUGCAUUACGUAUUAUAAAAAUUCAUCUCUAUAUAGUAGAGUCAUAUGUGGACUUAACAUGCAUGUGAGUAGCAUUCUUCUUGUGGUUUGGAAACAUGUCUCGUAUGACGAAAAUGACUUGAAUUAUGUAUUCUUCAACACUAAACUCAUGCUUGGACUUAGUGGACAAAAGUGCCAUAAAGGGGUACCGAAUUAGUAAACUGUGAAACUGCAACAUAGAGACAUAGAAAUAGGCCAUUGUGAUAUCGACUAUAUUCCGUGUUUUAGACACGAUGACAUAGUGAUAGGCCAUUGAGACAAGGUUAUAUUCCAUGUUUUAGACAUGAUGACUUGAGAUUUGAGACAGAUUUUACGCUUGCUUGCCCUUGUGCUCAUUCGCACAUGCUUGUGAGGGUCGCUCCCUACAAGCCAGCACUCCAGAGACAGCCAUCGCGACAUAUGCUCGCCCGUGCGGGAUUGGGCGCCGAAGUGGAUUGCCGUGAAGGAGGCUCAUUCCUAAAGUGGGGAUGUUGAAUACCACGGGGCCAUAAGGCACUGCACAGGCCAGACAGCCUACGGGUGGGUCUUACAAGAUUGCAACUAUAAGUAGUUAAUAUGCCAAAUGGACUUGAACUAGAAUAGUAAAUAAUGACAUCUUACUAUUUCCGUUGUGGACAUUAUGUUGGUUGCAUACUCAUGCUUAUUCAUGUUAGCGUAGCUUUCUUACUUAUGCAAAUCAUGCUAAGUAGAGACAUCAUGUUAUAGCAAGCAUUCAUGUUUAUUUACUUGCUGUUCAUUUCGGUUAUUACUCGCUCGUACUUACCCCUUUAUUACUUUUGGGCCUAGUGGUGCUUUUCACUGAAGUCGGUAAUUGCCCACUGGGAACUAUUAUUUAAUAGUUCUCAAGCCUCCAGUUUUUUGGUUUUAUUUCAGAGCCUUCUGCACCGGCGGAGGCACGGGAUCGCGGCAAGGGAGUCGCAUAGCUAGAUAGCGCGGAGCUUGCUUUUGCUCUUAGGUGGUCUACUCUCUUUUUGUGUUUUUGGUGAGAGAGAGUUUUGUUACCUUGUAUAGAGACCACCAUUGUAUUAUUUUUUUAGUCCUUGUACUUGGGAUUUUAGUUGUACCACCUUAUGGUUCUUUACUUAGUGGAUUCUAGUUCUUGUUUACUCUCUUAUUAUAGAAUCUAGUUGUACUUGCUCUGAUGCUUCUAGAUGUCUCUCUUUUACUGGUUUCUUUAUCGUUUUCUUUUAGACGCCUUAUAUGUUUUAGACGUAUGGUGGGUCUGGACACGUGCCGCGCAGCCUUCCGCUGAGUCCCGGGGCGUGACAGUCACGCCCCGAGACCGCUAUCCAUUUGGUUCGGUUCGGGAACGUCGAACAGACGCCGAACAAACAGCACCUCCCAUCUCCGCCCAAGGCUAAAGAACAGCAAUCAUGUACAAGAGUUUGCCCAAGAUAAACUCAAUCAACGUACAUGAUCAAGACGAAGCACCACAAGUGCUAUACAAUUAAGAGCAAGAAUCACAAGCAACAUACAAGUGAAAUAAAGAGAGAUACAUCUAGCUAUUACAUCACAUUUGACAUUCAACAUUUACAUUGAUUUGAUUUACAUUUGCAUCUCCCAAAAAUGAAUACAUGAUCAUCUCACAUAUAUAAUGUUAACUAUCCAAAAUACACCCUGUCUAUAAACAUGCACAUGAGGGUGCUCUAGUACAAACAGGAAUGCUCUACUAGCUAGCUAGGGCGCUAUGCCCUUACCGCGAUCCUCCCCCGGGAUGCUCGCACUCGGCCCUGCAACAAAGUGGGGUGAGAACUAUAUAAAUAUAGUUCCCAGUGGGUUCGGCCGCCGACUCCGCCGAUCUUCCCACUAGAUCUAAGCUGGCACAGAUAGAUAGAUAGAUAUAUAUAGAAAUGAAACUGCGUCUAUACUAUACUAUGCCAUCAAAUGCAAGCAAUGCAUGAAAUUAUCAUCUAGCAACAAGCCUACUAUCAUGCUAGUAUGCUUCAACAAUGUAAUGAAUAUAAAUACAACAUAGUUAUGCAAUCCACUAUCAUAUACUAUGUUUAAUCAUGGGAUGAAUGCAAAUCCACUUAUGCUAUUCAUAUCAUUACCCAAUCCACUAGGCUACCCCGCCUAAGAUCUCAAAUCUUAUAGGUACUCACACUACAAUUCUAGUAGGUGAAGAGGUGAAGAGCUACCCCGCUCUUCGCCCCGACUAAUAUCUCAAAUCUCACGGGUGUGGAGCUACCCCGCUCUUAUCUCGCCCGUCUCACAUCUCAAAAGCCAUAGGUGAAGAGCUAUCCCGCUCUAAUCUCAUAGGUAAUGAACUGCCCCGCUCAAUUCUCAUAGGGGAAGGGCUACCCCGCCCUUCGCCCCAACUCACUUGCCAGUCCAAUGGGUUCCCGCUCGUAUCCCACCUGGUGAGCUACCCCGCUCGUGAGCUACCCAGCUCGUGUGACAACUCCGGAGUGCACUGCUUGUGUGGAGCGACCAUCACAAGCCCAAAACAGACUAUGUGAGUAUGAUCCAAUCCUCGCCAACUGAGGUACCCUGUCAACUAGGUUAACAAACACUCGAAACUCCACCUAUCCUUAGGUCCAUGUCAAGUGUCUCAACCACACUAAUCAACUCACACUAGGGAAUUUAACUAUCCCUAUGUUUGAUGCCAUAGUGUCUCAAUUACACUAAUUCCCAUGCCACUCGUCAUGUUAUUAACAUUGCUUACAUGCCAUUCGUCCAAGUUCUAAGCGUUUUCUAUACACUAAUUCACAUGUCAUCAAUUUUCAUCAUUGAGUCCGAGUUCACUGUUUUCUUAUCACUAUAGGAUCUCAUGUCACAAACCCUAAUCCUCAUGCAUUCUAGAUUUAAGUGUCAAGUCCAUAAUGCUACACAACUAGACAUGCAUGCAAGGAAAUAGAAAUGCAACUAUACAUACAUCCUAUAAUGCAUAAGAACAAUAUAUAUGAAAUAUGAUCAACGAUUCUAACUCAGACAUAGAAAGAAGCUCAGUUGCUUCGGGAUGGACACCCCCCACCUUCGAUGACGUAGAGGUUCUAGGAACGCUACUCGGCACUUGUUACGACGUCGUCUCGGCCCUCUUCGUCAAAACGAAGCUUGCUCGGCCUUAUUUGCCGAUAUCUUCGCACCUGCUCGACGAAUGCUCAAUCCGUCGCUUCCCACGCGUUUAGACACCUGGCAAUUAGGUUUACAUAUGAUCAAUUUAGAUCAAACCCAUCGAUUUCCAAAAACCCCAAUUUGGAGCCCUAGGUCCCAACCCAUGCAAGAAUCCAUGUCUAAAUCCUUAGAUUCAAGCAUAACUCACCUAUUUGGCAAGCUAGGGUUCCAACAAAACCAUUUCUAGGGAACAAAAACCCUUCUAUAGAGAUCUACCAUUAGAGAGCUUGUAAGGACUGAGAUUUUGACAGUGCAACUAAACUCUCUGUUGACGAUGUUUUUGUGUGUAAUUUAAUUACAUAAGCACUCGUCAAGUUUCAAGAGAAAAUGAGUUAGAACGGAGAAGUUACGCGAUUAUUAGUUUUCACUUAAAGUGAAUAGUAACCUGGUUUUCCGGAGAAACCACAGAGUAGAGUUGGCUUCUGGUGCGUAUCGGACUCCGUUCAUAGCGAUCCAAUAGCUCGUUUCGACCAGUUCAGCUAUUCUGGAACCAUUGGCGCUGACGGAUUUUAGAUUUGAUGCACGGUUUUCGAGAAAAAGGAGUUUUAUCAAAAAAAGGAUUUUCGCUCUUUGCUUUUCUGGCAUUUUAAAGCUCUUCGUGCUCUGUGCUUGUGACAGGGGGGGUUGGGUGAGAGAUGUUUAGGGUACCUACUGGUGGUAGGGAGUCCGAAUUCAAAUUUGAAAUUAAGGUUUUUGGGUUUACACAUAGGUCUAUGUGUAAUUUAUAGGUUAGUUGGAGAGCGAACGGGUUUCGUCGUGAAUCCGUGACCAAACGGGGCGAAACAAAAAACGUGGAUUUGUUGGCUCGGCAGUGCUGAACGCGCUGGCGCAAUCCGUUCGCAAAUCCGACGAACGGAUUGCCGGGUAUCGCUUGAUGUUCGGAAAGGGGUCGAUUGUGGCAAUCGGAGACUUCGCAAAAGUCGUAAUAUUUUAUGUGCCGAAUCGCGCCAAAUCGGACAUGGAGGUGCAUACGUGUAAUAUUCUCGCGCUGCGAAGGACUGAAUUGCAAGUAAUCAGCUCUGGGGGAUCUUUAUGCAAAAUGUGCAAAUGUAUAUAUAUAGAGAUGUUGCUCUAGGGAAACCCUACUUUGGUCUUCCCCUCUGCUGAGCUGAUACCUAGCCGCCCUACCUCAUCCCUGCCCUGCCCGUGUGCGCGUCCUGGCCGCCGCCGGCCACCGAAAAGCUGUUGUCCUCUCUCACCUCCAUUGUUGCCUGCACCACCCCCUUCUCCUCGGCUUGUGCUGCUGCUAGGGAGGCCCUAUGUGACGCACUGGACCUUUGCAAAUUGCGAGGUUCGAGUAUUUGGAUAGUGUCCCGAGUUUUUCCAGACUUUCUGGUAGGUCGUUGACUGUGUUCCGACCCAUGGCUCACAUCCCGAGAAUUGUGGUAUUUUAUGUAGCGCUAAGGUCACCAAAUAGUUGGACUUAGCCUACCCUCGGAUUGCAUUCUGCACAAGGUGUAACCGGUGACAGGUCGAUGGCUGUACCGGUACACAUUUUGUACCGGUACACUUUUGAUGGCUGUACCGGUACACUUGUGGCGAAUUUCAAACCCGAGCCUCGGGUUUGCAUUUUCGUAGGAUUUGUACCGGUACACUUUCCCGUGUACCGGUACACUUUGGCAGAAUCUAAAUGUUUGAUUCUGCAGGGGGUUUUUCGCGAUUGUGGACUUCUAUAUUACCACCCACGCCCCUAGGGCUGCUCUUUGAGCUUCCCACAGCAGAGAGAGAGGUAAGGGAGCUUCCUCUACCACCCCCUUUGGAUUUGAUCCCCUUGUUGGCUUGGAUUUUGGUGGAUUUACUCUCCUUUUUGCCUUUUGUGCUAUUUCCUCCAUGGUAGAGAGCUUGGUGCUUGGAGUUGAGCUUGGUUUGAGGAAGAUCACCACUUCUAAAGGGUUUUGAUCCUUGUUUUGGAGCUUCUAGAAGGUAAGCAACAUUUUCUUUCCCCUAGAUUUGGGUUUUGGUGUUCUCUACUAGAUGGAACCCUAAAAUGAGAGAUUAGGGUUGUUUUUGGGGCUUUUUGAUUAGAGGCUUUUGGAACCAAUCUAAUGGGAUUAGAACUUUGGAAUAGGUUCCUUUGAAUGAGAUUUGCCCUUCCUUUGAGCUUUGGAGAGGGAUUUCUACUCUUGAGGUGAGUUUUGGCCCUUUUUGCUUUUAGGUUAAUGUUUGAUAUUAUAUGAUGAUCGUAAUGCCCGUGUAUCUUUUCGCUCAAUCCUUUUAGGGUAUUUUGAGACUCGGGGACAACUUUGUUCGGCAAAACGAGGCCCUACGCGACGGUUCGGUGGGUUUGACCUAGCCCUUAUAUGAGAAAUUCUCAUAUAUUGUGAAAUAUGUUUCGUAAAUUGGAAAAGCAUGCAUAUUCAUACUAAAUGUAUUUAUUAUGAUUUUUAGAAUGCUUAAUAUGCAUAUGUUAUGUAUAGUAAAUUUUUCGACCCCUAUGUGGUAGGGUACAUGCUUGUGGGAUAUAGCAUUCUAGUUGAGACUUGGAACCAUGAUUCCUAUUAUGAAAAUUGAACAUUGUUUCUAUGCAUUCCACUCUUAUGCCUAAUCGUGAUGUUAGGGACUUUGGAUGCCUAGAGAGGCUUGGGGACUUAGUUUAUUUGGGAUUUUGGGUCAAUGUCAUAAAGAGGCAUUGGGCCCCGAGUUAUAGUAAACAUCGGUAUUAAUGUCAUAUUUGGGACAUAGAACAUGAUUUGAGCUUGGUUAGUUGUGGUGCUUAAGUGUCAUAAAGAGGCACUAAGCAAGUGAGUAUUGAGAUAUCACCUUGUGACUUUGAGCUAGACCGUUGGGUUACUAGUAGCUAUUGCCAUGUUAGAGACAUGAGGAUUGGAUACUCGAGACUUGGACUAUGCUUGUUUGCCAUUUGUGCUCAUUCGCACAUGCUUGUGAGGGUCGCUCCCUACAAGCCGGCACUCCGGAGUUAGCCUACGCGACUUUUGAUCGCUCGUGCGGUAUUGAGAAGCCUACGGGGUCGAGUGGGACAGACACAUUCCAAGAGUAGGGAUGUUGGGCUACCACAGGCACUUAGGCGGCACAAGCUGGACUACCUUUGGUAGGUCCUCUGUUGGAAAUGGAAAUCGACACGGUGUUGAGUUUAUUAUGAAUCAUACCUAGACAAGUCAGUAGCUGGUACUGACUUACUCUAGCAUAGUGGACAUUUGCAUUCAUACAUACAUGAUAGUAGCUAGCGAGAUGUCUGGUUAUGCAUCCUUAUAUGCAUUGUAGUCAUGACAGAGUUCACUUUCAUAUCUGUAUAAAGUAAAUCAUGACAUUAUCUGUAACAUGUAAAUUUAUUAAUAUCUCACGAAAGAUAAAAUUGCAUUAUAAAUGCCAUGUUACUUGCAAGUAGAAGUUAGCUCUUAAUCAUGCUCUUCAUAUAUGCAAUUACUCGUACUAUAUGUCGUUACUUACCCUUUUCUUUUGGGGCCUAGUGGUGCAUUGAGCUGAGGUCAGUAAUUGCCCACUGGGAACUAUAAAUUAUAGUUCUCACGCCCUCUUUUUCUCGAUGUUUUUCAGAGCCUUCCACGCAGGGUGAGGCCAGGGAUCGCGGGAAGGGAGUUGCUUCGAGCUAGCUUCCUUCGAGGACGAGUUGCUAGGUGGUUCACCUCUCGAUUUAUGUUUUAUUUUGUGAGAGGUUGUGAGUUUUACCAGUGUAUUAGAGACCACCAUUUUUGUACCUUUGAGACUGAUAGUGUACUACUUAUGGUUUCUUUUAUUUUCUAGCUUUAUCUCUUUACCUUGGUGUAGAUGAUAGAACUUUACUCGCUCUGAUAUCAUUAGUUGCUAGUUAUUUUACUUCUUUUAUUUGUUCUAUCUCUUGCUUUACUUCCGCUUUUAUUCUAAACGCCUUAUAUGUGUAGACAUAUGGCGGGUCUGGGCACGCUAUCGGGAGGGCCUCCGCCGGUCCCGGGGCGUGACACCCUACACCCCUGGGCUUCAUUUCUGUCAGCGGGCCCCGACUCCGGCGACCAUCCCCGUCGGUCGUCGCCGCCCCGGAGCGCCGCCACUGCCGCCCUGGCAGGUUGCGGCCAAACUGGACAGAUCAGGCUGUGGGUACUUGAUCUCCUCCUCCUCGCGCCGCCGCCACUUAGGAUGGGUUGCGCCGCCCUUCUAGGCCUCCGACGAUCCUUCGCCGAUGGUCGCCGACGUCCUUGCGCGCUGCCGUCGUCGUCGUGGCAACAUGCGGCCAGCCUGGGUAACUCCGGGCUGGGGCGGAUACAAUCUCUUUCCCUCGCAUCGCCGCUACUCGGGGCCAACCUUGUCGCCUCUCCCUGGUCUCCGGUGGCUUGUCGCCGCUGCCCCGAGACUCCCCGGCCGCCGCAUUCAGCCGAGCCCGAGCCAAGCCCGUGUGUGGGCUUGGGAUGCUCCACCGCAGCCGCCACCGUCUUCCGCCGUCGGCGAGCGUGAGCGCCGGCUCCGCCUGGCCGGUCGCACCCGUUCACCGCCGGCUACCCCGCCGCCGGAGCACCCUGUCAACCGAGAUGAGCCCGAGCUCUCCUCGGGUUGUGUGGCUAGGGCAUCAUCGUCCGCCGCCUACGCCGCCUCCCGUCGCCGGCCGACGCAAGCCCUGGCCUCCCCACACUGGCCGCACCCUCCUCUUGCCGGCUAGCCCGCCGUCCGGCUGCCGCCGGCCGCCCCGUGCCCUACCUUGCUCCAGUCCGGUUGACAUUCUUUCACAGUCAGGAGACAGGCGCGACAUUCGUACUGGUGGGUACUUCGAUCCGAAGUCGGUACAGUGGUGCACGCUCGGUGAUAUCCUCUUACCCUUACUCCUUGGUUAUUACUACUGCAUAGUACAUAUAUUGAGCCUUGCACCUUGUUUAUCCGUUAUACUCUACUCGUUGGUUGCUUGCUUAGUAUCCUGAGUAGGAGUAGAGUAGCUUUAUCUACAUAUGAUAUCUGUUGACCUAGUUGGUCGGUUGUUGCAUUCAGUAUCGUUGACUUGGUUGGUCUGUUGUUGCAUUCAGUAUCUGUGACCUAUUUAGUCUGUUCCUUGACUUUUGUUGUUCGAUGAUCGUUGAGUUUGGUAUUGUCACGCCCCGAGCCCUGCCAAUUGGGCCGGUUCGGGCGCGUCGAACAGACGCCGGACGGACACCAGCUCCCCUGUCCACCCAAGGCUAAAGCGACAAGAUCAUGUACAACAAGUUCCCAGGAAAACAACUUGAAAUACGUACAAGAUCAAGCAACAACAACGAGAGCACAACCAGUGCUAAACAUAUAAGAGCAAGUAUCACAAGUAUAAUAAGUGAACGAAAGAGAGAAUUCUAACUAUUACAUCCAUUCAACCUCUUUACAUUGCUUUAAUUUACAUUUUUAAGCUCUCAAACAAAAACAUAAAGUUUACAAUCUUCCCAAAACAUCUCACCACCUAUACAUCAUCUACGCUCAUAUACAAAAGGUAGCUCUAAUGCAUAAUGGAAAGUCACUACACUAGGGCGCUAUGCCCUUACCGCGAUCCUCCUUCGGAACACUCGCACUCGGCCCUGCAACAAAAUGGGGUGAGAACUAUAUAAAAUAGUUCCCAGUGGGUUCGGCCGCCGACUCCACCGAUCUUCCCACUAAGUCUAAGCUGGCACAGAUAGAUAGAUAGAUAGAUAGAUAGAUAUUGAACCGCAACUAUGAUCUACUAUGCCAUCAAAUGCAAACAAUGCAUGGAAUAUCCUCUAAUGACAAGCCUACCAUUUUGCUAGUAUGCUUCAACAAUGUAAUGAAUACAAAUGCAACAUAGUUAUGUAAUCCUCUAACAUAUACUAUGUAAUCCUCUAACAUAACUCAUCUUUCAAUCCCAAAGUGGGGAGGGAGCUCCAAGUGCACCCUAGCCCGGGACCGUCUGCGGACCUCCAUGUGGUCCGGACCUCCAAGUGGUCCUAGUCGCGCGACACUCCGGAGUACUCGACGACAAUCCCCUCCAUGUGGGGAUUGGAUGGCUAUACCACCCUAAACGCAGACUGUGAGCUAGAUCUAUCCUCUCCAAGUGAGGAUACACUGUAACUAGGGUCAACACCCAAUCCAACCUCUCCAAGUGAGGAGGCUCUACUGCUACAGUCAAUAACCCAAUCGAAUCCUCUCCAAGUGAGGAGGCUCUAUAACUAGAGUCAACAUCUCUCGCGGGAUCAUUUGUUCCCGACAUUCAUGCAAUGCUAUUUAACUUUUCUAAAUUCAUUGUUCACAAGGCAUUUUCUAAGGGAUCCACCUAUCCCUAGGUCCAUCGACCUCUAGUGUUAUUUACACUACAUUAAUGCCACUCGUCAUCAUUUAUCAUUCGGAUGCCACUCGUGUUCUUUAACACUAUCCACUACUUCCUAUGUCAUCAAUACCCCCAUCGGGUUCAUCUCUUUUCUUUCGCACCAUAGGAUUCACGUCUCGACCCAAUCCUCACCUAUCUAAAUUACCAAGCGUUCCAAGUACACUAGGUUAUCAAUUAGAAAGCAUAAGGAAUGGAGCUACUAUGCAAUCCUACAAUGCAACAUGAAGAGAUGAGAUUAAAUGCAAUCUAAGACAUAGAAAGGAGUUCGAAAGUUUCGGAUGACACCCCCCACCUUUUACCAACGUAGAGGCUCUAGAAACGCUCCUCGGCGAGCUUUACGAAAAGGCUUUAGCCUCCCUUGGUCCAAGAUAACGCCGUAACGACCGUAAUUCGCCGAUUGCUCUAAGCCCGCUCGACGAAUCGCGAAGUCGACUUCGCCCCCGCGUUUGGGCACCUAUCGAUGAGGUUUACAAGGCCUCAAAUGAGAUCAAUCUCAUACUUUGCAAAAUGCCCCCAUUUGGAGCCCUAGGUUGCACAUAUAGCAACCCACCAAUAGAACCUUAGAUUCAUGGGAUUGAUCUACUUAGAAGCAUGCUUGGGGUCCAUUUGACCCAUUCCAAAGCAUAAAAACCCAAAAACCCUAAGUUUACAAAGCUAGGGUUUGGUAGCUUACCUCAAGAGCUACACCAAUGGGAAGAGGAGAGGGAGAUGGAGGUGCUCCAAGCCUUCCUCUUGAUCUCCUUCUUCUUCUCCUUCCUUAUGUUCCUCUUCUUUUCCUUCCUCUCCUUCUUGUUCUUCUUCUCCUUCUUUCCUUUCUAGAGAGAGAGGGAGCAAGAGAGAAAUGAGAGUGAGGGAGAGUGGAAUGAGAGGGUGUGAGGGAGAGAGAGGGCCCAGCCCACUCUAAUAAAGGCCAUUUUGCAUUUAGGUCCCUCAACUUUUAACCCCUUGCACAGCCCUCACUGAGCAGUUUUCGCGCGGAGGGAUCGGUCUCCCCGACUUGGGACCGGUCCCCGAGAGCCUCCCUCGGGUGCACGCGUUCGGGAACCGGUCUCUCCCCGGGAGACCGGUCCUUGGGAGACCGGUCCUCGCCUGAGAGACCGGUCCCCGAGAGCUCAAUUUUCAGGACUUAGCCUAAUUUCGGCAUUUCUUGCUGGAACCACGUUCGGGAACCGGUCCCUCCUUGCCAGGGACCGGUUGCACCAUGCAACCCCGCACGCCCAGGUGAUGGAACCGGUCUCUCACCUCCAGAGACCGGUCCCUGAGAGCAACAUCAGCCCAAUAAUGCUGUUUGCACCAUUAGCUCUCGUGGACUCAACUCCAAAGCACUUUUUGUGUUUUGGACAUCUUUAAUUCCCCAAAGGGUAUUCUCUCGACAAAUAGUCGAUCCUGGACGAAGUACAACUCUCGGAUUUCGAGAAUUCACUUCCUUACAUCCUCCCCUCCUUAAAAGGAGUUUCGUCCUCGAAACGAUCAAAUUCUUUAACUCUUAACUUAACUCAUACCUCAUUCCUCAAACAAAUGAGGAUGGUGCUUUCUCAUCAGAUCUUCGAUUUCCCAGGUGGCCUCACGAUCAUCAUGAUUGCUCCACCGAAUUUUCACAUAGGGGAUUUCUCGAUUUCUCAACUUUCGCACCUCUCGGGCGAUAACACUCACCGAAAACUCCUCAUAGCUCAAGUCUUCUUGAAGUUCCGGCGGCUCAUAUAGCAUUGCGUGCUCGGGGUCAUGAAUAUACUUGCGGAGAUUGGAGACAUGGAACACAUUGUGUACAUCCGCGAGCUUCGGCGGCAAGGCAAGCCGAUACGCCACCGUGCCUACUCGCUCCAAUAUUUCAUAUGGCCCAAUGUACCGGGGACUCAGCUUUCCCCGUACUCCAAACCGCUUCACGCCCCGCAUUGGUGAGACCUUCAAGAAUACUCGGUCACCCACCGCGAACUCUAUAUCUCGUCAGCGCCUAUCUGCAUAGCUCUGCUGUCUCGACUGCGCCGUGAGCAAUCUCUUGCGAGAAAGGCUGACUUUCUCCUCCGCUUCUCGCAACACAUCGGGGCCAAACUCAGCUCGUUCACCUACAUCGCUUCAAUGUAUAGGAGAUCGACACGUCCGCCCAUAGAGAGCUUCAAACGGUGCCAUCUCCACACUAGCAUGAUAACUGUUGUUGUAGGCGAACUCGGCCAUGGGUAGGUGGUCACACCAACUUCCUUUAUAGUCAAUGACACACGCUCGCAACAUGUCCUCCAAAGUUUGGAUGGUUCUUUCUGUUUGUCCAUCGGUCUGAGGAUGAAAUGCGGUGCUAAAGUCGAGCCGUGUGCCAAGGGCUUCUUGCAGGCUUUUCCAAAAGUGUGAAGUGAACCGGGGGUCACGAUCCGACACGAUCGAUUUCGGCACCCCAUGCAGUCUCACUAUCUCGUCAAGAUAUACCUGCGCUAACUUGUCACCCGACCACGUGGUGUGGAUCGGCAAGAAGUGAGCCGACUUCGUCAAUCGGUCCACAAUUACCCAAAUUGCAUCGUGGCCGCCCGUUGAGCGAGGCAAGCCGACCACGAAGUCCAUCGAUAUAUCNNNNNNNNNNNNNNNNNNNNNNNNNNNNNNNNNNNNNNNNNNNNNNNNNNNNNNNNNNNNNNNNNNNNNNNNNNNNNNNNNNNNNNNNNNNNNNNNNNNNNNNNNNNNNNNNNNNNNNNNNNNNNNNNNNNNNNNNNNNNNNNNNNNNNNNNNNNNNNNNNNNNNNNNNNNNNNNNNNNNNNNNNNNNNNNNNNNNNNNNNNNNNNNNNNNNNNNNNNNNNNNNNNNNNNNNNNNNNNNNNNNNNNNNNNNNNNNNNNNNNNNNNNNNNNNNNNNNNNNNNNNNNNNNNNNNNNNNNNNNNNNNNNNNNNNNNNNNNNNNNNNNNNNNNNNNNNNNNNNNNNNNNNNNNNNNNNNNNNNNNNNNNNNNNNNNNNNNNNNNNNNNNNNNNNNNNNNNNNNNNNNNNNNNNNNNNNNNNNNNNNNNNNNNNNNNNNNNNNNNNNNNNNNNNNNNNNNNNNNNNNNNNNNNNNNNNNNNNNNNNNNNNNNNNNNNNNNNNNNNNNNNNNNNNNNNNNNNNNNNNNNNNNNNNNNNNNNNNNNNNNNNNNNNNNNNNNNNNNNNNNNNNNNNNNNNNNNNNNNNNNNNNNNNNNNNNNNNNNNNNNNNNNNNNNNNNNNNNNNNNNNNNNNNNNNNNNNNNNNNNNNNNNNNNNNNNNNNNNNNNNNNNNNNNNNNNNNNNNNNNNNNNNNNNNNNNNNNNNNNNNNNNNNNNNNNNNNNNNNNNNNNNNNNNNNNNNNNNNNNNNNNNNNNNNNNNNNNNNNNNNNNNNNNNNNNNNNNNNNNNNNNNNNNNNNNNNNNNNNNNNNNNNNNNNNNNNNNNNNNNNNNNNNNNNNNNNNNNNNNNNNNNNNNNNNNNNNNNNNNNNNNNNNNNNNNNNNNNNNNNNNNNNNNNNNNNNNNNNNNNNNNNNNNNNNNNNNNNNNNNNNNNNNNNNNNNNNNNNNNNNNNNNNNNNNNNNNNNNNNNNNNNNNNNNNNNNNNNNNNNNNNNNNNNNNNNNNNNNNNNNNNNNNNNNNNNNNNNNNNNNNNNNNNNNNNNNNNNNNNNNNNNNNNNNNNNNNNNNNNNNNNNNNNNNNNNNNNNNNNNNNNNNNNNNNNNNNNNNNNNNNNNNNNNNNNNNNNNNNNNNNNNNNNNNNNNNNNNNNNNNNNNNNNNNNNNNNNNNNNNNNNNNNNNNNNNNNNNNNNNNNNUCGCGAAGCCAGAAGUCACACUUCUUUAGCUUAGCAUAUAGCUUCUCCUCCCGAAGGAGUUGAAGCACUAUUCUCAAAUGCUCGGCAUGUUCCUCGUCACUACGAGAAUAGACCAAUAUGUCGUCUAUAAAGACUACGACAAAUCGGUCCAAAUACUUCUUAAAGACACAGUUCAUCAAAUCCAUGAACGCCGCUGGAGCAUUCGUGAGCCCAAAUGGCAUGACCGUGAAUUCGUAGUGUCCAUACCGCGUGCGAAACGCGGUCUUUUGCACAUCCUCCGGCUUGAUUUUCAACUAGUGAUAGCCGGAUUGCAAAUCUAUCUUCGAGUACACGCACGACCCUUGCAACUGAUCGAACAAGUCAUCGAUUCGGGGUAGUGGGUACUUGUUCUUGAUCGUGACUCUAUUCAAUUCUCGAUAAUCCACGCAGAGUCGGAACGAUCCGUCUUUCUUCCUCACUAAUAACACCGGGGCUCCCCACGGUGAUACACUCGGCCGGAUAAAUUGCUUGUCGAGGAGAUCUUGUAGUUGACUCCUCAACUCCUUUAGUUCCGCCGGCGCCAUUCGGUACGAAGCCUUCGAGAUCGGCGCGGUACCGGGAACCAACUCUAUGACAAACUCGAUGUCUCGAUCCGGUGGUAUCCCCGGCAACUCCGCGGGAAAUACAUCCGGGAACUCCCGCACCACCGAUAACUCCUCUAGUGUUGGAGCUACUCGUUCUGUUUCCACAACAGUCGCUAAGAAUGCCGUGCAACCGUUGUUCACCAACUUCCUUGCUCUCGUCGCCGAUACCGUCGUGACGAAGCACGAGCUCUNNNNNNNNNNNNNNNNNNNNNNNNNNNNNNNNNNNNNNNNNNNNNNNNNNNNNNNNNNNNNNNNNNNNNNNNNNNNNNNNNNNNNNNNNNNNNNNNNNNNAUUGCCUAAUUAUAUGUAUUGUUAGAGCCUUGGGCGGACAGGGGAGGCUCUGUCCGUUCGGCGUCUGUUGACGUGACCCGAACCCGACCAAAUUGGCGGGGAUUGGGGCGUGACAAUAUCUCUACUUAGCAUAUAUAGCAUAAGUAUGAAGCAACUAUGCAUGAAGUAAAAGUCUCCAACUAUCAUAAUGUUCACAAUGCGAAAUAGUAAAGUUCCGUUGUUUACUAUUCUAGUCAAUGUCCAAGUAAUACACUAAGUCAUCAUCUGUCCACAUGUCAUAAUGAAUACUCAAAGUCAAAUCUGAAGAGACCCACCCGAAGGCUGUCUAUGGCCCUGAGACCCACCCGUAGGCUGUCUGGCCGAUGCCGAGCCUAAUGGCCCCGUGGUAGUCAUCAUCCCCACCCUAGGAAUGAGCCUGGCCCACAGCAAUCCACUUCGGCGCCCGAUCCCGCACGGCGAAUAUGAAUCGCGAUGGCUAUCUCCGGAGUGCCGGCUUGUAGGGAGCGACCCUCACAAGCAUGUGCGAAUGAGCGCAAUGGUAAGUAAUCAAACGAUCUGUCGCAAGUACCAAGUCCUCAUGUCUAAUAACAUGGAAUGUGUCAAAUAUCUCAAUGGCCUAUCCCUAUGUCAUCAUGUCUCUAACAUGGAAUAUAGCAGAUAUGUAGUGGCCUAUCAAUCUGUCUCUAUGUUGCAGGUUCAUAGUUUACUAGUUUUAAGUGCCCCUUUAUGACACUCUUGAUCUCUAUGUCCAAGCAUGGAAAAUAUGUUCCCAAGUACAUAAUCCUCAUGAGAGAUGUAUUUUCCACUUGCGAAAUAAACGCUUUUCCCGUAUGCAUGCAUUCUACUCAUAUAGCUCUACUAUAUAGUGAAAUUUCCAUAAUACACAAGGCAUGCAUUUUAAGUGCUCUAAAAUUCAUAUAAAUUCCAUUUAACAUAGAAAUGAAUUUAAAAACAAUUUACAACAAGUAGAAAGAGCAUAGGGGCCAUUUCGCCCCAUUUCCACGAAGCCAAACCCACCGUCGUCAACGAAAGCUUUCGUUUGCCACGACGAAGGCGUCCACCACACUCCUAGUACCCUAAAGGUAUGAAAACAAGUGUCAUCUAGUCGAAACGAACGACGCUAAGUUCAAUCAUUAACCAACUCGAGCUAGGGUUGGGAGAAAACUCACCUCAAGUGAAAAACCCUCUCUUAAUCAUCAAAUGGAAGGUAAGGGUCUUCCAAUCUAACCUAUACAAAGGUUCCAAACCCAUCAAAAAGGUUUCAAAGCCCUCAAAUCAAAAAGCCCCAAUUCUAACCCUAGAAUCCCAAUCUAGGGUUUCAUCUAGUAAAACCUAGAAAAUCAUGUAUCAAGUAGGGGUUACAUGCUACCAACCUCAAGAGGGGCUUCAAUCCAAGCUCAAAACCAAGUAGGGUUGAAGUUUGAUCCUCCACAAAGCUCCAACCGCAAGCUCGAAGUCACCAAGGUGAGAAAAUAGGAAAGAAGAUGAUGCUCCAAAGCCUCCAAGCAAGCUCCUUCUCCUCUUCUUCUUCUUCUCUUUUUCCUCUCUUCUUCUCUCUCUAAGAUAGGUGGGAAGGGAAGAAAUGAGGAGUGAAGAGGGUGAAAUGGCCAUAUAGACCAUCUAAAGCAACAAAAUCCACUUAGGUCCCUCAAAAACUCAAAUUUACAUCAGCCCGGACUGGGCAGUUUUCGCCCAGAGGGACCGGUCUCCCCGACCUGGGACCGGUCUCUCAGCCUGCCCCCGAAAAUCCAACGUUCGGGAACCGGUCUCUCCCUGCGCGGGACCGGUCUCUCCCCGCACAGACGCGCUCGAGGACCGGUCUCGACUGCCAGGGACCGGUUGCCUCGCCGGCUGCGCAGCACUGUUCACUGGGGGACCGGUCUCUCCUAUUAGGGACCGGUCCCCGAGAGUAAAAACUCUCAGGACUCUGCCAAAACUCUCGAGAUCGAACUUUUAGGCCGGUAUACCAUCGACGGCCCUCCACCAACUGUGGAAAAGUUCGGAAUAACAUCAAACACUCGAACCUCGCAAUUGAAAAGGUUCCAGUGUUGCUACAGUUGGAGGAGGUUGUGAGAGUUUUGUACCUUGUUAUAGAGACCACCCUUACUUUUGGUAUCGUGGAGGAUAUGAUUAUAUAGUUUUUUUAUGUUCUAGUGCGUUUGUUCUCUUUUUACGUCUACUUGUCGAUAGAAACCUAGCUGUGAAUUUGUCUGCUAUCUCUAGAUACUUUUACUUCUUGUUCAUUUAUUCGUUUUUGUUGUAGACGCCUUAUAUUGCAGGCACUAUGGCGGGUCUGUGGUCGCGCUAUCGGAAGCUUGCCGGAUCCGGGGGCGUGACAUCUCCCGUUGUGUUUAGAUUGUGCAGUCGGCGGAGUGAUGACGGUCUAUCCCCGUUGUGUUUUAGAUUGUGAGUCGCGGCGAUGUAGAGCGAUCCUCACCGGUUGUGUUUAUGAGUGCAAGUCGGUGAUGUGAGCGAGAAUCUCACCGUAUGUACUGGUAAGACGAGAUAGUUAGUAUGAGAUAGGCUACCUAUCUAUGUUUGCAGUUUUAUACAUGUACUCUGUGAAAGGCAUAGUGAUCAUGCCGGAUAGGGUUGCACAUUAUUAUGUAGAUUAUGCAUUCAUAGCAUUUGGGAUUGAGGGCAUAGUUGGUAUUUAGACAAUCGCUUUACAUUAUGCUUUUAUCAUUACUGCCUUUCAUAUAUAUCUAUCUAUCUUUCGUCUUUCGUCUUCUAUGCCUUGCUGUUAGACCUAGUGUGAGAGAUCGGCGAGUCGGCGGCCCGACCACUGGGAACUAUAUUCAUUAGUCUCACCCGUGUGGUUUGGGAUACAGGUGCCACACGAGAGAGCUUCCGGCCGAGGGACCGUACGGUAAGGGCUUAGCGCCUUGUGUUGUAGUAGUUACUUCACUACUUGCAUUAGAGCUAACGUAAUACCUUUGAGGUAGCAUGAUGCAUAUGGUGUGAGGCUUAUUUUGGAAAUUGUAAGCUUUUAAGCUUCAUGAUGUAUUUUGGAGCUUUAAUUGAUUAAUUAAUGUUAUCAAAGUUUGAAUUGGAUGUUAUAGAUUAUUAUUUCUCUACUUUUAUUCACUUGUUCACUUACUUGGUGAUGCUGCUCUUUGAUAUGUUGCUGCACUGGUUGUGCUCACUCGCUAUUGUUGGAUUGUGUAUGUUUGCAAGUUGUUGUCUGGGCACUUGUUGUGUACACAAUCUCAGUUGCUUAGCGUGGGGCGAACAGGGAGUGGCUGUCGUUUUUUCGGGUCUGUCCGACGCGCCACGAACCGAGCCAAAUGGUAGCGGAUAUCGGGGCGUGACACGCCGAGACACGAGAAAAUUCAGUUUGAUUUAAAGCAUUAAAUAAAGCAUUGAUACCCUUUCCGUUGAACGAAGAUAAUUCGUUUUCCUCUUUCGUCCACUUAUUUCUAGGUUUCGGACCGGUAACAUUCUCGACAACUUCGGUAGGAUGUUUCCACCCAAAUUCAAUGGCUUGUCAUACCCGCUCGUCGAUGGCAAUAAGAAACGCCCUCAUACGGACUUUCCAAUAAGCAUAAUUAGUGCCAUCGAAGAGAGGAGAUCGAUUGAUGUUACCGCCCUCGGCCAUGAUUUACAACCUAUACCCUCUCUGAUACCACUUGUAAGAUAUGGAUCCCGAGGAUCUAAAAGGUAAGUAACACCUAGAGGGGGGUGAAUAGGUGUAAAAACGGCAAACUCAGAAAUCUCGAUGCAAAUAAAACGAAAUAGCGGAAAAUAAAAUAGCACACCGAGAAUUUAACGUGGGAAAACUCCAAACAGGAGUGAAAAACCCACGGGACCGAUCACGCAAAGAAAAUCCACUAAGAAAACAUGAGUACAAGUGAUUUUGACAAAAAUACACAACUCAAUUUACCGAUUUCCCAAUGAUGGUGAUCUUCGCCGGUCCUCGAUCGAUAGGAAUCCUCCAAUCGACCCCGCCGCAACUCCUUGCUGCGUCAACACCUCAAUUCCUUGAAGCCCCCACCGAAUCCACGGCCUCCACGCGAGUCCACGCGCCGAACCUCCUUCCGGAGCUUAUAGAAUCGGAGAUUUAUGGUGAUUAUGCCUUAAAAUCCCAUAAGCUAUGAGGGUCUACCUUUUAAUCAAACAUCUACUUGAUUCUCGUAUGAGUUCUUGAGUAAAAACUAAGAAUCAAGUCGAUUGUUGAUUGUUAGAAACUUGUUAUUAGAAUCGAACAAUAAGAACGGGAAAAACAAGUUUCUAGGGUUUAGAUUAUGUAGAAAUUAAAAGCCUUAACCUUUUAGAUGACCCCCAUGGCUUAUUUAUAUGUUUAGAAGACUUAGAAGUAGACUAGGAUUGCAAAAAGUCCUUUUUAAAAACAUGUGUCGUCCUCAGGGACCGGUCCUCUCGAGGAGACCGGUCUGUGAGAGACCGGUCUCUCAAGUGAGGAACCGGUCCCUCGCUGCGUGAUCAAAAAACACAACGUUCGGGAACCGGUCUCUCAAGCCAGAGACCGGUCCUUCGCUGCGCGACAGAAAUACCAAGGUUCGGGAACCGGUCUCUCAUCUCAGGGGACCGGUUGCAUCAAUGUUCACGCAGUGAGGACCUUAGAGGAACCAGUCUCUUCAACACAGGGACCGGUCCCAGAACACAUAAAAGUUCAGUAAAAGAAUUUUUAAAGCAAUCAAAGCCUUCUGAACUUAUUACAAUUAAGCAUCUUCACCAUAAACCAUCUAUUCUUCAUACCUGAGAUGCCGAGCUUUCCGAAUGAGUCUUUGUUCUUCAAUUUGGAUCUUUUCUUCAAACUUCUGCGAUCAAUUCUUCAAGACUCCAUUCAACUUUACGAAAUCCGCCAACUUAUAAAAUUCUUAACACAAUUGACCCUCAAGAAACCUAAUUGGGGGUAUUUCCGACGCGUUGGUGCGCUCGGAUUAACAUUACGAAAAGCCAAUGUAAAGAUAUGAGCAAAAUGGCCUAAUAAGGCUUCGUUUUGCUGCAGGUGACAAAUUAGGAGUCUAAAAAUCCCAAGAAAAUUGUCGGAGCACCUUUGAGAACCUACGAGGUAGGUGGUGCUAUCCAAACUCGUUGAACUUCCUUCUAUUUCUAAUGUGUCAUUCAAUUGAGCAUAUGAUAUAUACAUUGUUGCAUGCAUCGUAGGGUAUAUGUAAUGAGAAUGAUGUAAUGUUGCAUGUUGUGAGUACAAUUUGCCUAAUGAGAUGGUUGAGACCCCUAUGAAUGUUUAACCCUAUAUGUAUGCAUGAGGUAAAAUGUGAGCACCCAAGUGAGGCAAAAGAACAGAGUGACACAAUGAGACAUAGAUCGAGUGGCAUUCGAUAAUGUAAAGUAAUGUGACACUAGAGUUAGUGUGUGGCAUUAAAGAGAAAUGUGAUGCAGUGAUAAUGAUUAGAGAUAAGUAAAGAAAAUAAAAGUGGCAUAAAGAACGAGCAAAGCUAGAGAACAAUGAUUGCUAGAGUUAGCAAAAUAAAGUGAUGUAAAGAACACUAGAGUUAGUGUAAAGACAAUGAUUGAACUAUAUAUCCUUAGAGUUAAGGAUUGAUCAUACUUGCUAUGAGUUCCGUGCUCGAGGGCGGUCGCUCCCCCUCGGGCGAUGCGCUCCGGAGUUUUUGCAAUAACGCGGUGGAAGUAAACUAGAGGAGAUCUUAGCGGGGAGGAAGCAUGAGGGUCCGCCGAUGAUGGACUUUAAUGUCACGCACGAAGCUCCGCCAAUUUGGUCAGAUUCGGGACACGCCGACAGACCGCGAACGAGACAAGCUUAUCCCUGGUACGUCCUGGGCCGUCACAAUCGUAUGAUGAACAGAAGAGCGUCCCAACCAUGGAAGGCAUUCAAACAUAGAUUGUUGAUAUAAGUAUCAAAACAUAAAGGCUAAACAUGCUAUACAAGAUUCAGUCUCAAGAUUUUACAUUUAGAAAAUUAUCGAUACCUUUAAGUUAUCACAUAAGGCUUUAUACAAUUUUACAACAUAUUUAUAUUUACUAUAAUUUGUUUCUUUUUCAAUUUACAUCUGAAACUCUGAUGCUAGACCACUUCAGGUAUGCUAUCUCUGCGUCUCGGUUGUUAGGCGUAUUACGCGAGAAGUACGCCCUUGUCUCGCGCCGCCCGCUCACGUGCUACCUGUACCCCCAUAAACAACACGGGGGUGAGAAUAUAUAUAAUUAUAGUUCCCAUGGGUACGGCACAAGGAAGCGCUACCCCACCAGGUCAAGGCAGGCCAACUGCAGUAGCUAAACUGAACAGACUUAAUUAGAUAUUCGAUGAUACAUAUUAAUAAAACCAAUACCUGCCUCGCCGAUGAUGCAUAUGUAAAUCAGCAACUAUAUAACAAGUAGCAUCUACUGGAUCCUACGUUAUAUCUUUAACCAUUCAUUUACUUGUAGCCGUCUUUAUUAGCUAUUUACGAUUAUUAGCUAUUCUUUAGUUUUAUUCUUUAUCUCUUUAUCAUAUUGUGACUCACUGGCGAUUCUUUUCCUAAGUUAGCUUACCCUUAGUCAUCUAGGCCACCCGACUCGGUCUUGAGUCAAUAAUGCGGAUAGGUUUCGCCGCUAACUGUCUAGCUCGAAGGUGAGGAACUCCUCACAUGCACCUCAGCUGCGCAACGCUCCGUACUCUGUCAAGCCGUCUGCGUGGCGAAGCAAUCGCACGCUCACCAACAACGAACCUAGGUAAAUGACUUAGUCAACCGGCGGCGAAUCGUCAGCACACGCACGACAGUGGUUCAGUCAAUUCAGGCGGUAGGAUUCACAAACUGAGCUAACCAGUCCGGCACGGCAAAAUCGUCGCCACACGCCCAACAAUGGUUCUUUAGCCCCUGCUGGCGGACGAAAUCGUCGCACACACCGACACCCCUUUGGGUGUAUUCACAAGCUUUGAGAUCCGAAUCCAUUUCACCAUUUACUCGGGGUUAGUCUUAAACCCUAUGGAAUCGACGAUCUAGGUCCAAGUCUUUAUCGAGUAAUUUAACACUUUAGGUUCGAUUCUUUUAUAUUUUAGCCUAGGUUUAUUAUCCUGAGGACCAUCAUUUUUUCCAACCUAGGUUUACGUUCACUCUAGUAAGCACUCUUUCAUUUCACACACUAUGUUCUUUCAUUAGGUUUAAAAUAAUUUCUUAUUAACCUAUGUUUCAAUAAACACGAGGUUCAUUUUAUAUUCAACCUAUGUUUAAUAACAUUAGGUUCUGCCAACUCGCGAUCGUAUACAAUGUCACCUAGUUCAAUAACUUAGAUUCAUGCCACUCGAUAUUUAUAGUCUUCCUAGUGAUAAUUUCUUCUUUCUAGGUUCACCAGUUUACUAUUCAAUAUUCUGCGUUUAUCUUAUUACCAGUCGAGGUUUCUAAUAACUAGAAGCCGUCGAUAUAAUACAACGGGAACUAUAGUACAUUGCAUUUCAUAUAUGUUUUAGACGUAGGCAUCAAACAUUCACUUUCAUAAGCAUUUUAACACUACUUCUGUUAACAGCUUUAACUGUCCACGUAUCAACAAUUAUAUUAUGCUCUAGCAUUUAAUGUUCGAUAUUAUCGACAAUUUAGUAUGUCAUAUUGCCAUACUAGCAUUCAUGUUCAAAUAUUGAAUCAUUAUAAUCAUCUAGCAUCAACCAUCAUGUCAACAAUCAUAUAGUUGCCUUACUCAUAGUGCUCUAGCAUUUAUGUUCGUAUCUAUACAUUCAGAUCUAUGCAUCAGAUCCAUAUAUAUACAAUAUUCAUAAUUCAUAUUCAUAUUCAAUAUUCAUACUCAUAUUCAAUAUUCAUUUUGCGGAUGAAUGUAUUUUAAUAUGCGAAUUAUAUCCGCAUAUAUGCGUCAAAUUGAAAACAUGAUCUACUUGCAUGGAGAGUGACUAAUCACUGCGGUAAGCACAAUCCCACCUUUCUUUGAUGCCGGAGAGGCGAGAAAAUGCGUUAUAGCCGCUUUCCCGAGACGCGACCACGCUGUCCGACUUAUCGGACGCCGAAAAUCUUCUUUUGGCGAUAUCUUCGCGUAGGAGCGACGGAUUGCCGAACCGACUUCGCCAGCGCGUUUCUUUUACCCCCAAUUAGGUUUGUACGCGGUCAAUUUCGCUUUAGGACUUCUAUCCUGCAAAAGUACAUUAUCAAGGUCAGUUUCUAUAAAAACCCCUUUUCAAUGCAAUUUUCACAAUUACAUAGCGUAAUUCAAUUCUUAUUAGCCUAAGAACCUCAGAACAAUUACGGAAAACUGUGCAAAUACUUCGAUUCCAUUUUUUCUUUCAUUCUUUUUAUUCUUUCUUUCUUUUCUUUUCUUUUCCUUUCUUUCUUUCUUUCUUUUCCCUGCAGCCUGCAGGUUUUCUUUUUCUUUCCCUGUUUUCUUUCCUACUUUCUUUCUUUCUUUCUCUGCAGCCCUGCAGCUGCUGCUGACUGCUCAGCAGCUAGGCUGAGCUGCUGCUGCUGCUCACUACUGAGCUGCUGCUGCUGCUGACUGCUCAGCAGCUAUGCUGAGCUGCUGCUGCUGCUCACUGCUGAGCUGCUGCUGCUGAAGCUGCUGCUGCUGAAGCUGCUGCUGCUGCUGACUGCUCAGCAGCUAGGCUGAGCUGCUGCUGCUGCUCACUGCUGAGCUGCUGCUGCUGCUCACUGCUGAGCUGCUGCUGCUGAAGCUGCUGCUGGCUGCUGCUGAUGGCUGCUGCAGCUGCUGCUGCUGAUGGCUGCUGCAGCUGCUGCUGUUGUGCAAGCUGCUGCUGGCUGCUGCUAAGGCUGCAGCUCCAGCAGCUGCACAUGCUGCUGGCUGCUGCUCCCGCAGCUGCUGCUGCUGGUGCUACUAGAAGCAGGGAGAGGGGGGGGAAAGGGACAUAGUCAGCAGAGAGAGAGAGAAGAAAAUUCUCACCUUUCUUUUCUUCUUUCUUUUUCUUCUUCUUCUUCUUCUCUUCUUCUUCUCCUUCUCUCUCUCUCUCUCUCUCUCUCUCUCUCUCUCUCUCUACGUAUGGAUGCUGAAGAUGGAGGAGAAAAGGAUGGAGCUCCCUGGCAGGGAACUUAGUGGAAUUCCACUAACUUGGUAAUAAUUACCAUAAUGCCCCUCGACUUAAGUCCGUUGCGCAACUCGGAUCAAAAACCUUUCAUAGGCUCUUCCGACAGUCCGAUUGAGCUCAAAUUUGGCAGGAAUGUUCGUUUUUACUUAACAAGUCCACUGAAAUUUUAACAUUUCAGUUUCGACCCCGUUUGGUCACUGCGAACUGUCCCGAACUGUAAUCUUUAUCCGAUAACUUCCAGAUGCUAUUUCUCUCUCUACAGGUGUCAGAAAAAUCCGAAACUUCAAAUCUAGCCUCAUAAACAUAUUACUGACAUAUCCUCCAGUUUUCAUAAUUUUCUGACACUGUGCAUUUUCUGCUAAUUUUCUCAGUCCCGUUCUUUACAGAAAAUUCUAAAGUUUCCGUUUUCACUCCGAUUUCACCCAAACAUGUCCAAAAGAUACCAAGGGACCUUCACAAGCUACCAAUCCAAUUUGGAAGCAAUUCCUUUGCAUUUUGACAUUAUGAGCCGAAUUAGCAAUAGAAUCAGCUCACAAUUUCAUUAUACGACAGAAAUUUCUCCUUUUUGCACUACCACUUCGCACUGAACACUUCAAAGCCCUUUGAAAGCACACCCUUGGCUUUUCCAAAACUUCACAAUUGAUUCGGAGAUACCACAAUUUAUCCUCACGCCUUACUUUAAUUUCUUUAAACAAAGUUAGCGUCGGAAUACCGAAAUUCUCUUUUAUAUUUCGUUUCGCGCCCAAUUUGCGCCGAAAACACUUAUUUAUCUCCAGAAUUCAUUCAACACGCGCAUCACAAUCACUCGGUGGAUGAUGUCCAACUAGCUCAAUCCCACUUUGACCCUCUAGGUCAAAGUGACAUCGCAACUCCAAUUUCUCCAAUAUGUUACACUUAAUGUGGGCAAGUUAAUGUGGCGAAACCCCCGGGUUAGCCGUGAGAUUAAAGAGUAAAGAAUAAAGAGUAAAGAAUAAAAGAACUUGCAUAAUUUGCAUAAUUUAUGUUGAGCAUAUUUCUUGCUGUUUGUUCAGGCAUAUUAGCAUCAUGAUUAUAGUUUGGUUACUAUUCUGCUUAUCCUUUCUAUUAUGCCUGAGUUAGUCCUAGUGGGAAAGUCGGUGAUGUUGGGGCCGAACCCACUGGGAACUUUGUUGUAGUUCUCACCCCACUAUUCCACAGAGCCGGGACCGAGCGAGCCGGCGAGCGACCGCGGUAAAGGUAUCUCACCCUAGACAGUGGCCACCCGAAUCGGGCUUUACAUUUUGUAGUAGUUUACCCUUUUAUCAUCUUUUGUAUUUGAUGAUUUAAGAUGAUGAUGUAUAAAGCAAAGAAAGAAUGAAAGAAUGUAAUGUUUAUUUUGAGCAUAUGGGAUGUAAAAAAGAAAUGAUGAAAGUAUGUAAAGACUUUAUGAUGUACAAGUUGGUUAAAUACAAUGUAUGUGAUCAAAAGUGAAUCAUAUUACUUGUGUAGGCGUUUAGUUCCUUUCUCUCACUCAUGGCUAUUGCUUACCCUCGUGUAAGCCGUUUGUGUAUGUUUCCGCUAGUGCACUUCUUGUUUGAAAUUGUACAUGUGAUGAGCCUUGGGCGGAUAGGGGAAACUCUGUCCGUUCGGCGUCUGUUUGACAUGCUCGGGCCGGCCCAAAUUGGUAUCGGUCCCGGGGCGUGACACAGGUGGAGGAGCAGCCGAUUCCAGUCCCCGACGACGUCGUGGCAGGUAUUGUUCUUAUCAGAGGCACUAGAGCUAGAGCUACAUUUGACACGGGUGCAUCUCAUUCAUUCAUUGAUGCAUCAUUCGCUAAGACUCAUGACAUAGAGAUCACACAUAAUGAAGAGUAUUGGUCGGUGAAUACUCCGGAGCAUUCGUUUCAUGUACAUGACGAGUGCUUGGCGUGUCCUGUACAGAUAGGCGAUUGGAUCAUGCCGAUCAACCUUUUGGUAUUGAAUCAAAUAUGGGGCUUCGAUCUGAUCUUGGGGACCAACUGGCUCUCCAAGUACUACGCGGUCAUAGAUUGUGAAAGUAAGGUGAUCACGUUCCGUGAACCUAAUCAAGAAGAAUUGGUAUAUCGGGCUUGUAAAAGUAGGCGCUUCGCGGCGACCAUAUCGGCGGCGAGAGCGAGGAAAAUGAUUAAGGGUGGUUGUAAGGCCUAUUUGGCGACCAUCGUAGAUGCCCAAAAGGAGUACCCGAAACUUGAAGGUAUUUGGGUAGUAUGCGAGUAUCCGGAUGUGUUUCCGGCGGAGUUACCGGGAUUGCCACCGGACCGGGAAGUCGAGUUCGUCAUUGAUUUGAUUCCCGAGGCGGCGCCAAUUUCGAAGGCUCCGUAUAGAAUGGCACCUGUUGAGCUAAAGGAGCUAAAGGCCCAGUUGCAAGACUUGCUCGAUAAGGGCUUUGUGAGACCGAGUAUGUCUCCGUGGGGAGCUCCGGUGCUAUUUGUAAAGAAAAAGGAUGGCAGCUUCGACUUUGCGUUGAUUAUCGCGAGUUGAACAAAGUGACGAUCAAGAACAAAUACCCGUUGCCAAGGAUUGACGAUUUGUUCGAUCAGUUGCAAGGGUCAAGGGUAUAUUCGAAAAUUGACCUUCAAUGGGUAUCAUCAAUUGAAGUUACGGCCCAAGGAUGUGCACAAAACGACGUACCGUACGCGGUAUGGCCACUAUGAGUUCACAGUCAUGCCAUUCGGGCUUACAAAUGCCCCGGCGGCUUUUAUGGACUUAAUGAAUCGAGUCUUCCGUCCGCUAUUGGACGGGUGCAUCGUCGUAUUCAUUAACGACGUAUUGGUAUAUUCUCGAACCGAGGAAGAACACGAGGAGCAUUUGAGGAUCGUGUUGGAAACACUCUGAAAGGAAAAGCUUUAUGCAAAACUAAAGAAAUGUGAGUUUUGGCUUUCGGAGGUUACUUUCUUGGGUCACGUUAUAUCCGAUGAUGGCAUCUCGGUGGACCCAAAGAAAGUGGAGGCUAUUAAAGAUUGGCCUCGCCCGACAAGUGUAUCGGAGAUUCGUAGCUUUUUGGGGCUUGCGGGCUACUACCGGCGGUUCGUGGAAGGGUUUGCUAAGAUAACUACUCCACUAACGCGCCUUACCGACAAAGGGGUGAAGUAUGUUUGGAGCCCCGAGUGUGAGCGGAGCUUCGAGGAGCUAAAGGAAAGAUUGACGUCGACCCCGGUACUUGCUUUGCCGACGCCGGGGGAGAGCUAUGUAGUAUACAGUGAUGCCUCUUAUAUCGGUCUCGGGUGUGUUUUGAUGCAAAAUGGCCGAGUUAUAGCAUAUGCUUCGCGCCAAUUGAAGAGCUAUGAGAAGAACUACCCGACUCACGAUCUUGAGCUAGCGGCGGUUAUCUUCGCGCUAAAAUUGUGGAGGCACUACUUGUAUGGUGAGCAUUGUGAGAUCUACACCGAUCAUAAAAGUCUCAAAUACUUGUUCAUCCAGAAGGAAUUAAAUUUGCGACAGCGGCGGUGGUUGGAAUUGCUAAAAGAUUAUGAUGUCACGAUUCUCUACCACCCCGGAAAAGCAAAUGUCGUGACCGAUGCUCUAAGUAGAAAGUCGGCGGAGAAUUUGGCGACGGCAAUUACACCCCAACCGGCUUUGCAAAAGGAGAUGCAACGGUUUGGACUUGAGGUUGUGGUGCCGGGAGUGCCGGCAACACUUGCCACGUUGAUUGUACAACCGACUUUGUUGGAGAGGAUUAAAGAUGUGCAAGUUUUCGAUUCAUUUCUCCAAAAGGUGCGGGGUAAAGUUGAGAGCGGUAGUGCCGAUGAUUUUGGCAUUCGGACCGACGGUGCACUACGAUAUCGGAAUCGUUGGUGCGUGCCCAAGGACGAUGAUCUUCGGAGGGCGAUUGUGCAAGAAGCGCAUCAAUCUCCCUAUAGCAUUCACCCGGGCGGCACUAAAAUGUAUCAAGACUUGAAGCUACAUUAUUGGUGGCCGGGCAUGAAAAAGGACAUAGGGGAGUUUGUGGCACAAUGCCUCACGUGCCAACAAGUAAAGGCGGAAUGGCGAUUCCCGGCGGGAAAGUUGCAAAGUCUACCUAUACUCGUGUGGAAGUGGGAAAAUAUCGAUAUGGACUUUGUGAUCGGGUUGCCUAGAUCCCAAAGCGGACAUGAUGCGAUUUGGGUAGUUGUGGACCGGUUUACGAAAUCGGCACACUUUUUGCCGAUCCACACUACUUGGUCGGGAGACAAGUUAGCUCAAGUUUAUCUCGACGAGAUUGUGAGACUUCACGGGGUUCCGGUAUCAAGUGUAUCGGAUCGGGACUCGAGGUUCACAUCACAUUUUUGGAAGAGCUUGCAAGAUGCAUUGGGUACACGGCUCGGCUUUAGUACGGCAUUUCAUCCUCAAAGUGACGGUCAGUCGGAGAGGACUAUUCAAAUACUUGAGGAUAUGCUUCGAGCGUGUGUACUUGAUUAUAAGGGCGGAUGGCACGAUCACUUACCGAUGGCGGAAUUCGCAUACAACAAUAUCUAUCAAGAAAGUAUCGCGAUGGCGCCAUUCGAGGCCCUUUACGGAAAGAAGUGUCGCUCGUCGAUUCAUUAGAGCGAUGUGGGCGAGAAGGUUGUUCUUGGCCCCGAGGUUGUGCGGGAGGCGGAGGACAAAGUUCGCCUUGCCCGACAAAGAUUAGCGACGGCGCAAUCGAGGCACAAAAGUUAUGCCGACAAGCGAAGGAAAGACAUUGAGUUCGCGGUUGGAGACCGCGUAUUUCUAAAAGUUUCGCCAAUGCGAGGAGUCAAGAGAUUCGGUGUCCGCGGGAAGCUAAGUCCCGGAUUUGUCGGACCCUUUGAGAUCUUGGAAAGGGUUGGUGCGGUGGCUUACUGUCACGCCCGGGUAUCAGCGGAAGCCUACCCGGUAUGUGCACAGACCCGCCAUACACCUGCAGUAUAUAAGGCGUUUACAAGGAAAACAUGUCGGCAGAAGGAAUCAUAGAAGAAUCCUAACCUGAUAUCAGAGCAAAGUAUAAGUCAAUAAUAUCACUAUCCGAAGAACAGUAAGUCUACAAUCCAAAAUAUCAACAUCAUAGAGAAAACAUCAAACUGUAGUUCCCGGUUCAAACCACACAGACAUCACAGGGUCCCUCAAAAUAUACAUACAAUGGUAGUCUCUCUAUACACGGGUACAUCACCCUCGGCCGUAGCCCGAGUAGCAAGGUGAUCAUCUAGUGAAGCUCCAAGCUAUAUCUAGCUAGCCGCGACUUCCUUGCCACGAUCCCUAGCCUCUCCUGUAGCAGAUGGCUCUGUAAAAGCAACAACAAAAGGGCGUGAGAACUAUUAAACAAUAGUUCCCAAUGGGUAAGCCGCCAGCCUCGUCGAAUUACACCACUAGGCUCAUGAUGUACUACUUGGAAAGUAAAAAUAGUUAUAACAUGAUAGUUUAUCAACGAUAAAUAACUAUGAAUGUGUAUCAUGCUGUCAGAUAUAUCUAUCAAGUAGAACAAGUAAAGUAAUCGCAAUGAACAUAAGUAUGUCACUUAAUUGUACACUAUUCGGUGAUGAUCAGCUAUUGAUGCCAUUAACACUUUAGUUUAAUCCAUAGGAACCUACUCAAGGUAGUCCCGCUUGCGCCGCGCCUGAUGGCCCCGUGGUAGUAUACACUCCCCACGGCAAUCCACUUCGGCACCCAAUCCCGCACAGGCGAGCAAUCUGUCGCGUAGGCCAACUCCGGAGUGCCGGCUUGUGGGGAGCGACCCUCACAAGCAUGUGCGAAUGAGCACAAUGGCAAGCAAGCACAAUCCAUAAGCUAAUAAUUCUCAGUUAUCAUGGGCUAACAUAUAAGGUUCUUGCUCUCGACCUUUAGGUUGGGUUUCAAUAUGAAGACGGCUAGUAUCCUCUAAAUUAAAUGACCAUAUGAGAGUAAUAUGUAUUUACAUAUAUUAUUUGUAUCAGCAACCAAUCGAAAAUCAAUAUAUGUAAGUGUACUGACAACCAAAUCGCAAACUGAUUGUUUGGUCCCUUACUUAAUAUAAGCAUAAUAAAGUCACCCAUUGCUUAUGCAUUUAAACAGAAUAUGAAGACCUUUACUCAUGAUUCUCACUAUUUCAUAGUGGCUUCAUCAGAUUAUAUGAAGUGAGCAUGCCCGUGGUACCAAAUGCCCUUAAUCUAGUUCUACCCCACAUAAUUACACAUAAUUAGUAGUUUAGCAUCAUAUAAACAUAGAGAAAAUUCACUUGCUCUGGUGAGGUCCGACCCACCUAUUAGUCGCCGACUUCGUAAAAUACACUCUUGUAUGUGAAACCUAGAGUUUCCGAACCCCCCCUAACACAGGAUCAGAGUUAGCCACAAGCUGAAUUUAAUGUCAAAGGUAAAACUUCACAUAAUCACAUGUUAAGGCUAAAUUCUCACCUAGGUUUAGUCUAAACUAAACUUCUGCUUUAAGUCAAGUUGAGCCCUCCUCAGAUCAGCCCAACUUCAGCUUCAAGGUCUUAAUAAUUAUCUUCAAAUGUUCACCAACCUACUGCACUAUAAUUGUGAAUCACCUCGCCAAACCGUAUAGAAUCUAGUAUCGAAUGUUAAAUUUCAGCAACCUUCUUACCUUGUGCCAGGCUGCAGCUCUAAUCUCCUGUUUCGGUUCAAGUGAAGACACUAGAUUAACCGUCACAAGCUCCCAAAAUUCAGUCGAGAACUAUCUAAUACCCUGUCACAAGCCUGCUGCGAAUUAGCCUCAAAACAGUCUUACUAUUCUUAGAAAACCAUGUAUUAUAAGCUGAAAUCUUACUUGUUUAAAUUCCCCACGAAAAAUUUCUACUUUACUAAAGAUAGAAGUACUCCAAUUUAGUCUCAAAACUCAUCAACUCCGCUCAAAAGAGUAAGUAAACCUGCUGCGAAGUCAAGUGUCAAUACUAUUUUGCUUUACACCAAACCCUUCAGCUAAGGGGAUUACUAAAUAAUACACCUUCGCAGAUUGAAUAGUACCUUUCUCUAGCUUCAAUUUGAAGCUCCACAGUCCAAGCCUCCUUCCAAAGCUGCAGAAUGUUCUUUCUCUCUCUGUUUACACAGCUAGUAACACCAAAACCCCAAUAUUACACUAAUUCAUCAUUAUGCUUCAAACUAAGGAAUAACUACUAGUUUACCUCUCCAAAGCUUCAACCGAGUUACAGCUAGGUUCAAAGCUGCGAAGUGCUCUGCCAGGCUUCUGUUCCUUCCUUCCGUAGCAACUCCAAAGUGCUCCCAAUCAGCUAAAAUCGAACAAUGAAAGAAAUUUCAACUUAAACCAUUAUUUCCCAUGGUAGAGAGAGAAACCCUAGAGAGAGGAGAGGAAAAUCUAUUCAACCUCUUUCUCAAGGCUCCUGCAACCCUUCUACAGCUGCAGGGGUCGAGCUACCUCUUAAAGAUAAGAUCAAGAAGCCAAAAGACCAAAAGAUCCCUGCUGCCACGCACCUACUGCUGCUGCUGCUUGCUGUACCGGUACAACAUUAAUGUUGUACCGGUACAACAUUAAUGUUGUACCGGUACACAAUGCAGAAAUUUGAAAGUAAUGCCACAGCAAUGCACUUUCUUGCUUCCCGCACUCCGAUCACACCCAAACUUGGUCACCAACUCCUCUAAACUCUUUAGAACAUGUAGGAUGGUUCCAAUUGUCAUUCCCAUACUCGAACUUCGCAAUUUGCUAAAGUUCAGUAUAUUACACUUACAAAGUAGCAUUACCACCGAGGCUUGCGGGGGUGCACGACGUGUUUCAUGUAUCCAAUCUCCGCAAGUAUGUCCAUGAUCCGGAGCAUAUUCUCUCGUAGAUACCGAUUGAGCUUCAAGAAGAUAUGACUUACGAGGAGUUCCCGGCGUACAUUGUUGAUCGGGAGGUGCGAAAGCUACGGAAUCGUAAAAUUCCAUAUGUUAAAGUUCAUUGGAGCGAACACGACGAUCGGGAAGAAACGUGGGAGCUUGAUGAUGCGAUGAGAGAACGUCAUCCUCAUCUCUUUGCGGAACUGCAUUGAGGUAUGAAACUCAAUUUCAAUAAGUAGUUUUGCGAACGAAACUAAUUUUAAGGGGUGGAGAAUGUAACAUAUUGAAAUCCGGAAGAAAUUAUCGAACUUUAGCCAAAUUGACUAAAGUAUGCGAAAAAGUUGUAUGGACAAGUUGCUUUUAGCAUUCCAAUGGUGUUGGAAGGGCUAAAAGUAAGUUUAGAAAGAGUUAGAAAGGUUUUAGCAUCGACCGGCGCAAAGUAGAGUCGAAUCGGAGCUAAAACUGCAUUCUGGGCAAAGUGUACCGGUACAACCAUCAAGUUGUCACCGGUAACAGCCGAGCAGCCCGAGCAGAAUGAGCUCUCGGGUUUGAGAUUUUCGUAGGAAAUGUACCGGUACACCCCUGGUGUGUACCGGUACACUUUGGUGAAAUCCAAGGGAAAUGCUCUCGGGUUGCCUCUGCGUAAUGGUGUUACCGGUGACAGCAUCCCGUGUAUCGGUACACUUUGGUAUGGCAGCAACAUUGAGGUCUGCUGUAAAUUGGACUAUUUGAGGGGUUUAGUUGUAAUUGUUAGAACAUGUUAUUAGCCCAACCCUUCUCUCCUUCACAGCCAUCACCCCACCAUUCUCUCCCCCUCUCAUUUUCCUCUCUCUCUCUAGAAAGCUUGAUCUAGGGCAAGGUGGAGAAGGAGAAGAAGGAGGAUCAAAAGGAAUUUUGGGUGGCUUUGGUGGUUCUUGGAGCUCUCCUACAAGAAGGAUCUUGGGAUAGCUCUUGGCCAAGGUGAGUUUCUUGCAAGUAGAGUUCUAGGGUUCGGAUUUUUACCUUAGAACUUGGAGUUUUGAUCCUCUAGCAAGGCUGGGAUCAUUGUAGAGACCUUAAAACCAUGAAAAUCCAUGGUCCUUCAAGGUGCUCUCAUGGUGGUUAACUAGGGAUCAUGCUACAUGCCCUAGGAAUGGUCUAAAUAGUUUGGAAACAAGAUCAGAGAGCUUCCUAGGUGAUUCUAAGCUAUCCUUUGCUUAGGAAUAAGAUCAAUUUAGGAAAAAUUUGAAUAUGGCAUUGUUAGGGCAUGAAAAUUGGGGCUUUUGCCCUAGAAUUUUUCCAAGGCAAAUUGACCUCUUAGAAACCUAAUUGGUGUUAUUCCCGACACGUUGGACAACUCCGUUCGACGUUACGAAAAUGUCUAAAUAUAGUUUGUGUAUAUAGGGCCUAAUUUGGCACUAUUUUGGUUAUAGGACGCGGAUUCGGCGUUCGUAAAGUUCGGGUGUCACGCCCCGCCCCGAAACCACUACCAAUUUGGCACGUUUCGGUCACGGCGACAGACCGCCAAACCGACAGCACCUCCCCUGUCCGCCCAAGGCUCAACAACAGGAAUGUGUACAAGAAUUUACCCAGGACUUUAAAUUCUAGACAUACACAUUCAACGAGGGCACGAACAAUGCCAACAACAAGAGAGCAAGUAAUCCACAAGAUAUAUGAGUGAAAUAAAGAGAGUACUUUACUAACUAUUACAAUAGUUGCAUUCUUUACAUUUACAUCAAUUCCCAAAAUGGAUACAUUUGAUCCUCAAAAUACAUAGCUCUCCAACCUCACCUACAUGAAUCUCUCUCAAAACAUAGGUGUGCUAAUGCAGAUAGGAAAGCUACUAUACUACCACGGUCUCACUGAUCGGGCGCGAUGCCCUUGCCGCGGUCCUCUCUCGGUAACCCUGUACCUACCACUGGAAAUAGAGUGGGGUGAGAACUAUCUUCCAUAGUUCCCAGUGGGCUCGGCCGCCGACUCUGCCGAUCUCCCCACUAGGUCCAAGUGGGCACAAGCAACAACAGGUAGAUAGAUAGAUAGAUAUCUGAAAGCUGUAAAUGCGGUAGUAGGAAAACUAUGCUACUAUGCCCAUAAUCAUGAAUAUGAAUGCAUGCAUCAUAUAAUAAAGGUUUGCUACCAUGCUAACAAAUUCGAUCCAUGUUCGAAUAGCUAUGUUCAAUGACAUUUAUCAACCUUUAACCUUUCAUUUACCACCAAUCUGUGGCGAGGCCCCUAGGCUCGCCCGAUAAAUCAUCUUUCAAUCCCUAAAGUGGGGGAGGGAGCUCCAAGUGACCAAGCCGGGACGCCGUCUUGCGACCUCCAUGUGGUCGCGACCUCCAAAGGGUGCCUAUCGCGGGCGACACUCCGGAGUACUCGACGAAUCCCCUCCAUGUGGGGAUUGGAUGGCUAUGCCACCCUACAACUAGACGUGGAGCUAGAUCUAUCUCUCCAUGUGAGGAUGACACUGUAACUAGGUCAACACCCAAUCCAAAUCCUCUCCAAGUGAUGAGCUCUAAACUAGAGUCAAUAACCCAAUCAAAUCGCUUCCAAGUGAGGAACGCACACUCUAUAACUAAGAGUCAACAUCUCUCGCGGGACUCAUUUGUUUCCCGACAUUCAUGCAAGGCCCUUUAGCUUUCUAAAUUCUAUUGUUACCAAGGCAAUUUUCUAAGGAUCCACCUAUCCUAGGUCCAUCGACUUCUAGUUGUCAUUACACUACAUUAAUGCACUCGUCAUCAUUCUACAUUUGGAUGCCACUCGUGUGUUCUUUAACACUCAAACAACUACUUUCUAUGUCAUCAAUACCCCAUCGGUUCACUCUAUUUUCUUUUAGCAUCAUAGAUCCACGUCGGACCCAUCCUCACCUAUCUAAGUUACCAAGCGUCCAAUACCUAGGUUAUCAUUAGAAAGCAUACAGGAAUGGGCUACUAUGCAAUGACUACAAUGCGACAUGCAUAGAUGAGUAAUGCACAUCUAAGACAUAGAAAGGAGUUCGAUUAAGCUUCGAGAUGACACCCCCUCACUUUACCAAACGUAAGAGGCUUUAGAAGCGCUCCUCGCGAGCUUUACAAAAGGCUUUGCCUUCCCUAAUCCAAGAUAGCCCGAAGACGACCGUAAUUCCGCGAUUGUUCAAGCCGCUGACGAUAUCGCGAAUAAUUCGACUUCGCCCCUUCGGCGCGUUUGGCACUCUAUCGAUGAGGUUUACAAGGCCUCAAAUGAGAUCAAUUACAUCUUUACAAAUGCCCCAUUUGAGUCUCAGGUUUGCACAUAGACAAACCACCAAUAAAAACUAGAUAUCUUGGAUUGAUCUCAUUAGAACAUGCUUGGGUCCAUUUGACCAUGUCCAAAGCAUAAGAACCCAAAAAGCCUAAGUUACAGAGCUAGGGUUAGUAGCUACCUCAAGAGCUACACCAAUGAAAGAAGGGAGACUGGAGGUCUCAAGACACUUCCUCUUGACUCCUUCUUCUUUUCCUUCCUCUCCUUCUUGUUCUCCUUCUCCUUCUUUCCUUUCUAGAGAGAGAGGGAGAGAAAUAGAGAGAUGAGAGUGAAAGAGAGGAAUGAGAGAGUGUGAGGGAGAGAGAGGGCCCAGCCCACUCUAAUAAAGGCCAUUUUGCAUUUAGACCCCUCAACUUUUAACCCCUUGCACAGCCCUCACUGGGCAGUUUUCGUGCGGAGGGACCGGUCUCCCCGACUUGGGACCGGUCCCCGAGAGCUUCCCUCGGGCGCACGCGUUCGGGAACCGAUCUCUCCCCGGGAGACCGGUCCUCGGGAGACCGGUCCUCACCUGAGAGACCGGUCCCCGAGAGCUCAAUUUUCAGGACUUAGCCAAAUUUCGGCAUUUCUCGCUGGAAACACGUUCGGGAACCGGUCCCUCCCUGCCAGGGACCGGUUGCACCUUGCAACCCCGCACGCCCAGCUGAUGGAACCGGUCUCUCACCUCCAGAGAUCGGUCCCCGAGAGCAACUUCAGCCCAAUAAUGCUGUUUGCAUCAUUAGCUCUCGUGGACUCAACUUCAAAGCACUUUUUGUGUUUUGGACAUUUUAACUUCCCCAGAGGGUAUUCUCUCGACAAAUAGUCGAUCCUGGACGAAGUAUAACUCUCGGAUUUCGAGAAUUCACUUCCU
rnacentral:lncRNA from 1 species